rnacentral:lncRNA from 1 species
UGAGUCUCAGGUUUUUUUUUUUUUUUUUUUGUCUUUGUCUUUGUUUUUUUUUUUUUUUUUUGUUUUUUUCCCAAAAACAACCUGUUAAUGUGGUUGUUGACAUAGAAGUGGGUGAGGGCAAAAUGGGCAUAGAAAAAAGAGUCAACACAAAGUGCACAAAACCCAUAUUAUUUUCCACAUUAAUGACUGAUUCUCAUAUUUCUUGUUCUUGGGAUUUGAAAACCAUAUUAUUUGCAAAUGGACCUCCCAAAGCACAGGUUUCCCUUAGUUUUAUGUCUCCAUCUACAUUUUACAUAUAAAUAGAUUAUUUUAUAAAAUUUGUUUUGUAGAUAUAUUAGUUAAUAAUUAUAUAAUUAAUGAUAUAGAAAACAUAUAAAAAUCAUAUUUAAAAAAGAUAAUUACAUAUUCCUCAACAAUCCAUCCCAAGAAUUCGAGGUUGAGUUGAAAACAUGUAGAGUCUUUGAUGUUAUUAUAAUCAUAUCCAACACAUAUGAUUAUUGUUUAUGAGAUAUUAUUAGAAAGUUUGUCUUAAAAUAAUUGAUUUAUUACCCACCUUUAGCAAAUGCCCAUUUUUGCGUCUUUCAAAAUUUUCAUUUUUUUUUUGUUUAAAAGAAGUAUUGUAAAGAAUGAUGAAAUAAGAAAUUUGUUGAGAAAGUGUGAGUAAAUAAUUUUACAUAAAAAGAGAUUUAAUACUUGAUAAAUAAAAUAAUAAAAUCAUGAUUUCUAGUUGUAUAGGGCCGGGUGGAUGGAGUGGCUAAGAUGUAAUUCUUGAAAUAGAGGAGACAACAUCAAUGUAUAAAAGUUUAACAGAGAAGGAAAGUGUGUUUGAAUGACUUUAUUUUCUUCAUUUAAAGUUUUGACGAUGAGUGUUUAUACAAGAUAAAUUUUCAAAUGAUAGGACUCCUAUUUACAUGGAGUUUGUGAUAUACUAUGAUUAUACAAAUUUAAAAUUCAAACAGAUUCAUGAGUUGAUAGGAGUCUGCUCAAUACGCCCCUUCAAAAUGGUGGGAGAUAGCACACCAAUCUUGACUCGAAGGGCCUAAACUCGUGCAGAAGAUGAGGGCUUUGUUAGAGCAUCGACAAGUUGAUCCGUGGUUGACAUAUGGGACACCUUGAGCUCACCUGAUUAAACCUUGUUUCAAACAAAAUGAAAAUCAAUCGCCGAUGUGUUUCAUGGAGAGUGAAACAUGGGAUUUGCACAAAGAUAUGUUGCACCCACGUUAUCACAAGAGAUAGGAGGUGGUGAUAAAUUUGAAACACUAAGUUUUGAGAGAAGAGAAUUAACCCAAAGAACCUUUGAGGCUGUAGAGGCCACGACGUGAUAUUUCGCUUCAGUGGAAGAGCGUGCUAUGAACUUUUGUUUCCUCGAUGACCAAUACACAAGAUUGUGACCAAGAAAAACAAUGGGAGCAUUGGUGGAGGAUCUGACAUAAGGAUUCCUUGCCCAUUCAACAUUCGAAUAUGCAUGUAGAUUGAUGGGCGAUUUCUUAUGCAAGAACAGACCAUGCACCAUUGUGCCGACUAAGUAUCUAAGCAAUCUUUUAACACAAGACCAAUGUGUUGAUGUUGGAUGGUGCAUAAAUUGAGAUAAUUUAUUCAUCAAGAAGGUGAUGUCAGGGCUAGUAAGAGAGAAGUAUUGAAGGCUUCCAACAAUUGACAUAUAUUUAGUGGGACCAGGAAAAGAGGUGUCAUCACACAGAUUUGGAACAUUGUUGAGGAACAUCAAUGAUUGAACUGGUUUGGUAGCCACCAUUUGUGUUUUCUUAAGAAGCUCUCGAAUGUACUUGAGAUAAAAAUAAUCCUUUGGAAGUAUGUAUCAUUUCAACACCAAGAAUAAAAGAUGAAGUCCUGAGAUCCUUAAUGGAGAAUUUGACUGCUAAUUGAGAGAUCACGCGAGCACGAAAAACAUUAUUGUUACUUGUUAAAAUAAGAUCAUCAAUAUAAAUAAGUAGGUAAACAAUGAGACCACUCUUUUUAAAAAUGAAGAGGGAUGUCUCGGUUUAGGAGUUGACGAAGGCUAUUGAGAGGAGAAAUUGGCAAAGUUCAUGAUACCAUGAUCGUGGAGCUUGUUUAAAGCCAUAAAAAGCCUUACAAAGUUGGCAAAUGUGAUGAUGUGUGUAUUCGUGAACCCAGGAGGUUGAAUCAUGUAAACAUCUUCAUGAAGUGUCCUAUGCUAGAAUGCAUUAUUAAUGUCCAAUUCAUGAGUUGAUAGGAGUCUGCUCAAUACAAUGUGGGAGUGUGAUUUCAAAAUUAGGGUAAUUUCGAAAUGGAUUUUGUAUUCACAAGUUGAAUUUCAAAAUUAUUUUGAAAUGGUCUUUUAACUUUAAGCAGUUGUGUUCAAAAGGUCAUAACUUCUUCGUUUCAAUUUUGAUUUACACAUUGUUUAAAACAUUGGACUCUUUACUUCCCGAGCUUCAAAACGAUAUAUAGUAUGCUCAAAAAUGACAUCAGGAUUGGUUCAAAUUUCAUCUUGAUAUUAGAGUACAUGUUGUGAUUAGAUUUUGAGUUCCAAAUUUCCAUGUAAACUUGAUUGCAUUUGCUUCAAACCUCCUUCAUUAUGGUUGCUUGCCCUCUAUCUCACUUUGCAACAUUUGUUACUAGUAUUUUAUGUCCAUGACUUACUCAUUUCAACCUUUCUUGGAUUCUUCAUGGUUCACAAAUUAUGGAUUCUUCAUGGUUCACAAAUUGAGUCUUUCAAUUAUGCAUGUUUAACUCCUAUUUCCUUGGUUGAUAAUGACUUUUACACUUAUCAUUUUCUUUUAUUCUUUAAACCUGAAUUUAGACUUACAAAAAAAAGUUAGAUCCAUAACUAGGGUCUUAGCAUCAAUUUGAGUUAAGUUGGAUGAUUUGAAAAUUUUAUAUUACAUAAAUCAUAUCAUACAUGUGCCAUUGGAGUGCACAUUUUGGCUCUAAUCAUGUUCCAACCCAUUGUUUUACUCUUGCAUGAAGUAUGUGGCCAUUGAUUUUAAUUUUAUUUGCGAUUAGGUUCAAAAUGGUGCUUUUGUGUUGCUCAUGUGUCAUCAGAAGAUCAACUAAUGGAUUCUCUAACAAAACUACUACAUCAUAGUCAUUUUUUUUUUUCUUAAGACCAAGAUUGAGAUCUCCAAUCGGAGCCAACUCCAUCUUGGGGGCAUGUUAGUGAAAGAUAAAAUUUAUCUUUAAUUUAAAUAUUAAUAUUUAUCAGUUAUUAGUUUUAAUUAGAGUAAAAGAUAGAGUUUAAAUUGGAGUAGGAGAUAAACUUGUGUUUGAACUAGAAUAGAAGAUAAAGUAUAAAGAUUUAUGUUUGAAUUAGAAUAAAAUAUAAAGUUUGAAUUAGAGUAGAAGAUAAACUUGUUCUUUAUUUGUAUAUAAAUAUUCAUCAAUUCUUGAGAAGAAGAUUAUUUCAUAGUUUUUCUAUCUUCUUUUUUCUUCAUACAUAUCUGCAAGAAAUUGAAGAUUUCAAGUAAAAUAUUUUCUGUUUUAAAUAGUGAAAAAAGCUAGAAAUUCACUUUGUUAUCUCUUGGGGUAAAUUGACAAGGUUUAACGUUAAGAAGGUGAAUUAUUUUUUCAGAAAAACUGAAGUAGCUAGGAUAUCUGGCCAGUUGUGAUCGAUAAAAAAGUUGUAAAAUCUCUCAUAUACUAAACAGGUUUUGGAUGUUGGUAUGGUAAAUCCAUCUGCAGUCAUUCGUCAUCUCAUCUAGUGAGAUGUUUGGGAGGUGGUGACCGCCGGAUUGGGUUUCAUUUGGUUAAAUCUGUCAGUGGGUUGGCUACUACCCGAGCCUCUUGCUUUGGGGGAGGUGGGUUCUAGAUAUAAUGUUCAAACCAUUUUAGUUAUCAUAUGCAUGACAUGUAAGCAUAAUCUCUUUAUCACUUCUUCAAUGGGAGUUCAUGGUUAGGAAUUGACUUCUUUUCUUCUGGGAUGCUUGGCAUGUAAUGGACAAAGUUACUUUUAUAUCGAUCGAAUUUCUAGUAUUAUAGUGAAGACUUACCCUUUUGACAUUUUAUAUCGAAUUAUAGAAGAUGAAAGGGACAUACAUGCAAUCGACUGACGCUUUAGUGAAUAUGCUGAAAAUAUGCUGAUGCUGUGGAGAUCGUAUGAGGACAGAGGAAAAAGAUAGAAAUGGAUAUAUAAUUAGACCUAGGUUUUUAUUAAAUGAGAUGGGGAACAUAGAGUGAGGGAAAAUCAAAAUUUUUGGCUGCAGUUCACAUUGGUGAUAUUUUGGAUUGACAAAGACUAACGACUUUUCUAUUUUUCUUUUCGGCCUGACUGGAUAGUUGGACAUGGACAAUACAGAAUCCACAGAAGGAUUGUUGGGACCGCUGAAAAUUAGCUAGAAGAAGCUGAGGAAGUAGUCUACGUAGUCAAAUACCAAACACAAAGAAAGAAAGAAAUGGAUAUCAUGGAUGCCUAGAGUUAUACUCCUAAUACCGUCACAGGUAUUUUUCUUUCCUCCUUUUUUUUUCUACGAUAAUUAGAGCAUUUCUCCUCCUCCUCCUCCUCCUCCCCCCACCCCACCACCAAAAAAUAAAAAAAUAAAUUAUUGCAAGUAACACUUCAAAUAUUAAUUUAUACAUUCUAAAGUAUAUAUUCAUGAAAUAACUUGAGUAUCAUACAUUAGUUCUCAAAAAAAAAAAAAAAAAAAAAAAAAAAUUACUGGAAGAGAAAAGUUUAAGAAAACAUAAAAAUAUUCAACUACUAUUUUAAAGAGAAAAUUUAAUUUUUACACUAUAAAUUUGAAGAGAACUUUUACAUGCAUCUUAUAUAAACUACCAUUUUUUGCUAAAAGGCUUAAAUUUGUCAAAAAUACCCCUUAGGUGCUUAACGUUCUGGUCAUAAUAUAAUUGGCAUCUUUUCUCAAACAUAAGGCCUGUGUGUGGGAACAAGAUUUAAUGUUAAUGAGCUUCGCCACCGACAUUUAGUUCCAGAAAUCAUUAUUUUAAUAGAGUGGGCUCAAUUUACAACUUUAAUUAAACUCUAACCAACUGCAUUGUGAAAUGAAUAUGUUUCUUUCGUGGUGAAUCCAAUGAGUUGGGAGUCAAACUUUGCUUCAUUGUGUAUAGAUGAAAUGUUAAGACUCCAUGUAACCUCAAACAUUUCCGCAAUNNNNNNNNNNNNNNNNNNNNNNNNNNNNNNNNNNNNNNNNNNNNNNNNNNNNNNNNNNNNNNNNNNNNNNNNNNNNNNNNNNNNNNNNNNNNNNNNNNNNUUCUUUCGUGGUGAAUCCAAUGAGUUGGAGUCAAACUUGCUUCAUUGUGUAUAGAUGAAAUGUUAAGACUCCAUGUAACUCAAACAUUUCCGCAAUGAGCGGGAGUUCUAAAUUUAAUAAUUGAAAUUGUCAGUGGAACCAGUGGACAAGAGUUGGUUUGUGGUUGACAAACUUAUCCGUUUGAUCUUUACUUGAACAGUUCCAGUGUGUGGAUGGGUACUGAUGAAGUGUGCGCAUUUAUUUUGAGAAGCCUGCUUGUUCGCAUAGAUUUUAACGACAUGAACAUUGUGGUAAGGUUAGAGAGUAAUGCGAAUGUAGGAGCUUAUAUUAGAAAUGACACAAACACGUAAAUAGAAGUAAUCUAUAUAUGAUAUUACUCAUGGACUACAAGCAAAGAAGUACAAUACAUGGAGUAAGUGAUGAAAUGAGCAUUCCUCACUACUACUGCUUGACUGAUGGAACAUGAUGCACGAGAUAGCAUAAGUAGUAGUAGGAAGCAGCUCUUAUUUGUGGCGUCGGUAUACAUCAUACUAGGUAGAUGGUUCAAUUGGCAUGGAUGGGUGGUGGAGCCUUGAAGUGCUUGUGAUGGGGAGCCCACGGCUUCUUCUCAGGAGUUGGUGGCUUCUUGUAUGGAGUUGAUGGAGGUGUUUCUACUGGAGGGUGGCCAGGGUAGUGACCCUGGGGUGGUGAAGGUUCUUUUGUCGGUGGUGGCCUCACUAUUAUUGGCGGUAGAGUUGGUGGCUUGGGCGUUGGCGGUGGUCUCACUACUCUUGGGGGUAGAGUUGGUGUCUUGUGUUUUGGUGGUGGAGGUGGCUUAACAGGAGUUGGUGGCUUGUAUUCUGGGGGUGGUUUCUCCACCGGAGGUGGCUUAUAAACUGGAGUUGGUGGCUUGUAUUCUGGGGGUGGCUUCUCCACUGGUGGUGGCCUGUAAACAGGGGUUGGUGGCUUAUAUUCUGGGGGAGGCUUCUCCACUGGAGGCGACUUAUAAACAGGGGUUGGUGGCUUGUAUUCCGGGGGUGGCUUCUCUACGGGAGGUGGCCUGUAAACAGGGGUUGGUGGCUUCUCCACCGGAGGUGGCUUAUAAACGGGGGUUGGUGGCUUGUAUUCUGGGGGUGGUUUCCCCAGUGGUGGAGACUUGUAAACAGGAAGAGGUGGUUUGUGCUCAUAUGGGGGUGGCUUGUGGUCAUUAGCAAGUGAGGGAGUGGUGAGGACCACCAAUCCAAGGAACAACACGAGUGAGCAAGCAGAAGACAUGUUUGGGCUCUGGUGAUGCACAAGUAGAAGAAAUGGGAACCAUUUAUAAUGCUUCGAGACCUUGGUUAGCACCAAAAUAUGUCAAAAUCUUGAUUACUUCAUUUCAUACAUAGAUUUAAAAUUAUUUCAAUCAACCAUGAUCCUUAAUUUUCUGGGUGGUCCAUAAAUGUAAUGGGGUCAAUUUGGGACCUAACAAGCUGAGAAGUUUGACAAUGCUGCAAGGCUUCAUCCGAAAGUCCGGGGAAGAAUAUUAGGAGUUACACUCCGUUUCCUUUUUUGGGUGCAUUUUUCUCCUUUAACAUUCUAUUCCCUUUUACAUUAGCAUUUGAUCUUAGCUCAUUUCAAGUACAAGUUUCUUGAACCCUAUACCAUUGUCAAAGUUGAGUAACCAUCUCUACUUUGCUCAAGAAACAUAAAAGACAAUGACAAUAAAGAAAAAGGAGAGAGACCAUACGUGACUUGGUUUAUAGGUGGCUUUGUGUUGACAUUUGAGUAUGGAAGCCGACAUGCAUCUUAGCUUCGAUUUUAAUUAAAUUUGUACAUUAGUGUCUGUGUCAUUCAUUUUGGUAUAAAAGGUCUCUUGAUUUCGUAAGUUUGGUAAGAACCGUUGAAAAUAGCAGUAGCAGCACAUGGUCCACUUUCUUUCACAAAAUAAUUUUAAAAGUUUAGAAGCAUAGGAGGUAACAUUAGUGGCCUUGUGGCUCAGCCACGAGUACUAUGUGGUGCUCGAGAAAUUGAGUUUAAUUUCCUUCCGAUAGUUCAUGAUAAGGUCCGUCACUGUCCUGAGACAGAUUGCGUUUUUUCUUUUUUCCUUUUUUAGUGUUUUAUUGACUAGCUAGGUGUGACUUUUCCUACUUUAAGGCACGAGGCAGAAAAGAAACUGGGAUUUAGUGCUUAAGAAGGCAAAUUUAAUUCGAUUUGGAUCUAAAAUUUGCCAGCAACAUGAGAUUUUCCAGCCUAUCGUUGCUCCACAUAUAGACAAGGCACUUGUAGAAGUGGCUUGUUUGUAGCCAUUCCCGAUAUUUGGACUCACUUGAUUCACCGGACACUUUGAUAAAAUUUAAUAUUUAUUAUUUAAUAAUUUAAAUUGAUUUAAAAUUAAAUUAUACCGAAGUUGUGAUUUAAAAAUUAUUAUUUAAUUCUUACUUUUAAAUAUGAAGAUUAUUUGAUAAAAAUAAUUUAAAAUUUAUUAUAAAUUAUCAAAUUAACAUAUUUAUCCUUAUAAAUUAUAAUUAAAACAGAAAAGGUCAAAUGAUUUGAGUAUCCAUAGAUGUGGUAAAAUAAUAAAAAAGAUUAUAAAAACAAUUAUGAUAAAUAAAGAUAAAAAGUAAAAUGAAUAUGUGAAUUUAAAGAAUAAAUUAAUUAUUUUUAUUUAUUACUUAAAAUUAUUUUUGACUUUAAAUUAUAUUAUUAAAUUAUUUUACCAAACAUACUUAAUUUAGUUAAUAAUUUAAAUUUAAUUUAAGUUAUUAAAUUGAUUCACCAAAUACCCACUUAAUCAAAGACUGAAGUAUACAUUAUUUGGCCAAAUGCAGCUAUUGAAAUUUAACUUUUUCCAAACUUAUUCAUUUUGUGGAAAUAUUUUUAGAAAUGAUUUUAAAAAUGCACUAUUCUGUGUGUUGAUUUUAUAUUUUGGCAUUAAUCCAACAUAGAAAACGGUUCUUAUUUUCGCUGUUAAAUAGGUACCAGAUCCUUAAUUAGUGCCGUGAAUCCGGCAGCUUCCAAUGAGUAAUUUGGACUUGGGUAUUGACAAUGUGUGGCCAUGCUUCUACUAUUUUAUUAUUCUUGAAACAUAUAUGAUAUAUUGGACUUUAUACAGGGAAAAAAAAAAAAAAAAGUCUUCACCAAAAAUGAUUCCUCCUAAAAAAUAGACUCCACAAACUAGGUUUAACAGGAAAAUGAUUCUAAUCUAGUAGUUUCCAGCCACAUGAGCAUUUACGUAACAAUAGUAUAGUUGAUAACGACUUUUAUUUUAUUUAUUUUUAAAUAGUUAAAGGGAUAAUUUUUGAGCUUAAAUUUUAUUUUUUUAUUUAGAAACAUUUUACUUUAUUUUUUAAUCAUAAUUCUAUUAUAUUAAUGUUUUAUUUUCUAUUUUUUAAUAUAUAAGGAGAUACUAAAUUUAUGUGAUUAUUUUUUAAAAAUUUAGUAUAUGAAAUUAAAUAAUUGGAUAUAUAUACAUAUAUCAUAUAAUGUUUUUUAAGUGUGAUUUUUGAACUUUUUAGUCAUUUUAUAAGUUUAAGCUUUUGAUUUUUUUUUUUAAACUUUGGUAUUUUUUAUUUUAUAUAAAACUAUUUUGAUUUAAUUUUAUUAAAAAAUAUUGGUAUUAUAAAUUAUUGUAUUAAUUAUUUUUUUAUAUUAUAAUGUAACUGGUAUAUACUAAAAAAUGUAUGCAAGUUCAAUUUAAGUUUCAAAUUAAAAAAUUUCAUUUAAAUAUUUAAUAACUUGUUCAUAAUAAAAAAUUAAACAACAUAAUACAAAUGAAAAGAAACAUAAAAGAAAAAGGAAAAAAUGGUCCUCUCUGUGUGUCACAUUACUAGGUCAUCCUCUUUUUCUAUGACCCUUACAAUAGAAUGGCAUAUUUGUCAAAUCUACUUAUGAAAGUUGGAAUGUUUCUACAUGUGUAGGGUCCAUUGGAACUAAUGGAGGAAAGGCUUAACGUCUAUGUAAAUCACAACGUUGCCUAGGUGGGCAUAGAUCUAGUUGUGUAACAUGAGAUGGUGUGAGAGUACAAUAUAUGCAUUGUAGUCUCUAUGGGAAGAGAGAUAGGUAAUGGUAGGGUGGUAGACGGUAGGGUGAUCUCUAAUAUAAUGACAUUUGAUGUGGUGGCUUCUAAGAGAGGAGAUAUAAGAGAUGGUAGAAUGACAUUUGGUGUAAUGGUCUCUAGUGCAAUGACAUGUGAUAUGGUGACCUAUAAAGAAGAGAUAUAGGUGAUGGUGAAGUGGUAUGUGGUGUAGUGACCUUUGAGAUAGAAAAUAGAGGUAAUGGUAGGUUGGCAGGUGGAGUGGUCUUUGGUGUAGUGACAUCAAUUAUAAAUGUCUCCAAGGGAGGAAAUAAAGGUGAUGGUAGGUAGUAAAUGUUGAGGUGGUCUUUGAUAUGUUAUGCUCUAAGAGAGAAGGUAUAGGUAAUGAUAAUAGGGAAUUUGACAUAGUGGUGUUGGAAAUAAAAAGUGAAAGUGACCGUAGAGGUGAAAGGGCAAGUGUAAAAGCCUCAAGUACGAAUGGAGUAAUUAAUGUGGAUGGUGCUAACAUAGUCUUAGGUGGAUACACAAAUAGUCAUAGUCAUCAACUAGCUUGCCCACCAUCUGUCUUUCUGCUAGUGAUAGGUUACAUCUUAAUAGUAAUGGCCAACAUAAGUGGUGUGGAUCCGAUUUUUUUACGUGUGUCCCCACUCAAUCGACAAGACUUAUUUUUUAUUAGUGAAAAAUUAAUUUUGGAAAAGUUGGAGUCACCACUUAUUUUAUUUUAUUUUAAAAAGGAAAGUAAAACAAGAAAGAGAACUCUAAAGAAGUGACUUCAUAGUUUUGGAAAAGUUAGUCUUAAAAAAUCCAAGUCUUGGUCCGGAGAUCAGGUUACUUAUUGGGAAGAUACCUCUAAGAGGUAAUACCCCUCUAAACCCUAAAGAAGUCUCUAAUGACUAAGUUGAGGAGAAUGUGGUAAUUAAUUAAUUGAUUGAGGGUACCUAGGUAGACUAAGGUGAUUUCAGAAUUAACAUACCAAGCUAGAAAGUCCAAUCAUGAUCAUAAAAGAGAGUCAAAGUAUGUACCUGAACUGCUUCUCAAACGCUAUCAUAAAACAUCAAAGUUAGUAUAGAAAUAUAACACAUAAUAUUUGUUUUAUCCAAGCAAAUAAAGCAUACAUCUAAGCACCCAAGAAUCACAUCAAGUAUGGAUAUAGUCAUCAAUAGCAUACGUGUCCAUAGAACUAUCGAAAGUAAAUGUGGAGGAGCGUAUCUGGACAACAUAGAUAACUUAUAAUGUGCUUCCACAAGACAUGGGGGUUAGAUAAAAGUUAUAAUAAUAAUUAGUAAAUGAAAGAAUUCUAGCAUGUUUGGUAUCUAAAUAACAUAGCAAAAAUGAACAAGAGUACACGAAAACAUCAAUUAUCACACGAGUCAUAUUGGCUAGUAUUUAAUCAAUAAACCAACAAUAAAUGACUAUAAACAUAUAAAAUGACAUAUUCAAAGAGACCCAAACAUAAAGAGCCUAGAACACAAGCUUACACUAAAUUUAGAAAACUAAAACAUGGAAUUUUAAAAGCAUAAAUUAGCAAACAAAUUGAUGGAAACUAAAUUUAGAUAACUUAAGAAUAUUUUUCUUAUCCUUCAAUUUAAAUCAGUAAGCCAACAAUAAAAAAUUAUAGAAACAUGGAAUAUCAAGAUCAAUGGGAUACCUAAACUAUAAUUUUUAAAAGAAAAUAAACUAAGCAUAAUAUCUACAAAGCAACUAAACUAACAUUUUUUUAAAAAUAAAUUAAACAUGACAUUAAUGGAGUAACCAAACUAAAUUAAAGUAAACUAAAAACAUUUAUGAAUUUUCAAACAUGGAAUCAGCUUUCUUAGUAAAUUAAAAUUAUUAAAAUAAAAUCUAAGCUUAAAAAUGAAUUAAAUACUAACUAAAGCAAAUCUAAAACCAAAUAUUUAACACAUAGGAUCAAUUAUAUUAACAAACUAAAAUUUUAUAAGAACACUUAAACCUAAAGUUGAAUUAAAAACUAACCAAUUUUUAAAACUAGAUCUUUAACCCAUAGGAUCAAUUAUAUUAACAAAUAAAUAAUAAAUAAUAAAUAAAUAAAACUCAAACCUAAAGAUGAACUAGAAAUGUACCAAAGUAAAUUCAAAACAAGAUCUUUAACACAUUAGAUCAAUUAUAUUGACUAACUAAAAAAAAAAAAAAAAAACACUCAAACCUGAAACGAUGUAUUAGAAACUAACCAAAGCAAAUUUAAAAUAGAGUCUUUAACACAUAGGAUCAAUUAUAAUCACUAACUUAAAUUACAAUUUUUGAAACAUGAACUAAUUAGUGUUGGAUUAAUUAAACUAAUUAACUAAAAAAAACUAUAAACUAGAAUACGGUGAAUCAAGAAUUCAAAUCAACAAACAUAAAAUAUGGGUACAAUGAAAUGAAAAUCUAUUAAACUAAUAAGACGGAAAUAUGACAAACUCAUGAACCCACAUUUUGAUCAACUAGGAAAUAGAAAUUAAUAGACCUGUAGCAUGGAUACAAUGAAAUGAGAUCAGUUAAAUUUAUUUGCCGAAAUUCUAAAAAACACAUACACUCAAAUAAGAUCUAAAUCUAAGACCAAGCAAAACUCAAACUUUCUCAAUCUAAUGCAAUGAAUCAAAACUAAAAUUAAAUAGAAAUCAAACCAUUUUUUUUUUAUCUAAUAUAAUAAAUCAAAGCUAAAACUAAACAAAAUCGAAUUUUCUUAAUUUAAUAUGAUGAGUCAAAGCUAAAAUUGAACAAAGUUCAAACCUUUAUAUAAUGGAUCAAAGUUAAAUCUAAAUGAAAUCCAUACUUCCACAAUUUGAUAUAACAAAUCAAAAAUAAAACUAGAUAAAAAAAAAGUCAAAGCCUUUCAACUUGACAUAGUGAAUCCAAACUGAAACGAAACAAAAUUUUAACUUUUCCAAUGAAACCCAAUAUAGAAAAAAUUAGCUUACCUUCUUUAGAAUAUAUGUAUGGGCCAUAAAGAAGUCACCUUGGUGCAUGUGUUCCUCACUUUGACGCCAAUGGACGACUUUCUAUGGUAGCAAAUGGAGAUCCUUUUUGGUGGUAACUUGCGUGUGGAAACCUAUGGUACAACCAAUGUCAUCUUUUAUUGUGCGUGUGGACCAAUUUCUUCUCGAGAACUCAUGUGUGUUGUGCUCAAAAUAUGUUGCCUGUGAGAAUCUAUUGGUAUACCCCACAUAUGGUUUCCUUGAGAGAAUCUGUGGUUGUGUGUGGGCGUUUUCUUCAUGACAGCAUGUGGAUGUUCCCAUCUAUGGUAGAUUGGUUGUGAUGCUUUAGUGCAUGGUCUCCAUAGGAAUAGUGUGUUAUGGAAAUUUGGUUUUUUUAUUGGUGCAUGUUGUCUAGACUUUCCCAUAUGCGUGGACUGUGUGUUCAUGCUUUUCUUUUCGGAUGGUCGCCUGUGUUAAUGUGUGGCGGUGUCUACAAUGAAAGAUACAACCCUUUCUCUCCUUCUGCGUGAUAGAAAAGUCAAUCCCCCAUGGUGCGACUAUGUUCCCUCGUCCUUUUUGAAAAAUUUUGGUGUUUUCCCCCCAAAAAAUCCCCUCCAAAAAUCUAAUUAUAAAUGUCUGCUUUGGCCUAAUGUGUGUGCUACUUUUUUUUUCCUUCUUUUUAUGGUUGUGCGUGCUUUUCUUGAUACGUGGCUUAUUUCUUAAGGAUAUGAUUCGCUCCCAAUUGGUGUCUCAGCUGAUUCAUGUCCUUUCAAUGGUCCCUGACAGUGGUGCCAUUUGAUUCGUGUCCAGCUGGUGUCCCUUGAUUGUGGUCCUCAGAAGGGAGUAAUCAAUAAAAUUUAUAACCUAUUACACCAUGUAUUAGGAUAGCCUUAGCUAGCAUAGCAUAGUGGCUCUAGGGUCGUUUAUUGGGAUGAGUUUUCACUUCACAAUUGAUAUUAAUUCAAGAGCUGAAUUGGUGCCUUUUCAUUUCAAGGUUAGCUUUAAAAGAAAACAUAAUCUUUGGUGGAAAAAGGUUUGGUUUUAAACUAACCAAAAAUAGUAACUGAUUUUACUUACAAAGAAAAGUGUUCUUUGGAGUUUAGAUCACUAGGCUCAGGUUCCUCAUACAAAAAGGAGAGUUCCGAUCAUUUGUUUCUUUUCCUCGCAUUAGAGAAUUAACAUAUAGUUAAUUCUCUAACCGGUGCGGUACAUAUGCUUCCCAUUAAUGGGUUCAAACACUAAAUACCUCUCACUGAUGCACCUUGCAAUGGCUCGUGCCUCUCACCUAGCAUUUAUCAUUCAAGGUGAUCUUUAACCUUGGAUUACCCAUCAAAAGCUCGCAAGAGAUAACUAAAGGAUGUCUCCUUAGAGUCCAAAAGCUUACCAAGUGUUGGUUAUUCUAGAAAAUCCUACCUUCAAACCACCUCCCAAAGGCUCGCAAGAGAUAAACAAGUGCAUCUCAAUGGAUGAAGAUCACUUGCCUUACCAAGUUUUGGCCCAGAUGAUUUAAUGACAUUUUAAGUUAACUAAAAAGAUAAAAACCAUUAACGGGUCACACUUUCUCUUCAUUAAAAACUAAAACAACAAAACUUCCAAUUUAUGCAUGAGGAAACUUACCUGGCUUUCUUCACUUCAAGAGAUGAAGAGCCUAGCCACUCAUCAUUUGAGGAAAAAUCCUCAGAGUUUGAUUUGCUAGAAAUAAAAAUAAUGAGAAAACAAAAAUAUAUAUAUGAAAAACAGAGCAAGUUCUCUGUAAUAUAUUUUUCUUCCUUAUACAAAAGGUUGUCUCUAAGAACAAGUUCCCGAGAUCUAUCUGAUUGUAAAUAAAAUUACAACUAUAUAUAAGAGGUUAUUCACCCCUUUGUUCUUUCUUAAAGACUAAGGAAUCCUAUGAUAGGUGGGUUACAAGGAGAGUUUGGGGAUUUAGACAUCAAAUAUCUAAAGCAAAAUAUCUCAAGAUGUUAGUCGGAAAUAUCAGGAAGCUUCAGGAGAACACCGCGACACUGUAUACUGAGAGAAAAACUCUCCGGGUAAGCUCUAUCAAAGGAUCCAGACAUGUCUGACUGGGAAAGUUGAAACGUCCUUCUCUCCCAUCCGGAUGUGAGAUAUCCGGAGAAAGUGAAAUGUCGGUCGGACAGAAUUCUUUCCCCGGGUGGAAUGAGUUGUGUUGCGCGUCGCAAGGGGGACCGUCUGCGUGUACAAGUUGUAGGGACCCCUCUCCCGGAUGACACCGAGCGCGUAAGGCUAUCCGGAUCAACUCCAUUCGGAUUCCCCAAGAGGACAUGUGGCGUGCUCCCCUAUCAGGACUCCCUUAGGGAGAAGCACACGACACUCGUGAACAUCAUACCCGGACGAUAGCAUGUCCUAUCCGGAUGUGUUGUCCGGAUCAUUGACUAAAGUGAGCAAGCCUUGCUACGUCAUUCGGACAGCUUGCCACAUACCAUGUUCCGUCGCCAUCUGAUGGUGUGUCCGAACGCCUUGUCCGGACAUCUUUUGCUCCUUGCAUUCCGGAUUUGCUUAUGACAAAGGACUUCAAAGCUUCGGUUCUUCAUGUUUCUGAGCUUUCCAUUGCUUUGCCAUGGAUUCCAAAGAACUCUCCUUAAUCACGGAUUGCUUUGGUGAUCAAAAAGUUAUCAAAACACAAAAACUUAACAUAGUUUGAUUAGAAUUGAUUGCAAGGGUUCUUAAUAUGUUAAUUGGGUUAAAAGGUGAUAACUACUACUCAAAAGUGUUUAUAAGAAUUAAUUACAAGCUAUGAAAUAACACUUUUUGAGUAGUAAUCAGGAUACAUCCUAGUUUUUCAUGGAAUUGAUAGUGGGUUGUUGUGCAUGAAUGCCACCAUUUCAACUAUGCUGUUGUUAUUUUUAAAAAAAAUAUGGAUUAUGCGCGAGUGGCAAUUCUCCACUAUGGAAAGUGGAUUGCUCCUUCAACCCAUGCAUGGCUACGUAUUCCUAUGUCUUUCUACUUGUGUUUGAUCCUCCAAAAAAAAUUUCGGUUUAGUGCUAGUAGAUUUUAAGUGGUGGAUCCCCAUUUUUUGAAAAUGAAGUGGCAGCCUCCCAUUUCAAGACAAAAUGGUAGCCUGCCUUUAAUCUUUGGAGAAAAAUCUGUGCAUGACCUUUUUUUUUCCCAAAAAAUCCGUGCAUGGUGUCCUUUAAUAUUUGGAGAAAAAUCUAUGUUGGAUCUUUUCUUUUCUAGAAACAUUUGUGUGGUCUUUUUUGUUAGCCCAAGGGUUCUUCUAAUCAAGUUUUGAUGAUAACAAACCAUGGUUAAGUGACUAAUUGGUUUAAUGAUUAAGAAUCUCAAACAUAAAAUCGAAAAUUCAUCAAAGGACCAAAUGGAUACAAGAUCGAGACGCUUGGAAGACUUGUAAUCAUAGGAAACUAAUGUAAGAUGAAUGCAUGAGUGCACUUAGGAUUUUCACACGUUUCAUGCAACUUAGAAAACCCAGUUUAUUCUUUAAAACUUCAUCCCAGUUUAUUCUUUUUAUGGUUGUGUGUGCUUUCCUUGAUACGUGGCUUAUUUAUUAAGGAUACAUCCCAGUUUUUCAUGGAAUUGACAGUGGGUUGUUGUGUGUGAAUGCCACCAUUUCAACUGUGCUGUUGUUAUUUAAAAAAAAAAAAAAUGGAUUGUGCGCGAGUGGCAAUUCUCCACUAUGGAAAGUGGAUUGCUCCUUCAACCCAUGCAUGGCUACGUAUUCCUAUGUCUUUCUGCUUGUGUGUGAUCCUCCAAAAAAAAUUUUGGUUUAGUGCUAGUAGAUUUUAAGUGGUGGAUCCCCUUUUUUUGAAAACUAAGUGGCAGCCUCCCAUUUCAAAACGAAGUGGUAGCCUGCCUUUAGUCUUUGGAGAAAAAUCUGUGCAUGACUUUUUUUUUCCCAAAAAAUCCAUGCAUGGUGUCCUUUAAUAUUUGGAGAAAAAUCUAUGUGGGAUCUUUUAUUUUCUAGAAAAAUUUGUGUGGUCUUUUUUGUUAGCCCAAGGGUUCUCCUAAUCAGGUUUUGAUGAUAACAAAUCAUGGUUAAGUGACUAAUUGGUUUAAUGAUUAAGAAUCUCAAACAUAAACUCGAAAAUUCAUCAAAUGACCAAAUGGAUACAAGAUCGAGACGCUUGGAAGACUUGUGAUCAUAGGAAACUAAUGUAAGAUGAAUGCAUGAGUGCACUUAGGAUUUUCACACGUUUCAUGCAAUUUAGAAAACCCAGUUUAUUCUUUAAAACUUCAAUUUCAUUAAAACCCGAGUUUUUAACUAAUGUACCUUAGGCAAAAUGUUUUAUAAUUGGCUUAAUAAUUCACCUAAAUACAUUUUCUAAGUGUUAGAAAAGAAAGGAAUUAAAAAAAGGUUUUCGGGGCAAAAAAGGCUCAACCGGUCGAGGCUAUGGUCAACCGGCUCAACCGGUUGAGGAACCAAUCGAUCGGUUGUGCUUGUCCGAUCGAAGACCAAUCGAGGGAUGCCAAAAAAUUUCUCUCUCUCCUAGUGGCCUUCUCUUCCCGGUCGAGGUUCGGUCUAGGCAACGGUAACAUGUCAAGCAUUAAAUGCUCCGACGACUAGUGAAUCGGUCGACCCCUAGCCCGAUCGGACGAGGUUGCCUUUUGCUGUUUUUGACUCCCGAGCUUAGAAACCUAUAAAUUGAGAGCUCCACUUCAUUUAUUGAUAAAAGAGAACACUUGCAUUCAAUAGUCUACCUACCUUUUCUUGAUCAAAAAGCUCUCAUUUCCUUCAUAGUGCAUUAAAUCAUCACUUGCAUAUCCUUUAGUGCACUAUUGUGUGUCAUCCUAGCUUUGUUUUGUAUUUGAGCUAUCCUUAAGCUAGGUUGAGGGAUUAUUUCUUAUAAAAAUCUGAGUGUUAAAGCCUUCAAGAGAUUUGAAUCUUGAAGAGAUUGUGUAAGAGCCCAUUGGAGCCGGAGUCCAAGUGUAAGAAGAUUGGAAGCUUGGUUGAAGCUUCAAGUUAGUGGAACCCUCACUCGGUUAGGAGGUUGAGGAGAGUGGACGUAGGUAAGGAAGUGUCGAACCAUUAUAAACCCGAGUUUGAAUUCUCUAACUCUAUCUCUUUAUUUUGCUUAUAUUGUGUUUGAAUUUGUUGUGAUUGAAAAGAUUUUAAAAACCUAAUUCACCCUCCCCCCUUUUGGGUUUUUUUUUCUUAAUUAAGCAUAACCUUUGUUUUCUAAUUUUCUUUUUAGGAAAAUCCAUGCGUGGUAUGUCCAAACUCUCCAAGUGGCAGUCUGCCUUCUUCUAAAAAAUUUGUUUCUAUUUCUUUAUUCGACUACCUUCCAUGUCUUCCUAAUGAGUGCUUGUGCUCAAUGGUCAAUCCCUGGUGGUUGCCUCCUUUUCCCAUAUAUACGUGUUGCAAAAUCAACAUCCCACUAUAUGUGGGUUGCCUCUAUGGCAAGUUCACAUUUCCCACAUGAAACCUAUGAGUUUCCACCAAAAAUUGCCAUGAAAAAGUCUUUAUAUGCAUCUCAUGCAAUAAAAAGUCAAGCCAAUACUCAUCUUAUCUCGAAAAAUAAGUAACCAAAAUCAAGAUCAUGCCUAAGUGAACUAUGCCAAAAGAAGUGUCCAAGUGACCUAUUAUGAAAAAAGUGCCUAAGUGACCUAAGGUGAAUGUGUGUAAGCUGGAAGGUGUCUAGGAUGUUUAGGACAAUGCCUAAGCCUAAAAUAGGGUUGCCAAGGGUCACAAUGGGGUUAGAUAAAUCUCUCAAUCAGAGUCUCCAAGGUGGCUCAUAAAAGAUAAGCUACACGAGUAAUGAUGGGCCACCAGGGAAUUAUUGUAAAGCACCAAACGAACACAUAAUAGGACAUGUGUUAGAAUGAAAAAAUGGAGGGUUUACAAGUGGUCUCAUGGAUGAGCUUGAUAAUUUAAAUGACUCACAUAAUGAACGUAUGUGAUGUUUCUCUCCAAUAACAAGCAAAACAUCACUAGCAAUAUGAUGAAUGUCUCCUAAAUCACUUGAAGUAGUCCUAGCAAAUCAAUUAGAAAAAUCACACAUAUUGCUCUAAUGUAAUAUUAUAUACAUCUGUCAAUGAAUGGGAGAACUAAUGACACAACCAUCAUGUUGAUAUCUCGAACCCUCUAAUCUCAUAUGUAGGUGGGAUCACACUUAGAAACUCAUAACACAGUAAUGACCAAUCUAAGUCAAAAUGUGUUGGUGAUCGGAGGCCCAUGAAUAUGAAGUUCUAGGAUGAUAAUGACAUCUUAUAAAGUAAUGAUCAUCUCCUUAAUAGAUAGGUGAAAUGUGUGUGUCUUAGGACACCAUCUCUCAACAAGACUUGUGAUCAAUCCCCAGUCUAGUGUAACAUGCCUAUUAUGACAUCCAUCGUAAAAUCUAGACUAGAUAAUAUAAGGACAAAUGUGAGGGUUCAUCUCCCUUUCCCACAUAAAUUUAAAAAAUUAUUAUUGACAAGUUAAGACCAAACUAAGUUGCAAAAUAUAAAUAAGUCCAUUAGAUAACAAAUUUAUGUUUUCUCAUUUUCUCAUUUUUAAAGAGAUAUUAUGUGCUUCCAUGUACAUACAUGCUAAAGUCAAUUAUACGAGACUUAUAUCCAUCUUGUAGAACCAAAUCGAACCUAUCUAAUAGAUCCAGAUUAGAAGUAUGUCCUCUAUACUCCAUAUUUAUAACACAUUUAUAAAGAUAAAUGCUAAAAAAAUGUUAAAGAUAUAAAUUUAAUGAACCAUACUUUAUGAUUUUAAUUCUCAAUUAUUGUUCAUAUUUAUAAGAGAAAAGUUAAAAAAAUUGAUAGAGUUUUCCCUCUAUCAUGGACAUUAUCCCAAAUAAAAAUAAAUUGAUUAUGCAAAUUACAUUAAUAUUUGUAACCAAAUGAUCAAUAACUAUCUUGUAUCAAUUUAGUAAAUAAAUUUAAGUAUAUCUUUUCAUUUAUGACUAACAAAUAACUCAUACUUGUCCAAUAAAAGCCACACCUAAUUUCUAAAAUUUUGUCUUCACCUCAAGUGAGUGUUACAUUGAGAAAGAAAAAAUAUGAAAGAAAAAAUGAACACCUUUUUCUUUUAAUAAAAAAAGGCCAUAACGAAACAUUAAAUCUCACUGUUACACCUAUCUUCAAUGGAAACAUGAGGAUGUGAAUGGUGGCGGUGAUAUUCUUUGCUUGAAGCUCAUAAACAAAUAUUCCUUACUAAGCCUAUGCCAUUUAGUAUUUCAAUAGUGGACCCCCCCCCCCCCCCCCCCCCCCUCCUUGCAUUUCAGAUUUAGCAAACUUAGAACCAAAUAACAAAGUGCAUUUGAACCCAUAAAGAAGUAAUGAGACUCUCCUAUAUUGGCAAUAGAAGAAAUUUUUGGAGGUAUAGGAGAUUCACGGAUGAAGAAGUUGGGCCCCAAUUGAGAUAAGACCCAAGAAAAGAUGGGGUAGAGAGGGAUGGUUGGAAAUUGUAAAGUAAGAUUUUCAAAAUGUAGUUGAUGACUAAGAUUUUGACAAUUUAAAAAAGGUUUAAAAAUGUAGUUAGCAAUCGGGGUUUUGUAACAUUUAAAAAAUAAAAUAAAAUCUCAGGCCACAUGGUAGCCCAUGUGAUUCAGAAGCUUGAGAAUUAUUUUAUAAGAAGACUUAAUUUGUGAUUUUUUUAUAACUAUAUUAUUUUUUUUCUUAACACACGAAAAAAAUUAUGAAAUAAGACAAUUUUCCUAAGAAAGCAUGUAAGUGACUCUUGGUUAUUUUAUUUAACUUCUUCUAGUUUGGAGAGGAUUAAUACCUUUGCUUUUACUCACUUGCUUGGAUAUGUACACGUUGUUCAUGUCACUUUUCAUUUAAUUUUCUGAUUAAGGGAAUUGGAACCGUACGUAACUGUCUUUAUUCCCUCUGAAACUUGGACUUGGAGUUGGACUUUCAAUCUCAUCAGUCGUGUUUCCAUAAAAAAGAAGAUGGAUUAACCAAUUUUCCUAUGCCUACUAAUCAUACACAAAACUCCACUUCCAAAUAAAAAGGAAUGGGAUAUCACUUGUUAAUAGUGGCUAAAGACUAUUAAUAACCAUGCAAAGAAAUGUCACAUUUUUUGUUCUACGCAAAUUUUAUUCAUCAACUACUAGAACCAUUUCAUACAAUAGUAGCUUUUCGAUCCUUUGAUAAAUGGACACUUGAUGUGAUAACACCAACUACACCUAUAUAUUCAAGCAAUCAUGCGUAUAUAAUAGUGGAUAUGGAUUACUUCUCUAAAUGGGCAAAAGUUUUGUCAUUCAAGGAAAGUGAACGAGGAAACACAAGUUUACUUUCAUCGGAACUAAUAUUAUAUAUUGAUAUGACUUCCCAUUAUUACUUACGAUGGAAUAUGCUUCCAUAAAAUGGCCUAGAUGAACAAACUAUCCAAGAAGUUUGGGAUCAAAUAAUAUAUAUAUAGUUCAUGUGUGAUUCUUUGGUUGACAACCUUGUUAAGGGGUGAGUGAAGCACUUUGGGCAUACCACAUACUACAUGCUAGACUUCCACCCAAGCUACCCUAUAUUCCUUAUGAACAAAGUAGAAGUUGUCAUCUCUCUUGAAUACCAAAUCCUUUCACCUAAUAAUGCUAUCUAAAAAGGUCUUAAAAAGGAUAAAAAUGCGCAUAUUUGAAUUUUUGAAUUAGGAGUGCUACUUAAAAAGAAGCUAGAUAUACAAUAAUAGAAUGUUAUCAAGCAUAUCUCUUCAAAGUUUUUGACCAAAAAAUAUAUGAUUUCUCAUUUUAGGUAGGAGACUUAGUACUCACUAUUCAAAAACCAAUUAUCAUUACUCAUAAAAACUAAUAGAAAGUUUGGGCCAAAGUAGGAUGGACCUUAUAUUAUGCAACAAUUAUGCCUAUAAAAUUGUUGCAAAAGAGGUUUUAGAAUCAAAUCAAUGAAUGAAAAAUUAUUAAAGCAUUACUAUGCUUGAAGGCUAGUCAUUUUCCCUUAAAGUGCAAUAUUAAGUUGCAUAGUACUAUGUGGAUCCGCAUUUUUCACAUGCGUUCCCACUCAUUGUCGAGACUCACUUUUUAGAAGUGAAAAAUUAGUUUUAUUAAAGUCGAAGUUGCCACUGGGGAUUUGAACCCUAACAAAAGGUUCAAUUUAAGGAUAAAAAUAUCGAUAAUCACAUAUAUAUAUAUUGGUACUUUGAUUUUAUGAAUAUAUUGAAGAAAUAUGGACAAAUAUUUUGACACAAAAUAUGUACAAAAUAAAAAUUAUAUAAAAAGUAAAAAUAAAUAUUUUAAAAUUAUUUUUUUAAAUAUAUAUAUAUAUAAUUUGACAUAUUUGAUAAUAAUAUAUAAGGGUCUCCAAAAAGCCCGUGGCCCGCUUUAGGCCCGGUCCGACCCGACAGGCUAAAGCCCGGCCCAAGCCCGCCGGGCCCAAGCUCGGCCCGAGCCCGUUUAUGGGUGGGCCGGGCCGCGAGCCCGUAGGCCUGCUCCUUUAAAAAAAAACUACAAAAAUAAAAAGUAUUAAAAAAAAUAUUCAUUUCAAAAUUUUAUUCAUUGAAUGUAUAAUUACAUUUGAAAAUGUGGGAAAAGUUUACAUCACUACAAAAUAAAUACAUCCCAACUAGGUUGGCACCUAUUUAUUUGUCAAUCAUCUGUAUUUUUCAACCACAAAAAAUAAAAAUAAAAAUAUAAUAUACAUUUAGUCAUUAUUUUCUGGCGGUGAUGGCGAACUAUCAUGCAUCCAUGAAGAUCUUGAUAAUUUUAAAGAUUCCAUAUCGGUAAGCAUCUUUGUUUCUCGAAUGGAAUCAUACAUCCUUUUAUCUGCUAUUUCCCAAUCUUUCACACAUAUCCCUGCUUUAAUAACAUCUGACGCUAAGUUGCAUCGUUUUUUACUAACUACUCUUCCACCUGCACUAAAAGCAGCUUCUGAUGCAACUGUACUCACAGGAACUGUUAGUACAUCACGAGCAAUUAUAGAAAGCACAGGAUAUUUGUGUUGAUGUGAUUUCCACCAUAUUAAAAUAUUAAAAUCUUCUUGAUCUUCAAAUGAAAUUAUAUCAGUAUUAAGAUAUUUAUCUAAAUCAGAUGUAUUAUUUGGAGAAUUAUUUGUUGUCUUUUUUCGACUUUUCAACAUUUCUAGAGCUCCUUUAUAAAAAGAUGAGGAGUUUGUAGAUGUAGGUGGUAAUUUAAUAGUAUUAAUAUCAUUACCAUAUUUUUCUUUAUAAUAGUUAUAUAAAUUAUAUAAUAAUGAAUUUAUUUCAUUUUUAAUUUCUUCAAUUUUUAUUUGGUCAUUAAAAUAAAUAAUUGUUAACCAUUCAUCCAAAGCUUCAAAUUUCAAUCUAGGGUCCACAAUUAAAGCAAUAUAAAAAAUUAAAGGUAUUUCUCCCCAAUAUUUUCUAAAUUUUUAUAUCAUUACAAAUAUUGUAUCAUUAAAUAUUUCAAAACUUAAAUAUUUUUGAAGUACAAUAAAAAUAUUAGUUAUUUGCGUAAUAACUCGAUUUGAAGUUGGAUAAUAUACACCACAAAAAAUGUUUGUUGAAGUAUCAAAAAUUUCAAAAAGAUCUCUUAAAACAUCCGCAAUAUGCCAAUCAUAAUCAUUUAAUGCAUAAAUAUCUGCUUCAUAAUCAUUGUUAAUUAAUUGUAUUUCAUAUAAUUCGACUACUUUUCUAUAUUUUGUAAUAUUUUCUAAAAGUUUAUAUGUGGAAUUCCAUCUAAUAGCCAUAUCCAAAUUUAUAUUUUUUCUUUUCAUAUUUAACAUUUUGCAACAAUCAAAAAAUAAUUCAUGUUUUGCUUGAAAACUAUUAAUACUAUAUGCAAUGCCUCUAAUUUUUUUCCAAUGUACUAUCAACAUUUUUUAAUCCAUCCUUUACAAUUAAAUUUAAAAUAUGUGCACAACAACGCACAUGAAAUAUUUUAGCAUGAUCUUCUUUUACUUGCCAAUAUCGUUUUAGUCUAUGUAUUGCUGCAUCAUUAUUAGCAGCAUUAUCUAAUGUUAUUGUCAAUAUUUUAUCACGAAUGCCUAAAUCUAUAAUUUCAUCAUUUAUUAAAGAUGCUAUAUUUUUACCACUAUGUGGAGUAUUUAUUAAUUUAAAUAAAAUUAUUCUUUUAUUUAAUUUCCAUUCAUUAUCAAUGUAGUGAACAAUUAUAUAUAAAAAACCAGUAUGAGUUAAAGAUGUCCAAAUGUCAGAUGUUAAACGAAUAUUUCCUUCAAAAUUUGCAAAAUUUUUUUUUAAAAUUUCUUUUUGUGUAUAAAUUUUUUUCAUAAUAUCUCUUUUAACUGUAUUUCCAGAUCAACCUUUAAAUUGAGGAUUAAUACCUCGUUGAAUUGUUCUUGCAAAAUCAUGAGUUUCCAUCAUGUUGAAAGGUUGUUCUGCUCUUAUUAUAUAAUCAAUCAUUUCUUCACAACAGUUAGAUUCAUCAUAAGAAAAUGUUUUUAAAUUUCCACUUUCAUUUUUACUUAAUUGCAUAUAAUUUCUAAUAUCUACAUUAUUUUUAGUUUUACAAUUUUCAUGAUGUCUUUUUAAAUGACUUGUAUCUGCAUUUGAGCCACCAGUAAGAAAUUUAUUACAAAUUUUACAUUUUGCUUUUAUUUUUUUUUUAUUAUUUUCUAAAAUUAUUUCUAUUCUAUCAAAAAAAUUCCAUAUAUUUAAAGUAAAUUUUUUGUUUGAUGAUAUUUCAUCACAUGGACUAGACGAAGAAGCACUUGUCAUAUUAUAAUUAUUGAUAAAAUAUUAUGCCAAAAAUAAUAAAGUAAUAAAUAUAAAAAAAAAUGUAACAAAAAAAAUAAAGUAGUAGGGGUGAAGUAUGUUACUCAAUUAGAGAACCUAUGCAGAAAUUCCUAGCAAAUUUGAACUCUUGGAGCCACCAAUGCUUGUUUUGCACCAUCAACAAUAUUGUAUAAUUUGAGGGAAAAAUAAAAGAAUUUAAAAUAUUGUAGAAUGUGAGAGAAAUAGAGAGAAUUUGAUGAAAAAAUGAAAAGGAAGAAAAUGUAUUUAUAGGAAGGUUAAAAAUAAUAAUAAUAAUAAUAAUAAUAAUAAUAAUAAUAAUAAUAAUAAUAAUAAUAAUAAUAAUUGGCCAUGUGACCGUUGGAGGCUUAGCUCCAACGGUCACAUGGGCUGGAGCUAGGCUCCAACAGUCACAUGACCGUUGGAGCCUUUAAUUUUUUUUUUUAAAAUAAUAUACUUUAUUUUUAUAUAUAUAUAACUAACUCAAUUAAUAAACAUAAAAAGAAUAUAGUUCAGUUGGUUAGAACCUUGAAGUUUAAACAUGAGGGGAGGGGUUUGAAUCCCUCCCUCUCCCUUAGGGGCUUUUUUAAAAGCCAUUUUGGCUUAUUUCAAAAAGCCUGUCGGCCCGACCCGCCCUGCAGCCCGCGGGCCUAGCAUUUUAGCAUGGCCUGGUCUGUUGACUAGUCAAAUGGCUCAUAGGCUCGGCCCGAACUGGGCCGCGGGCCUCUUAUUUACGGACCGGCCCGACCCGGCCCGCCCGUUGGAGACCCUUGAUAAUAUCUUCUAUAUUAAGUUACAUUAUAGUUUAUUUUACAAUAUUAUUAUGAUAAUAUGUCUAAUUUUAAAAUAUAUUUAAUAUUAAAAUUAUGAUCUAUUUUAAUUUAAAUGUAUUCAAUGAUAUCAAAUAAAUAAUAAUAUAUGUAUAAUUCUUUUAUUAUUUAUAUUUAUUAUUUUUAAUAAAUAUAUAGAUUAUAUAAAAAAGACCGGAUAUAUCUUUUCAAAUUUUGUAUCGCUCUCCAAGGAUAUUAGAUGUAUGGGAAUUUGUAUUGCUAUCUACGGAUACGUUGAUAUAUGGGUGAUUUAUCAGGAUAAUUAGAAAUUCUAAUUAUGUAAGCAGGUACGGAGUUCUGUGUCGGUGCGAUCUUGUCGACAACAGCUCCAAAUUGUGCAUCUUGCUCAUAGAGAGUAGCGGAAUGCACCAAUCGUAGGCUCAGAGUACCACUGAGUCGUCUGGCAGAGACCCAACUGAAGGUGCCUGUGUUGUUCCUGAUCUGAUCAGGCUUCAAACUACAAGGUGGAAUACUGGUUCCCCUAUAUCAGAAGCUGGAGAUACCCACCCCAUAUGCUCGUCUGGAUGUGCUCCUACCCUUUGAAGCCUUCUUCCGAGUCAAGUCCGAAUUGAUAAGGCUAGUGAGUUCCCAACCAACUGUACUCAGCAUGCUGCCAGGUGGAGACCCUCCAUAUUUGAUGGCUUCCUAAUAUUAAAAUGCUGACCACUGGUCUUCAUGUUCCACAGGCUUAAUUGUGUCCUUUGCUGAAAGAAUGGAUAGUGAUCCAUUUUAACACAUGAUUCACGCCGUCUUUGCCAUUCUUCAUGGUCUAGCCCUUUUAUAUAUAUGCUUCCUGAACUGUUGCUAUUAAUAAAAUGUGGUAUCUAUCCCGUACACCUUCCUGAUGGCCAGCGAAUGCAGAAGCUACAGAAACGGUUCCAUCUUUUGCUUCCGCCACUUUGGCAUCCUCCAUGAUGAGAUCGAAGGUGAAUAAUCAUAUUCUGGGGAUUUAUGUCCUGGAUAUUCUCAGUAAUGCCCAAUUUCCUGGUGCCGGCCUCAUUUCCAUGGGAACUGAUGGAUAACUUAAGGCUUCUACCAUCUGCGUGGUUCGCUUCUAACACAGGAAACUUCACGGCUAAAAGCAAGAUACCAAGAACAUCAAGGCUGUGACAAAAAUUAGUAUUUUUAACUUGUAGGAAUUUGAAAGGCAACCAACCAUCUAGCUCUGUUCUUAAAGCUCCCAUAGGAGGAUCAGAGGCUGGAUUGCUCAAGAUGAACUCAUCCAUUGUUGCACUUAAAAAGAAUUGGCAUGAAUUGUGGCCGCUCUAAUAGGUUCCCUAAACCAUCAUCCAAGUGGGCUUGCGGAAGGUAGCGAGUUUAAAACACCUAGGGCGAUGAACAGUGGACUGUGAUGCUCACAAAAGAGAAAAGGAAGAAUUCAAUAAUUCCUAAGAAUCCAUUUGCCUGUCAUCCAAAUUUUUAUAUUCUCUUCAGUCUGACGCGUUAUGCCAUAUAUUAAAAAUAGCGGCUUCUUCCAAGCCGAGACAGACUGUGCAAAGUUCGCAAGGCCAAUCAUCACCAUAAUCUGAAGUUGGCCUCCUCAAUCGCAGCUUGUAUCCGAAUGCUCACUUCACGGGAUGGAUUGUAAUGAAAACUAAUCUCAGUCCCAGCUAUGGCAGCAUCCUCACUUGACAGCAUUUUCUGCAUAUUCUAGAACAAAGCAAUAAACCCUCAAAGGCUCCUUCGGAUCAGAGUUAGAAGACUGUCCCUCAGGAACGUGAACACUAUGGUGGUUCUGAUAAGCAGUGAUAUUGCAUUAGAGCCUUUUGGAACAAGAGGAUCUUUUCAGGUGGAAACUGUAAACUGCUUCAUGUUGGGCUGCAACCUUUUCUUCAAGCAAUACUUUCUUUCUGUAUCACGACUUAUGUUGCUUCCGGAGCCAUCCCGUGUGGACUGCCCUUCAGUGAAAGAAUAUGUGUGUUGACAUGUUGGAUUGUAAUCUUUGUUCCACUCUAAUGGCUUUUGGUCCUCCUCUUUCUCUUUAUGACAGAGAACCAUUUAGUGAUCCAUCUCUAUAUUGUAGCAUUGCUGGUGCUUUGCAAUACUACACUCUCACCAAGCAUAACAUCUAUUUUUCCGUGACCAAAGUAUGUCGGUUUAUGCAUGCGCAAACUCUUAUUCAUUGGCAAGUUGUCAAGCGUAUCUCAUGAUUUCCCAAAGCCACAAGUUCUUAUGGUCUUUCUGUUCAAGCUUACAAUGAUCUAUCUUUUCUUGGUUAUACUGAUGUCGAUUGGGCUAGUUGCCCUGAUAACAAGCACAAUACUAGUGGGUACAACACUUUUCCUGGUCCUAAUCUCAUUUCAUGGGCAUUUUCAAAGCAGAAGGUUGUGUCUCACUCCAAUAACGAAUCUGAAUAUAGGGGACUCACUAAUUAAUGUUGUUGCCAAGGUCACUUGGAUUGAAUCUGUCUUACGUGAGUUGCGUGUUUCUCUACCCCAACCACCAAUUUUGUUGUGUGACAACAUUAGUGCUACACACUUGGACAAACCAUGUUGAAAUACACUAUCAUUUUAUCCAUGAAAGGCUUAUGCAUCACACACUCAAAAUUCAAUACACCUCUUCUAUAGACCAACUAGUCAAUGCUAUGACCAAAGCUCUUCCUUCAUCUCACUUGUACAAUCUUCAGUGCAAGCUGAUUGUUCUUCCCAAACCACUCAACUUGAGGGGAGAUGUUAAGCCAAUUUAAUAAAUUGAUUUCUUUUGGUUAAUUUGUUAGAAUCAUUUUUAUUAGAGGUUUGUUUGUACAAUUACAUCCAUUUAUCAGGAGAGUACACGUGUACAACUCCUCUUUUAAUCUCACCAUUGUAUAUAUAUGAUACACGACCUUACUCAGAAUUGCAUAACAUUUCCUCUGCUCAUUCCUUUUCUUCUUUGAAUUUUCCCUUACCUCACUGAUUUUGAUUUAUACCUGGUGUUUUCACCUUUGGUCUCUACCUUUCUAGCCAGUUUUCUAAUUAAUCCGUAUAUGGUAUACCUGUCAACUAAUGAGGAGAAAGAGAAAAGGGGAUUGCUGUUCCACCAGCUACAUAUAAUAAUUAAUUACAAUCAUGGUAAUGGAUCCUGAAAUCCAUCCUUUGUGGAUUUUGUACGGAAUAUUGUUGUUAUGUAUGUGGGCUCACUUAGAUGUAUAUUGCUAGCCUGUCUGGGAAAUGUGAUUGCAGGUCCAGAUUAUGAUGUUGAUAUUAGUGGGAUAAGCAAGAGAUGCAGUUAACACGUAUGUGAUGGACUUGAGUAACUUUUCCAUUUCAGUCCAUUUUUUAAGAUUAUGCUUAGUCUUAUUACAAGGAAAGACCAUAAGAAUCAUGAGUCAUUGGCAAGGUAAUAUCAUUCCCUCUUUACAGGCUUCUUCACCUUUUGGUUUUUUUAAUAUCCAUCAAGAUCUUUUAAUUGGAGGACAAUUACAAGUAUAUAUAUAUGUAUUAAAAGGGGAAAAUAUUAAAACAGGAAAUUUUAGGGAAAAUAUAAUAAUUAUUUCUUCCUUCUUUCCCAUAUAGAACUACACAAAAUAAAACUUUAAUAAUUUUUUCUUAUCUUUUUUAUUAUUAUUUUUUCUUAGAAACAUCCGUGGUCUCACAAGCUUGUAAUCCUAGAUUGUUAGGCUCCUUUAACAGUGCCCCAACAUCGUGGUCCAAUGACAAGCUUCCACGCCUUAAAAUCAGAAAAUGCCAUUAAACUUUAUCAGACAUUACAGUUCAAGACAAAGCUUUCAUUUGCUUAAUGUGAUAAUGAAAUUGUUAAUUUCAUUUCGUGGGCAUCUAAAUUUGGACGAGCAAGACCUCUGAAUUCCCUGUUUUUAUCACCAGCAGAGGAGAUAAAAUCUUAAUGGUGAGAAUCUCCACGUGAAAUUUAUGUGUACUGUCAACAUAUUUUUGUUUAUAUAGUCCAGUAGCUGCAGGAAGUCUAGAUUAUAUAGGUAGCAGUAGCACUAUUUAUAGCACUCGAUAUUCGCUGUAUGAAUACAUUAAACCUUGUUUUCAAUACGCAUCACAAGCAAGUACUAGAUACUACAAGGAGUGACAGUCGCAUCAACAUUUCUUGAUAAUAGCAGUGACUGAUUUAUACACAGAACAGUACUGUACACGUACCAGUCACCAGAGAUAGGAUCUUAUUCCUACAUACGACUCUUAUUGAUCGAAGUCACUCAGUUGGGGUAGCCUGGAGUUGGAGGUUUGUGUGGUGGCUUCUUCUUUGGAGGAGGCUUUAUCUUUGGAGGCAUCAUCUUUGGAGGCAUCUUGUGUGAGUCUUCUUCAGCAUUCUCUACAGGAGGAUGGCCAGGCUUAUGACCCUUAGGUGGUUUGCCAACUGGGAUUGGUGGCUUGUGUCCUGAGAGUGGCUCCUCUUCUUCGGGAGGUUUGCCAACUGACGUUGGUGGCCCGUGUCCUGGGGGUGGCUUGUGUUUUGGGGGUGGUUUCACUCCACCGGGAGGUUUACCAAUUGGUGUUGGUGGUUUGUGCUCAAUCGGUGGCCUCUCAACUGGGGGGCGCUUGGGGUAAUCAGCGAGUGAAGAAGUGGUGAGAACCACCACUCCAAGCAACAACACUAGCAAGUAUGUGGAAGACAUCUUUGAGUUUGGCUCAGAUGGUGUAGAACUAGAAUCCUGGGUGGCCUUUUAUAUUAGUUGGGCCCUAUGCCCGAACGACAAGUGUCAUGGUGACACAUAAAGUGAUGGGGUCGAUUUGGGCCUACCGGAUUUGAAAACUUGGACAAUUCGAGAAGCGUCUCCUGACUCCGGGUUGUAAAGUGAAAGAUUAGGUAUCGACCAUUGAAGUAUGAUCACAACUUUUGGCCUUUGGCUCUCUCUACUGCCGUAUAGCUUUUUUCCUUUGGAUAUUUUUCUUAGCUAGACACAAUUAUUGAGCAGUCUAAUCUCGAAAUGGGAUUAGUAUAGCUUUAAGCAAAUUUAUUAUAGUUAGUGGAGGACUUUUAAGAGUGCAGACGACAUUUAACACAUGCAUGCAGUAGUAUAGGGGACAUAACACUAUUCUUUUUCCAAAGAUUCACAUGAUUUUUAUAUUAUAGUAUUGGCACAUUGUAUGUAGCUGGUUUUGUGGUUAAAAUUCCAUAUGUAGACACUGGCGUUUCUCCAUUUCUCACAAUUGAUGUUUACCUCCACGAUUACUAGAUUAGAUAUACCAAACAAUAACACAUUGUAUAAUCUAUCCGCCCUUCAAAAUCUACUGUAUGAUGAAAUGUUUCAUGUGUGUGUGAAGUGUUAGAAAUGCACUAUAGGCAACAUCAUCUUCUUUUGUCUAGGCUUGGGCCUCAAAUUAUACUCCCAUGCCAUGAUAAAUUUUCAUGUGCAUUCUCUAAAGAAGAGUGUCUUGAAUGUGCCAAAUCAUUUUGAUUGAUUUUAUGAUGUUAAUUGCUCCGCAUAUGGAUGGGUAUGUGCUUUAUUUGCUUAUUCAAUCCACAAUUACCUUGAACUGAAGUCCUAUUGGAGCUCUAUUAUUUUAGCAACGUCCUGUCAAAUAGGCUGCUAACUUGGGGUGGUAUGGACCCAAUGAUCCAUCUUAAUCUUGGGUUGAUUUUGUCUGACUCUAUCUAUCUCAGAGAGAACCAGGAUCACCAGUGCUGGUCUGCUUAAAGAAGACUCAGUACUGGAUUAAUAUUGGUUUGGGUCAAUAGCUUAUAAUGCAUUGAAUGCAGAAUAAACAAGAUCAAUGAAACCCAAAACACACUGCCCACACAACUUCACUCUGGUGUCUGUUAUUCAUCAAUUCUAUUCCCACAUGAACUGGUUCAAGUUUAAGAAAAUGACAACGGAUCCACUGUAUUAACUUGGUUUUGCUUGGUUUUGAGCUAGUUGCCAAACCAGCCAUGAGUUUUACCUCUAAUGUCAAUGAACAAACCCCAAAUGAACAACUGCAACAGCUUAAAGAGAAGGAAUGGAGAUGAAAAUCCCUGUUUCUUCUCAUUCUGGGGACAAAUUAGAACAUAACUACAAAGGUUCUAUUAAUUGACUUACUCUACCAUGAAUUAUGGUUCUUUGGUUUUCCAAAUUUAAAUUGUACAUGAGAUUAUUUUUUUCCUUUAUAUAUAAACAUAUUAAGGUUUUCUUAUUUCGUGGGCAAAUGCGCUAAGGAUGAAAGUCAUUUCAUUUGGCUGCAACAGCAUCUUAUAAUCAACAUGCAUAAGCAGCAGUUUUAAUUGAUCGAUUGAACACCGACUCACAAGAAUAGAUAGAAUGGUACAAGACAGCUCUUAUUAAUUUAUACUCGUUACUCAUUUUAUGUAGCCCCAUUAAGAUGGCUGGCUGGACCACCGAGGUCUGGGGGUGGUGUUGCUUGUGUGAUGCAGCGGGCCGGGCAGACACUUCUCUAGUUGCUUCUAUUUGGAGUUAGAGGAUCAGUCUCUGCCAACCUUGAGGACUCUCUACCUCAGAGGGUCCAGGUGGUGGACUCUGGUGUCGGUAGCUUUGAACUCUCAGUAGACUAGUGUGUCUUAAUCAGUCACUGCCAGAGGCUGGCGUAGGCAGUGACGAUAAGGUGAGACAAAUUACCGAAUAGUCAAUAUCGACUGCACUUGACCAUUAUAGAUUUGUUCUGACAAAAGUGAGAAAAGGGAGAAAAUCGGAUGUUGACCUUUAUAGAAAAAGAUAAGAUUUACUGCAACACAGAGCACUGAUUUGUUACUUGGAAACCAAGUUAUGCUAUUAGCUAGCCUCCAUUAGCAGCAGGGUACCUUGCUGCCUGAUCCUAAUCUGAGUUCCCAAGGUUUCAAUCUUCGUUUGUUAACGCUUCAGGAUUUGGAUAUUUCAGCUUCGUUUCUCCAUUUAGCCAACGCUGCCUGGUUUGGAUUUCAAUCCUCAUCUGGAACAUUCUUUUUUCGGUCUGAUUCAGGAAGUGUUUGGUGAUAGUUGAUUAAAAUUAAACAGUACUAUCAUACAAAUAAAGCUGAUCUAAUUUUGGUGGGCAAUAUACCAACUCAUUUAUUCUUGAAAACACCAUGGGGAAUUGGAGGUCCAUCCGAAGUACUAUUUGAUGGGACUCACAAAAAGAACAGGUGCACAUUUAUGAGAUCCGUGGAAGAGAUAACUAUGACAGCUAUGCAUGUACAACAGAUUUAUGUCGAGUUCACCUCGUAGAUAUUUUGUUUUCAGUGUCGGUGGACCCCAAAAUGGAAAUCGGAAAUUAAGGUUAUAUUUAUUUUUUUAUUUAAUUUUAAAUAGAAUUUUAAUUUUUAAUAAUAUUAAGUAUUAAAUUAUUUUUUUAAGGGUAUUUUAUUUUUAUUAAGUAUUAAAAAGUAAAAAAAAUUAAUAUGUUGCUUUUUUAUUUUAAAAAAAUUAUAUAUUUUAAUUUUUUCUAUUUACUAAAAAGUUUAUAAUAAAUUAUAAAAAAAUAAAAAAAUAAAAAACUUAAAUUCUGAAAAUAAAUUAUUUUUAAUAAAAAAAUCCAAAAAAGCAAACACCACCUAAAUUUGAGAUGACUCAAAAUUUUAUAUUUUUUUUCACCUAAAUUAUAUUCAUAAAUUUAAAAUUAAAAAAUUAGGAAGUUGAAUUUUAUUUUGGAUAAUUGGAAACUACAAGAAAUCAAUAAAAAUAUUUGGAAAAAAAAGAAAAAGAAAAACUAUCUAUAUAUUCACCCCCUUCUAAGAAACAUAACUUUAGUUUUUAACUAUUUUUUAAAAUAAUUUUUGAAAAAUGUUAUAUAAUAUUUUAUAAAACAAAAAAUCUGUUUGACAAUUUGAUAUGUCUUUAACUUAUUUUUAAUAUUUAUAUAUAUAUAUUUUAAAAAUAAUUUUAUAUUUAGAACUUUAUCUUUAAUUAUUAUAUAUAUUUAUAUAAUUAUUUUUUUUAAAACAACUCUUAAAAAAUAAGUGAAAGUAAUUGAAAACAACUCAAAGAUAUUUGAUGAAAACACUCUAAUUUGUAUUUUUGAGAAUAAAAAAAUAAAUAAAUAAAUUUCUAGUUAUCAAAUGUAUUUUUUAAUUCUUUUAUUCUAAAAAAUAGAAAAUCGUUUUUGAAAAUAAUUAUUAAACAACAUUCUUAAAAAUUCACUCGUUACAAUCUAGAUUUAAUGCAAGAAUGAUUGAAGGAGUCCUCCAAUAGAACCCAAAGUUAUAAACAUGAACAAGAAGCCCUAGAAACACCAAAGAUCUCAUAUGGUAUAUAUAUGAGCUUGAUUGAGAACUGUUUUAAAUUCAGUUUUUUUUUUUUUUUUUUUUUUUUGUUUUCAAAGUCAAAACAAGUUUACUUUUAAUUUUUACUUCUUUUUUUUAAUUUUAUAAAUAACAGUUUUUUAAUAAUUUAUUUUGAAAACAUGAUUAUUUUUAAAACUUAUAAUGAAAAUAGGAAUUUUUUUUUUAAUAUCAUGGUUAUUUUCCCUUCUUUUAAGGAGGGCUAUUUUAAAAAUAAAUUUACAAAUAUGAAAAAUGAUUCAAACUAAAGCAGUACAAAUAAAAAACAUUUUUAAGAAAUAUUUAAAAAUAGAGAAAAUUAUUUGAGAACAUUUGAAGUCCUUAAAUAGACUUUUGUUUUAGAAAAGGCAAGAUAAUUAUUUUUGAAAAUUGUUUUCAUAAUGAUAUGCAAAAACCUACGUAAAAACCAUAAUUAUAAUCGGCCACAUAUCAAAUCUACUAAAUAUGAAAAGUAAGUACAUAAUUAUAUUUGACUUAGAUGCAAGGAGGAAAAUGUCGCGAUAUUAUCGCCGAAAUAUCGUGUGUCGAAGGGUAUCGACACGAUUUUUCUUGCAGAAAUAUCGGCCAGUCGAUUUUUCGGGAUAAAUCUCGAGAAAUCGGCAAUUUAUCGCGAUAUAUCGGCGAUUUUUCCUCGAUAUAUCUUCUGGUCAACGCGGGUCAACGGAGUCAACACGCUACAGUGAAAGUCAAAUGUGCUACAAUGUCCCCGCUACAAUCACCUCCCCAAACAAAUUGCCAAAUUGCUUCCGAGGGGAUUUGAACCAGCCUUCUUGCCAUUUGGGCUAACUCGCCCUUAUGAUAUAUAUUGCAUUAAACAUAUAUAUACUUAAAGUCCUUAUAUAAAGAAAAUGUUAAAAAAAUAUUUUAAAGAGCAAAUUAAUUAUAAUUAUUUUAUAAUUAAAAGCAAAAUUUUCUUUUAAUUAAUUACCAAAAAUAUAAAAAUUAUAUAAUUUUCUUCAUAAUGUUUUUAAUAUCAUUAAUAAUUAAUUAAAUAUUAAAAAAUUAUAUAUAUAUAUAUAUAUAUAUAUAUAUAUAUUAUAAUUUAUUUUAUAUUGUUUAAUACAAUUGAAUUAAAUGGAUCAUAUUUUAAUAUUAAUAUAUAUUUUAAAAUUAGACAUAUUGUAAUCAAAUAUCAUAAUAUUAUAUGUAAUUUAAUAAUAAAUGUACACUUAUAAAAUUCAUAUUUUUAUCGAUGCAUACAAUAUUAUUAUCAAAUAUGAUAAAUCAUGUUAUACAUAUAUCAAAAUUUUCAAUAAAAUAACUUUAAAAUGUCUAUUAUACUUCUAAUUAUAUUAUUAUGAGGUUUUCUUUACAUUUUCAUGAGUUUUAAACAAUUUUAAGCACCAAUAUUUUUUUCCAAAAUAUCCACCGAUAUAUCUCCGAUAUAUCCAAUAUAUCUCCGAUAUCUCCGAUAUAUCCGUAAAAUCGAAGUACCGAUAUAUCCGUGAUUACCGAUAUUUUCAUCAUUGCUUAGAUGCAACCUUCUUCCAAAUGACAUACUUUAGUCAAUACUUAUAUUUUUUCGUUUCACUUCUUUGAUACAACACCUCAUGGAUUUAUUGUUUAAUUUAUUUGUAAUUAUAAAACUAUUUUUCAUUUUUAAUAAGACUUGAAUUAAUUUAAUAAAUAUUAUAUAAUUUGAAUUUAUAAUUCUUUUUAUAAAAUCAAAGUAUAUUAAAAAAAAAACAAUUUAUCCGAAGAAAGUUUUUUAUUUUUUAUUUUUUAAAACCGAUUUUAAAAAUAACUAGCUAGACACCCUUAUUUUGAUAAAAUACGAAAUAAAAGUGUAAAAACAACAUGGCCAAAUAGGGGCUUAAAUUUUAUUUUUAAAACAUUUUUUUACACUAAAGUGCAUUUUAAAAACACCAUCAAAACCAACUACAAGUUAUGCUUCUUCCCGUAAUAGAAAUAUUUUAGGCCAAAAUAGAACCUCCCCAAAUAAAGACCCUAUACUAAACUCCUUUUCAUUUUAUUAAUACAAAAGUGGGGAAAAAAGGUCUAUGCUCACCUAAAAAACAUGAAUAUUGUGAAUUCACCAUUUCUAUAAGGAAGUUGAAAACUUCAAAAUUUUAUCAACAAAUUCUCUAAAAUCCUCAAAAUAUAUAGGGCCUGUUUCACAAAGUUUUUUAAAAUUUGUUUUUAUAAAUUGCUUUUAAAAUAUAGAAUAAAUAACAGUUUUUUAGAUUUUUUGAAAAAUAAGAGUGUUUGGUAAGAUGUUUUUUUUUUUUUUUUUUUUUUUAAGAAUUAAAUAAAAAAUAAAAAAAUUGUUUAGAUAAAAGAAUUUGUAUUGUUUUUAAAAACAAUGUCUUACUUUUAUGUUAUAAAAAUUUUAUUAAUUUAAUUUAUAAUAAUAUGAAAUGAAAUUCAAGUUAAGUCUUAUUAAAAAAUACAAAUUAAAUCUAUAAUUAUGCAUGAGUUAAAGAUAAAUAUAUAUUUUUUAAAACUAUAAAAUAAAUUUUCUAUUAUAGUGAAACAAAAAUUACUAUAAAAUAAAAAUAAUUUUAAUAUUCAUUUUUAAUACAAGUCAAAUAAGUACUUUAAUUAAUUUUUUUUAUCAUGAUUUCUUAUGUUUUUUUUUUUUUCUAGAAAUUAUUUUAAGUAAUAUAACUAAUUUUUUUUUUAAUGUUUUAUAAAAAUAAGGAUAUUUGGCAAGUUGUUUUUAUAAAAGGAUUUUAAAAAUAAAUGGAUUUUUUUUUUUUUUAAAAAAAGAACAAAAUGAUUUGUUUGAAUAAAUUGUUUUGAUUUUGUAAAAACAUUUUAAAUUCAAUUUAUAUAAUAUUAAUUAAUUAAAUUAAAUUGAAGUUUUAUUGAAAAUAAAAAUAAUUUUGUAAUUAAAAUUAGAUUAAAAAAUAUAUAGGUUUUAAUAAAUCGUAAAUAGUAAUAUUAUAAUAAAAUUAUAAAUUAUAUUUUUAACAUAAAAUAUACUAUUUAUUACAUAUUAAAAAAAAUAUUUUAUUAUAUUAAUAAUUUUAUGGUAUUAAUGAGUUUAUUAUUUAAGUUUUAAAUUAUUUUUAAAAAUUAAUAAAUUUGUUAACAAAUGCAAUGUACUAAAUGUGGUUUAAUUUGGAGUUAAUUUGUUUAGGGAAAAAAAUAAAAAAUAAAAAUCUUAUGUAAAAGAGAAAUAAUAGAGUGUGUGUGUUUUUUUUUAUUAUUUUUAAAAAUCAGUAAAAAGAACUUUUACUUAUUGCCUAAAAAUUAUUCUCUAUUUUAUUUUAUUUUUUAAAUCUAGAAAUAGAUAACAAUAAUAAAAAAAAUUAAAAAAGAAAAAUGUUUUUUAAAACUCAGACUUAUAAUUGCUUUUGUUUCUCAUUCGCACCCCUGGAUUCCUGGAUUCUAAACACAAAAUUAAGUUGAAUCGUCCAUCUAUCUUGUAAGCCAAGAAUUCACAUAGAAGAAAUAAUCGGAAUUUGAUUUGAUAUCAGAUUUAGAGUGGCUCACUACUCAUGCAUUGUCCCACAAUAGUAAUGCUUUGGGCCGAGAUAAACCCAUUUGUGGGCCCAAAUAAAACCCCUGGUUUGAAAACAUCGAUUUUACAGUGGCCCAAAAGAUUAUCUAUGAGGGGAAGAUAACUUGGAAGUCAAGCAAACACAUUUAUCGCUAACUUUUCUCUAAUUAUAAAAUUAUAACUUGGUCUUCUACACGUCUCACUUAAGAGGCGGAGCCACUUGGCACUACCUUUCCAUAUUGUAAAAGGAGAAGAAGCAGAAGGAGAAGAUUCUUAUGCCAUUCCACACACCAUGGCUAGUACUGCUAUGCUGCUUGGCCCGCCGGCUCUCCGCCAUCCUAAUUCUCCCGCCGGCACUGUCUUUGAAGAUGGGGUCAUUCUAACGGAUUCCCUGAUCGUCCGCACCAGUAAUCUGGAGCUUUCUGAAAAACCGCCACUGGAAUCCCUGGCGUAGUGCUCUGUCAGUGGGGAUAUUGCUAUGGAUUGUUUGGAUUCCCAAGCCCACAAUCUUCAUCUUCCCGGGAAACCGCCGAUGGGCUUAACGGAAAACAAGUCUCCGACCUUUUUGUCUUCCGGGAACCCGUGCUUGGACUUCUUCUUCCAUGUGGUUCCCGAUACGUCGUCUGAUGAUCUGAUCCGACGGUUUGAGUUGGCUUGGGAAUUCAAUCCGCUGACGACGUUAAAACUGAUAUGCAACUUGAGAGAGGUGAGAGGCACCGGAAAAUCUGACAAAGAGGGUUUCUACACGGCGGUUCUCUGGCUCCACGACCACCAUCCCAAAACCCUAGCCUGCAAUGCUAGGGUGUUGGCCAGCUUCGGUUAUUUCAAGGAUUUUCUCGAGAUUCUCUACCGGCUUCUGGAGGGCCCUAAAAUUCGAAGAAUCGAAAAGAAAGACUGGCUGGAUCGAAAAGGAAGGAAGAAAAAUUCCCGGAAAAGGAACUCAAUAUUCAAGCGAGAAAAUAGGCCUGGAGUUGAAUUUCCUGUAGAAGAGAAGGAUGUGGAGUAUAUGGUGGAAGAAUUUGUGGAUAAAGAAAAGGCUAGGGUACUGAGAAAGGAGAGAGAACUUGCUCUUGCCAAAAGAGCCCUGCACAAGUAUUCUACUGAUUCUAAUUAUCAGUUCUUACAUGAUCAGAUUUCAGAUUUAUUUGCUGAACUUCUGAAAUCUGAUAUUCAGUAUUUAAACUCCGGUGAGCUUUACAAGAUUAGUCUCGCAUCCAAAUGGUGUCCCACAAUUGAUUCUUCUUAUGAUAAAUCCACCUUGAUAUGUGAAAAUAUUGCUCGAAAGGUUUAUUCUCGCGAGGAAUAUAUAUCCAGAAUACCAAGGAAUUGAGGAGGCUCACUAUGUUAAUAGAGUCAGGGAUAGGUUGAGAAAACAAGUACUUGUUCCAUUACGUAAGGCCCUGGAGUUGCCAGAGGUUUUCAUGUGUUCGAACCAGUGGGGAUCACUUCCCUACAACCGUGUGGCUUCAGUGGCCAUGAAAUCAUACAAGAGCCUCUUCUCAAAACAUGAUACAGAGCGGUUUGGUGUGUAUCUUGAGAAAGUGCAAACUGGGAAGGCUAAGAUUGCAGCUGGUGCAUUACUUCCCCAUGAGAUUAUAGCUUCAUUGAAUGAGGAGGAUGGCGAGAAAGUUGCAGAGCUUCAGUGGGCGAGAAUGGUGGAAGAUUUAUCAAAGAAUGGGAGGCUCACAAAUUGCAGUGCGGUAUGUGACGUAUCAGGAAGUAUGAGUGGAACUCCAAUGAAGGUGUGUGUGGCUCUGGGGCUGUUAGUUUCAGAGCUCAGUGAAGAUCCAUGGAAAGGUAAUGUAAUUACUUUCAGUGCAAGUCCUGAGCUUCACAAGAUCCAAGGAGACAGCCUUGUAUCCAAGACUGAAUUUGUGAGGAUGAUGGAAUGGGGUGCGAACACUGAUUUUCAGAAAGUUUUUGACAGAAUCUUACAAGUAGCAGUGGAGGGAAAUCUGAGUGAAGAUCAAAUGAUAAAGAGGGUUUUCGUUUUCACUGAUAUGGAGUUUGAUGAAGCUUGUGGGAGGUAUAACUAUUGUGAAUAUGACUAUGAUAUGGAGGAAAUUGAUGAGAGUCAGAAGGCAUCUCAGAAGUGGGAGACAGAUUAUGAAGUGAUACAGCGGAAAUUCCAGGACAAAGGAUAUGGAAAAGUUCCGGAGAUAGUGUUUUGGAACCUUAGAAACUCAUCAGAGACUCCAGUGAUGGCCACAGAGAACGGGGUGGCCUUAGUAAGCGGGUUUUCGAAGAAUCUGUUAGACCUUGUUUUUGGAAGGAGGUGGAAUUCUGACCCCUCAGGAUGUGAUGGAAUUAGCCAUCUCUGGUGAAGAUUACAAGAAACUUGUUCUAUUUGAUUAAGAUAUCAAGAGAUUUAUCAAUAAUAAUAUGUUUUUUUUUUUCUAUGUGAAAUACAUGUAAUAUUAACUAUGGAGUUAUCAAAGUUCUGGAAAUUUAAUUAUUUCUUCUUUUCAAGUUUUGUUUGUCUUUGUUAGGAAUUCCCCUUGGGCGGACCCAGCUGGGGACUUGGAUUGAGGAAGUAAGGAGGCGAAAUUGUGUUCUUCUAUGGACAGAGAAAAAAGAUAAAAAUAAAAAAUAAAAAAGGAGGUUAUUUGCAUUUGGAUGUCAUGUGGUUUCAGGGUACAACUACAAGUUCGAAAUUGUACAUAAUGUGAAAAUUCCUGUGUGGAGAACAGCAUAAAUAUGUAUCUCAGUGUGUUUUGUUUGAGCUAAUUGGCAAAUUCGCUUUAAACAUGGUCACAUGGAUGCAUAUUUAUUUGUGAAAUGAUAGUAGUCGAUUACUUGGUCAGUAAGGUUUGUAUCUCUAACUCCAACAUCUUAUUGUAGUCUUUUAAAAUGUCAAAAGUUUAAUGCUAGCUUGAGAAAUUUUGGAAUGGAGACAUUCUAAACAAAGUUAAUAAUCCAUGAGACUUGGUAAAACCGAUCAGAUGAUGCUUACGUACAUGAAUGCCUUCUUUAAGCCGUAUCCUAUUUUCAUUGAAUGAGACGUGCCAUCUAGUUUUGUUCUUGUCUUGAUUGGAUCAUGAUCCCGGGAAUUGAUUACUGUUCUGAAUUUGCGAAUGUUCAAGGUAUUAGAGAAAGUUAAUAUUAUCGUUAAUUUACAUAUUAGUAUUUAUCUAGUUAUUAUAUAUUAGUUUGAAUUAUAAUAUAAUAUAGAAUUUGAAUCAAGUUUACUAUUAGUUUGAAUUACAAUAGGAAAUAAAGUUUGAAUUAUAGUAUAACUCAAAUAUAUUUGUAUAUAAAUAUCCAUCUUUAUCAAUGAGAAUAGUAAACCAUAUUUUUCUCUAUCUUCUUCUUUCUCUAUAUAUAUGGUAUCAAAGCCUCCAAAUCCUAAACCUAGUCUCAACUUAGAGCAAAUUUAGGGUGCAGGGUUUAGGCCCCGCCUCCCCCAACCCUUACCACAAAUGGUAGUGACCUUGUUAUGCCUAUGUAUUGUCAAUGCCUCAUUUUCUAUGGUCUUCAAUACAAUAUCUAGUUUCAAUGUCUCUUUCCUUACUAUCUCCAAUGCAAUAUAUUGAUUUCAAUAUCUCUUUACAACCAAGAGCUCCAAAUUUUCCUGGUUCAAAUCUACCAUAAUUUUUAUUCUCCUUUGCUUUUUACCAAUAUUAGUUCCCCUAAUUUAAUAUAUAUCUCUUUAUUACCUUCAACUCUACCUCUCUCUUUCUUUAAAAGCUUCCUCAAAGAUUUGAUUGCUUUCUUGCAUGUUUUGGGAAAACAAACAUGCUCAUAUUCUAUUACCUCUACUUGAGAUCUGCCUUAUACUCUACCUUCUUCUUUACCUCCUAUAUCAUCUACUACAUUAGCUUCAAAAACAUUAUUUAGUUUGAUGCUAAAUAAGGCUCCUAAUCCUACCCUUCCUUCAACUAACUUUCUUUUACAAGUCCCUCAAAGUUUUUUUUUUUUUUUUUUUGGAAAUUUGGCUUAGAAAGAUUUCAUUACUCUUACCUAAUCUUUCAACCAUCAAGUCGAAUCCACUUAUCUCUUGAAUCCAAGGAGACUACCCUCCACAAAAACAAGGAGAUUGACCCCCACAAUAACAAAGAGAUUGUCCUCCAUAGAAACAAAGAGAGCUUCCUUCAUGGAAGCCGAAUACAUCGCAAUCUAUUUUCUUUCUCUCAAGAUCAAAUCUCCAAUCGGAGCUCCAUCUUGUGGGGAUAUAUUAGAAAAAGUUAAUAUUAUCCUUAAUUUACAUAUUAGUAUUUAUCUAUAUUAUAUAUUGAAUUAGAAUAGAAUAUAGAAUUUGAAUUAAGUUUACUAUUAGUUUAAAUUACAAUAGGAAAUAGAGUUUGAAUUAUAGUAGAACUCAAAUAUAUUUAUAUAUAAAUAUCCAUCAUUAUCAAUGAGAAUAGUAUUCCAUAUUUUUCUCUUUCCCUGAGGCUUCAGAAUGUGAUCUUGAACAUUUGAUCUUUUGGAUUCUUCUUGUUUCGGUGGUUUAAUAUAAUGGAAUGUUUAAUUAUAGCCUACUUUAUCACCAUGGAUGUGCUCCUGCAGAUUUCUUGAGGGUGAUGGUUAUUUUGUCAUGUUUCUUGAAUGGUUUGCAUCAGCUGCCUGAGCUGUUGUUGCUGGUCACUUUUGCAACCAGGGAAAGAAUCAUGGCUUUGGAGAAGCCAGCUUCUGUUUUUGUUGCCCAGCUGUUAGUUCACUAAGAUUGGGGGUCCUAACAUGUAUGUAUAAUCAUAAGCAAGGAAAUUUUAUGUCUUACGCUAGAUAGGUACCAUGAUAUGAUGUUUGAUUGAUUUAUUAACUCUACCUGUUUCAAAAGGCAUCAACAUUAAUUUUACCCUUUUAACACAUUGGAUUGUUUGACCUUACGAGAUUUUCUAUUUCUGUACUAUUUGAACUGCAAUCGUUAUGGUCCUUAGGUCUCUAAACCUUCGUUUAAAAUAAAAGUAAGGAGCACACAUAGUAAAAGUUAAUUUUGGGUAACUUUUAAAACAAAGAGAAAAGUAAAAGUUGUUUUUGAGAAAAACAUAUAGAAAUUGAAAGAUUUUUUAUUUUGAGAAAAAAAAGUCAUAGAAAAGAAAUAAUAUCCCCAUAUAAGUAGAUAUGAUCUAUCCGAAGUGUAGCUACUCUCCUGGAUUUAUUCUAACAUUUUAAAAUUUUUCUCAAUGGGCAAAGGAAUAUCAAAUCAAGCUUGAGUAGGAUUAAUUUCUUAAUUUUUAAAAUAACUUAUAAUUAAAAUUUUUUGGUGUUUUCUUUUUUGGACAAUUUUUUAUGAAGACUCUGAAUCAUGCAAGAGAUAUGGUUAUUUUAAAAAAAAAAAUAAUUUAAAACUCAAAUACAUAAUCAAUGUCACAAAUUUAUAAACAAAAGGUUUUUAAAAAAUACUAUUAUUUCCCCUCUACACAUAAUUUUACUUUUCCGAUUUAUUUAUUUUUGUUGGAAAACAGUCUUCAAAUCAAGUAAAAUUAAUAUGUUAAAUUUGUUAAACAAAUAAAUUUUAAAAUACAAUUUGGAACUCAAAAAUCAAUUCAAGUAAUGCUAAAAUUCAAAAAAUCAAAUUUGGAAUAAAAUGACUUUGUAAAUUUUUUUACUAAACAAAUGAAUUUUAAAUCAAGUGAGAUUUAAUACAUUGGAUUUUUAUGAGAAUAGUAAUUUUAAAAAUUAAUUUGGAACUCAAAAAUAGACACAAUAAAUACCAAAAAUCAAUGAACCAAAAUUGGUUUGGAAUAACUCCAUAAUUUUUUAUUUAUUUAUAUAUUUAUUUUUUUGUGCACACGAAUUUCUUACUAAGCAUAUUGCUUCCAAAUUGAGAAAAAUUUACUAUUUAGAUUUUUUUAAUGAGUUUAAUGGUAUUUAAAAAUAAUUCAAAAAUUCGAAAAUUGACUAAUUUAAUAUUAUAAAUUCAUAAACCAAGACUAAUUCAAAAUGCAUUGGGGGCUAAGGGGGUUGAAAUUAAUGCUCCAUUUGGUUGUGGCCACCAAUUGGCAAUGGCCACCAAUCAACCAAUCAAGGUGGCUAAGGGGGUUGAAAAUAGGGACAAUGGGGUGGGUUUGGGACAGGACACUCAUAUCCCAUUCCCAUCCCAAUUACACAGUUAUUUCCCAUCCUUAUUCCAAACUUGUGUUGGGGCAAGUUGAUUUGUUCCCAUCUUUGUUAACGAAAUGACUAAUAACCUCAUCCUCUCCUUGUCUUAGAUGUACAUUUUCUCAAAUUUGGUCAGGUAUGAUUGAUUCAAGCCCUAACCUUAAUUGGUAAUGAGUGGAUACCACACCUAAUUGCAUUCUUCUUUCGUUGCAAAAUAAUGAGAUUAUAAUAAUCUAGCAAAUAAGAAAAAAUAGUAUGGAAGUUCAAAUUAACACCAUAACUAUCAAUAAUUUUAAGCUUAUAGAUGACUUAAAUGAUUGAAAACUAAUGCAAAAUACUAAAAAAAAAAAAAAUCAUCUAAAGAAUUCACAAGAGAAUAGAACGAACAAAACCAAAUAGGAACAUGGGUCAACAUUAGUUACAGAUUUUGAUCCCUUUCAAGGCCAAUCUUUGAACCAAGACUUCAUCAAAUCUACUACUUCAAAGGCUUUUGUGUUCUUCUUGAGUUGUACUCUGGAACAAAGACUUCGAGGUGAUGCUUUAGAUGAUUGCAUUACACAUAUUUAGGGUAGGGAGAUUGGAGAAGCUUGAAGAUGCCAACGAUGGGUACAAUUGAGUGGUCAAUAAGAACAAUGUGGCCUAUGACUAGUUUGAUGUCAUGGUAUAGGAGUUUUGGGCAUUGAGGUGAAAGCAAGAGCAACAUGGAAUUGAUUUCAAAGUCUUUCAAUUAGUGUAAAGGAGGAAGAAGAAGUGGUAUUGAUCCUAGAAAUAGUGUUUUAGGUGUUGCAUUAGAGGAAAAGAAAAAGAAAAAGAAGGAACCAUUGGAAUUAGUACGAGUGUGAAGAGAGAAGUGUAUACAUAAGGGGAAGUAAAAGCAAAGUUCUAAAAAUUUAUUUUUUUAUUGGUGGUGUAUGGUUGCAUGAUUAUCCCUAUAAAUAAUAGGAGUUUUUUGGUGUUCUACUAGUAGUUGAAGGAUAAUUUCAUAAGAUAAUAUUUAGAGCGGGGUGGGGUGAGUUGUGACAAAAUCCAUACCCGUCCCAAACAUUGGUUCAGGUUUUUAAAAUAUUUUCAAACUUAUCAUAUACCCAAUUUUAUAUUUCAUACUUGUCCUAAUAGAGACAGGUUAGUCAGGGUUACUUGAGUAGCCUACAAAACUAUCAUCCCUAGUUGAAAUGCUCUUUUUGGCAGUGGCAGCUAGAAGCUCGAUCGAUUGACCUACAAGACUAGUUGUCAUCAUUUUAAAAAGAGUUUUGGCUUUGGUUGUGAGUGCAAUUGAAUCUAAACUAACAUUUCCUUAAUGCAUCUACUUCAAUCCUAAACUUCUUACUUAAGCCUCAAUUGUUGUUAAGAUUUUGGAAAACCCAUUUCCUUAAAUUGUAAAUUUAAGAAAAAAAAAAUUAAAAGUGAGACAUUUCUUGAUUGAAUGUUGUUAAAGGUCCCUUGGAAUUAAGACUUGGUUGAAGCCUUGGAAGAUUAGCAGAACUCUCAACUUAUGUUUGAACCUUGAGGAGAGUGGACGUAGGCCAAAAUUUUGUCAAACCAUUAUACAAAUUGAGUUUGAAUUCUCAUUUCUUGAUUUCUUAUUUAUUUGCUUUUUCUUAUUAUUACUUGAAUUGUCAUUUGCAUUCAUUAAUGUUAAAAUUGGUUAUAAUUAGCCAACACUAAUUCUCUUUCCCCUUCCCUUAAUUUCUUGGGUGUAAACCUAGGUUGGAUUAACUAGAUUUUAUCAAAUCUAUUAAGAUGGUAAAAGAAUAAUUAUUCUUAACAUACAUAAGAUCAUCUUCAAUCAAAUGACUCAUUGGCUGAUAUGUUGAAUUUGCUUAUUACUUGCAACUCAAAAUUGUGUUCUAGUUGAUAUGUCAAGUCCUGAGUGUAUGGACAUUAAAUUUGUAGUACGUGAUGAGUAUUUAGAUGGUCCAAUUCCAAGAAAGUGAUUGAAAACUAGUUCAAGAAAGGUGCAAAAGGGAAUUGUUUUGGUAUUUUCGUUUUUAUUCUUGAAGGUGGCAGAGCUAAAAUUUGAGAAAUCAAGCAAAACAUACUGAAAUUACAUUGAAAGAAAGAAAAUGGGAGUUAAUGUCUUGCAGUACAUGAUAAGGACUUCAUGCAUGUAGUGUGACCCAUGUCUUGGACUGAUGCCACACUCACGGUUACACUUAUACCCUUAGUUCUCUCUUUACUACCUUAGCUAACCUAGAUCAGGUUAUGAGAUAGGCACCUCACCACACCAUUACUUGCCCAUUAAUUAGUGACAUUUUCAAGCAAUGAGGUAACAUGGUGACACCAAGAGGGUAUAUUCCUCACCCCCAACAAGCCUAGACCUGGUCUAAAAAAAAUGGAGAAAAAUGACGUGUUGUUAUGCAGAAAUAUAGCAACCAUGCCUUCCUCAUUACUUAGAUUCAGAAUGUGAAGGUGAAAUUGAGAAACAGAAACUCUUGAAACCAAAAUGAAAAUUGAUACUUUUACGAAGAAUUACAACAACAUUAGAGGAAGACUACAUUCUUCCUCUUUAUUCCUACAUUUCUACACUACUUCUACUCCACUCCAUAUUUCUACAUACAUCUUUAAUCAGUCUUCCCUCCUUUAUAUAGAGCCAUCUUCACACAAAUUCCGCAAGGUAGAAAAGAGGAAUGAAACUUGGAGCAAGGUUCGACUACUGGCUGUAGCUUGUCAAGGCUGAAAGUGAACUUUUUUUCUUGGCUUUUCUGGGCAUAGGUAGUAACUUGUAGGUUCCUUUUUGGAAUGAAAAUGGUACGGCUAGAACAUGUGGCACUCUCUUGUUGGAUGAUGUGUCAAGCAUGUGGCAGCCAUCUAGUGGAGAUUAUGUCAAUUUUGGGAUGGAGAGUUGGCAUCCAAUUGCAAAGAAAUAUGACAUCUACCAACAUGCAAUGUCAACCUAUGUAGAUCAUAUGAAGAUAGAGAGGAAAAAUAUAGAAAUGGAUAUAUAACUAGAACUAGCUUUUUAUUAAAUGAGACGGAGAGCCAACAAUGAAGGAAAAUCAAAAUUUUUGGCUCAUAUCAAAGAAUUCACAUUGUGUUACCCUAGGUUUUCUUAAAACUUACUUUUAUGAUAAUAAAAAAUCAUUAUUGUUUAAUCCUUUGUUUUAAACGCAUGUUUAGCAGGUUGUAAAAUGUAAAUAUCUUUCGAAAUUCAAAUAUGAAGAUAUGACAUCAUUUCAAGCAAUAUAGUCUCUAGGAAUUAAUGUAAAGCUAAAUUAAGGUGCAAUUAAGUUAGUUCAAUGCAUUAUUUUAAGAAACUUGACCUAUCAAAACCUUGUCUUACUUCAAAGCCUCUUUUUCUUUUCUUCCAACUAACAUUUUAAUAAGUGAUCGCAAAAGUACAAAAUUAGAUGAAAUCCAUUUCAAUGGUUAAAAUGAUCAAAUUCAAACUUUUUCUAAGUAUCUUUUAAAAGCAUCAAUAUUGAAAGACAAUUUUAUAUUUAGUCAAAGCUUGGACAGAGCCAAAAAGCACACAAAAAUUUAUAUUUUCUAGCUCUCUACCUUGGAUGGUCUCUUGAUCCUACUUGGAGAUGUGCAUAAAUAAAAGGAUUUGAAAAUGACAAUUGACUAAGUAUGUAGUCAAUCAAUUACUCAUUGAUUGACUAGUUGAUCAAUUAACUUUGCAACAUCAUAUGCAAUCCUAAUAGCUAGUCAUCUAAUCAACUAGGUAGUAAAUCAAUAGGCCAAAAAUAUGUUUAUAAUGACUAUUUUGUACAAAAACCACUUAUAUAGUUAAAUAUAAUGCAUUUCAUUUAUAAAUCUUCUAAUUCUUGAAUAACAAUCCUAUCAUCCUUUGAAAGUUUUUAUUACACCUUUUCUACAUUUGUUCUAAAACUUAUACAUCACCCUUAAUUGUACCAUGAGAACCUAGCAUUUUUUUUUUUUUUUUUGUAUUUCAUCAAAGUUAGCUCUUGUACUCAUUGUUGUAUUAUUUUUAUUGUAACUUAGAGAGCGAGUGUUUUCAAGUGAGUGAAAUUGACUUGUAAAUAUUGUAAAGAUUCAUUGAUAUGUAUCUCAAACUAGGUGUACAAGUUGAAACAUUUGCUAGUAGAUUUUCUCAAGAUUUAGAAUGAGCUUAAGGCUAUCGAAUUAGGUGGGGUUGCGCCAAACCAUAUCACAUCGUUGUUUGCACCUUUUUUUUCACUCUCUUUUACUUAGUUGCUCUAUAUAUAUUGUCUAGCAAUAUCCUAAAGGCUUGAUGGGCUAGGGAGCAUCCCUCUGAAUGAAAAAUUUUCAUUCAAUUCUUAGUUGUAUUACGCAUAUAUAAAAUGCCUCAUUGUUUUAAUGGUAUUCAGUCGUGGCACCACAGAUAUGGACAUCUAAAUUUUAAAAGUUUGAAACUUUUAGCUAAAGAAAAUAUGGUGCUUUGCCUUUUUGGAAAGCAUGUUGAUGAAAUCCAUGAGAAUUGUAUACUUGGAGAGCAACAUCGAGAUAACUUUUUUUUUUUCUUUUUUUAUAAUGCAUUGUUUGUCCAAAUUCCGUACAAAUUAGGCCACCACAUGUUCAUAAUUCUCCCUUCUUGAAUUUGAAAACUCGGACAAUUUGACAAUGCGACACCUAAGUCCGGUUUUUAAAUGCUAAAGUGAAAGGGCAGGUAUGGACCAUUGAAAUGUGAUAACAACUUUUGGCCUUUUCCUUUUCUCUGUAGCCAUGUUGUCUCUUUUUAAUUUCUUUUGCAUGAUUUUCUUACCUAAACAGAAUCAUAGACUUGUUUAAUCUCUAAGUGGGAUUUCAUCCACCUUAAGCUACUGUAUUAUAUCUCGGUGGAGGACAACCGACAUAGAGCACAUGCAAGUGGGUAUAUGGGACAUGAAAUAUCUUCUUAUAAAGCUUGUUUUGCAGUUAAAUUAAUUGGAUAAGUAGACACUGGCGUUUCUAAAUUUCCCACCUAAGAUAAUGACCUUAUCCUUGACUGCUAGAUACACAAACAAUUAUACCUUCAAAAUCUACUGUGAAGUGCUUCAUGUAUGUGUGAAGUAUUAGAAAUUUCUUUCUUGGCAACUUGUUUUUUUCUUUGCGGUCUACUGAUAGGUUUGACUAAAAUUAUAUUCCCUGUCCUGCUAAUUAAUUUUCACGUGCAUGCUCAAAAGAAGAGUAUGACCUUAGUGCACCAAAAUCACUUUCAAUAAUUUGUGAUAAGUUUUUUUGCAUGACAUUAACCUUAUUCAUUUAGAUAAUGUUUAGUUCUCAUAAAUAUUAAGAAAAUGAAAAUAAAUAUUAAGAAAAAUAUUCUUAUAUUUGAUUGUAUUAUGAAAAAUAUCAUAAAAAAUCAAAUAUAAUUAAAAUUAAUUAAUAAUUUAUAUAUUUUAAAAUUAUUUAAUUUUUAUAUUAAAGAUAUAAUAUAAAUGAAAUGAGUUUUAAGUAUUAUAUAAAAAUGAUUUAUUUAUUUAUUUAUAUAUAUAUAUAUAUAUAUAUUUAGUUUUUCUCUUUAUUUUAUUUUCCUUAUGUUUUCCUCACAUUUUCCGGAAUCAAAGAUAGGGAAAUCCACAAUUACCUUCAACUGAGUAGAUUCUAUUGUUUUAGCAAUGUUAGGCUGCUAACUUGUGGUGGUACGAACCAAAUGAUCCAUGUUAAUCUUGGCUUGAUUUAAUUUGGCUCUAUCUCAGAGAACUCAAGGAUCACGUCAACUCUGGUUUCUACUAUUCAGGUCCAUUCCCAGAUGAACUGGUUCAAAUUUGAGAAAAUGGUAACAGACCUUUAGUGAUAUUGGUUUGGAGCCAGUUGCCAAACCUGCCCUGAGCUUUACCACUAAUGUCAAGGGACAAAGCCAUUUGAACAAAAACAAUAGCUUCAAGAGACUGAAUCGUGGAUGAAAUCUGAUCCACAUUUCUUCUCAUUUUGGGAAAAAAUGAGGACUUAACCACAAAGAUUCUACUGCCUCAUAGUGCUUUUCCUGAUCUAAGGUUGGCUCGUUUCCCAAAUUGUGAGGUGCACGUGCCACUCUCACGCUCAGGAGUGUAUCCACGUGGUGGACAUAAGAUGGUGGCUUAAUAUCUGGUGUCGGUGGCUUUACUUUACUAGGAGAGUAGUGUGUCUUCAUCUCAUUCACUGCCAGAGGGUGGCGUAAGCAGUGACGCUAAGGUGGGGCACAGUCAAUAUCAUUUGCAUUUGACCAUUAUAAUUUUCUCCCGGCUUUAAAGUAACCUUAUCGUGAUAAUGGAUUACUAGCACUAGUUCAGAUGACAGUCAUGUUAAAUUCGGACCAUGUUUGUGUCACAUUAUCAGCAACCAUGUGCUUGUGGUUCAUGCUAUCUGCAACUAAACUUGAUAUAUAACCAGGUGAACUUCAAUCUAAAUUCUGGAAGUACUCAUGUGAUAGAUGGUGCCUGUCUGCAGUGAGUGUAUCUAUAAGAGGGAAGGCUUGGCAAAUGUUCAGUUUUCUGGGAAUUCAACAGGGAUCUAAAAUAGAUUGUUUUCUUUGCUGAUUUCAAUGGUUGAAAUUUGAGAAGAUUGUGUCCACAUAACACAACUAUUACUGGUCCUUCUGUUGCAAUUUAUCCUCUAAGGCUCUAACAUGUCUUCCAAUUCCCACUUCCCACUUCCCUGUUACUCCAGGAAAGCUGUUUCUGUCAUUGUGAAGAAGAAAAGAGACUGUACAUAUCGAUGCUUUUAAGUGGACUGGAGAAUUCAUAUCAGGUGGUCUGCAGCCAUACAUGCCACUUUGUGAAGGUUGGAACAGUCAAUCACUAGGCUAUAUUAGUGGGGCCCAGCCACUUCAAUCAAGGACAAGUCUUCAUACUUAAAGUCAAAUUCUGCCUUUAGUCUCAUUAUAAAUUGCUGUUUAAAUAUCAAGCAAACAUUUGUUUAAUGCGAUUAAGACAGCACUAACUCAAUACUUGUUCUAUUUUUGGAUGCAAAUGCUUGAUAGUUUCAUCAUUGGAGGGGAUAAAGGUGCAUUCAUGAUUAUGAAUACUUGUAGUUAUAUUUUCAUUCUCUUUUUUCUCAAUGGGACUUGUUGGCACAAUUUUGCUGUUCAGAAACCUACCUCUCCAUGGAAAAUCAGUUGUGAUUGAUAUUACUGGAUAUAUUCAAGAAAGCUAAAUGUAGAUAGCACAAAAUAUUAUCGACAUAAAUAGCAUUAACAGCGUACGUAUGUCUCAAUGCUCAUCAGCUAUAAGCAAGGGGCAAACACUUACUAUGAGCAACUUACGUCAAAAUUCCGGAAUAGGACAUAGAAGUGACAGGUCAGUAAAUAUAGAACACUGCAUAUGAGUCACAAGAAAGGAAAUUACGGGUACAUAGCAGCUCUUAUUUUACAUCCUACUCAUACUGAUCAAAGUCACUCAGUUGGGAUGGGUGGGAGUGGGAGGUUUGUGGGGUGGCUUGUGCGGAGGAGUUGGCAGCUUCUUUCCAGGACCUGGUUGCUUCUCUGCUGGAGUUGAAGGAGGCUUAAUCUUCCGAGGUGGCUUGUAUGAGUCUUCAGCAUUCUCAGCAGGAGGGUGACCAGGGUUGUGACCACAAUGUGGUGGCUUCUCUCCCUUAGGUGGUUUGCCAACUGGGGUUGGUGGCUUGUGUUCCGGAAGUGGCUUCUCUUUGUGUUCAGGAGGUGGCUUCUCCACUGGAGGCUUGUGUUCAGGAGGUGGCUUCUCCACCGGAGGCUUGUGUUCAGGAGGUGGCUUCUCCACCGGAGGCUUGUGUUCAGGAGGUGGCUUCUCCACCGGAGGCUUAUGCUCUGGUGGUGGCUUCUCCACCGGAGGCUUAUGCUCUGGUGGUGGCUUCUCCACCGGAGGCUUAUGCAAUGGUGGUGGCUUCUCCACCGGAGGCUUGUGUUCAGGAGGUGGCUUCUCUACCGGAGGCUUAUGCUCUGGUGGUGGCUUCUCCACCGGAGGCUUAUGCUCUGGUGGUGGCUUCUCCACCGGAGGCUUGUGUUCAGGAGGUGGCUUCUCCACCGGAGGCUUGUGUUCAGGAGGUGGCUUCUCCACCGGAGGCUUGUGCUCUGGUGGUGGCUUCUCCACCGGAGGCUUAUGCUCUGGUGGUGGCUUCUCCACCGGAGGCUUGUGUUCAGGAGGUGGCUUCUCCACCGGAGGCUUAUGCUCUGGUGGUGGCUUCUCCACCGGAGGCUUGUGUUCAGGAGGUGGCUUCUCCACCGGAGGCUUAUGCUCUGGUGGUGGCUUCUCCACAGGAGGCUUGUGUUCAGGAGGUGGCUUCUCCACCGGAGGCUUAUGCUCUGGUGGUGGCUUCUCGAAUGGGGGAUGCGUAGGGUAAUCAGCUAGUGAGGGGGCGGUGAGAACCACCAGGCCAAGCAACACUACUAGCAAGUAUGUAGGAGACAUCUUUGGGUUUGGGCUCAGAUGGUGCAAAACUAGGAGAAUUGGCUAGCCUUUUAUAGCGGAUCGUACCCAAUAAUGAAAUGACACGUGUCAUUAUGACCCAUGUGUCAUGUGGUCGAUUUGGGUCCUACAGUGUUGAAAACUUCGACAUCCACUUUUUUGGCCUUUUGCUUUCUCUACAGUCGCCUUGCUUUUUCCCUCUUUUCUUUUGUUUUCCUCCUGCCCCAUUCUAUCAACUAAUCACAAUUAUGUAGUUGUUUAAUUCUUAAAUGAGAUAUUAUCCGUCAAUCAUAUUAUCUUUUAUCAAGAGAGAACGGAGUGAAAAGUGGCAAUCCAAAGAAAGAAGAUCCAUAAUGCAGCUGUAAUUUUAUCGUUUACUUUUAUCUCUAGGACCACUGCAUUUUUGUUGAGAGGUGCAAUAAUACACGUCUUUAUCUGCCAUUCAAUGUUUACAGUAAAGAGAGGGCACAAAACUCUUCACUGCUCUGCAUGUGCCCCAAAAAUGCAAUUGGACAAAUUAUGAUUUGCAUGCUAAAAAGAGGCAAAUGAGGUUAAUUAGCACCAAAAUUAUUUUGUUUUCUGGACACCCCGGGGCCCUUUGGUUGGUUUGGGGGUCAGAAAAUGAACAUCAUAGGGGGUUUUUCCCUAAUGUGCAUUUGCAUUUGUAUCUGAUGGCUUUAACUCGCCUUGUUACUACAAAGAAAUUGUCACAGAUAGGAACUUAUUCCAGGCUGAGUAUCUCCGCAUGGACCCUAUAAAAGAAGACAAGUCAUAAUGAACAUCUAACCUUUGUUCAAUUUGAUUCAAUGCCCCUAUUGUGUCCAUCUCACAAAUCUGAAUUAUUAUAUCCAUUGAAUACAUAAAUUAAUGAAGAAAAUAUGAAACCCAAGAUACAUCUCUGCACAACCUCAACCCUGGUUGCUAUGUUUCACUUCUAUUCACAUGAGGAUAUUGAUUACGGAAUAAGGAAACCUAGCAAGGGUUUACUCGGCUCUGGUUUGAUGCUAAUUGCCAAACUUGCAACAAGCCCUGAGUUUGACACCUAAUCGAUGGGCGAAUUAAAAGUCUCCUCCAAACAUAUAUUCCACAGCUUGAAGCUCACAGAAGAUGCUAUACAGGCAGGGAAAAACCUUCAGAGUUAGCUACCAAAGAUAAUUAUCAAGGAGAUAUCACCAAGAGAAUUCCAUGGAGUCUGAAUCAAAGACAAAUUGCUCGCUCGUGGGGGUUCUUACUUAAUUUCUUUUGGGUAUAACUCACUGAGGGCACUGGCUUUGUUAUUUGCAUUUCGCAUUUAGAGUUCUGUUCUGGAAGGUUUGUUCUGGAAACAUAUAAAAGGAGCAUCAUUUUGUUCUAGGGUAACCCAUAGUUGUGAGUGGGUCCAUUUGCAUGCUACUUAGUUGAAAAGUUGGACAAUUUGCUCCGACGCCUACCUCCUGGAUUCCAUGCUCGGAUAAAGCAAGAAUAAUAAAAUAUUUAUAAUUUACAAAUGGGGGAAAGAAAAAAAUGUCAACAACAAACUAGGAAAAAAGAGUAGUAAAAUUUAUGCCACAUGCUAUUGAUAGAAGGGGCAUGUAUUAGAUCCAUCACCAUUUGGUAAGAUUUUAGUAUUAUAUUUUUCAAGGUUCAUUAUUUGAGGGUGUGUUCUUCAUCUCUGUUGCAUUGCUUCUUACUAGGCCCACUGAGGUGGGUUCUUCACCUUUUGUAUAUUCUCUGCACUAGAUCAAUGAGAAAGGGGGAAUUUUGGUGAAUUUGCAGCCGUUGGAUGAUUGAUUCUAGGCUCAGUCCACCAAUGAUGCUCUCUUCACUCUUUCUCAUCUAGUGUCAUUCACAACUAUGUUUUGAUUCAUAUUUGUACUAUCAAAGAUAUCUCAUUAUUCUAGCUCAUUAGGUAGAGUUCCUAAUCUUCCUCCUUUUUGGUCUAUGGACAGUAUUGGCUUCAUAUUAAGAUCAUGUUUCAAUAAUUGCACAUUAAUGAAUGGAUCAUGACCCACAUAAACAGAGUCAGGGUUGAGUCAGUGAACCCUAAAAUUUCACAAUUCUAAAUUUGGGUUCUUUAACAAUGCAGGGUCAAGGACGCGUGGUGAUGAAGGAAAGCUGGUAAGCUCAGUGUUACUUCAAUUCCUGCCAUGUAGGAUGGUGAGGAGAUAUUCACUAUGCAAUUAAUAAUAGACAAUAUUCACUAUGCAAUAAUAAAGCAUAAAUUAAGUUGAAUGAAAAGCAUUUUCUUUGCAAGGAGUUGAUUUUGGUUUCAUAGUUUGUUCAACUGCUAUUUUGGAUAGGAAAGUGUGAGGAGAAGAAAAUAAAAAAUAAAAAUAAAACAAAAAAUAAAAAAUAGAUUUUAUAAAUUCAUUUAAUUUAUUUUUUUUUUAUAAAAAUUAACUAAUUUAAAAUAUAUGUAAAUUUCUAAUUAAUUUAAUUACAUUUUUUUUUUCAGUUUUUCAUAAUAAACCAAAUAUUAGAAAAUUAUUUUUAUUAAGACACCCAAGAUGAGGUAAUAUGCAAUGAAAACAUGAAUUAUAUUAAAAUUCAAAACAAAUUAAGAGAAAUCGGAAAAUAUACAUAGAUAUCUAAACAAAGAAAUUUAAAGAGAAGGAACCACAAACUUUAUUUACAUAAUUUGAAAAUAAAAAACAUAAAACAUACUUAUAGUAAGGAGAAAUUGAAUAUCUUACAAUGGAAGAAGGGAGAAAAGCUUUGAAGAAAGCUUUUGCUUGGAAGCUUACAUGGUGAGAGGUAGAGAAAGGAGAGAGAGAGAAGAAAAUGAAAAAUGAGAAGUGGAGAAAAUUGGAAGUUUUGUGUGCUUACAACUGAGGAUAGAGCCUCCUUAAAUAGCAAAAAAUGGAAUAUUAAAUAGUACCAAUCAGGAGACAAAAUAUUGUUUGCUUUUGAAACCCGUGCAUGAAUAGUAAUCCCGUGAGUGAAUAGUGAAUAAUAAAAGUGAAUAGUAAAAGUCACUUUCUACUAUAGCACUUUAGACUUUUUCAUCGAGAAUCUUACUUUCGGCUGAGUGAUGAUAGCUGAUAGGUUGCUUUGGAUUGUGGAGUCAUAUGUUUGAUGUUUUCGGUGCUGAAACCGCUUAGUUGGAGAAUAAUCUCGUCAGUAGAGCAUCAUGAGAAGCUUGAAUGGAGAGAGCUUAAUGAUGCCAUAUGAUUGGAAGGAAUCCUAUUUUAAUUUCCUUAUUGGAGGGAGAAUACCCUCACAAUCAUCUUCAUUAUCUUGAAGGUAGUUUGAUAUAGAGUCAUCUGACUCAGCAUAAGAGUCCUCUUGGGAGAAGCUUGAACUGCUUUUGUCAAGGAUUUUCUGAAAUUCUUGAGGGGUUUUUGCUAUUGCUAACAUGGUUUGGAGUUGCUGUUUCUUAAGAAGAAACUGUGCAAUAUCAUAAGAUGAUGAAGCUUGUGUAGGAUGCUUUAGGAAAUAUUGCUUUAUUGCUUGUAGUGAGGUAUCAUUUUUCAAGGCAUCCCACCACUUAGACUUGAAAGUCCUUCCAAGGGUUGGAAAGGCUGCUGAUUCAUCUGCUAUAAUGAUAUAAUCCCACUGGACUAUCCAGGCAAGGCCAAAUUCACUAAAAAAGAAUAAUAAUUGGGGAAAACUGAAAGUUCUCUAGGGAUAACAAAAGAACUUUGGAAUAGCUCAAAGCCAUCCAAAAUGGGUUUUGGGAGAAUUUUAAUAGUUGGACCAAAAUAUGUCCACCAAUUGUGGAACCAAAAUGGAAAAGAGGGGAGUUGAUGCUUAGAUGGGAAAUAGAACAUCCCUGAAUGAUGGAAGUCCUUGUUCUGGAUCAGAAAAGCAUUGAACCAUACUCUUUGGUAGUCUCAAUAAUUGAAAAUUUUAGGUUUUGAAGGCUUAGAAAAUUCUCUUGAAAAAUUAGGAUUCCCACCCCACUGCUUAACUGUAAGGAUUUUAUAAAUAUGGUAAGUGGAGAAUGCCAAAUCCAAAUUGCUGAAUUUAUCAGCAUUGUGCUUGAUUUUAACAGAGCCGGUUUCCAUAAGGAUUGCUUCAUAAAAUUCUCUUGUUUUUAAAAGAUCACCAAAGGGAUAAUGAAAAUUUUCAUGAAAAGCUUUUGCUGCAAUAUCUCUAGGGUUUUUAGAGAAAAACUCUUUUUCAAUAACCAAAAGAGGUUGAUUUAAAUCUUUUUGCCAAUAUCUUGCUUUUGCUGAAAGAGGUGUGGGGUUGGCUACCACCACAAUUUGCUUAUUUGAAAAAGAAGAGCUUGAUGCUAAUUCAUUUUGAGAGGGAUUAGCUUUAGUAACCUGCUUAAAGGUCUGAGACACAGUAAUAGUUGGAUACUGAGUAGCCUUGACUGGUUUAGAAGGAUUCGAAGGAUCAUAGUACAAGGACAAAAUCUUAUUAGGCAUAUGGUCAGAAGAAUGAAGCCUUGCUUCUUCUUCUAGCUCAACUUGUUGGCUCCAAAGUAUUUUAUGGGGAGAAGGUUCUUUGCUGGUUUUAGAAGACUAGGAUUCUGGAAGUUUAGGAGCUUGGGUAUUCUUUUUAGGGGCCAUGGUUUCGUGAAUCCUGUAAAAUUCACAAGUUAAGAAAUCAGGGCUCGAAGAAUGUUCUCCUUUAAUAUACUCAAUUUGUAAAUUAAAAUUGCUUAAAAUAGCUUGAUAUAUAGCAAAAAUAUGCUUAGAAGUUAUAUUCUUAACAUCCUUUUGUAAAACUAAUUUUGCAAAUUUACAAUCAACUCUUAAUAAAAACUUUUGAUUCAAAAGAUCAUCUUGAAAUUUUGAAAUGCAUAAAACAACGCUUAAAGUCUCUUUUUUAAUGAUGUUAUGAAUGAGUUGGGUAGUAUUCCAGGUUCUUGAAGUAUACCUAACUAACAUCUCAAGGUUACCAACACUUUGCUUAAGAAUCCCACCAUAACCUAUGUCUGAGGUAUCGAUCCCAACAAACUCAAAGGUUUCUGGAUUGAUAGAGCCUAAACAUGGUAGGGUCUUGACUUUGGACUUAACAUCAAUAAUGAAAACAAUGGUGAAAACAGAAAACUGGUUAAAGUUUUCAUCCAUUAUAUUCUGGAAUUCUGAGGUGCAUUCUUAAGAUCAAAGGGCAUUAUGAACCAUUCAUAAUGUCCAAGAGAUACCACAAAGGUGGUCUUAUUUGGAAUAGGACACCUAAUCCAACUUAAUGUAUCAUUAAGAGGCAUGUAGUUGACGACUAGUCUAGGUGUUCCUUUUUCUGAUUCAACUUGUUCCUGAACAUAGAAGGUUGAACAACUCCAAAGGGACUUAGACUUCCUUAUCAACUUUUUAUCAAGAAGAUCCCAAAUCUCCUUAUCACAAUAGCUUAACAAACCCUUGUUCAUCUGGAUAGGUCUUGAUUUAGUGGGAAUAUUCUUGUCACUAAAGUCUAGUUCAUAAGGUAAUUCUACCUCAUGUUGUUUCCUAUGCCAAAAUGCAUUAGGAAUGUUAGAGCAAACUUCUUCAACAAUCAGAUUAAUUUCUUGCUCAUGACUUUCCUUAGCUUGAAUCACCUGAUCCCUUAAGGUGUUUAUAUUUUUCUUAUUAGGUGGUUGGCAAAUUCAAAAAUAAUUUCCUUAUCUAAGAGCUUUGUUCUUAUACUUUGGUCAUCUACCCACAUGGGAUAGAUGGAGCUUAAAAAGGGGAUUCCAAGGAGAGCUUUCUCCUUAAGAUCCUUAACUAGAAUGAAGGUUUGCUUGAUGCAAAUGCCUUGGUUAUUUAUGUGAGCAUCUGACAGCUUAUACUCAAUGUCAAGCCUUUUACCAUUAGCUCCAAAGAGAGAUUCUUUGGUUUUCUUACAAAACUUAAUAGGACCUAGACCUUCUUGUAGGCAAUUCAAAGCUGUUCCUGAAUCAAUCAAAGCAACAAUAUCAAUGACAAAUUUACUCUUAAUUACUAUAGUAAGGGAGACUUUCCACCUCUGGAAAAUAACCCUACUAACAGUAUUUAAGUAUCCAUCCGUCUUUUCAUCAUUAGCAUGUGAAGAUUCUAGAACCUCUUCAAGGUUUUCCUAGUUAUCAACAAGAUUUUCUAUAACAAUCCUAUUUAUUUGUUCUUGGAGAUCUGAAAAACCUAAGCUUGUGUAUUGUCUUAAAUCUUUAAUUUCCUUCUUAUACUGUCUUACUUCUUCUUGAAGAUCCUUAAUGGUUACGUCUUUGGUAGACUACUGGUUAAAUCUUCCUAAGAUUUCAUUUAAGUUAUAAGAAUUUACUGUCUUCUUAAUCUCUUGCUUAUCGACAAAUUUCUUAAAAACUUCAUAAAGAUCUUGUUUAGUUUUUUCAUCUUCAACUUUCCUUAAAACAUCUAGGACAAGUUCUUGAUCUUGGCUUAUGACAUUUAUAGUCUUAGGUUGGCAAUCACAAUUAUCCUUAAUGUAUUCUUCUUGGUCACUAGAAGUUUGGCUUGAGAUUUCCUCACCACUACUAUCUAGUUGGUUAAUACCAUUUUCAUUAUCUGAAUCAAUCCUUGAUUCAGACUCUGUGGAAUUUAACAUUACUUUACAAAGCAUAUCUUUUAAGUCUUCUGUGACAUUUAAGUUAUUAAUUUUCUGCUUAACCCUACAAUCUUUCUUAUAGUGGCCUAUCUUACCACACUUAAAACAAACUGGCUUAGAUUGUGAAGGAGCUUCUAGCUUUUUAUGGGCUUCUUUGUUCAUCAUUCUUUGGAUGUGCCUUUGUUUCUUAGUUUCAUUCAUCCUAUAGUUGCCAUGAGUUCCUCUCUUGUUGUGAUAGGACUUUUCCUUACUAGGCUUUGUACUUACUUGUUUCUUACGUUGCUUAGAGGGGGGCUUAGUUUCUUUUUGGUUGAAUCCAAACUAGCUACAAAAUGAACCAAACUCAUUCUUGUAGAUCCUUUGUUCAUUUUUCAUCUGUUGCUUAAGCUUAAAGUCAUUGCACAGUUUAAUUGCUUCUGAUGUGACAAUGCUUAUAAUUUCUCCAUAAGAAAGCUUAUCAUAAGGGAUUUGUCCAUUAAACUGUUCCCUUAUCUUAAUCCUAAUCCUCUCAGAGAAAAGUCUAGGUAGUCCUAAGAUGAAUUUUUCUUUCCAAAAAGACUGGUUAUAGUUUGAUCUUAGUAUGACUUUGGUUAGGAAAACUUCUCUAUACCAUCUAAAGUCAUGAAGCUUGGGACACUUAAGGUUGGUUAAGAGAUCUACAAUCUUAUCCUUAAUCUUUGCAGGAUCUCCAAUGAAGUGCUUUGAAAUUGAAUAGAUUAGAGUAGCCACUACAUCCUCUAUAUCUUGUCCAUCUUCAUCCUUAACCACUUCAUUUUCCUCAUUAAUCCUAUAGGCUUUUAGGAUACCAUUUCUAUCCUCAAAGGUGAGAUAAUUAUCCCACCAACCCUAAAGUUGACCUGUAAACCCAACAACAAUUGUUUGAGCUACAGCAUGGCCUGACAAUCUAUUGUUUAACUUAUAGGUUGUACUAACCAUGGUCAUUUCUUGAAGCUUAGUGAGUAUGUUGUACUCAAUCAUACCAUCUAUGUUCCAUUCAUAGAUAGUGUCACUAGUGUAGGAAGCUUGAGUAUGCUGGUUUCUUUCCUCAUACUACAUAUCAGGAAAAGUUGGUCUAGGGUAGUAAUUCCUAGUUCUUGGUUGUUGAUAAUCCUCAUAACUGUUUGGUUAGGAGGUUCCUUAAAAAUCUUAAUUAGUUCAUCAGCCUCUGCUUCAGAACUAAUUUCUCCUUUAACCAUAUUGAUUCUCUUGUGAGAUGGUUGAGGUGUCUCAGAGACAACAAGGCUAUCCUUAACCUUUUGGCUUAUCCUAUCAAUGAGGGCUUGAUCAAUAUGGAGAUUCUCUAGGAAUUUCUUAGAGAAUUCAAAAGGCUUAAAUAAAGACUUAUUAUCUUUCUUAACAAACGUAGUCUUAAUGUAGUCUUGUGUUUCAAUGAUAUCCUCAAACUUGUUGAGUUGAUCGCCUGUAGUCUUAAGAAACAUGUUAGUGUAGUUGUUUUGUUCCAUGAUUCUUCUAACGUCAACAACACUAUCAAUUCCUUUAUUCUUUGGCCUAGUCUUAAAAGGUGAAGCUUUGACUAUGGUUCAAUUAAUGUUCUUUUAUAUCUUAGCUUCUAGAGGGUGGAUGGAUUCUAUGAUAGUAUCGUCACUAGUUUUCCAUAUCUUAGUUUUUUUGGAUGUGUCAUUGACACGCUUACUAGGGUAAUCUAGAUAUUCCUCUUGUUUGAAGAGUUCAAACCAGAUCCAAUACUUAAUGUUCUUCUUUUCUUGUCUUAAGUAUGUGUAGAAUUCUUCUUGGUAGAGGGUUCUAAUGUCUUUAAGGACCUUGCUAAAGAACCAAACUCUCCUUUUCUUAUUGACUUCAGAAUAGAAGUCUUUCCUUAAGAGGUCCUUGUUGAUUCAAAGUCUUCGUUAAUUAGGCUUACAGUGUUAAUCAACUGAGAAUAAGUAGGAGACAUAUCAGGAGAUUCGUCCUGAUGUGAUUCUUGAGUAAACUCAUUUUCCUCCAUGUAAAAGGGUUUGGCCACGUUGGUGUGACUUCUAACACCUGUUAGCUUAAUAUUCUUAGGAUUUGCUGAACUAGAUCCUUCCUCUAUCCUAGUGGUUCUUAUUGGGAUAGAUGAACUUGAAGCUCUAGAGGGCUCAUAAUAUGAAAUUCUAAGGCUGCUAGAAUGAUGAAAAGAGUUGGAGAAAAUUAGAUCUCGUUCUCCAUCAGGAUAUUGAACAAUCUGUUCAAUUCUUUCAGAUCUUUGCUCUAUGGCUGGGACAACAUUAGCAAAAUGCCAAUUUUCUGGAAACUCAACCUCAUUCCACUUGAUUUUCAUGGGGACUAUGAAAUUAGACUUGUUUAUCAUAUCUAAGUGGAAGAUAGUGGUUUCACCCUUGGGACUGGUGCACAAUGCUCCAAAUCCAACGCUUAUGGUCAUGCUCUUAUAGGCAAAUCUGGUGAUGAUGGAAACAUGAUUGUUUCCUUGCUUGAACUUAAAGUCAUGGGUCUUAACAUGAAGGACAACUGAAUCUAAGAUGUUGACAUCUCUUAGUCUAACUGUGAAGUUAGGGAAACACUGGAAAUAAACAGGACCAUCAUUUAAUCCUGCUUGGGUAGCUCCAAUAAUAGAAUCUCGGUAAUCAAGAUGUCUAUUAUCUCUUAAACACAUGACAAUAAAGGUGUUUAGACCUAGUCUUGUCAAGGGCUUAGCUGCAACUUGAAUCAUGCCAAAGUGUAUGAAGUUGUAGUCUCGCUUAUGCUUAUCAAUGGACUUACUAUCCAAGAGUCUUAUGACUUGAUCGUCGUGUUCUAAACUUACUGACAUUUCAGGGGUUUUAAUGGUGUAAUCUGUAAAGAACUUAAAGGUUCCUUUCUUAUAAAUUUCUUGAUUAGGUACCUUGGGUAACUUCCAAUCAUCUAAAUCAUCUUGGAUCUUAGGAUAAUUGAUCUCUUCAUUGUUUACUCUUGAGAAUUUGUGGAUUUCCUAGACAUGGUUCUGAAAAUCAAACUCAUUUUAAGGUUUUAAUCUAGAGCCUAAUAGCAGAUUAACAGACCUAGUGAGUAAUCACCCCAACCCUUUUCCAACCUUAACAAACGCCUAUCUCCAGCUAACAAUGGGCUCAACUCGGCAAGGAUCGCACUCAGGCACACUACUAUCUUUCCUAGGAUAGAUCAAAACACCCAAAACAAACCCGACUUCCUUUUCCUAGGAUAUAUAUAGUAUUUUGGGUUUGAGUAGGAGUUCAUGUUUUGUAUGUAAUUGUAGUCUACGUUGGACUAGGUUGUUUGCUCCUAAUUGAAAUAGGAAUGGUUGGUGUCACAUCUCAUUCAUUUUCUCAUCUAUUUCCAUGUUUAGAUAACUCAAGUAAUCAUAGGAAUGAAAUUAAGAAUGAUUUGAGGGAAAUGAAAUCUCACUUGUAAGUGGGAUCUCAAUUCAUCAUUAAUAGAAGGUAUUUUGAUUACAUAGUGCAAGUUAUUUUUAAAAACACUUUUCAAAAAUUGAAAAACCAAAAACUCUCUUGGAUAAGUUGUUUUUAAAAAGAAUUUUUGUAUUUUUAUUUUGUAAAAAAAAAAAAUAGUAAUUCAAUUUAUAUAAUAUAAAUAGACUUUAAUUUUAUUAAAAAUAAAAAUAAUUUUUUAAUUACAAAUAAAUUAAAAAAUAAAUAUUUGUAAUAAAAUAUGAAUAGUAAUAUUAUAAUAAAAUCAUAAAUAAAUUAAAAAUAUUUUUAAAAACAAAUAAGUUUAAUUUUUUUGAGGUACAAAUGAGCCAAAUUUUUCAUUAGGUACACAACCAACAAUUUUUAUUGGAAACAUUCCUCAAAAAAGAAUUCGUUUCCCAUAUAGCAAAGAUAUUUAUUAUUUAGUAUCUAACCAUCCGUAGUAAUCAUAUCAAUUCUACUAAGUUAUUUAAUAAUUCAUUUAUAUAUAGUACUCAAUUAUGAAUUUUUUUAUUUGAUGUAUAAUUAAUUAAUCAAUGUUUUGAAUUUUGAAUUAUUCUUAAAAUUUAAAACAUUAAUUAUGUCUAUUACUUUUUAUAGUCAUUAUAUAUAUAUAUAUAUAUAUAUAUAGAGAGAGAGAGAGAGAGAGAGAGAGAGAGCUUAAAUUUAUCUUUAAAAAUUAUUAAAUUUAUUAAUAAAUUCAAUACAAAGACUCAUUUGAUUUGAAAUUCAUUUCUUUAGUGAAAAUUUUGAAACUAAAUAGUACUUUGUUUUACUUUGUUUUUAAAUCAUACUCACAAAUAAGUUUUUAUCAUUUAGCCAAAAAAUCUCAAAGAUGUUUCUAAUUUUAUUUAUUUAUUUAUUUGUAAAUGAAAAUAAAAAAUUAGUUUAAACUAAAUAUGCGGAUAUUAUUGUUAAUUUAUUUCAUUUUUUAUUUCCAUUGUUAUUUAACAUUGAAACGGAAACAAAUAAUCAUUCCAAUCUUACAUUCUUAUAUGCAUCUAAACACAAGAAUUGAAAUCACCAAAUUCAUAUUCAAGGCAAAAUAGAAAUGGAAAAAAAAUAUUCAUUUUCAUUCCUCAUUCUCAUGUGCUAAACAUGACAUUAGUUCUACUACCUAUUUCACCAUUCUUCUUGAUAAAUUUGGUAUAUGCAAUAUUGAUCUAAGUGUGAGGUGAAUAAGAAUGAUGAUGGGAUGGGCUUGGAAAUAAGGGCAAAGUUUCUAGGUGCUAUCUAGAGGGGCAACGCGACUUUUUCAAAUUUCGAAUAUUUGUUCUCAACAUAAAGCAAAACUUUACUCACACAAUAGAUAAGACUCUGUUUGUUUUCUUCAUCCACGACUAUAUAAUGUAUAGCUCUUACUCAAGGGAUGAGCUACUUACUAUUAAGGAUUGGGUAAGAUAUUGCCUAAUGGCCAAGAAGGCAUGUCAAAAAAUAAAUCUAAUCACCAUAAAAAAUAAUAGGGGAAAAUUAAUAUAUUAUGAAUGAUGACUUUACUAUUUCUCUAUAUACAUAAUUAUAUAUUUUGAAUUUUCUCACUAGGUAAUGAGAUUCUAAAUCAACUGAAACAUAAUUAAUAAUUUAUAUUUUUAAUGAAUCUUUUAAUUUUUAAAAAUAAUUUAAAAUUUUAAAAAACAAUUCAAUUAAUUACAUAUUAAAUCAAAACAUUUCAAAAUAUUGUGUUUGUAGAUGAGUACUAAAUGCUUGCAUAUAAUAAUAAUAAUAAAAAAAUUGACUCAUUUAGAUGUUAAAAAAGUUAAAUGUUUUUCAUUAUUCAUUUUAAGUAAAAUAUUAUUGACAUUAUUAUUAUAAAAUUAUUAUUAUUCAUUUUUAACAAAAAACAAAAUAAGUUAUUCUUUUACCAAGAUGUCAAUAUCUAUAUUUUUCUAACAUAUAUUAAAAUAGUAUACUUUUCUUUUAUUAAAAAUAAUAAUUAUUAUUAUAUUAUUAUUCAAGUUUUAUUAAAAAAAUUUAUCUUUUAAUUCAUUUGUAAUUACAAAAUAAUUUUAUUUUAUUAAGAAUUUAAUUUAAUUACGCUUUUUUUUUUUAUAAAAAAAACAGUUAUGCUUUUACCAAGAUGUUAAUAUUCAUAUUUUUCUAGCUAACAUAAAUAGAAUAGUACACUUUUUCAUAUAAAAAAAUAAUUUAUGAUUUUAUUAUAAUGUUACUAUUCACAUUUUACUAAAAAUAUUUAUUUAUUUUAUUUAUUUUUAAUUAUAAAAUAAUUUUAUUUUCAAGAAUUUAAUUUUAAAAAAAUAGAAAUCAUUUAUUCUUUUACCAAGAUGUUAAUAAACAUAUUUUUCUAACAUAUACUAAAAUAAAAAAGUUUACUUGUUCAUUAAAAAAUAUAAUUUAUGUUUUUAUUAUAAUACUACUAUCUAUGUUCUACUAAAAAUAUUUAUUUAUAAUUAAAAAAUAAUUUCAUUUUUAAUAAGACUUGAACUAAAUUAAAUUUAUAAUUUUUUUUUAAAAUAAAAUAGAAAAUUAUUUUUUAAAAACAACUUAUUGAAAGAAAUUUUUUAUUCUUUACUUUUAAGAACUGUUUUUAAAAGCAACCUAUAAACCCCUUUGGGUCUGUUUGGCUAUGUUUCAUGCAACUUGUUUUUAAAAAUUGUUUUUUAUUCUUUAAUUUAAUUUUUUUUAAGUUAAAGAAUAAAAAACAACUUUCUAGUGUUUUAUAAAAAUGAGAGCUUUUGACAAGUUGUUUUUAAAAACCAUUUUUAAAAAUAAAAAAUAAAAAACUUAUUUAGAUAAAUUGUUAUAUAUAUAUAUAUAUAUAUAUUUGUAAAAACAUUUUAAAUUCAAUUUAUAUAAUAUAAAUUUAAUUUAAUUUAAGUCUUAUUAAAAAAAAAUUGUUUGGAUAAGUUUUUUUUUUUAAAUAGUUUAUUAUUUUUGUUUUGUAAAAACAUUGCAAAUUCAAUUUAUAUAAUAUAAAUUAAUUUAAUUCAAGUCUUAUUAAAACCAAAAUAAUUUUAUAAUUACAAAUAAAUUUAAAAAUAAUUUUUUUAGUAAAACAUGAAUAAUAAAAUUAUAAAUUAUAUUAUUGUGGACCCUGCAUUUAUGCUCAUGCGCUUCCACUUGUUGGCGAACUCAUUUUUUAUUUGAAAAUGAUUUAUUUUUUUAGAAAAUGACUUAGAGUCGCCACUUAUUUUUGUUUUAUUUUUAAAGGGCAAGCAAAAUAAGAAAGAAAACCCUAAGUGUGACUCCUUAUUCGAAAAAGGUAGUCUGUGUAAAACCGGAUCAGGGUUCAGGGAUCAGGUUACUUAUUGGGAAGGUAUGACAAUGACCGUAGCACUCCUCUAAGUCCUUAAAAACGGGCCUCUACUAAAAAAAAUAAAGUAAUCAUGGCAAUCAGUAAGGAAAUCACUGGAUACCCAGAACAAUUAUGCACAUGUGAGAAUUAAAACAUGCAUAAGAAUGGACAAAGUGAGAGUGGGUGCGUACCUUGACAACGAACCACAAUGCGUUAUCAAGAAAUGGGGUUAGUGCACGAUCAAUGAACAUAAAACACGUCACACAUGUCACUAAGCAGAGUGAGAAAUCAUCAGAUAUUACAAUUCAAUCAAAUUUAUUUUUAGAAGAAACAUCUGUUGAUGUAGAGCCCCUACCAAAGCCUAAUUUAUUUUUGCAUGAAUCAAUUUCAUAAAUUCAAUCGCUUGGAAUUACAGAAUUAAAUUCAUGCUUAUUUUAAAACAUCUUUUUAAAAUCAUGGAAGAUGUGAAAAUGGUUUUCCAAAGAGAAAAUGACAACUGAUUUUAUUGAAAAUGGGAUUUUGGGGACCUAAACGUUAAAGAGGGAUUAGGAAUUGAAAAUUAAAUCAUUUGAAAAUUGAAUUUUUCAAAAAUCAGUUUUGAAAGCAUGCAUGCAAGUAUGGACUGUGAAAGUGGGCCUAGGGAGGGUGGCCAUGCAAAAUGAGGUCAUACACGUGGGCCUUGGGUACAAUUGGGACUACUUUGCUGGUGCCAGUGGUGCUUGCAGCUGUCAUCCAUGAUUUCUUCAUUGGGAUCAAUUUCCAUUCUUACUGCCAAACAUUCCAUAACAAUUGACCAAACUAGUAACCCUGACCUUGCAUGAAAAUGAACGUUACCUAGAAACUCACUGCCAGUGAGAUUCAUUGCUCUUUCAAAAGGUCUCAUUUUCUUUCUCAUCCAAUUGCUUUAAGGAGCAUUCUAGCGUCACGAUUGGUGACUGCGCAUCAUCUAGAGCCUUCUUUCUUCUCAGAAUCAGGUUUGCGUGCAGAGGCCUGUGCUUGUUCAAGGUUGACCUAAAUUCAUCUAGGUUUAGAACCGACCAGUUGAGCUUGGGGAGCAACGACAAGAAUAUCAGUCACUUGCGAAGAGAAAACUCGAGAUCUUUCAAGUAAUGCCUGACAUAGAUUCCUCCAACCUGUGGCCAAUAUCUCAUUCCUUGUUGGCCAGACGCCUAUUAGGGCGUAUCUCAAUCAAUAAUAUGAUUUUUCGUUUGUUCACAAUAAAGACCGGAAGCCAUGGUUGUGAUUUAUGCAGUACAGAAGAAGUUGCCAUGGCUGGUAUCCUUACAAAUUCUGGUGUUUCUGCUAUCUGUUCAAGUGCAAAACACAACAGCUUUAUCAAGUUUGUCCCUAACAACUGAUAUUGAGCCCUCUGGAGGAAACCUUGAUAAAUUCAUAAUCACUUUUGACUCAUGCAUGGGCUGCCCAUCAAAUUUUCCUAGCAACGAGACGACUGCUGUCAUCUACUGCAAAGAGAAUUUCUUCUCGCAAAGACAAGAGGAGUUUAAGAAUACACACUAUUCUGCCAUUUCAUUUCCUCUUUCUCCACAACCAACAUAAACCAUAGUGUCUACAUUAGAGUACUUAGAAAGAGCUUAACUGAUGACCGUUUUUCCACAACCAAAUGCCCCAGGUAUGGCACAAAUUUCACCGAAAACAGAAGGGAAAAGGGCAUCAAGAACACGCUGUCCUGUAAGUAGUGGGGUAUCAGGACUACUCUAGGGAAGUUAUUUCUGUCAUUUUGAAAAAGAAAAAUUAAAGAAUGUACACAUGCUUUCAAGUGGACUGGAGCAUUCUACAUAUCAGGUGGUCUGUAGCCACAUGUGCCACUUUGUGGAAGUUGGAACAGUCGAUCACUAGGCUAUUUAGUGUGGCCAAGCCACGUUAAUCAAGGACAAGUCUUCAUACUUAAAAGUCAAAUGGUGCCUUUAGUCUCAUUACACAUGGCUAUUUAAAGAUGAACUAAUCUUUAGUGUAAUGUGAUUAAGACAGUACUAACUGAUCAAUAUUUUUUCUAAUUUUGGAUGCAAAUGCUUGCUGGCUUCAUCAUUGGAUGGGAUAAAGGUGCAUUCAUGACUCUGAAUACUUGCAGUAAUACUUGCAGUAAUACUUCAUUCUCUUUUUUCUCGAUGAGACUUCUUGGCACAAUUUUGCUUCUCAGCAACCUACCUCUCCAUGGAAAAUGAGUUGCGAUUGAUGGUACUGGAUAUUUUCUAGGAAGCUAAAUAUAGAUAUAUAGCACUCAAUGUCAACGAUAUAUAUAGCAUUAACAGUAUAUGUCUCAAUGCUCAUCAGCUACAAGCAAGGGACAAACACUUACAAUGAAUAACUCACGUCAACAUUCCUAAACAGGACAUAGAAGUGACAGAUCUAUAUAUAGAACACUGCAUAUGAGUCACAAGAAAAGAUAAUACGGGUGCAUAGCAGCUCUUAUAUUACAUAUUACUCAUACCGUUCAAAUUCACUCAGUUGGGAUGGGUGGGAGAAGGAGGCCUCUGGGGUGGCUUGUGCGUGUGAGAAGUGGAAGAAAGUUGAAUGGAAUGAAACUGAAAAACAGGGUAGAAUAGAGGUUUCUUGAAUCUUCUGAAAUCUUUAUUUUUCUGAGAUUUAUUCUCUGUUUUUGUGAGUCGUGACUCUACAUAUAUACAUGUAUUUAAAGUUAGUUAUGCCUUAUAACUAAUUAUCUAACAGUACCAAAACUAAUCAUCUAGUUGCAUGUUUCUAAUUAAUGCUAUUUAGUUACAACUAUAUAUGGCUUAACAUCCUCUCUCAAACUCAAAAGUCUAGCUAGAACAGUGAGUUUGCUUCAUAGAUUGAGAAAUUGUUGAAUAGGUAAGGCUUUGGUAAGAGCAUUAGCAAUCUGGUCAUAAGAAGGAAUGUGUUGAACCACCAAAGUCUUAUUGAGCACCUUUUCCUGAACAAAAUGGCAAUCUAGUUCCACAUGCUUAACUCGAGAAUGAAAAUAGGAUUGGCAGCAAGAAAGGUGGCUGAAAGAUUGUCAUAGAACAAAACAAAAUAGGAGAAUAAGAAGAUGAGAUAGAAAACUCCUGAAGAAGAUGUUGAAUCCAUUGAAGUUCAAAAGCAACAUUUGCUAAGGCCCUAUACUCAGCUUCAUUGCUGGAACGAGACACAACUUUCUGCUUACUGGAGUUCCAGGAGACUAGAUUAGAGCUAAAAAAGAUGCAAUGACCACUUGUACUUCGACGAUCAUCAGGGCAACCAACCCAAUCAACAUCAGCAUAAGCAGUAAGUUGAAAAUCAGGAGAAGAAUAAAAGGAAAGACCAAAGGAAGUAGUGCCCUUAAGAUAAUGCAACAAUCGUUUAACAACUUGCCAAUGAAGAUCAGUUGGUUAUUGCAUGAAUUGGCAAAGUUUAUUGAUAGAGAAAGAGAUGUCAGGCCUUGUAAUGGUACAAUAUUGCAGGGCUUCAACAAUGUUGCGAUAUUGAGAAGGGUCAGCCAAGAGGGAACCUUUAGAGGCAGAUAAAGUGUGAGAGGUAGUCAUUGGUGUAUCAAUAGGUUUAAAAUAUGGAAGACCAGCACGAGUUAACAAGUCCUGAAUAUAUUUGGUUUGGGAAAGAUGAAGAGAAGAUCCUUGCCAACAUACUUCUACACCCAAGAAGUAAUUCAGAAUACCAAGGUCCUUGAGAGCAAACUGAAAGUGUAAAGACGAAACCAUUUGGUGGACUAGCACGGUAUUAAGACCACUAACAAUAAUGUCAUCAACAUAGAUGAGAAUAAUGAUCAUGUCAGUCCCUUUCCGAAGAGGAGCUUGCUUCAGACCCUACAAGGCUUUGCGAAGUUUACAGAAAAAACCGGGUUUAGAAUGAUCAACAAAGCCUGGAGGUUGAACCAUGUAAACCUCUUCUUCUAACUCACCAUUGAGAAAGGCAUUAUUAACAUCUAAUUGUUCCACUAACCAACCAUGAGAAAUAGCAAGAGAAAGAACAAUUCAUAUAGUAGUUGGUUUAACAACAAGGCAAAAGGUUUCAAAAUAAUCAAUACCAUAUGUUUGAUUAAAACCCUUUGCAACUAAGUAGGCUUUAAAACGAUCAAUUGAGCCAUUAGCUUUGAGUUUCAGCUUGUAUAUCCAUUUACAACUAAUAAUGCGUGUAUUAACAGGUUUAGGAACCAAUGUCCAUGUGGAAUUGGUGAGAAGAGCAUCAUACUCAGUCUUCAUAGCAGCUUGCCAAUUAGGAUGCAAUAUUGCUUCUUUGAAAGAGGAGGGUUCGACAACAGUAGUUUGGAUAGCAAGGCUAAAUAUUUUUUUGGGUUUAAAAAUACCAUUUUGGCUACGAGUAACAAUAGUUCGGUUUGGAAGUGAAAGAGGAUCAGUGGAGGAGGCUGGAACAAGGGAUUGUGGUAAAGUAGGAAAGGAAGGUGGAUGAGAUGGAACAAAAUCAGUAGGGACAAUAAUGGGAGAAGAAAAAUUAGGUGGAGAAUGAUGAGGAUUCCUUGAAGAUGGUGUAGGAAUAGAGAGAAUACCAGAAUCAAGAAGUGUUAAAGAAGAGUUGGAUGAUGAUACUGGUUGACAGGAUAAAGACUUUGUUAAAAAUGGAAAUCGAGUUUCAUCAAAUACAACAUGACGAGAAGCAUAUAUCCGAGAGGAAGCCAUAUCCAAACAGAGGAAUCCCUUGUGUUUAGCACUAUAACCCAAAAAACAGCAAACAACAAAUAUAUUUGCUAGCUUGUGAGAAGCAUAAGGGCGAAGAUAAGGAAAACACAAGCAUCCAAAACUUCAAAGAGAUGUAUAAUAAGGUAAACGAUUAUAAAGAACUCCAUAAGGAGAAUUUUGUGAAAGAACAGCAGAGGGAAGGCAAUUUAUGAGAAAAAUGGCAGUUUGAAAUGCAAAUGACCAAUAUUUGAGAGGGUAUACCAGCUUGUAUUAACAAAGAAAGACCAACUUCCACAACAUGACGAUUCUUUCUUUCAACUCUUCAAUUUUGCUAAGGAGUAUAAUGACAAGAGACUUGAUGAAGAAGACCAUUUGUAGCCAAAUAAUUCUGAAAAGCUGAAACUGAAACUCAUCAAAUUGAUUUUUAGUAUCAAAUUUUCUUCAGACUGAACACAUUGAUUUUUAGUAUCAAAUUUUCUUUCAACCAUGGCUUGAAAAUGUUGGAACAUAAGUAAAGCUUCAUCUUUAGUUUCCAAAAGGUACAACCAUGAGAAUAUGCUAAAAUCAUCAAUUAGCAAGAGGAAAUAUUGAGCAUUACCAUUGACAGAAACUAUAGGAGUUGCACCCCAAAGAUCAACAUGGAUGAGACCGAAUGGUUUUAUUGCUCUAGAAGUGGAUAUUUCAAAUGGAAAACGAUGGCUUUUAGCCAACUGACAAGACUCACAUACAGAGUUAUUAUUGUCAUGUUUCAAAGGUAUUUUAUAAAGAGAUAAGAUUUUGGAAACUACAUUAAUAGAGGGAUGACCAAGUCUAUUAUGCCAAAGCCUCAAAGAACCAACGGCUAAAGUACUACUAGUAGAGUAAAAUACUAGUGGAUGACCAACAACUCUUGGUGUAGCAAGAAGUUUAUAGAGACCCUUCUCAAUUUUUCCUUGAAGAAGAGCAAGUCUCGUUUCCUGAUCCUUUACCACAAAAUGAGAAGAACGAAAUUCAAUAAAGGUGCCAUUGUUUGAGUAAAAUCGUUGCACGCUAACUAAGUUGGUGGUAAUAGAAGGAACAUGUAAGACAUCAUUGAAAAACAAAGAACCACUUGAAGAGGCAAGAGAAAAUUUACCAAUAUUUGCAAUGGAUAAACCCUUACCAUCUCCAACAAUUACUUUGUCACCACUGGUAAAUGGAUUAUGGAUUGUUAAAUUGUUAAGAUCAGAUGUGAGAUGAUGGGUAGCCUUUGUAUCAAGAAACCAAUAAGUGUCUCCCAUUGUUGCAGAAGUUGUAGUCAUAGCCUCAGGAUUGUUAGAGGUGGAAUGUUUAGAAUCUUUUGGCUGAUAAUCAGAGUUAAACCGAUACCAGCAUUGUAAAGCGGUGUGUCCGAACUUACAACCGAGAGAAAUAAUCUUUACUUAUUCUCUAAAAACUGUUCUUUAUUCCACACAUUAUUUCUAAAAACUGUUUCUAGAUAACAAUGACAAAAUAGUAUUAGGAAUUUUUAAAAAUAAAAAUUGUUUUUAAAUUACAUGAUCUAUAUCAUUCACAUUUGACCAUUAUAGCUUUGUUCAGGAAAACACUUGAAAGUAACCUUAUCGUGAUAAGAGAUAUAAGUUGGCUGUAGUUUCAAACUGAAAACAGAGGAUGGCAAUAGAAAGCAAAGCAUUAGUUAUCUGCAAUCAGUGGUGAUCAUGCCCCAUGUCAAUUUCGGACCCAUAUCUUAAAACCGUAUAAUUUGCAUUUCAACAUUUCUGAUUUCUCAGAUGUUUCAUACUCCACAGAAGAACAUUGUUUGUGAAAGCAUGCAUUUAUGCUGGAUUUUGGAUGAUGUGGGAACUGGGGCAAGGAUCAUAUGGAAGAGUGGUCGAUUUUUUCUGUACUUUAACAUUUGAAAUAGGAGCAGCACGGGCAUUUGUGGGGCUUAAUUGAUUUUGAAGCCUGAAAUUGCGUUUCUGUCAUUUUGUAAAAAAUAUGGCAGAUUCCAUGCUCUCAUAUGUUUGGUCUGUGGCCAUGUAUAGAUGCCACUUAGUGACCAGUUUGUAACUGUCAAUCAUAGUGUUUUGACUCUGGCUCAACAACAUCAGCCAUUGACGGAUUUUCAUACAUGCAAAUCAAAUAGUCUUCUUCCUCCCUUAGGAAUUUCGGUUUAAAUGUUAUUAAGCAUACAUUUGGCUGACAAUUAUUAACCACUUCAUGAUAUGGUUUCUUACCCUUAAUCAAUGGUUUCUAAGUGAAUAUAUGCAGAAGGAAAUCUGAACUGUAGACAGCAGUAUUGAUAAUUAUCAAUAUUCUUUAUAUAAGAGAAUAAACAACGUCAUAGUGAUCGUCGCCUACAAGAAAGGUACAUUUCCCAACAAGAUGUAGUUGUGACUGGUACAUGGACGUAAUUAACUCGUAGAAAAGGAUAAGACCAGUGCACGGCAGCUCUUAUUUUACAUGCUAAUUAUGCUAACCAAAGUCACUCAGUUGGGAUGGGAGGGAGAUGGAGGUUUGUGCGGUGGCUUGUGGGGCGGAGUUGGUGGCUUCUUUUCAGGAGCUUGUGGCUUUUUCGGAGCUGAAGGAGGCUCAAUCUUAUGAGGCGGCUUGUACGAGUCUUCUUUACUCUCGACAGGAGGGUGGCCAGGGUUGUGACCAUAAUGUGGUGGCUUCUCUCCCUUAGGUGGCUUGCCAACUGGGGUUGGUGGCUUGUGUUCAGGAAGUGGUUUCUCUCCCUUGGGAGGUUUACCAAUUGGGGUUGGUGGCUUGUGUUCUGGGAGUGGUUUCUCUCCCUUGGGAGGUUUAGUGGGUGACUUGUGUUCUGGAGGUGGCUUCUCCACCGGAGGCUUGUGCUCCGGUGGUGGCUUCUUGGUUGGAGGGGGCUUGGGGUAAUCAGCAAGAGAUGGGGGGGUGAGAACCACCACUCCAAGGAACAACACUAGCAAGUAUGUGGGAGACAUUUCUGAGUUUGAGCUGAUCAGAUGAUGCAAAACUAGAAGAAUUACGUGACCUUUUAUAGCAAGUAGCUCCCAAUACCCACAUGACACGUGUUACUGUGACCAUAAAUAUUAUAGGGUCCAUUUGUGCCCUACCGGGUUGAAAACUUGGACGCUUGGCCGAGGACACACCGAACUAUGGAGGACUAUUGACGUGUGAUCACAGCUUUUGGAUUUUUCUUCCUGUGCAGCUGUCUAGCGGUUGGCAUUAUUUUUUUAAUCUUAAAUAAAGGCAUAGUUAUAGAGUACAUUUAUAUAUCUUCAGAUAGCCAUUAAUAUAUUUGAUGAAGAAAGACAAGUGCAUACAACAUGUAUACGGCUUGCUUCAAUCGAGUACAUUUAUGAUCAGUUUUCCAGUGCAAGUAAACCAGUUUUUUGUUCCACAACUAUUUUGGAAUCUUGUUUAUCAGUUUCUAUCAUUAUAAUGUCACAUAGGCUGCAAACUUGGGCACCCAAAGAUCUAGUUGGGCAAAUUUGUUUCAGAAUUUCAAUGGUGGAUUCAGUAAUUGUUAAAAGGUGUUUCUUCAUUAAGGAAAGAGUCCUGUAAAAAUAUUGUUAAAAGGUGUCAUAGAAACUAUAAUAAUUAAAUAACUUCUUUUCCCCGUGGGUGGUGUUUCUUCUGGGGAUACCCAAAAUGAGUUCAGAUUAAAAUUGGUUCGAGUCAAAGCUGUCUCUUUUGUCCAGAAAUCAACUAUUUUGCGCAUUGCAUGAAUCGAUAAAGAAAAAAUGAAAGCCAAAUCACACCUCCCCUGCAAAACCUAAACCCCGGUUGCUAACUUUCUAUGUUUCAGUCCUAUUCAUACAGGAAUAUUGGUUCAAGUUUGAGAAAAAUGGCAACUUACCUAGGGAUUACUUGGUUGUGGUUUGCGACGACUAUUUACGCAACCAACCAUGAGUUUGACUUUAACGUCAUGGGUUGAAGCCUCCUACAAUCGUGUAUGAUAGUUCAAAGCUCGUAGUAGAAAUUAUACAGGAAGGAAGAAACCUCCAAAGCUAGCUCCAAAAGAGAAUUAUCACAUCGAUAGCUCCAGAGAUUCCCAAGGGGACUGAAUCAAAGACAAGUUCCUCACUUUUUCUUCUUUUGAGGCCAAAUAUGAACCAAGGAUCACACGACCUCAUUCAACUUCAUAAGUUUGAUUUCAUGCAGUUGAACACUGGGUGAAGGCCAUGACAAGAAUUGAUUAAAAAAUUCUACCACUGUUUUAAGUAAUGGAAGAUUAUUAUCUCUGAUUGGCACCACAACAGCACAUGCUGCUAGAUCUUUCUAGACACUCCAUGCAAUGAAAGUACAAUGGAUCUUGUAACGAUAGAAACUAAGCCAUGCUACAGUACUAGAUGACGAGGUAAAACUAUUAGACAUGGGUGGCAGCCUAUAUGGGAGGGACACAAGUCUAAUUGAUUUGCAUUUCAGCGUUCUAGAUGGGUAUGUUUUGGAAGAUUUGUUCUGGAAAUACCGCACCAAGUAGGAUUCUUUUUUCUCUUGAGUGGGUCCACUUGCAUGCCAAUUAUCGAGUUGAAAAGUAGAGCACCUACCUCGUGCUCGUGGAACCGAAGGUCAGUGAAGUGGGGCUCCUUUUGGCCUCUUGUGUUUCUGUUCCAACCAAGGCGGCGGAGGGAAAAACAGCAAUAUGUCUCCGCUAAAUAUCAACGCAUGAUAGCGAAUGAGGGAGAAAAAAAGUAAUUGGCAUCUCAAUCUCACAAACUUGGUACAGUAGUGACAUUAAUAGUCUUCCACAUGGUUUUUAUUUUAUUUUAUUUUAUAUUUUAUAUUUUCCAUUUUUUUAUUUUUUUGUAUGUCAAGGCUAAUGAAUAAAAUGCGUUAGCUUGUUUUGUGAUUGGAACUGCAAAUGUCCAAAUUGGAGUUUCUCCAUUUCUCAGUUCGGAUGGUUAACUUUAUAAACAAGAUAUAGGAAACAUGUGAACGUCUUGAGGAACAAUUCGAAUUAUUGAUUAGAACUCCUAGGUUGAGUUCCAAGAUUUAAAUCAGACCCCUCUAGCAGCUUCAGGGGUACCUAGCAAUUAGAACAUAUUAAUGAAGAUUUAGGAUUUAGACUCCGGAAUACAAAUUAAUAUGUAUCUUAUGCUCUGACUAGCUUCCCUGCAUAUGCACAAAAUGGAGAUGACCCAAAAAAUAGCAGAAUCGCCUUAGUUUAUGUGGUUAAGGUGAUUCUCCGGUUAAUAUCCACAUUGGCUCAUUAUGCAAAUCAACUGAGCUAUUUUUUUUUUAAUGUCAAAUAGGAACUCCUAAUUAACCUAACCAUUGGCCUGUGUAAAUUGAUUUCACAUGCACAAUGUUGUAGUAGAAGUCCACAUUUUGAAUUUUAUUUUUGGAAAGGUAAGGAAAAUGAAGCAUUGUGUAAUUAUAAAAAUAACUUCAUUGGAAUUCACAAGGUUCACCCAAAAUGGAGCUACAUCCGUAUUCUAUCUUACAGUAGACUAUAUAGAUUGUACAAUAGUAAAUUGCAAAUACAAUUAAUAAGUCUUGUGUUUCCUUACUAAUAAUCCUUUGACAUAAACAUUGCAGCACUAAGGUCCUCUUGGGCAGACACCUUGCACCCAUGAGAGCACUAAGAGGAAGCAAGGCGGAGUCAUGGGUGCAAUGUCAUGACUUGUUGCACUAAGAGAGGCUUGGUGAUGGCAUAGUGCUGCAGUAGCAAGAAUGUUGCCUUGGCAGGGACACGAUCUAGGGACAGAUGCCAAGAAAGGCUUAGCACUCACAUGAGUUGCACAAAGAUGAAUGAAAUAGAACAUCAAAGAGACAUCUUGGCAAGCUCAAGAAAGACAUGUGGGUUGGUAAAUGAAUGGAUGCAAGAGGCAACAACAUGAGGAGUUUCAAAUGGAUAGGGAAUGAGUCAAAGACAUUUGAAAGCUACAAGUUGGAUUCUAAUUACGAUUGCAAUUUGAGUUUGAGUAGGAGUUUAUAUUAUGAUUGUAAUUGUAGUAUGAGUUGGACUAGGAUUGCUUAUCCCUAGUCAAAAUAGGAGUUGUUCAUGCCACACCCUAUGAAAAGAGUUUGAGUAGGGACUAGGAUUGCUUGCUCCUAGUCAAAUAUGGAGUAGGUGGUGCCACACCUAUAAAAAAAAAAGGGACAACAUGAGAGAGAGAGAGAAUGAAUUCACCAAAGAUAUUGUGGGAGUUUUGCUUUGUUACAUCUUGUAUUAUUAUUUAGAAUAGUAAUAAAAUACAAGUUGGGGCUAGAGCCCCAUAAUCUCGUGUGCCUUUGUGGGUUAUUCUUUAUUUGCCAUCUCGUGUGGAUUGGAUUAGAUUGAUGAGGCGAAAUAUUAUGUGGGAAAUUUAUGUUGGGACACUUACCAUAACCAGGUAAAAUCUACCAAGUCUUUUGUAAUAUCUUCUACAAAUAUUUUAGACCAGUUCUUCACAAAACAUCAUAAUAUGUUUUGUGUUUCUCUUGGAUUUUGAGUUGAAUUGUCUUAGAUCAAUUGAAUGCAUCUCAAUAUUAUUAUCUUGUUUGAAGGCUUGAUGAUUUUCCAUUUAACUUUACUUUCUUUAGGUUAUGCUUGAUUCCUUAAAAGUACUAAGGAAAACAAAAAAUAAAAAAAAAUAAAAAAUGCAGAGGGUUAGGACAUGUGUUAUCUAAUUGUCCUAUCCAAAGAUAUUAAGAAAGUCAUGUAGGAAAGUAAUUGAAAACUAGGUCAAGAAAGGAGCAAAAGGGAAUUGUUUUGGUAUUUUCUUUUUUAUUCUUGAAGGUGGCAGAGCUAAAAUUUGAGAAAUCAAGCAAAACAUACUGAAAUUACAUUGAAAGAAAGAAAAUGGUAGUUAAUGUCUUGCAGUACAUGAUAAGGACUUCAUGCAUGUAGUGUGACGACCCAUGUCUUGGACUGAUGCCACACUCACGGUUACACUUAUACCCUUGGUUCUCUCUUUACUACCUUGGCUAACCUAGAUCAGGCUAUGAGAUAGGCUCCUCACCACACCAUCACUUGCCCAGUAAUUAGUGACAUUUUCAAGCAAUGAGGUAACAUGGUGACACCAAGAGGGUUUAUCCCUCGCCCCAACAAGUCUAGACUCGGUCUCAAAAAAAUGGAGAAAAAUGAGGUGUCGUUAUGCAGAAAUACAACAACCAUGCCUUCCUUAUUACUUAGAUUCAGAAUGUGAAGGUGAAAUUGAGAAACAGAAACUCUUGAAACCAGAAUGAAAAUUGAUACUUUUACGAAGAAUUACAACAUUAGAGGAAGACUACAUUCUUCCUCUAUAUUCCUACGUUUCUACACUACUUCUACUCCACUCCAUAUUUCUACAUACAUCUUUAAUCAGUUUUCCCUCCUUUAUAUAGAGCCAUCUUCACACAAAUUCCGCAAGGUAGAAAAGAGGAAUGAAACUUGGAGCAAGGUUCGACUACUGGUUGUCGCUUGUCAAGGCUGGAAUUGAACUUUUUUUCUUGGCUUUUCUGGGCAUAGGUAGUAACUUGUGGUUCCUUUUUGGAAUGAAAAUGGUACAGCUAGAACAUGUGGCACUCUCUUGUUGGAUUAUGUGUCAAACAUGUGGCAGCCAUCUAGUGGAGAUUAUUUCAAUUUUGGGAUGGAGAGUUGGCAUCCAAUUGCAAAGAAAUAUGACAUCUACCAACAUGCAAUGUAAACCUAUAUAGAUCAUAUGGAGAUAGAGAGGAAACAUAUAGAAAUGGAUAUAUACCUAGAACUAGCUUUUUAUUAAAUGAGACGGAGAGCCAACAAUGAAGGAAAAUCAAAAUUUUUGGCUCAUAUCAAAGAAUUCACAUUGUGUUACCCUAGGUUUUCUUAAAGCUUGCACAAAGCCAAAAAGCACACAAAAAAUUAUAUUUUCUAGCUCUCUACCUUGGAUGGUCUCUUGAUCCUACUUGGAGAUGUGCAUAAAUAAAAGGAUUUGAAAAUGACAAUUGACUAAGUAUGUAGUCAAUCAAUUACUCAUUAAUUGACUAGUUGAUCAAUUAACUUUGCAACAUCAUAUGCAAUCCUAAUAGCUAGUCAUCUAAUCAACUAGGUAGUAAAUCAAUAGGCCAAAAAUAUGUUUAUAAUGACUAUUUUGUACAAAAACCACCUAUAUGGUUAAAUAUAAUGCAUUUCAUUUAUAAAUCUUCUAAUUCUUGAAUAACGAUCCUAUCAUCCUUUGAAAGUUUUUAUUACACCUUUUAUACUUUUGUUCUAAAACUUACACAUGUACAUCACCCUUAAUUGUACCAUGAGAACCUAGCUUUUUUUUUUUUUUUUUUUGUAAUUCAUCAAAGUUAGCUUUUGUAUUCAUUACUGUACUAUUUUUAUUGUAACUUAGAAAGCGAGUGUUUUCAAGUGAGUGAAAUUGACUUAUAAAUAUUGUAAAGAUUCAUUGAUGUGUAUCUUAAACUAAGUGUACAAGUUGAAACAUUUGCUAGUAGAUUUUCUCAAGAUUUAGAAUAGAGCUUGAGGCUAUUGAAAUAGGUGGGGUUGCACCAAACCACAUCACAUUGUUGUUUGCACCUUUUUUUCACUCUCUUUUACUUAGUUGCUCUAUAUUUGUUGUCUAGUAAUAUCCUAUAGGCUUGAUGGGUUAGGGAGCAUCCCUUUGUGAAAAAUUUUCAUUCAAUCCUUAGUUGUAUCACGCAUAUAUAAAAUGCCUCAUUGUUUUAAUGGUAUUCAGUCGUGGCAUCACAGAUAUGGGCAUCUAAAUUUUAAAAGUUUGAAACUUUUAUCUAAAGAAAAUAUGGUGCUUUGCCUUUUUGUAAAGCAUGUUGAUGAAAUCCAUGAGAAUUGUGUACUUGGGAAGCAACAUCGAGAUGACUUUUUUUUUUUUCAUUUUUUAUAAUGCGACACCUAAGUCCGGUUUCUAAAUGCUGAAGUGAAAGGGUAGGUAUGGACCAUUGAAAUCUGAUCACAACUUUUGGCCUUUUCCUUUCUCUGCAGCCAUGUUGUCUCUUUUUUCUUUUGCAUGAUUUUCUUACCUAAACAGAAUCAUAGACUUGUUUAAUCUCUAAAUGGUAUUUCAUCCAGCUUUAAGCUACUGUAUUAUAUCUUGGUGGAGGACUUUUAAGAGUGAAACCGACAUAGAGCACAUGCAAGUGGGUAUAUGGGACAUGAAAUUUCUUCUUAUAAAGACUGCAUGGUUUUUAUAUUAGAGUUGUUGAGGCGCAAUGUAUUUAGCUUGUUUUGCAGUUAAAUUAAUUGGAUAAGUAGACAUUGUCGUUUCUAAAUUUCCCACCUAAGAUAGUGACCUUAUCCUUGACUGCUUGAUGAGAUACACAAACAAUUAUACCUUCAAAAUCUACUGUGAAGUGCUUCAUGUAUGUGUGAAGUAUUAGAAAUUUCUUUCUUGGCAACUUGUUUUUUCUUUGCCCUCUACUGAUAGGUUUGACUCAAAUUAAAUUCCCUGUCAUGCUAAUUAAUUUUCACGUGCAUGCUCAAAAGGAUCACGUCAACUCUGGUUUCUACUAUUCAGGUCCAUUCCCAGAUAAACUGGUUCAAAUUUGAGAAAAUGGCAACAGCCCUUUAGUGAUGUUGGUUUGGAGCCAGUAGCCAAACCCGCCCUGAGCUUUACCACUAAUGUCAAGGGACAAAGCCAUUUGAACAAAAACAAUAGCUUCAAGAGACUGAAUCGUGGAUGAAAUCUGAUCCACAUUUCUUCUCAUUUUGGGAACAAAUGAGAACUUAACUACAAAGAUUCUACUGCCUCAUAGUGCUUUUCCUGAUCUAAGGUUGGUUCGUUUCCCAAAUUGUGAGGUACGUGCCAUUCUCACGCUCAGGAGUGUAUCCACGUGGUGGACAUAAGAUGGUGGCUUAAUAUCUGGUGUCGGUGGCUUUACUUUACUAGGAGAGUAGUGUGUCUUCAUCUCAUUCACUGCCGGAGGGUGGCGUAAGCAGUGACGCUAAGGUGGGGCACAGUCAAUAUCAUUUGCAUUUGACCAUUAUAGUUUUCUCCCGGCUUGAAAGUAACCUUAUCGUGAUAAAGGAUUACUAGCACUAGUUCAGAUGACAGUCAUGUUAAAUUCGGACCAUGUUUGUGUCACAUUAUCAGCAACCAUGUGUUUAUGGUUCAUGCUAUCUGCAACUAAACUUGAUAUAUAACCACGUGAACUUCAAUCUAAAUUCUGGAAGUACUCUUGUGAUAGAUGGUGCCUGUCUGCAGAGUCCAUCAAUUGAAAAAUGGAGUGAGUGUAUCUAUAAGAGGGAAGGCUUGGCAAAUGUUCAGUUUUCUGGGAACUCAACAAGGAUCUAAAAUAGAUUGUUUUCUUUGCUGAUUUCAAUGGUUGAAAUUUGAGAAGAUUGUGUCCACAUAACACAACUAUUACUGGUCCUUCUGUUGCAAUUUAUCCUCUAAGGCUCUAACAUGUCUUCCAAUUCCCACUUCCCUGUUACUCCAGGAAAGCUAUUUCUGUCAUUGUGAAGAAGAAAAGAGAAUGUACAUAUCGAUGGUUUUAAGUGACUGGGGCAUUCAUAUCAGGUGGUCUGCAGCCAUAUAUGCCACUUUGUGAAGGUUGGAACAGUCAAUCACCAGGCUAUAUUAGUGUGGCCCAGCCACUUCAAUCAAGGACAAGUCUUCAUACUUAAAGUCAAAUUCUGCCUUUAGUCUCAUUAUAAAUUGCUGUUUAAAUAUUAAGCAAACAUUUGUUUAAUGCGAUUAAGACAGUACUAACUCAAUACUUGUUCUAUUUUUGGAUGCAAAUGCUUGAUGGUUUCAUCAUUGGAUGGGAUAAAGGUGCAUUCAUGAUUAUGAAUACUUGUAGUUAUAUUUUCAUUCUCUUUUUUCUCAAUGAGACUUGUUGGCACAAUUUUGCUGUUCAGAAACCUACCUCUCCAUCGAAAAUCAGUUGUGAUUGAUAGUACUGGAUAUAUUCAAGAAAGCUAAAUAUAGAUAGCACCAAAUAUUAUCGAUAUAAAUAGCAUUAACAGCGUACGUAUGUCUCAAUGCUCAUCAGCUAUAAGCAACGGGCAAACACUUACUAUGAGCAACUUGCGUCAAAAUUCCAGAAUAGGACAUAGAAGUGACAGAUCUAUAUAUAUAUAGAACACUGCAUAUGAGUCACAAGAAAGGAAAUUACGGGUGCAUAGCAGCUCUUAUUUUACAUCCUACUCAUACUGAUCAAAGUCACUCAGUUGGGAUGGGUGGGAGUAGGAGGUUUGUGGGGUGGCUUGUGCGGAGGAGUUGGCAGCUUCUUUCCAGGACCUGGUUGCUUCUCUGCUGGAGUUGAAGGAGGCUUAAUCUUCCGAGGUGGCUUGUAUGAGUCUUCAGCAUUCUCAGCAGGAGGGUGACCAGGGUUGUGACCAUAAUGUGGUGGCUUCUCUCCCUUAGGUGGUUUGCCAACUGGGGUUGGUGGCUUGUAUGAGUCUUCAGCAUUCUCAGCAGGAGGGUGACCAGGGUUGCGACCAUAAUGUGGUGGCUUCUCUCCCUUAGGUGGUUUGCCAACUGGGGUUGGUGGCUUGUGUUCUGGGAGUGGCUUCUCCCCCUUGGGAGGUUUUUCCAAUGGGGUUGGUUUGUGUUCAGGAGGUGGCUUCUCCACUGGAGGCUUGUGUUCAGGAGGUGGCUUCUCCACCGGAGGCUUGUGUUCAGGAGGUGGCUUCUCCACCGGAGGCUUGUGUUCAGGAGGUGGCUUCUCGAAUGGGGGAUGCUCAGGGUAAUCAGCAAGUGAGGGGUUGGUGAGAACCACCAUGCCAAGCAACAGGACUAGCAAGUAUGUAGGAGACAUCUUUGGGUUUGGACUUAAGACAGUGGAAAACUGCGAGAAUUCUCUAGCCUUUUAUAGCGGGUCGACCCAGUACUCACAUGACACGUGUCAUUAUGACACAUGUGCCAUGGGGUCGAUUUGGGUCCUACAGUGUUGAAAAGUUGGGCAUUUGAGGUGUGAGCACAACUUUUGGCCUUUGCUUUCUCUACAGCCGCCAUGCUUUUCCCUUUUUUCCUUUUCCUUUUGUUUUCCUCCUGCCUCGUGUUCUCAACUAAACACAAUUAGGUUGUUUAAUUGUUAAAUGAGAUUUUUGUCUGUCAAUCAUAUUAUAUCCUAUCAAGAGAGAACAGAGUGUAAUGUAGUACACAUAACACGAGGCAGUAGUAAUUUUAUCAUUUAUUUUUAUAGCUUGGACCACCGCAUUUUUUCUUCUAAAAUAUUCUGUCUUGUUAAGAGACGCAAUAAUACACAAUUUUAUCUGCCAUUCAACAUUUACUGUAAAGUUCUUUUAUCUCUUUGUAGUUCUAGAAAAGUACAAAAUGGAACAUCAUGUAUAUGGUGCCUUCUGUCCUAAAAAAGAAACUGGACAAAUUAUGAACUGCAUGCUAAAAAGAGGCAAAGGAGCUUAAUUCGCAGCAUAAUUAUUUUGGUUUCUAGAGAGCCCGGGGCCUUUUGGUUGGUUUGGGGUCAGAAAAUGAACAUCAUAGGGAUUGUGCCCUUAACUGGCCUUGUUACUACAAAGAAAUUGCCAUAGAAAUUUAUUCCAGGCUGAGUAUCUCCGGAUAGACCCCAGAAAAGAAGAGUCAUAAUGAGAAUCAACCUUUGUUGAGUUUGAUUCCAUGCCUCCAUUGUGUUCAUUUCAUGAAUCUGAUUUGCAUUUAACAUUACAGUUUUGUUCUGGAAACAAUCAAAGGAGCAUCGUUUGCUUCUUGGGUGACCCAUAGUGGUGGGUGGGUCGAUUUGCUUAGUUGAAAAUUGGACAAUUGGCUCCAUCGCCUACCUCUUGGAUUCCAUGCUCGGAUAAAACGACAACAAAUAAAUAUUUAUAACUUACAACUGGGGAAAGGAAAAAAUAGUACUAAAUUCAUGGUACAUGAUAGUGAGAGAAGGGGGUGUUACACUCAGCUAAAGUUCUUUUCUAAAUAUUGCAUGGUGUUUAAUUUUAUGUGUCGGCGCGCGUGUGAAUGGAACCUGCAAAAGUCCAAAUUGGCGUUUCUCCAUUUUCCACAUAGGAUGGUGACGUUAAUAGACAAAGAUACAAUAUCUGUAGACAUUGCUUAAAAAUCGAUGUGAAGUAUUAGAAAUUACAGGCCACUGUACUGGGGGAGCGGCUGCCCCGCCAAAGGAAGAAUGUAGCAAUUUCUUCUGUUAGCCAGGCCUUAGGAUUUAUGCAUGGGAUGCCUAAUAACAAACAGAGAAAAUAUGCUUUUGGGGAAGGUAUCCAACAACAGACACCAUCAUUCAGAUGGUGGGAAGGUAUCCAACAGAUGCCAUCAUUCAGAUGGUAACAUAUAUAUACAUUUAUUAGUGAGUUUUUUUAAUACCUAUAAAAAAAAUAUACACUUUGAUAUUGUGGCUGAAUCCAUUACAUACUCAACUAACCUUGCUCAUUAGGGAUUUGACGUAACAAGGGCAACGUUGCAGUAAAAGCUCGAAACUUUAUGCAGGUGACAUUACAUUUGGUAAAGAAGAGGAAAAUAAGGAAAGCCAUCCAUAAAAGCAAAAUUCCUCAUGGGAUGAAAUUCACAAACUUCAUUUACGUUAGAGUCGCAUCCAGGCAAUUAAUUCCACAUUAGACCGCCUUUUGACAUGUGUACGGAUCUUUUUUCAAAAAUUAUUUAUAAAUAAUUGAUACUUACAAAAAUAAUUUAAGAUUUAUAAAGGAUAAAAAAAUAUUUUCAAAUCUAUGACAAUUUAUAAAAUAUUAAUAAAAAAUUAUCUCUUAAACUUAGUAUAGUUUUAUCGUAUUAAACUUUUAUUUUGAACAAAUAAUUUUAAUCUAAGUUUUAAAUUCUAAAAUUAUUUCCUUAAAAUAAAAUUUUAAAAUUCAACACUUCAAUUGAAAUUGUCUUUUAAAAAAAAUAUCUUCUUAUUUUAAUCCUUAUAAACUAUAGUUGAUUGAAAAUACUAUUGAAGUUCUCUCUUCAAAAAAAGUCUUAUUUUAAUCUUCAUAAAUUGCCCUUGAUUUGAAAAUAAACUUUGGGUUAUCAUAUUUUAAAUAAUAUAUAUAUAUAUAUAUAUAUAUAUAUAUAUAUAUAACAAAUACUCUAUUUUUUUUUUAAAUGAACUAAUUUUAAUUAUAUUUUAUUUUAUUUUUUUAUAUAUUUUUAAUGAUAAACCAAACAUAGAAAAUCAUUUUUCUAAAUAUUUUAAAAUUUCUAAGCAACCAAACAUAAUCUUCAAAAUAAAAGGAGAAUAAGGAGGGACAAGUGAGAAAUGGCGAUUAAAAAAAAGUGUACAAAAGCUCAAUUAAUUUUCUUCUAGUCUUUUAUAUAAAAAAGUAUUGGUAUGUAAAUUAAUAUUUGGAUUUUAAUAGUAUUUUAUUUGUCUUUCUCUAUCUCAUGUAAAAGAGAAUUUAAGAUAUUUCCUAAAGCAAAGCAUUAGUUAUCUGCAAUCAGUGGUGAUCAUGGUCCAUGUCAAUUUCGGACCCAUAUCUUAAAACCGUAUAAUUUGCGUUUCAACAUUACUGAUUUCUCAGAUGUUUCAUACUCCACAGAAGAGUAUUGUUAGUGAAAGCAUUUUGUAACUGUUACUCAUAGUGUUUUGACUCUGGCUCAACAACAUCAGCCAUUGACGGAUUUUCAUACAUGCAAAUCAAAUAGUCUUCUUCCUCCCUUAGGAAUUUCGGUUUAAAUGUUAUUAAGCAUACAUUUGGCUGACAAUUAUUAACCACUUCAUGAUAUGGUUUCUUACCCUUAAUCAAUGGUUUCUAAGUGAAUAUAUGCAGAAGGAAAUCUGAACUGUAGACAGCAGUAUUGAUAACUCUCAAUAUUCUUUAUAUAAGAGAAUAAACAACGUCAUAGUGAUCGUCGCCUACAAGAAAGGUACAUUUCCCAACAAGAUGUAGUGGUGACUGCUACAUGGACGCAAUUAACUCGUAGAAAAGGAUAAGACCAGUGCACGGCAGCUCUUAUUUUACAUGCUAAUUAUGCUAACCAAAGUCACUCAGUUGGGAUGGGAGGGAGAUGGAGGUUUGUGCGGUGGCUUGUGGGGCGGAGUUGGUGGCUUCUUUUCAGGAGCUUGUGGCUUUUUCGGAGCUGAAGGAGGCUCAAUCUUAUGAGGCGGCUUGUACGAGUCUUCUUUACUCUCGACAGGAGGGUGACCAGGGUUGUGACCAUAAUGUGGUGGCUUCUCUCCCUUAGGUGGCUUGCCAACUGGGGUUGGUGGCUUGUGUUCAGGAAGUUGUUUCUCUCCCUUGGGAGGUUUACCAAUUGGGGUUGGUGGCUUGUGUUCUAGGAGUGGUUUCUCUCCCUUGGGAGGUUUAGUGGGUGACUUGUGUUCUGGAGGUGGCUUCUCCACCGGAGACUUGUGUUCUGGAAUUGAUUAAAAAAAUUCUACCACUCUUUUAAGUAAUGGAAGAUUAUUAUCUCUGAUUGGCACCACAACAGCACAUGCUGCUAGAUCUUUCUAGACACUCCAUGCAAUGAAAGCACAAUGGAUCUUGUAACGAUAGAAACUAAGCCAUGCUACAGUACUAGAUGACGAGGUAAAACUAGUAGACAUGGGUGGUAGUUGAUUACUACUCAAAAAGUACUCUUUUAUAGUUUGAAACUAACUGUUUUAAACACUUUUGAGUAGUAGUUAAUAAAUUUUAACUCAAUUGGCACAUUAAGGAACCUAGCAAGGGUUACUAAUAAACUUUUGGCAAGUUUUGGUGUUUUUGGUAGUUAUUCGAUCAUUGAAACAAGCCAAGAAUGAGGGAGAAUUUUGUGAAGUCCAUGGCAAUGCAAGUUAAAGCUCAAAUACACGAAGAAUCCAAGCUUUGGAGCACUACAUAGCCCUUUGCCAAGCCAAUUAGAGAUGCAAGGAACAAAACCAAAGGAAGAAAUCCAACAACCAACAUUUUCGCAUGGUUGUGUGAAAUUUCGCACACCAUGCGAAACCACAAGAGGUAGCCAAAGAAUUUCACAUGGUAUGCGAAAUCUUCUCAUGCACCGACUCCGUUAGAUUUUUAUCUUCAGAUAUUUUGUGUAAUUUCCUAGUUUCUCCUUGUAACCAACCUAGAUAUUUUCUUUUAUAUCUUUUUUUAUAUUUUUUAGGUAACAUCAUAUAUAAGGGGAGAGACAUAAGGAGGAUAUGGAUGUUUUUCAUAGAACACUUGUAAAUUUUCAGUAGUAAGAAAUAUACAAAGCUUUUUGCUAUGCCUUACCUUCUCAUUUUGUUUUCACCUGUCUUUCUAGCCAAACAACCUCUAAGGAUGAUUUCUCAGGGGAUGAGUGGCUAGGUUUUACGUUUCUUGGAGUGAGGGAAGCUAGGUGAAGGACCUGAAUGCAAAGAUGAGAGUUUUCCUUGCUUUAAAUGAAAGUAGUUGUUAAACAUUAAUGGUUUUUAUUUUAAGGUUUAGCUUUAAAUCCCUUAAAAACACCUUGAAUGACCAAUACUUGGUAAGCUUUUCGGAUUCUAUGGAUGCUUAUUGCUAGAUCCAUGGAUGUCUAUUAGUUAUCAUUUACGAGCCUUUGGAAGGUGAUUCAAGGUGAGGGUCUUUAGUGUUUGAAGCCAUUAAUGGGAAGCAAUUACCAUUUUUUCAUGAAUCCUUUGGAUCAAAUCUUAAUUGCUAAAUAUAAAACCGAUUUGGGAAAUAACCAUCCUUUAUGUUAUUAUCCCCAACGCAAGGAGAAGAUCCGGAAUCUUCCCUUUUGUCUAAGGAACCCGAUCCUAGUGACCUAAAGCUCCAAGAGACCUUUUCUUUGUAGUUAACUUCAUUUAUUGUUUUUGCUUAACUUAAAAUCAAUCUUUGCAACCACAAUUCCAUUUUCUUUAAAAGCUAAUUUUUAUAAGGAAAAACACCAUUUUAUUUCCUUCACUAAGUCAACUGUACGAUGAAAACCCAUCCCUGUGGACGAUCCUAGAGCCAUUAUACUAUGUUAGCUAUGCUACCCUAGUGUGAGGUGAUUUAGGUUUUAUAAAUUUUGUUGAUAACACCCAUCUGAGCCAGAAUCAAAUGGCACAACUGAACCAGGGACGAAUCAAAUGGCGCCGCUAUCGAGGAUGGUGCCAAAGUACAUUGACAUGACUUUUGGUGAACACUUGUGAUCUUCAUCACAAGUUUGGUGAUUUUUCUAUUACUAAUUUUUUUCUUUGUUUUUAUUUUAGCUUAUCUUUUAUUUAGUUUUUAGCUAACCUUAACUUUUUCUUAGAAUUGUAUUUCUUCUAUUUUCUUUGUUUUUGUUUCAGUGAUCUUUAGUUGUGCAUGCCCUAUUGGAUAAGAAAUAUUGAGGGAAUACUUGUGAAGAUUGAAAAUCCUCGAGAAACUGAGUUGGAAGUGUGAUUGAACAUCAUGGAUGUUCCACCUGAAGACCAGAAUAGCCAACAUGGUUAAGAGGAUAAUUUCAAAGCAUACCGAUCCAUGAGGGACUGCAUGCAUCCACCUCGUAUGAGUGCACCGUCAUGCAUAGUGCCUCCCACUGAGCAACUAGUAAUCUGACCUCACAUUGUGCCACUCCUACCUACUUUCCAUGGGAUGGAGAGUGAGAAUCUCUACUCGCAUAUUAAGAAAUUCGAGGAGGUUUGUAAUACAUUCCAAGAAGGAGGAGCUUCAAUUGACUUGAUGAGGCUCAAGCUAUUUCCUUUCACUUUGAAGGAUAAGGCUAAGAUUUGGCUUAAUUCUUUAAGGCCAAGGAGUAUCCGAACUUGGACUAAUUUGCAAGCCGAUUUUCUUAAGAAGUUCUUCCUUACCCAUAGGACCAAUGGUUUGAAAAGGCAAAUUUCGAACUUCUCAGCUAAAGAGAAUGAGAAAUUCUAUGAGUGAUGGGAGAGGUACAUGGAAGCUAUUAAUGCUUGUCCUCACCAUGGCUUUGACACAUGGCUCUUAGUGAGUUAUUUUUACGAUGGUAUGUCUUCUUCAAUGAAGCAACUCCUAGAAACUAUGUGUGGAGGAUACUUCAUGAGUAAGAAUCCGAAGGAAGCCAUGGACUUUUUGAGUUAUGUGGCUGAAGUUUUAAGAGGAUGGGAUGAACCAAAUGCUAGAGAGGUGGAAAGAAUGAAGUCUCAACCUAAUGCUAAGGGUGGGAUGUAUGUUUUGAAUGAAGACAUUGACAUGAAAGCAAAGGUUGUAGCUAUGGCAAGGAGAUUGGAAGAGCUAGAAAUGAAGAAGGCACAAAAAGUGGAAGCCAUUUCUGAGACAUCAGUGCAAGCUAUGCCUUGUUCCAUUUGUCAACCUAAUGCUAAGGGUGGGAUGUAUGUUUUGAAUGAAGACAUUGACAUGAAAGCAAAGGUUGUAGCUAUGGCAAGGAGAUUGGAAGAGCUAGAAAUGAAGAAGGCACAAAAAGUGGAAGCCAUUUCUGAGACAUCAGUGCAAGCUAUGCCUUGUUCCAUUUGUCAAUCUUAUGAGUACCUAGUGGAGGAGUGUCCUACAAUUCCAGUAGUGAGAGAGAUGUCUGGUGAUCAAGCAAAUGUUAUUGAUCAAUUCAAGCCUAAUAAAAAUGCUUCAUAUGGCAACACCUACAAUUCAAAUUGGAUGAACCAUCCAAAUUUCUCUUGGAAACCAAAGCUACCUCAAUACACACAACCUGCUCAAGCACCUUAGCAAUCCUCGAAUCUUGAACAAGCUAUUGUGAACCUUAGUAAGGUUGUGGGAGAUUAAAAGUCCAUCAAUGCUCAACUGAAUCAGAGAAUUGACAGUGUAGAGAGUACAUUGAACAAAAGGAUGGAUGAGAUGCAAAAUGAUCUGUCUCAAAAGAUAGACAAUGUCCAAUAUGCAAUCUCAAGGCUUACCAACCUCAACACAGUGCAAGAGAAAGGAAAGUUUAUUUCUCAACCUCAUCAAAAUCCCAAGGGUAUCCAUGAAGUGGAGGCUCAAGAGAGAGAAUCUUCAAAGGUGAGGGAAGUCAAAGCAGUUAUCACCUUGAGGAGUGGUAAAGAGGUUGAUCAACCCACAUCCAAGCCAAAGCAUAAUGAAGAGAGUUUUGUAGAAAAAGAAAAGAGAGGAAAAUAAAGGAAAGAGAAUAGAGAAAAGUACAAAGAAAGAUGACCAUGAGUCUAGUGUGGAUGAAGAGCCCAAGAGGAUAGUGAUCAAGGAAAAUAUGAUGAAGAAACACAUGCCUCCACCUUUCCCCUAAGCUUUGCAUGACAAAAAAGGAACCAAUAAUACAUCGGAAAUUUUUGAAGUAUUGAGGCAAGUGAAGGUCAAUAUCCCUUUGCUAGAGAUGAUCAAACAAGUGCCGACAUAUGCAAAAUUCUUGAAGGACUUGUGCACUGUAAAGAGAGGGUUGAAUGUGAACAAGAAAGCUUUCUUGACCGAGCAAGUGAGUUCCAUCAUACAGUGCAAGUCUCCAGUGAAGUACAAAUAUCCGGGCUACCCUACCAUCUCAGUGAGUAUUGGAGGUACUUGUGUGGAAAAAGCUUUGUUGGACUUGGGAGCAAGUGUGAAUUUGCUACCCUACUCUGUCUAUAAGUAGUUGGGACUUGGAGAGUUGAAGUCAACAUCCAUCACCCUAUCUCUGGCAGAUAGAUCAGUGAAGAUUCCAAGAGAGAUGAUAGAAGAUGUCUUGGUUCAAGUUGACAAAUUCUACUAUCCAGUGGAUUUUGUUGUUCUUGAUACGGAUCCGAUUGUCAAAGGAACUAAUUAUGUUCCUAUCAUACGAAGACCCUUCCUAGCUACAUCAAAUGCAAUCAUCAAUUGUAGGAAUGGAGUCAUGAAACUCACGUUUGUCAACAUGACAUUAGAGCUCAACAUCUUCCAUUUGUACAAGAAGCAUAUCCAUUCAGAAGAAAAAGAAGGUCUAGAGGAAGUGUGCAUGAUUGACACUUUAGUGGAGGAGCAUUGUGAUCGACAAUGCAAGAAGAUUUAGUUGAGAGUUUUGGGGAUCUUGAUGAAGGGUUACUUGAACCCUCAGAUUUGCUUGCUACCCUACUCCAUUGGAGGAAGAGAGAAGAAAUUCUACCCUUAUUCAAUGAGGAGGAGACACAAAGAGCUGCUAAAGAUAAGCCCCCAAAGCUUAUUCUUAAGCCACUACCCACAGAGUUGAAGUAUGCAUACUUGGAAGAAGACAAGAAGUGCACUGUUGUUAUAUCUUUAGCUCUUACCAUUCAUCAGGAGGAUUGUCUACUUGAAGUCCUUAGAAGAAGUAAGAAGGUAAUAGGGUGGCAAAUUUCUGAUUUGAAAGGGAUCAGCCCUUUUGUCUGCACCCAUCAUAUUUACAUGGAGGAUGAAGCUAAGCCAAUUCAUCAACCUCAGAGAAGGUUGAACCCUCACAUGCAAGAAGUGGUGAGAGUUGAAGUUCUUAAGCUACUUUAGGCUGGUAUUAUUUACCCCAUAUCAGAUAGCCCAUGGGUGAGUCCUACUCAAGUUGUGCCAAAGAAGUCGGGGAUCACGGUGGUGCAAAAUGAUAAGGGAAAAGAUGUCUCUACAUGUCUCACUAUAGGUUGGAGGGUGCGUAUCAAUUACAGGAGGUUGAAUGUAGUGACAAGGAAUGACCAUUUCUCGUUGCCCUUUAUUGAUCAAGUGCUUGAGAGGGUCUCUGGGCAUCCUUUUUAUUGUUUCUUGGAUGGCUACUCGAGGUAAUUUAAGAUAGAAAUUGAUGUUGAAGACCAGGAGAAGACCAUUUUCACAUGCCCAUUUAGAACCUAUGCAUAUAGGAGAAUGUCUUUCGGCUUAUGCAAUGCACCCACAACUUUCCAAAGAUGCAUGUUAAGCAUUUUCAAUGAUAUGGUGGAGCAUAUUAUGGAAGUCUUUAUGGAUGAUAUCACCAUAUAUGGAAGUGCAUUUGAUGAAUGCUUGGUCAACUUAGAAGUUGUUCUGAACCGAUGCAUUGAGAAAGACUUAGUGCUUAAUUGGGAGAAGUGCCAUUUCAUGGUACACCAAGGGAUUGUCCUUGGGCACAUCAUCUCCAAGCAAAGCAUUGAAGUUGACAAAGCAAAGGUUGAACUCAUUGUUAAGUUGCCAUUCCCAACAAAUGUCAAAGGAGUAAGGCAAUUCCUUGGCCAUGCCGGGUUCUAUAGGAGGUUUAUCAAGGAUUUCUCUAAGCUUGCAAGGCCUCUUUGUGAAAUAUUGGUGAAGGAUGUUAAAUUCAUAUGGGAUGAUAGAUGCCAAAGGAGUUUUGAAGAAUUGAAGCUAUUUUUGACAACCUCACCAAUAGUGAGGGCUCCCAACUAGCAACUGCCCUUUGAGGUAAAGUGUGAUGUCAAUGACUUUGCUAUAGGAGCUGUUCUUGGGCAAAGAGAAGAUGGAAAACCUUAUGUGAUCUACUAUGCGAGCAAGACAUUGAAUGAGGUGCAAAGAAACUACAUAACCACCGAGAAAGAAUUGUUAGCUGUAGUUUUUGCCUUGGAUAAGUUUCGUGCUUACUUGGUGGGAUCCUUCAUCGUGGUUUUUAUUGAUCACUUUGCUUUGAAGUAUCUAUUGACUAAGCAAGAUGCUAAAGCAAAACUGAUUAGAUGGAUUUUCUUGCUUCAAGAGUUCAAUCUCCAGAUCAAAGACAAGAAAAAAAUGGAGAAUGUGGUAGUAGACCACAUUUCAAGGCUAGCUAUCGCACAUAAUUCCCAUGCUUUGCCCAUUAAUGACGAUUUUCUAGAGGGGUCUCUCAUGUUGGUGGAAGUUGUCCCUUGGUACGCUCACAUUGCUAACUACCUGGUCACAAGAGAAGUUCCAAGUGAGUGGAAAGCACAAGAUAAGAAGCACUUCUUUGCAAAAAUUCAUGCCUACUAUUGGGAAAAGCCAUUUCUAUUCAAGUAUUGUGCGGAUCAGAUAAUAAGGAAGUGAGUUCCUGAAGAAGAGCAACAGGGGAUCCUCAGUCAUUGCCAUAAAAAUGCAUGUGGAUGCCACUUUGCUUAUCAGAAGACAACCAUGAGGGUGCUGCAAUCGGGUUUCUGUUGGCCAUCACUUUUCAAAGAUGCCCACACCAUGUGCAAGAGUUGUGAUCGAUGCCAGAGGCUUGGGAAGUUAUCAUGUAGGAACAUGAUGCCUUUGAACCCCAUUUUAAUAGUUGAUCUUUUUUAUGUUUGGGGCAUUGACUUCAUGGGACUUUUCCCUAUAUCUUUUGGCUACUCUUACAUCUUGGUGGGAAUAGAUUAUGUUUCUAAGUGGGUUGAGGCAGUCCCAUGCAAACACAAUGACCAUAGAGUGGUUCUCAAGUUUCUUAAGGAGAACAUCUUCUCAAGAUUUGGGGUGCCCAAAGCCAUAAUUAGUGAUGGGGGUACUCAUUUUUGCAACAAGCCUUUUGAAACUCUCCUAGCCAAGUAUGGGGUGAAGCAUAAGGUAGCUACACCUUACCACCCUCAAACUAAUGGGCAAGUUGAGUUAGCAAACAAGGAGAUUAAAAACAUAUUGAUGAAGGUGGUGAACACAAACAGAAAAGAUUGGUCAGUCAAGCUCUUCGAUUCACUAUGGUCAUGUAGAACAGCUUACAAGACCAUUAUCGGGAUGUCUCUUUAUCACCUAGUCUAUGGAAAAAAUGCCAUCUCCUUGUGAAAUUGGAAUACAAAGCUUGGUGGUCAAUCAAGAAGCUCAACAUGGAUUUGAGCAGAGCUGGGUUGAAGAGGUUCUUAGACCACAAUGAGAUGGAGGAAUUGAGAAAUGAUGCCUACAUCAAUUCAAAAAUUGUAAAAGAAAAAUUGAAGAGGUGGCAUGAUCAGUUGAUUUCCCGCAAGAAUUUUCAAAAUGGAUAAAGAGUCUUGCUCUAUGACUCUAAACUCCACAUCUUUCCGAGCAAGCUGAAAUCAAGGUGGAUAGGUCCUUUUACCAUUCACCAAGUGCAUUCAAAUAGAGUAGUGGAACUACUCAACUCCAACAACAUCGGGAGCUUCAAAGUGAAUGACCAUUGUCUCAAGCCCUUUGUAGAGUCUUUUUUCUCGCGACAAGGAGGAAUUCAUCCUCCUUGAUCCACAUCAAGCUUGACAAGACCAGUUUUUUUUUAUGGACUUAGUCUUUCUAAAGACUAUCGAGUCCAUAACUUUUUAUUUUAUUUUUUAUUUGAGAGUUUUUCGGUAUUAUUACUUGUUUUGUUUUUUAUUUUUCGUUUUACUUUUAUUUGGUUUGAUUUAACUUAGAUUUUUUAUGAUCAAUUGCAGGGGGGAUUUCAAAUAGAGGAAAAACCAAGAUAAUUCGCACACCCUGCGAAAAUUUCGCAAGGCAUGCGAAAUUUAUGGCUCAUUUCGCAUGGGAUGCGAAAUUUCGCACACCCUACGAACCAAUUUCGCACACUUUGUGAAAAUAAACCAACCCUACGAAAUCAUUUCAAAUACUCUACGAAAUUUUCGCAGAGCAUGUAAAAAAUUUCGCAGACCAAACACCAUUUCGCAUACUAUGCGAAAAUGUAAGGGGUCUACAAAACCAUUUCGCACCUCCAAAGCCAUUUCGCACAUUGUGCAAAAAUGAAAAGUCGCCCUAUCAUCCAUUUUUAAACCCCUUGAGCCCUGAAAUCCCCAUUUCGCAAGCACCCCUGUCCUUGCGAAUCCCUCAUUUUCCUCUGCCACCUUGCGACCUUGUCCCUCUCCAUUUGAUAUCGUGCCCUGCGCACAUCUCAUUUCAAAGACUCGCACUCUGCGCCCUCUCAAAGCACGAACCCAAGGCUCACAUUCCAUUUCCGACAUGGCACAGACCCGAGGAGCCCUUCCCGCCCCUUCAUCGAGACGCACACCAAGGUAGAGAGCCUCUUUUGCUCAGAUGCCAAGUGAUUCUCCAUUUCAGGCCACGGAGGCCCUGCGGAUUCCACAUUCCAAGGGUAGAACAGCCACUGGUCCUUCCUCUUCUAUUCCUCAGCGUAGAUAUGAGACGAGGAGACCACCUACUACACAAAGGGCGACUACUUCGCGCCAUGAGAAUUCGGUACGACACCCUCCUGCCAAGAGGGCCAGGACUUCAGGCCCAGGCGAGUCAUCCAAAGCUUCACAGCCUGAGCCUCCUGCAGAUUCCGAGGUUCCUACUGACAUAUCAUCGGAGUCUAUUAUCAAACGCCCGAUGCUCACAGCACCGCCCAUUGAGGGCAACUCUGAUUGUAGAGCGAGACCUUUCCACUUGGAGCUAUAUUUUAAUUAAGAGGCCAUGCCACAGCAGCCUGAGCUCCAAGACUCUUAUGGCUUACUACAGAGGUACCAUCUUGAGGACCUUAUGACUCCUCGUGAGUUCUUUUAUCCCAGAGUAGCACUAGACUUUUACCAGUCCAUGACUACUCGUGGCGUCCCGAGUCCUACCGCGAUGCACUUCACCAUUAAUGGACGUCAUGGUAUCCUCGAGGCCAGACAUAUUGGAGAGGCUCUACAGAUUCCUUUCGAGCUAGAGGACCCAUCUGUUUUCUGCCAAUGGUCCCCAAUAUCUCAGAGGGACAUGGUCCAUAUUUUAUCCAGGGGGACAUCUACAUAUUCGAUCCUUCUACGGAAGGAGCUUCGACCUGGGAUACUCCUCGUAGAUGUGGUGCUACUUUCCAACCUCUUUCCCUUUUAGCAUUCGAUACAUAGGCGAGGAGCUAUUUUGGACGCUUUAUUCUGUAUAUCAGAGGGCUUCUACUUUGGCCCGCACCACUUGAUCAUGGUUUCCCUCAUCCAUUUUGAGGAGAAGGUCCAUAGAAAGAAGCUUCAGAGGGCGAACACCAUUCCAUUACUAUUCCCGAGGUUGCUCUACUAGAUCUUGGAGUACAUGGGCUUUCCUACUGAGCCUCGGCUUGUGUGCCGCCGCCUUUGUCAAGAGCGAUCCACUCUCGACAAAUGGAAUCAGUUGGCGGGCUAUUCUACACCUCCAGGAGCCCCUCCCAUGGUAGCACCUCUAGUGUCCCCACAGGCAGAGUAGGGCAAGCUCCCGGUAGAGACUGCACCCCUAGUGCCCACACCUGAGGCUACUUCUGCUGUUCCGCCUACGACUCCUACUGUUCCACCAGUUGGUCCUUUUACAUCUGAGUCUUCCAUCAACAUCUCGACUUCGGAGUUUCGCGCCCUUGUGCAUACCUUUCAGACACUCACCACCACACAUACUGCUCUCUUCUAGAAAAUGGCUGAGAUGCGUGCCCAUCAGGACCAGCAGACUACUAUACUCCGCCAAAUUCAACAGCACCUGGGACUUCUGCCUCUGCCUCAGCUUGACCUUCCCACAUCAUCAGAGCCUCUAGCUCCAGUUGAGGAUACUAUUCCACCUGAGGACACUACCACAGUAGAGGUUCAGAUUCCACCACCUCAGGAGGCCACCACAGCUACAUUAGAGGAUGCAUCAUCUCCACCUGAGGCUCCCACUACUUGAUCAUAGGACAUCUCUUUAUCUUAUUGUAUUUACAUAUUAUAUUACUGGAGAUUUGUCUUUGUUUUGAUACUUUAUAUUCUGGCAUUGAAUGUAUUGCCUAAUGAUAUCUCAAUUGUACUUUCUCAUAUUAAUAUAUAGACAUCAAUUUUUUUUAGUAUACUUAGGAUUUUUCUAUUUACUCUACUCAUUACUCUUUUGUUUUUUUUUUUUUACUCAUGUGGUUUCUCCUAUACGACUCAGACUCCAUUUCACUCAGGAGGUACCACUUCUUCCCUUUAUUUUCAAUUGCUCUUGAAACAUUGAGGGCAAUGUUGAUCUUGGUUGGAGGGAGAGUUGAGGAAGGAAGUGAUUACUACUCAAAAAGUGCUAUUUCAUAGCUUGUAAUUAACUCUUUUAAAACACUUUUGAGUAGUAGUUAUCACCUUUUAACCCAAUUAACAUAUUAAGGACCCUUGCAAUCAAUUCUAAUCAAAUUGUGUUAAGUUUUGGUAUUUUGAUAGCUUUUUUAUCACCAAAGCAAUCCGAGAUUGAGGAUAUUUAUUUGGAAUCCAUGGCAAAAGAUGUUUGGACAGGACGUCCGGACACACCAUCGGAGGGCGGCGGAACGUGGGCUGUGGCAGGCUGUCGGAAUGACGUAGCAAGGCUUGUGCACUUUAGCCAAUGAUCGGGAUAACAUAUCCGAAAUUCUGCUCCGCCGACAUUCCACCCGGAUGUCUCACAUCCGGAAUUCUGCUCCGCCGACAUUACACCCAGAUGUCUCACAUCCAAAAUUCUUCUCCGUCGACAUUCCAUCCGAAUAUUUCACAUCCGACGCUUGACGCCGGAUGGGAGAGGAGGGCGUUUCAACUUCCCCGGUCAGACAUAUCCGAAUCCUUUGAUAACGCUUACCCGGAGAGUUUCGCAGCCAUUUUGCACAGUGCCGCGGUGUUCUCUUGAAGCUUCCCGAUAUGUGCGACCGACAUUUUGAGAUAUUUUGCUUUAGAUAUUUGAUGUCUAAAUCCCCAAACUCUCCUUGUAACCCACCAAUUAUAGGAUUCCUUAGUUAUUAAGUUUGGAAAAAUGGUGAAUAACCCCUUAUAUAUAGUUUGCAAUUUUCAUAAAAAAGAUAUGUAGAAUCUCGGGAGCUUGUUCCCAGAGAGACGCAUCCUUUGUACAGUUUUGGAAGGAAGUAAAAUACAGAGCACUUGCUCUGCUUUUCAUAUAUAUUUUUGUUUUCUCGUUCUUUUUAUUUCUAGCCAAUCAAAGUCUGAGGAUUUUUCCUCAGAGGAUGAGAGGCUAGGCUCUUCGUCUCUUGGAGUGAAGAAAACUAGGUAAGUUUCCACAUGCAUAAAUUGAAAGUUUUGUUGUUUUAGUUUUUAAUGAAGAGAAAGUGUGACCCGUUAAUGGUUUUUAUCUUUUUAGUUAACUUAAAACGCCUUUAAAUCACCCGGGCCAACACUUGAUAAGGCAAGUGGUCUCCAUCCAUUGAGAUGCACUAGUUUAUCUCUUGCGAGCCUUUGGGAGGUGGUUUGAAGGUAGGAUUUUCUAGAAUAACCAACACUUGAUAAGCUUUUGGACUCUAAGGAGACAUCCAUUAGUUAUCUCUUGCGAGCUUUUGACGGGUAAUCCAAGGUUAAAGAUCACCUUGAAUGGCAAGUACUAGGUGAGAGGUAUGAGCCAUUGCAAGAUGCAUUAGUGAGAGGGAUUUAGUGUUUGAACCCAUUAAAGGGAAGCAUCUGUACCACACCGGUUCGGGAAAUAACUAUAUGUUAAAUCCCCAAUGAGAGGAAAAGAAACAAGUGACCGGAACUCCCUUUUUGUAUAAGGAACCUGAGCCUAGUGAUCUAAACUCCAAGAAACACUUUUCUUUGUAAGUAAAAUCAGUUACUAUUUUUGGUUAGUUUAAAACCAAACCUUUUUCAUUCAAACAUCUUUAUGUUUUCUUUUAAAGCUAACCUUGAAAUGAAAAGGCACCAAUUCAUAUUUGAAUUAAUAUCAAUUGUGAAGUGAAAACCCAUCCCAGUGAACGAUCCUAGAGCCACUAUGCUAUAGUAGCUUUGUCUUUGCUACCCUAGUUCAUGGUUUAAUAGGUUAUAAAUUUUGUUGAUUACUCCCACAAUCAAAGGAGCACCAGUUGGACAUGAAUCAACUGAGACACUAAUUGGGCACAAAUCAGGAAGUUUUGUUAAUAAUGCUAGGUUAAUUUGUUAAUUUAGUUACUUUCUGCUUAAUUUUAAAAGUUUUCACUUUACUUUCCAUAGUUAUUAAGGAAAAAUUCUCAAAAUGAAAUGGGAGAAAUUGAAUUCUUACAUUUUUACUUGAAUUUUAGAAUUUGUAUUAUGCUUAUUGAAGCUGAUGAAUUAUUGAAACUCCUAUUGAAUUCAACCUUAUUUCUUCCACUUUAAUCUUACCACACACGGUGCACAUUAGGUUCCGAUUAUAAGAGGUGCGUUCUUAGCCUAUUGGAGGUUGGUCAAUUUGUUAAAGUUUGAGAAAGAUCUAGGUUAGGGGAGAGAGAAUAGUCUGACAUACUAUAAUCGAAAACUAAUAAACUUAACACUUAGAUCUUUGUGGAAGAGUAAGGAUUGGACCUUUGGGAGUGGAAAUUCGUUUGAUGCUUAAAUUUGCAUAAUGCUUACACUUUAUAAAUUGUGAUUAGGCAAGAGAUUUGAUGACUCUUGUUCAAGGUUGGGUUUUGCCUCUUUGAUGUUCCAUGAGAGAGUAUAAUCCUCAUCAUGCCACUUGAAAUUUUUUUUGGAGUGAUUAACAUGAUUUUGUAAAUUACUUUACUGUCUAUUUUUUUUUUAUCUCUCCUUCAUUGCUAAUGGACUAGCAAUAUGUCAGUUGAGGGGAGUGAUUACUACUCAAAAAGUACUCUUUUAUAGCUUGAAACUAACUGUUUUGAACACUUUUGAGUAGUAGUUAAUACCUUUUAACUCAAUUGGCACAUUAAAGAACCUAGCAAGGGUUACUAAUUAGUUUUUGGCAAGUUUUGGUGUUUUUGGUAGCUAUUUGAUCAUUGAAACAAGCCAAGAAUGAGGGAGAAUUUUGUGAAGUCCAUGGCAAUGCAAGUUAAAGCUCAAAUACAUGAAGAAUCCAAGCUUUGGAGCACUUCAUAGCCCUUUCCAAAGCCAAUCAGAGAUGCAAGGAAGAAAACCAGAGGAAGAAAUCCAACAAUUAGCAUUUUCGCAUGGCUGUGCGAAAUUUCGCACACCAUGCGAAACCACAAGAGGCAGCCAAAGAAUUUUGCACACUAUGCGAAAUUUCGCAUGGUAUGCAAAAUCUUCUUGUGCACCAACUCCGUUAUAUUUUUAUCUCAAAUAUUUUGUGUAAUUUCCUAGUUUCUCCUUGUAACCAACCUAGAUAUUUUCUUUUAUAUAUUUUUUAGGUAACAUCAUCUAUAGGGGGAGAGACAUAAGGAGGAUAUGGAUGUUUUUCAUAGAACACUUGUAAAUUUCCGGUAGUAAGAAAUAUACAGAGCUUUUUGCUCUACCUUACCUUCUCAUUUUGUUUUCACUUGUCUUUCUAGCCAAACAACCUCUGAGGAUGAUUUCUUAGGGAAUGAGUGGCUAGGUUUUACGUUUCUUGGAGUGAGGGAAGCUAGGUGAAAGACCCGAAUGCUAAGGUGGGAGUUGUCCUUGCUUUAAAUGAAAGUAGUUGUUAAACAUUAAUGGUUUUUAUUUUAAGGUUUAGCUUUAAAUCCCUUAAAAACAUCUUGAAUGGUCAAUACUUGGUAGGCUUUUUGGAUUCUAUGGAUGCUUAUUGCUAGAUCCCUGGAUGUCUAUUAGUUAUCAUUUAUGAGCCAUUGGAAGGUGGUUCAAGAUGAGGGUCUUUAAUGUUUGAAGCCAUUAAUAGGAAACAAUUACCAUUCUUUCAUGAAUCCUUUGGAUCAAAUCUUAAUUGCUAAAUAUAAAACUAGUUCGGGAGAUAACCAUCCUUUAUGUUAUUAUGCCCAACGCGAGGAGAAGAUUCGGAAUCUUCCCCUUUGUCUAAGGAACCCGAUCCUAGUGACCUAAAGCUCUAAGAGACCUUUUCUUUAUAGUUAACUUCACUUAUUGUUUUUUCUUAACUUAAAAUCAAUCUUUGCAACCACAAUUCCAUUUUCUUUGAAAGCUAAUUUUCAUAAGGAAAAUCACCAUUUUAUUUUCUUCCCUAAGUCAACUGUACGAUGAAAACCCAUUCCCAUGGACGAUCCUAGAGCCACUAUACUAUGUUAGCUAUGCUACCCUAAUGUGAGGUGAUUUAGGUUUUAUAAAUUUUGUUGAUAACACCUGUUUGAGCCAGAAUCAAAUGGCGCAACUGAACCAGGGACGAAUCAACAACUUAUAUGGGAGGGACACAAGUUUAAUUGAUUUGCAUUUCAACGUUAUAUAUAGGUAUGUUUUGGAAGAUUUGUUCUGGAAAUACUGCACCAAGUACGAUUCUUUUUGUCUUGAGUGGGUCUACUUGCAUGCCAAUUAACGAGUGGAAAAGUAGGAGCACCUACCUCAUGCUCGCGGAACCGAAGGUCAGUGAAGUGGGGCUCCUUUUGGCCUCUUGUGUUUCUAUUCCAACCAAGGCGGCGUAAGGAAAAACAACAAUAUGUUUGUGCUAAAUAUCAACGCAUGAUAGAUGUUUUUGUUUUUUGGUAUGUCAAGGCUAAUGAAUGAAAUGCUUUAGCUUGUUUUGUGACUGGAACUGCAAAUGUCCAAAUUGGAGUAUCUCCAUUUCUCACUUCGGAUGGUUAACUUAUAAACAAGAUAUAGGAAACAUGUGAACAUCUUGAGGAACAAUUUGAAUUAUUCAUUAGAAGUCCUGGGUUGAGUUCCAAGAUUUAAAUUAGACCCCUCUAGCAGCUUCAGGGGUACCUAGCAACCUAUAGCAUAUUAAUGAAGAUUUAGGAUUUAGACUCUAGAAUACAAAUUAAUAUGUAUCUCAUGCUUUGACUAGCUUCCCUACAUAUGCACAAAAUGGAGAUGACCUAAAAAAAUAGCAGAAUCUAGCUUCCCUACAUAUGCACAAAAUGGAGAUGACCCAAAAAAUAGCAGAAUUUCCUUAGUUUCUGUGGUUAAGGUGAUUCUCCGCUUAAUAUCACAUUGACUCAUUAUGCAAAAUCAACUGAGCUAAUUUUGUUUAUUUAUUUAAUGUCAAAUAGGAACUCCUAAUUAACCUAACCCUUGGCCUGUGUAAAUUGAUUUCACAUGCCCAAUGUUGAAGUAGAAGUCCAUAUUUUGAAUUUUAUUUUUGUAAAGGUAAGGAAAAUGAAGCAUUGUGUAAUUAUAAAAAUAACUUCAUUGGAAUUCACAAGGUUCACCCAAAAUGGAGCUACAUCCGUAUUCUAUCCUGCAGUAGACUAUAUAGAUUGUACAAUAGUAAAUUGCAAAUACAAUUAAUAAGUCUUGUGCUUCCUUACUAAUAAUCCUUUGACAUGAACAUUGCAGCACUAAGGUCCUCUUGGGAAGACACCUUGCACCCAUGAGAGCACGAAGAGGAAGCAAGGCAGAGUCAUGGGUGCAAUGUCAUGACUUGUUGUUGCACCAAGAGAGGCUUGGUGAUGGCAUGGUGUUGCAGUAGCAAGAAUGUUGCCUUGGUAGGGACAUAAUCUAGGGAUAGAUGCCAAGAAAGGCUUAGCACUCACAUGAGUUGCACAAAGAUGAAUGUAAUAGAGCAUCAGAGAGACGUCUUGGCAAGUAAAUGAAUGGAUCCAAGAGGCAACAACAUGAGGAGUUUCAAAUGGAUAAGGAAUGAGUCAAAGACAUUUGAAAGCUACAAGUUGGAUUCUAAUUACGAUUGCAAUUUGAGUUUGAGUAGGAGUUUAGAUUCUGAUUGUAAUUGUAGUAUGAGUUGGACUAGGAUUGCUUAUCCCUAGUCAAAAUAGGAGUGGUUCGUGUCACACCCUAUGAAAAGAGUUUGAGUAGGGACUAGGAUUGCUUACUCCUAGUCAAAUAUGGAGUAGGUGGUGCCACACCUAUAAAAAAAAAGGGACAACAUGAGAGAGAGAGAGAGAGAGAGAGAGAGAGAGAGAGAGAGAGAGAGAGAGAGAAAGAGAUAAUGAAUUCACUAAAGAUAUUGUGGGAGUUUUUCUUUGUUACGUCUUGUAUUAUUACUUAGAAUAGGAAUAAAAUACAAGUUUGGGCUAGAGCCCCAUAAUUAAUCUCGUGUGCCUUUGUGGUUAUUCUUUAUUUGUCAUCUCGUGUGGAUUGGAUUACAUUGACUUAGAGGGCUUCUAAGCACCACCUUUGUGGGUUAUUAUUUAUUUUCCAUUUCUUGUGGAUUAGAUUAGGUUGACUUUGAGGGCUUUUAAGCACCACCUUUGUGGGUUAUUCUUUAUUUUCCAUAUCGUGGGGAUUGGAUUAGGUUGACGAUGAGAAAAAUUAUGUGGGAAAUUUGUGUUGGGACACUUAUCAUAACCAGGUAAAAUCUGCCAAGUCCUUUGUAAUAUCUUCAACAAAUAUUUCAGACUAGUUCUUCACCAUAAACAUCAUAUUGUGUUUUGUUUUUCUCCUGGAUUCUGAGUUGAAUUGUUUCAAGUCAAUUGAAUGCAUCUGAAUAUUAUUAGCUUGUUUGAAGGCCUGGUGAUUUUCCAUUUAACUUUACUUUCUUUAGGUUAUGCUCACUAUAAGAAAAAUGAGAAAUAAUGACGCUUUUUACGCGUUAAGAAAGGCAACAGAUGAUGCUUCUCUAAAGCGUCCUCUUCGGCUCUGUCAUUAUAUGUGUUAGCCAAUAAUGACGCUUCUAGGAAGUGCCAUCUUUGAAUAAUGUUAAUAACGACACUCGUAAAAAGUGUCAUCUUUAAACAUAUUCUGGUCAAAUAAUUUUUACAAAAUUAGUAAUCUUCAAGCCGUUUCUGAAUCAUAUCUGAGCCUAUUUCUGGGGACCAGAAAACCAUCUUUUUUCCAUUCGCCUGAGAGGUCUGAUUAGCAUUUCUGGAAUCAAUCUCUAAACCCAAGCUUCCCUCAUCUACCCAUUUAACCCUCAUGCCCUCCUGUUUGAACAACUUUCCCACUAUAUACACAAAUUUUUUACCUUCUGUUGUUGGUAUUCGACCUCUUCCCAUUCCCAGCACAGAAUCCACCAUUAGUGCCACUUUGUGAAUAAAAUCAUCGAACCAGAUCUUUCGGGCGGAAGAUGAGCUCCAGAGAAAUAAAAUUUUUGGGGUCUUCCCAGCAUGAAAGUCAUAGGUAGCAUUAAUGACAUCAAGAAAUGGGGCACUGUUGAGAAAAAACAUGUUCCCAUCAACCACCCAAGAAUUGUACCAGACUCCAAACACUUCUGGAUUACAUAUGCCUUUACUAAGAUAUAUUUCUUGAUCUCCAUAUCAGAAUCUUGGAGACUCUUCAUUUUAUGAGCUCUGACACUACUGUGAAAUUGGUCCACAUCAAUCACAGGAUGACCCCUUCUAGCAAGAUCAAGCAGGAAGUCUGAAUUCGGGCCCAUAAAAAUGUAGUUCUGAAUAUUGAAACUCUCAAAGUGGCACAACAAAUUCCUUAUGACUCUUUCAGAUGCUCCAAACAGGCUCACAAGUAUAAUGGUAUCCUGUUUUUGCACAGAGUAAAGAAAAUAUCCGAGUUCUUCAAAACUCCUUACAACUAUUCCAGGAUGUACUUCUUUGAAACAGAAAUCGUACCACUUUAGCUUAGUCAGAGGUUGAAUCUAAAAUAACAAAACCCAAACUGAAAUCAAAAUCGAAAUCAACCCUAAUAGAUUUCAGAAACAACAAAUUAAAAGAGUAAAGCACAAAAGGGGGAAAACACAUAUGAAGCAAUCUCCAUACAAGCCCUAACCUUAGAUAAACCCAAAAAAAAAAAUCAAAGCAGAGAGUUACCAUAGAGCAUCUCUGUUUCAAGCUUAGAAAAUGUUUAAUGCCAUUGAUAACUAGUUGGCUAGUGGUGGACUUCAAGCUUCUCUAUUUCGGUGUUAGUAGCUCUCAAUGGCUAUGGUGAGAACAAAGAAAUGAGAGGCUUAGGGUUUGGGAUGUGAGGUUAUUGAUGAUGAUGAGGAUAAAGUUAUGGGCUCUUGGAGGGGUUAGGGAAAUUGAAGAUGGCUGAGAGUAAAGGCUAGGGUUUUUGAGAUAGUUAAUAGCUUUUUAGGGUGUGACUGUCCAUAGAUAGAAGAUAAAUGAGGGUGUGAGAAUUUAUAGAUCUCUAGGUGAUAUGGCGGGUGUGAGAAUGAAAUUUUAGAGGGAAUUGUGUGUUUGGUAGAAAUUUCACACAUGCAUAUAUAAUGUUUCAGAACAUGGCACUUUAAAAAUACGACAAGGAAGAAAUUAUUUAUUGACGCUUAAAUAAAGCGCCAAGGUCUCCAACAUUUUUGCAAUCAAUGACGUUUGUAAAAGGUGCCAUUGAAUAGGAGUGCCAUUGCUUUCCCACAAAGCAUCAUUGUUAAUCAAGCCUUUAAAAAACGCCAAGAUAUGUUGCCACUUAGGUUAAAUAUUGACGCUUUUAAAAAACGCCAAGGAAAAAAACGUCAUUAUUCAUGUUUUUUGUAGUAGUGGCUUGAUUCCUAAAAAGUAAAGGAAAGCAAAAAGUAAAAAAAUAAAAAUGUGGAGAGUUAGGACAUGCGUUAUCUAAUUGUCCUAGUCCCAAAUAUAUUAAGAAAGUCAUGUAGGUUACUUGGAGUAACGAGUCAAGUAAAGCAAGCCUUCUAGUGUUUAAGACAUUAGAUAUUACCGAACUGAUUAUGUCAUUAAUGUAUUGCAUUUGUUGUUUCUAAUAUAUAGAAGAAGAUGAAAUUAUUGGAAUAAGUGGGAAAUAGGAAUAAAUCCAAGGUACCAAAAAGUCACUUUAUCUUAGAUGUUGUUGGAAACAUAAGUGAUUUCACAAUAACGACUAUGAGACAAUCAAGGAUUAAUAAGAUAGACUUUAUAUGAUAUACCUCCCAAUUAGAGCCUAAAAAUAUGGAUGAAGCACUUAGAGAUGAAUCUUCAAUUUUUGUACUAUAGGAAGAAUUAAAUCAAUUUGUUAGCUAUUCUUUGGAUAUUUGAUUCAUCACAAGCUACAAAUCACUUUUGAUGACCAAACACGAAACUAAGAGGAUUGGGCCCAAUUCGAUGCCUAUCAACAAUGAUUUGUAUUCCACCUCAUUAAUUAUUCAAAGUUGGGAAGCUAGGUCUAACCACUUUCUCUACCUGUUCACCCUUAGAGGAGCAGAAGAAAAUUCUAACUUUGGUGCCUAAUGCCUUUGACAAUCUUUCGACAAAGAGAGUUCACUAAUUACUUUGAUUAUUUCUCUGUUGGUCACUGGGGGACAAGACUUUUGUAAUGAAGUCAACUAGAACUUGCCCUUUGAGGGCCAUUCAUGGACGAUAUUACACCAUGAAUUCCCUUAGGUCAUGUUUGGUAUGUGAGAAUGAGGAGUGGAAUGGACAUCUUAUUCAUUUUUUCAUCUAUUCAAAUGUUGGGAUAACUCAAGUGACCAUGAGAAUGAAAUCAAGAAUGAUUCAAGGGAAAUGAAAUCUUACUUAUAAGUGUGAUUUCAAUUAAUCUCUAAUAGAAAUUAUUUUGAAUCAAUAGUGCAAGUUAUUUUUAAAAACAUUUUUCCAAAAUUAAAAAAAUCAAUUUUUUUUUUUUCGAUAAGUUGUUUUUAAAAGGAUUUUUUUUAUUUUGUAAAAAGAAAAUUGUAAUUCAAUUUAUAUAAUAUAAACUAAAUUUUAUUUUAUUCAAAAAGAAAUAAUUUUUUAAUUAUAAAUAAAUUAAAAAUAAAUACUUUUAAUAAAAUAUAAAUAGUAUUAUUAUAAUAAAAUCAUAAAUAAAUUUAAUUUUUUUUAUAAAUAUUAUAAAAAUAUGGAUAUUAACAUUGGAUAAUUGAUUUAUUUUGUUAAAAUAAAAAAUAAUAAUUUUUAAUAUUAUUUUAUGUUAAAUGAAUUUUAAAAUAAAGAAAGUUUAAUUAUUUUAAGGUAUAGAAGAGCCAAAUUUUGCAUUACAUACAUAACAAACAAUAUUUAUUAGAAACAUUUCUCAAGGAGAAUCUUAUUCCAUCUCACAAAGAUACUCGUUUAUUCGAUGUUUGACCAUCCGUAACAAUCAUGUCAAUUCUACUGAUUUAAUAAUUCCUUUACAUUUAUUACUCACUUAUGAACAUGGUAUUGUGAUUUAUUUAUUUAUUUGAUGUAUAAUUAAUUAAUCAAUUUUUUAAAUUUCAAAUUAUUUUUAAAAACUAUUCAUUAAGGAAUUUAAAGCAUUAAUUAUGUCUAUUAUUUUUUAUAGUCAUUAUAUAUAUAUUGAGUUUUAAUUUAUUUUUAAAAAUUAUUAAACUUAUUAAUAAAUUCAAUAUAAAGUCUCGUUUCAUUUGAAAUUCAUUUCUUUAGUGAAAAUUUUGAAAAAAAAAUUGUUAUUUAUUUUACUUUGUUUUAAAAAAAUUGUUUCUAGAGAACAAUAAUCAAAUAAUGGUAUGAAUUUUUAAAAACAAUUUUGUUUUUAAAUCAUAUGCCCAAAUAAUUUUUUUUUAUUUAGCAAAAAACUUUGUUGUAGUAUGUGGCUCAUAUUGAGGGAAAGACAUAUAUGGAGAAAAAUGUGCAAAUGUUGGAGUGGAGCGGAGUGGAAUGACGACAUUUGUCAUUCAAACUUGUAUUUUUAUUGUUAAGGGUGACCGAUAGGUUGGUACGGUUUAGGGGUAUUUUUGGAAUUUCAUUACCUGAGGGUUAGUAUAAAUACCAUUUUAUGUAACCCUAAUUUUACAUAUAAUGUAAGUUUUCUUCCUUGUUCUUGUGGACAUAGGCAAUCCGUCGAACCACGUUAAAUCUGUGUGUUUUUUUUUCUUUUUUCUUUUUCUCUAAUUUCUUCACCAGGAAUCGUUACACUAAGAUCAACAAACUCUCAAAGAUGAUUUUUAAAAUGAAAAAAAUAAUGUAUAGUGUGAGAAUUUUUUAUUUUUUAUUUUUUUAAAAUGAAAAUAAAAAAUUGCUUUAAGGUAAAAGUGUGGAUAUUAUUGUUAAUUUAUUUCAUUUUUCAUUUUCAUUUCCAUUGUUACCUACAAUUGAAAUGGAAACAACUAAUCAUUACAACCUUACAUUCUUAUAUGCAUCCAAAUACAAAAAUUGAAAUCACCAAAUUCAUAUUCAAGGCAAAAUAGGAAUGAAAACAAAUAUUCAUUCUCAUUCUUUAUUCCCACGUGUCAAACAUGACCUCAAAGUUAUAAACAUGAACAAGAAGUCCUUGAAACACCAAUGAUCUCUUCUGGUAUAUAUAUGAGCUUGAUUGACAACUGUUUUAAAUACAGUUUUUUUUUUUUUUGUUUUCAAAAUCAAAACAAAUUUAUUUUUAUUUUUUAUAAAUAGUAGUUUUUUAAUAUUUUUUUUAAACCUUAUUAUGAAAAUAGGAUGUUUUCUAAUAUCAUAUUUUAAUUAUUUUCAAUUAUUUUCCCUUCUUUUAAGGAGGGCUAUUUUAAAAAUAUGAAAAAUGAUACAAAAUAAAGCAUUACAAAUAAAAAUCAUUUUUAAGAAAUAUAUGAAAAUAAUUUGAGAACAUUUGAAGUUCCUUAAUUAAACUUUUGUUCUAGAAAAUGCAAGAAAACUGUUUUUGAAAAUUGUUUUCAUAAUGAUAUGCAUUGAUCGUUUAAAAUUUAAUUACAUGAUAAAAAGACCUAUGUAAAAACCAGAGUUAUAUAAUCAGUCAUAGAUCAAAUCUACUAAAUAUGAAAAGUAAGUACAUAGUUGUAUAUGACUUAGAUGGAGCCUUCUCCGAAUGACAUUCUUUAGUCGGUACUCAUAUUUUUUUGUUUCGUGUCUUCAACAUAACACCUCAUGAUCCUUAAUAAAUCACCUGAAAACUAUAUUAGCACCUUAUUGUUUAAUAUUUCUCUAAAUUUUUUUAUUAAGCAAAUAAAUUCCAAAUUUAAAAUGACAAAUAAAAUUUAUUAAUUUUUAAAAAUAAUUUAAAACUCAAAAACCAAUUUAAUUGAUAUUAAAAGUCAUGAAACUUAAUAAUAUUAGAAAGUCAUGUAUCCAAAUUUAUUUUAAAUGACUUGUUUAAUUUCUUGUUUAUAUAUAUUAUAUUUUUAUAAUUUUUUUUACUAUACAAAUAAAUUUUAAAUUAAACAAAACUUAAUGCGUUGAAUUCAUUAACGAGUCUAAUAAUUUUUAAAAGUUACUUAAAAUUUAAAUACUAAAUCAAUUAGUACCACAAAUUCAUGGAAAAAAAUUGAUUUAUUACUACUAUAUUGUUUCUCUAUUGCAUAGAACCAUUAUUUUUCAAUUUUUUCAUUUGGCAAAUGAACAUCAAAUUAAACAAGACUAAGUGUAUUAAAUUCAUUAAUGGGUCUAGUAAUUUUUUAAAAUAAUUUAAAAUUCAAAUAUUGAUACUCCAAAUUAAACAAGACUUAGGUGGUGUUUGUUUUUUGGUUGAAUAGAAAAAGGUAAAAUAUUUGACUUUUUCUAUUUAGUUAAAAGUAACUUGUUGACAUCGUCCAAUAUAAUUAAAGUAAACCUAUUGAGGGCAAGUUCACUUUAAUUAUGUUGGACGAUGUCAACAGGUUACUUUUAACUCAAUAGAAAAAAUCAAAUAUUUUGACUUUUUUUUUAACUCAAAUAAUAAAUCCAUUAAUACAAAAAAAUUAUGGAUAAUUUGAAACUUUCUUUCUUUUUUUUUUUUUUUUUGCUACACAUAGCUAUAUUUUUAUAAAUUUUAUCAUUAGAGAAAUGGAUUUCAAAUCAAGUGAAACUUUGUAUUGAAUUAAUGGAUUUAACAUUUUUUAAAAAUAAUUUGGAACUAAAAAAAAAAGAUUUAAUUACUAAGAAAAUCAUAGAUCAAAACUAAUAUAUUCUGAUCCAUGAUUUUAUUAUUUUUCCUAUACAUACAAUUAUAUUUUUAUAAUUUUCUCACUAGGUAAAGAUAUUAUAAAUUAAGUGACACAUAAUUAAUAAUUUAAAUUUUUGAAUGAAUCUUUUAAUUUUAGGAAUAAUUUGAAAUUUAAAAAGUUGAUCCAAUUAAUUGUAAAUUAACUUAAAAUAUUAUAAAAUAUUAUGUUCAUAAUUAAGUACUAAAUGUAUAUAUGUAAUGAAAACUUAACUAGUUACAUGUUACAAAAGCCAAAAUUUAUUCAUUCUUUAUUUUAAAUAAAAUAUUAUUAAUAAUUAUUUUUUUUAAAAUAAUAUUUAGUAAUUAUUGUUUUUAAAUUAUUAUUAUUAAUUUUUAAUAAAAAAAUUGCAAAGUUAUUAAUAUCAUUAUAUUUCUAACAUAAAUUUAAAUAGUAUAUUUUUUAAUAUAUAUAUAUAUAUAUAUAUAUAUAUAUAUAUAUAUAUAUAUAUAUAUAUAUAAUUUAUGAUUUCAUUAUAAUAUUUUUAUUCAUGAUUGACGAAAAAUUAUUUAUUGUUUAAUUUAUUUGAAUUGCAAAACUAUUUUUCAAAAUUCAAGCGAGAAAAUAGGCCUGGAUUUGAAUUUCCUGUAGAAGAGAAGGAUGUGGAGAAUAUGUUGGGAGUAUUUGUGGAUAAAGAAAAGGCCAGGGUACUGAGAAAGGAGAGAGAACUUGCUCUUGCCAAAAGAGCCCUGCACAGGUAUUCUACUGAUUCUAAUUAUCGGUUCUUACAUGAUCAGAUUUCAGAUUUAUUUGCUGAGCUUCUGAAAUCUGAUACAGUAUUUAAACUCCGGUGAGCUUUACAAGAUUAGUCUCGCAUCCAAUUCCAAAUGGUGUCCCACAAUUGAUUCUUCUUAUGAUAAAUCCACCUUGAUAUGUGAAAAUAUUGCUCGAAAGGUUUAUCCUCGCGAGGAAUAUCCAGAAUACUAAGGAAUUGAGGAGGCUCACUAUGUUUAUAGAGUCAGGGAUAGGUUGAGAAAACAAGUAGUUGUUCCAUUACAUAAGGCCCUGGAGUUGCCAGAGGUUUUCAUGUGUUCGAACAAGUGGGGAUCACUUCCCUACAACCCUGUGGCUUCAGUGGCCAUGAAAUCAUACAAGAGCCUCUUCUCAAACCAUGAUACAGAGCGGUUUGGUGAGUAUCUUGAGAAAGUGCAAACUGGGAAGGCUAAGAUUGCAGCUGGUGCAUUACUUCCCCAUGAGAUUAUAGCUUCAUUGAAUGAGGAGGAUGCCGAGAGAGUUGCCGAGCUUCAGUGGGCAAGAAUGCUGGAAGAUUGAUCAAAGAAAGGGAGGCUCACAAAUUGCAUUGCAGUAUGUGACGUAUCAGGAAGUAUGAGUGGAACUCCAAUUGAGGUGUGUGUGGCUCUGGGGCAGUUAGUUUCAGAGCUCAGUGAAGAUCCAUGGAAAUUAAGGUAAUGUAAUUACUUUCAGUGCAAAUCCUGAGCUUCACAAGAUCCAAGGAGACAGCCUUGUAUCCAAGACUGAAUUUGUGAGGAUGAUGGAAUGGGGUGCCAACACUGACUUUCAGAAAGUUUUGACAGAAUCUUACAAGUAGCAGUGGAGGGAAAUAUGAGUGAAGAUCAAAUGAUAAAGAGGGUUUUCGUUUUCAGUGAUAUGGAGUUCGAUGAAGCUUGUGGGAGGUAUAACUAUUGUGACUAUGACUAUGAUAUGGAGGAAAUUGACGAGAGUCAGAAGGCAUCUCAGAAGUGGGAGACAGAUUAUGAAGUGAUACAGAGGAAAUUCCAGGAGAAAGGAUACAGAAAAGUUCCAGAGAUAGUGUUUUGGAACCUUAGAAACUCAUCAGCGACUCCAGUGACGGCCACAGAGAACGGGGUGGCCUUAGUAAGCGGGUUUUCAAAGAAUCUGUUGACCUUGUUUUUGGAAGGAGGUGGAAUUCUGAUCCCUCAGGAUGUGAUGGAAUUCGCCAUCUCUGAUGAAGAUUACAAGAAACUUGUUCUAUUUGAUUAAGAUAUCAAGAGAUUUAUCAAUAAUAAUAUAUUUUUUUUCUAUGUGAAAUACAUAUAAUAUUAACUGUGGAGUUAUCAAAGUUCUGGAGGUUUAAUUAUUUCUUCUUUUCAAGUUUUGUUUAUUUAAGGUUUUCUUUGUCUUUGUUAGGAAUUCCCCUUGGGUGGACCCAGCUGGGGAGUUGGAUUGAGGAAGUAAGCAGGCGAACUUGUGUUCUUCUAUGGACAGAGAAAAAAAAUAAAAUAAAAAAAUAAAAAAGGAGGUUAUUUGCAUUUGGAUGUCGUGGUUUGAGGGUACAACUACAAGCUCGAAAUUGUACAUAAUGUGAAAACUCCUGUGUCCAUUGCUGAGAACAGCAUAAAUGAUGGUGAUUUUCAAGUUGUGCCUGGUAUUCUACAGGAUGAAACAAGAAAGGAUCCAGGUGGUAUAUUGAACAAUAUCCCAAUCAUGUUGGUGGCAUCUUUAUUUAGUUAAUGGUAUUCAUUUGGUGGAAGCUGGUUGUUUAUGAUGUUUUUAAUUUUUUUUAACAUGAAGUUCGAUCAAAUACGUAUCUUAGUAUGUUUUGUUUGAGCUAAUUGGCAAAUGCGCUUUAAACAUGGUCACAUGGAUGCAGUUUUAUUUGUGAAAUGAUAAUAGUCGAUUACUUGGUCAGUAAGGUUUAUAUCUCUAACUUCAACAUCUUAUUGUAGUCUUUUAAAAUGUCAAAAGUUUAAUGCUUGAGAAAUUUUGGAAUGGAGACAUUCUAAACAAAGUUAAUAAUCCACAAGACUUGGUAAAACCGAUCAGAUGAUGCUUACGUACAUCAAUGCCUUCUUUAAGCCAUAUCCUAUUUUCAUUGAACGGGAUGUGCCAUCUAGUUUGGUUCUUUAAGCCUCCAAAUCCUAAACCUAGUCUCAAUUUAGAGCAAAUUUAGGGUGCAGGGCCUGCAUGCCUCCCCCUCCCCCUUCCACAAAUAGUAGUGACCUUGCUAUGCCUAUGCAUUGUCAAUGCCUCAUUUUCUAUGGUCUCCAAUGUAAUAUCUUAGUUUCAAUGUCUCUUUCCUUACUAUCUCCAAUGCAAUAGAUUGAUUUCAAUACCUCUUUACAACUAAGACCUCCAAAUUUUCUUGGUUCAAACCUACCAGAAUUUUUCUUCUCCUUUGCUUUCUAUCAAUAUUAGUUCCCCUAAUUUAAUAUAUACUUCUUUAUUACCUUCAACUCUACCUCUCUUUCUUUCUCUAAAAGCUUCCUCAAAGAUUUAAUUGCUUUCUUGCAUGUUUUAAGAAAACAAACAUGCUCAUAUUACAUUACCUCUACUUGAGAUCUACCUUAUACUCUACCUUCUUUCUUUACCUCCUAUAUCAUCUACUACAUUAGCUUCAAAAAUAUUAUUUAGUUUGAUACUAAAUAAGGCUCCUAAUCCUACUCUUCCUUCAACAAACUUUCUUUUUACAAGUUCCUUAAACUUUAUUUUUUAUUUUUUAUUUUUUGGAAAUUCGGGUUAGAAAGAUUCCAUUACUCUUACCUAAUAUUUCAACCAUCAAGUUGAAUCCACUUAUUGCCUAAAUCCAAGGAGUCUGCCCUCCACAAAAACAAGGAAAUUGAUCCCACAAUAACAAGGAGAUUGCCUUCCACAGAAACAAAGAGAUCUCCCUUCACAGAAGCCGAAUACAUUGCAAUCUAUUUUCUUUCUUGUAAGAUCAAAUCUUCAAUCGAGCUCCAUCUUAUGGGGGCAUAUUAGAGAAAUUUAAUAUUAUCCUUAAUUUACAUAUUAAUAUUUAUCUAUUUAUUAUAUAUUGAAUUAAAAUAGAAUAUAGAAUUUGAAUCAUAGUAGAAGUUUACUAUAAGAUUGAAUUACAAUAGUUAAUAGAGUUUAAAUUAUAAUAACUCAAAUACAUUUAUAUAUAUUUGACCUUACGAGAUUUUCUAUUUAUGUAUUUGAACUACAAUCCUUAUGAUCCUUAGGUCUCUAUACCUUCGUGAUGGGCUCCUUGACAUUUCAUAGGUUGUGCUACACAUGCAUUUGAAAUUUAGAGUGCAUUUGACAGUGAUUCUGGGAAGUGUUUUUGGCAUUUCUAACACUUAAAAUUUUUUAUUUUUCAAGUAUUAGAAAUGCUACAAACACUUUUGAAAAUUACUGUCAAACACACUCUUAGGAGCGCAUAUAGUAGAAAACUAGAAAUUGUGGUUUUUUUAGGAUUUACUGUAAUGUCAUUAGGAGGGUAGUAAGUUGAAACUGAGUAUGAAUAAAUAUUUCUUUCUUUGGGAUGUUCUUCUGGUAGGUGCUGAUGAAACUGUUCUUUUUACUGCCAAUGUCACAUAUCAGCCAGAAAUUGAAAAUUUCAGUCAAGGUGUCCUCGGUUUUAGUGGUGAGGAAAGCUAGAAAUUUUAAGGUGAAGUUCUGUUAAAAACCUUAAGUAGCUGGGAUAUCAGGCCUGUUUUGCUUGAAAAAAAAAGUUGCAAGAUAACUCAUAUGCCAAACAGGUUCUGAUAUUGUGAAUCUAUCGGCAGACAUCAGUAAUCUCAUCUUCUGAGAUGGAUGUUGGGGGUGCAUGUGGUGGUGGAGGGGCAAGGUUUCAUUUGGUUUAUUUUGUUGAUGGAUAUUGUCUAGCCCCCUGCGCCAAGUUUGAGGGGUGGUGGGUUGUGAUGGCCCUACAAUUACUAUUAAUUUCUUCCUCUUUUACCGAUUAAAGUGUCCGAACAGUCGAAGUUACCCUUAUGCAUGUCAACUUGAUCACUUACCUCUUCAAUGGAGUUUAUGCUGGUUCAUUUAGGAACUGAUUUUUAUUGUUAUGCAUUCUAUGCUGAUGUUUAGGCCUCUCCAUCAUCACUAUAUACAAAAAUUCUAGGUUGAUACUAUAGGUUGAGAUUUAUUUUUUAAAUAAAAAAUAAUAAAAAUAAAAAUUAUGGUGAUGUUUAGUUGUUUUAUGGAAAAUUUUAACAAGUUAUUUUUGGGCAAGUUUUCAAACAAAAAGAAAAGUAAAAGUUGUUUUGACAAAAACAUAUAGAAAAAAAAAAUCAUAGAAAAGAAAUAAUUUCCCCAUAUUCUAACUUUUUUUAAUUUUUCUCAAUGGGCAAAGGAAUAUCAAAUCAAGUUUGAGUAGGAUUUCUUAAUUUUUAAAAUAACUUACAAUUAAAAAAUUUUGGUGUUUUCAUUUUUGGACAAUUUUUUAUUAAGCAAAUGGACUCUGAGUCAUGCAAGAGAUAUGGUUGAUUAAUGGGUCAAACAAUUUUUUUAAAAUAAUUUAAAACUCAAAUACAUAAUCAAUGUCACAAAAUUUAUAAACAAAAAUAGGUUUAGAGAAGAUCUACACAUAAUUUUACUUUUCUAAUUUUAUUUUAUUUUAUUUUUUUGUUGGAAAAUAGUCUUCAAAUCAUGUAAGAUUUAAUAGGUUAAAUUUGUUAACAAUAAAUUUUAAAUUAUAAAAUAUAAUCUGGAACUUAAAAAUCAAUUCAAGUAAUGCUAAAAAAAAUCAAAUUUGGUAUAGAAUGACUACGUAAAAUUUUUUACAAAACAAAUGAAUUUUAAAUCAAGUGAGAUUUAAUGCAUUAGAUUUUUAUCAAAUAUAGUAAUUUUAAAAUUUAAUUUGGAACUCAACAAUAGACACAAUAAAUACCAAAAAAUAAUGAACCAAAAUUGGUUUGGAAUAACUCCACAACCUCUUUUUUUUUUUUUUGGUGCACACGAAUUUUCUUACUAGGUAUAUUGCUUUCAAAUUGAGAAAGAUUUACUAUUUAGAUUUUUUUUUUUAAUGAGUUUAAUGGUAUUUUAAAAUAAUUCAAAAUUUCAAAAAUUGACUAAUUACUAUUAUAAAUUCAUAAACCAAGACUAAUUCAAAAUGCAUUGGGGGCUAAGGGGGUUGAAAAUAGGGACAAUGGGAUGGGUUUGGGACAUGACACUCAUAUCUCAUUUCCAUUCCAAUUACAUAGUUAUCUCCCAUCCUUAUCCCAAACUUGUGUUGGAGCAAGUUGAUUUGUUCCCAUCUUUGUUGAUGAAAUGACUAAUAACCUCAUCCCCUCCUUAUCUUAGAUGUACAUUUUGUCAAAUUUGAUCAGGUAUGAUUGAUCCAAGCCCUAACCCUAAUUGGUAAUGACUGGAUACUACACCUAAUUGCAUUCUUCUUUCGUCGCAAAAUAAUGAGAUUAUAAUAAUCUAGCAAAUAAGAAAAAAUAGUAUGGAAGUUCAAUUUAACACCAUAACUAUCAAUAAUUUUAAGCUUAUAGAUGACUUAAAUGAUUAAAAACUAAUGCAAAAUACCAAAAAAAAAAGUUCAUAUAAAGAAUUCACAAGAGAACAAAAUGAACAAAAACCAAAUAUGAACAUGGGUCAACAUUAGUUAUGGAUUUGGAUUCCUUUCAAGGCCAAUCUUUGAACCAAGACUUCAUCAAAUCUACUACUUCAAAGGCUUUUGUGUUCUUCUUGGGUUGUGCUCUCAAACAAAGACUUCAAGGUGAUGCUCUAGAUGAUUGCAUUACACAUAUUUAGGGUGGAGAGAUUGGAGAAGCUUGAAGAUGCCAACGAUGGGUACAAUUGAGUGGUCAAUAAGAACAAUGUAGCCUAUGACUAGUUUGAUGUCGUGGUACAAGAGUUUUAGGCAUUGAGGUUAAAGCAAGAGCAACAUGGAAUUGAUUUUGGAGUCUUUCAAUUAGUGUAAAGGAGGAAGAAGUGGUAUUGAUUCUAGAAAUAGGGUUUUAGGUGGUGCGUUAGAGGAUGAAGAAGAAGAAAAAGAAGGAUCUGUUGGAAUUAGUGUGAGUGUGAAGAGAGAAGUAUAUAAAUAAGGGGAAGUAAAAGCAAAGUUCUAAAAGCUAUAUUUUUUUUUAUUGUUGGUGUAUGGUUGCAUGAUUAUCCCUAUAAAUAAUAGGAGUUUUUUUGGUAUUCUACUAGUAGUUGAAGGAUAAUUUCAUAAAUUUAUAUUUAGAGUGGGGUGGGGUGAGUUGUGACAAAAUUCAUACCCGUCCUAAACCUUGGUUCAGAUUUUUAAAAUAUCCUCAAACUUAUCAUAUACCCAACUUUUAUAUUUCAUACUUGUCUUGAUAGAGGCAGGUUAGGCCGGGUUACUUGAGUAACCUACAUAAUUGUCAUCCCUAGUUGAAAUACACUUUUUUGGCAGUGGCCACCAACUGAGCUAGAAGCUUGAUCGAUUGACCUACAAGAUUAGUUCUCAUCAUUUUAAAAAAAGUUUUGGCCUUGGUUGUGAGUGCAAUUGAAUCUAAACUGGCAUUUCCUUAAUGCAUCUACUUCAAUCCUAAAUUUCUUACUUCCUAAGCCUCAAUUGUUGUUAGGAUUUUGGAAAGCCCAUUUCCUUAAAUUGUAAAUUUAAGAAAAAAUAAAAUAAAAGUGAGACAUUUCUUGAUUGAAUAUUGUUAAAGGUCCCUUGGCAUUAAGACUUGGUUGAAGCCUUGGAAGAUUAGUGGAACUCUCAACUUGUGUUUGAAUCUUGAGGAGAGUGGACGUAAGCCAAAAUUUUGUCAAACCAUUAAACAAAUUGAGUUUGAAUCCUCAUUUCUUGAUUUCUUAUUUAUUUGCUUUUUCUUAUUAUUACUUGAAUUGUCAUUUGCAUUCAUUAAUGUUAAAAUUGGUUAUAAUUAACCAACACUAAUUCUCUUUCCCCUUCCCUUUCUUGGGUGUAAACCUAGGUUGGAUUAACUAGAUUAAUUUAUAAAAUCUAUUAAGAUGGUAAAAGAAUAAUUAUUCUUAACACACAUAAGAUCAUCUUCAAUCAAAUGACUCAUUGGCUAAUAUGUUGAAUUUGCUUAUUACUUGCAACUCAAAAUUGUGUUCUAGUUGAUAUGUCAAGUCCCCAGUGUAUGGACAUUAAAUUUGUAGUACGUGAUGGUAAUUAGAUGGUCCAACUCCAAGAAAGUGAUUGAAAACUAGUUCAAGAAAGGUGCAAAAGGGAAUUGUUUUGGUAUUUUCGUUUUUAUUCUUGAAGGUGGCAGAGCUAAAAUUUGUGAAAUCAAGCAAAACAUACUGAAAUUACAUUGAAAGAAAGAAAAUGGGAGUUAAUGUCUUGCAGUAGAUGAUAAGGACUUCAUGCAUGUAGUAUGACCCAUGUCUUGGACUGAUGCCAACUCACGGUUACACUUAUACCCUUGGUUCUCUCUUUACUACCUUGGCUAACCUAGAUCAGGCUAUGAGAUAGGCUCCUCACCACACCAUUACUUGCCCAUUAAUUAGAGACAUUUUCAAGCACUGAGGUAACAUGGUGACACCAAGAGGGUUUAUUCCUCGCCCUCCUCGCCCUCAACAAGUCUAGACUUGGUCUCAAAAAAAUGGAGAAAAAUGAGGUGUCGUUAUGUAGAAAUACAACAACCAUGCCUUCCUCAUUACUUUGAUUCAGAAUGUGAAGGUGAAAUUGAGAAACAGAAACUCUUGAAACCAAAAUGAAAAUUGAUACUUUUACGAAGAAUUACAACAACAUUGGAGGAAGACUACAUUCUUCCUCUUUAUUCCUACAUUUCUACACUACUUCUACUCCACUCCAUAUUUCUACAUACAUCUUUAAUCAGUCUUCCCUCCUUUAUAUAGAGCCAUCUUCACACAAAUUCCGCAAGGUAGAAAAGAGGAAUGAAACUUGGAGCAAGGUUCGACUACUGGCUGUAGCUUGUCAAGGCUGGAAGUGAACCUUUUUUCUUGGCUUUUCUGGGCAUGGGUAGUAACUUGUGGGUUCCUUUUUGGGAUACAAAUGGCUAGAACAUGUGGCACUAUCUUGUUGGAUGAUGUGUCAAGCAUGUGGCAGCCAUCUAGUGGCGAUUAUGUCAAUUUUGGGAUGGAGAGUUGGCAUCCAAUUGCAAAGAAAUAUGACGUCUACCAACAGGCAAUGUAAACCUAUGUAGAUCAUAUGAAGAUAGAGAGGAAAAAUAUAGAAAUGGAUAUAUACCUAGAACUAGCUUUUUAUUAAAUGAAACGGAGAGCCAACAAUGAAGGAAAAUAAAUUUUUUUGGCUUAUAUCAAAGAGUUCACAUUGUGCUACCCUAGGUUUUCUUAAAACUUACUUUUAUGAUAACAAAAAAAAAAAAAAACAUUAUUGUUUAAUCCUUUGUUUUAAACGCAUGUUUAGCAAGUUAUAAAAUGUAAAAAUCUUUCUAAGUUCAAAUAUGAAGAUAUGACAUCAUUUCAAGCAAGAUAGUCUCUAGGAAUUAAUGUAAAGCUAAAUUAAGGUGAAAUUAAAUUAGUUCAAUGCAUUAAUUUAAGAAACUUGACCUAUCAAAAGUACAAAAUUAGAUGAAAUCCAUUUCAAUGGUUAAAAUGAUCAAAAUCAAACUUUUUCUAAGUAUUUUUUAAAAGUAUCAAUAUUGAAAGACAAUUUUAUAUUUAGUCAGAGUUUGGACAAAACCAAAAAGCACACAAAAUCCAAGCGACCAUCUCUAGCUUGGAUGGUCGCUUGAUCUCUAGCUUGUGUACUUGGAAAGCAACAUCGAGAUGAUAUAUAUAUAUAUAUAUAUUUUAUAUAAUAUUGUUUGUCCAAAUUCCCUAAAAAUUAGGCCACCACAUGUUCAUAAUUCUCCCUUCUUGAAUUUGAAAACUCGGACAAUUGGACAAUGCGACACCUAAGUCCGGUUUCUAAAUGCUAAAGUGAAAGGGUAGGUAUGGACCAUUGAAAUGUGAUCACAACUUUUCUCUGUAGCCAUGUUGUCUCUUUUUUCUUUUGCAUGAUUUUCUCACCUUAACAGAAUCAUAGACUUGUUUAAUCUCUAAAUGGGAUUAAUUUCAUCCAGCUUUAAGCUACUAUAUUAUAUCUAGGUGGAGGACUUUUAAGAGUGCAACCGACAUAGAGCACAUGCAAGUGGGUAUAUGGGACAUGAAAUUUCUUCUUAUAAAGAUUGCAUGAUUUUUAUAUUAGAGUUGUUGGGGCGCAAUGUAUGUAGCUUGUUUUGCAGUUAAAUUAAUUGGAUAAGUAGACAUUGGCGUUUCUAAAUCUACUGUGAAGUGCUUCAUGUACGUGUGAAGUAUUAGAAAUUUCUUUCUUGGCAACUUGUUUUUUCUUUGCGGUCUACUGAUAGGUUUGACUAAAAUUAUAUUCCCUGUCAUGCUAAUUAAUUUUCACGUGCAUGCUCAAAAGAAGAGUAUGACCUUAGUGCACCAAAAUCACUUUGAUUAAUUUGUGAUAGGUUUUUGUGCAUCAUGACAUUAGCCUUAUUCAUUUAGAUAAUGUUUAGUUUUUAGAAAGUAUUAAGAAAAGGAAAAUAAAUAUUAAGAAAAAUAUUCUUAUAUUUGAUUGUAUUAUGAAAAAUGUCAUAAAAAAAUCAAAUAUAAUUUAAAUUAAUUAAUAAUUUAUACAUUUUCAAAUUAUUUAAUCUUUAUAUUGAAGAUAUAAUAUAAAUGAAAUGAGUUUUAAGUAUUAUAUAAAAGUGAUUUAUUGAUCUUGCAUAUAUGUAUUUCUUUUUUUUUUCUUCUAUUUUUUUUCUUUAUUUUAUUUUCCUUAUGUUUUCCUCAACAUUUUCCGGAACCAAACAUAGCCUUAGGAAAUCCACAAUUACCUUCAACUGAGUAUAUUCGGUUGUUUUAGCAAUGUUAGGCUGCUAACUUGUGUUGGUACGAACCUGUUAAGCCUAAAGAUGUAAUUAGUUAGGAUAUUCUUUUCCCUCUAGUCUUGUAGCUCCACGUGUAUAGUUGGUUAGGACCUCAUUGUAUAUAAUGCCUGCCCUGUUAUUGUUGAAGACAACAGAGAUAAAUAAUAUUAACAUUUUUCCUCUCAUCUCUCUUUGUUUCCCUCUGUUUUCAUCUCCUCUCUCAUCUUGGUAUCAGAGCCUCCAUGGAUUCUUUCAAAGAAACCUCCGAAUCACCUUCUGCUAGCAUUGUUAAUGUGCAAAACCCAUUAUCUCAGUCAAACAACCUUCCUUCACCAGCAGCCACACCCUCUUUUUCUUUCUUGUCUAUGAAUCAACCUCUCACAGUGAAGCUGGAUAAUGGAAACUACCUCAUCUGGAAGAAUUAGCUUCUGAAUGUCAUCAUUGCGAACAGACUCGAUGAUUUCAUUUAUGGAACUCGACCCUGCCCUCCUUGAUUUCUCAAUCUGCAACAACAAACCCUCACUCCAGAGUACUCGGUCUAGCAGAGAUACAAUCGACUUCUAAUGAGUUGGCUGUACGCAUCCUUGUCCGAAGAUAUAAUGACUCAGAUUGUUGGGUAUUCAACAACUGUGGAGAUUUGGAACGUCCUUAAUCAGAUUUACUCUGCCUCUUCAAUGGCGUGGGUUACCGAGCUUCACACCAAGCUUCAAACGCUCAAGAAAGAUGGACUCUCAGUUGGUGAAUAUAUUCAAAGGCUCAAAUCCAUUUGCAAUAGUCUUGCAGCAAUAGGAGAACUAGUUUCUGAGAAAGACCAGCUUAUCUAUUUGUUCAAUGGAUUAUAUUGUGAGUAUAAUUCUUUUGUUACCUCCAUUCAAAAUCGAUCUGACCAACCAACUAUUGAGCAAAUCCAUAGCCUAUUGCUUAGCUAUGACUUUCGGCUUGAACAACAAAACUCUGUUUCUCUCCAUUAUGCCCAAGUCCGUAUGGCUCAUCUGAACAAGAAACCUUAUAAAUCAACUCCUCAACCUACAUUCAAUCAUAUUCACAUUCAACCUAGAUACUCUUCUCCACCUUUUAAGCCAACCACUAGUCAAUAUCAACCCAGGAUUUUGGGCAAACCACAACCACAACCAUGACAGCCUCAACCUCAAUGGAAACCACAUUUUUCAAUCCAGAAUCAAAAGCCUCAGUGCCAAAUUUGUGGUAAAUUUGGACACACUGCUCUUAUUUGCUUCCAUUGCACAAAUUUGAACUAUUCACCCCAACCUUCUCCUAAAUCUUUCAAUACUGUUCUCACCACAAAUUCCCAGCUCCCUAAUCCUCCAAAAUUUUCUUACCCUACAAUGGCUCAUCCUGCUGCUACGCAUAACACGAUUCCUGAUACAAAUUGGUACAUGGACUCAGGUGCUACACAUCACUUUACUCCGGACAUCAACAUGCUUGACACUGUGACACCAUUUAGUGGUUUAGAACAGGUGACAGUUGGGAAUGGUAAGCAACUCUGUAUCUCACAUCUUGGUACUGCAAAACUACCAUCCUCGUAUUCUCCUCUUGUUCUACAUCAGGUAUAUCACACUCCAAAAAUUUCAAAUAAUCUUAUUAGUGUUAGAAAAUUGUGUUCUGAUAAUAAAGUUUUUGUUGAAUUUUAUGCCACUCAUUUUCUUAUCAAAGAUCAAGUUUCGAAGAGAGUUCUCUUUCAAGGUCAACUUGAUAAUGGCUUAUACAAAGUUCAGUCGUCAUGCUCUCCUUCUACUAUUUCCUUUCAUCCUCAAGUUUUCAUAGCCAACAUCAAGGAUCAAAAUUUGUGGCACAAGAGACUAGGCCACCCAGCUUUAUCUGUUAUUAAUCAAAUCUUGGAUUCUUGUAACAUUGCUCGAACACAGAAAAUUGGUUUUAAUUUUUGUAGUUCUUGUCAAUUAGCAAAAAGCCACAGGCUUCCUUUUUCUCUGUCUCCAUCCAUUGCAGAAAAACCUUUUGAGUUAAUUCAUACAGACCUAUGGGGUCUUUCUCCUGUUCGCUCUAUUUCUGGUGCUCGUUAUUUUUUACUUUUCAUUGAUGAUCAUACUCGUUUUACUUGGUUUUAUUUGCUCAAAACAAAAGAUGAAGCAUAUCCUACUUUUCUCAAGUUUCAAGCUCUCAUUGAAAAUCAAUUUAAUACCAAGAUUAAGGUUGUCCAAUCUGAUUGGGGAGGUGAGUUUCGAUCUCUCUCCAUACUGUUUUCAAAUAUGGGCAUUGUCUAUCGUUUAUCAUGUCCAUACACCUCACAACAGAAUGAGUGGGUUGAGCGAAAAAAUCACCAUGCGGUUGAAAUGGGAUUGUCCUUUCUUGCUCGCUCGGGUAUGCCCUUAUCUUAUUGGCCUUAUGCCUUUCAAACUGCCACUUACCUUAUUAAUCGUCUCUCUACCCCUGUGCUGCACCAUCAAUCCCCUUACUUCGCACUCUAUCACAAAUUCCCAGCUUAUACUCAUCUUAAGGUCUUUGUUCCUCUUGUUUUCCAUAUUUACGCCCUUAUAAUACCCAUAAACUCCAAUACAGGUCACUGGAGUGUGCUUUUCUUGGUUGCAGUUCACACCACAAAGGUUAUCUAUGUCUUGACAUUCAUUCUAGCAGGGUGUAUAUUUCUCGCCAUGUGAUUUUUAAUGAAGAUUCUUUUACAUUCAAGAAUUUGAAAUCUUCUCUCUCUUAGUCUAUUUCUUCUUCCUCUUCUUUAUUAGUUCCUCUGUUCAUUUCCUUGCCUCCCCUCUCCCCAUAUCCUCCUAUUUCUCCAUCUAUAUCUCAUUCUUUUCUCUCUUCUUCUUCUACCUCUAGUACUUGUUCCCCUCUCGUUGCUCCUACCUCUCUUCCUCCCUCUUCACACUUUGUGUCCCAUCUAUUCCACCUCCUUCUCCACCUUCUUCGAGUGUGGACCUGCUUGUACCUUGUGUGAAUACAAAUUUACUUACUUUUUCUCGCACUCACAAUAUUCAUCCUAUGGUGACCAGAUCUAAGGGUUUGUAUCUAUAAACCUAAGUUGCUAUUGAGUGUCUCCAUAGGUUCUCUCACUAAGCCUACUUCCUUUCUUCAAGCUAUUAAAGAUCCUUCAUGGAAGCAAGCCAUGGAAUUGGAGUUUGCUGCCCUUCAACACAACAAGACCUGGCAUCUAGUUCAUUCACCUUCCUCAGGCAAAGUAAUUGGUUGUAAAUGGGUCUAUAAGAUAAAGCUUUAGCCUGAUGGCUAAUUGAGAGAUACAAGGCCCGCUUAGUAGCUUAGGGUUAUCAUCAAACUGAAGGUAUUGACUACUUCGAAACAUUCAGCCUGGUUGUCAAGCCUUCUACUACCGUAUUGUGCUCAGUCUUACUUUUUCCCAGAAUUGGUGUAUUAGACAGCUGGAUGUUCAUAAUGCCUUCUUACAUGGUGACUUAGCUGAAGACGUUUUCAUGGAACAACCACCUGGAUUUGUUGAUCCUCUCUAUCCUACUCAUGUCUGCAAGUUGGAUAAGUCUCUCUACGGUCUUAAUAGUCACCUCGGGCUUGGUAUACUAAGCUGAGUACUUCUCUACUACACUUGGGAUUUGUUACUUCUAAGAAUGACUCUUCCUUAUUUAUUUGUCAUUCGUCUCAUGGGUUACUUCUUGUUCUUGUCUAUGUGGAUGAUAUAAUCGUCACUGGGAGCCACUCUCCUCAAGUUACUCACCUUAUCCAAUAGUUGCAUCAUCAGUUUUCUUUAAAGGAUCUUGGUCAUUUACACUAUUUUCUGGGCUUGGAGGUUCAUCACACCCCUACUGGUAUUCACCUCAGCCAAGCAAAGUAUAUCACUGAUCUCCUUACCCGGGCGGCUAUGUUGGAUGCCAAGCCAUGUCCCACUCCUAUGUCCUCCAACACAUAUCUUUCUCUUCAUGAUGGAGUGGCUCUUGAAAAUGGUUCAGAUUAUUGAAGUUUUGUUGGUGCCCUUUAGUAUUGUACCAUGACACGCCCAGAUAUAGCUUUUGCAGUAAAUAAAGUGUGUCAAUUCAUGCACCAUCCCUCUGAUGUUCACUGGCAGGCUAUAAAACGUAUUCUCCAGUACUUAAAGGGCACAUCUCAUUUUGGUCUCUUCCUACAGCCUUCCUAUGACUUCAACAUCACUUGCUAUACAGAUGCCGACUGGGCUUCCUGCCUUGAUGACAAGUGUAGCACCAGUGGCUACUGCCUCUUUCUUGCCUCUAAUCUGGUUUCUUGGUCAUCUUCCAAACAAAAAGUGGUCUCCCGCUCCAGCGCCAAAUCAGAGUACCGAGGGGUAGCAAAUGGGGCUGCUGAAAUUGCUUGGACUGAAUCUCUUCUUUGUGAACUUUCCACCCACUCGACCUCCCCUCAUUGUCUGUGACAAUAUCAGUGCCACAUACUUAGCUGUCAAUCCUAUUUUGCAUGCCCGCACCAAAACAUGUGGAAAUCGACUAUCACUUUGUCUCGGAACGUGUUCUUCAACGCUCUCUCUCUCUCCAGUUUACACCUUCGGAUGAUCAACUUGCUGAUUGCAUGACCAAGCCUCUCUCCACCCAACGUUUCAUCACUCUACGCUCCAAGCUCACUGUUCUCACUAGACCAAUGAGCUUGAGGGGGGAUGUUAAGCCUAAAGAUGUAAUUAGUUAGGAUAUUCUUUUCCCUCUAGUCUUGUAGCUCCACGUGUACAGUUGGUUAGGACCUCAUUGUAUAUAAUGCCUGCCCUGUUAUUGUAGAAGACAACAGAGAUAAAUAAUAUUAACAUUUUUCCUCUCAUCUCUCUCUCUGUUUCCCUCUGUUUUCAUCUCCUCUCUCAUCUGAACCAAAUGAUCCAUGUUAACCUUGGCUUGGUUUGAUUUGGCUCUAUCUUAGAGAGCUCAAGGAUCACGUCAACUCUGGUUUCUACUAUUCAGGUCCAUUCCCAUAUGAACUGGUUCAAAUUUGAGAAAAUGGUAACAGACCUUUAGUGAUGUUGGUUUGGAGCCAGUUGCCAAACCCGCCCUGAGCUUUACCACUAAUGUCAAGGGAGAAAGCCUUUUGAACAAAAACAAUAGCUUCAAGAGACUGAAUCGUGGAUGAAAUCUGAUCCACAUUUCUUCUCAUUUUGGAAACAAAUGAGAACUUAACUAAGAAGAUUCUACGGCCUCAUAGUGCUUUUCCUGAUCUAAGGUUGGUUCGUUUCCCAAAUUGUGAGAUGCACGGGCCAGACUUCAGAACUCUCACGCUCAGGAGUGUAUCCACGUGGUGGACAUAAGAUGGUGGCUUAAGAUCUGGUGUCGGUGGCUUUACUUUACUAGGAGAGUAGUGUGUCUUCAUCUCAUUCACUGCCGGAGGGUGGCGUAAGCAGUGACGCUAAGGUGGGGCAUAGUCAAUAUCAUUUGCAUUUGACCAUUAUAGUUUUCUCCCGGCUUGAAAGUAACCUUAUCGUGAUAAAGGAUUACUAGCACUAGUUCAGAUGACAGUCAUGUUAAAUUCGGACCAUGUUUGUGUCACAUUAUCAGCAACCAUGUGUUUAUGGUUCAUGCUUUCUGCAACUGAAAUUGAAAUUGAUAUAUAACCAGGUGAACUUCAAUCUAAAUUCUGGAAGUACUCAUGUGAGCGAUGGUGCCCAUCUGCAGAGUCCAUCAAUUGAAAAAUGGAGUGAGUGUAUCUAUAAGAGGGAAGGCUUGGCAAAUGUCCAGUUUUCUGGGAAUUCAACAAGGAUCUAAAAUAGAUUGUUUUCUUUGCUGAUUUCAAUGGUUGAAAUUUGAGAAGAUUGUGUCCCACAUAACACAACUAUUACUGGUCCUUCUGUUGCAAUUUAUCCUCUAAGGCUCUAGCAUGUCUUCCAAUUCCCACUUCCCUGUUACUCCAGGAAAGCUAUUUCUGUCAUUGUGAAGAAGAAAAGAGAAUGUAGAUAUCGAUGCUUUUAAGUGACUGGAGCAUUCAUAUCAGGUGGUCUGCAGCCAUAUAUGCCACUUUGUGAAGAUUGGAACAGUCAAUCACUAGGCUAUAUAUUAGUGUGGCCCAGCCACUUUAAUCAAGGACAAUUCUUCAUACUUAAAAGUCAAAUUCUGCCUUUAGUCUCAUUAUAAAUUGCUGUUUAAAUAUUAAGCAAACAUUUGUUUAAUGCGAUUAAGACAGUACUAACUCAAUACUUGUUCUAUUUUUGGAUGGAAAUGCUUGAUGGUUUCAUCAUUGGAUGGGAUAAAGGUGCAUUCAUGAUUAUGAAUACUUGUAGUUAUAUUUUCAUUCUCUUUUUUCUCAAUGAGACUUGUUGGCACAAUUUUUCUGUUCAGAAACCUACCUCUCCAUGGAAAAUAAGUUGUGAUUGAUAGUACUGGAUAUAUUCAAGAAAGCUAAAUAUAGAUAGCACAAAAUAUUAUCGACAUAAAUAGCAUUAACAGCGUACGUAUGUCUCAGUGCUCAUCAGCCAUAAGCAUGGGGCAAACACUUACGAUGAGCAACUUACGUCAAAAUUCCAGAAUAGGACAUAGAAGUGACAGAUCUAUAUAUAUAGAACACUGCAUAAGAGUCACAAGAAAGGAAAUUACGGGUGCAUAGCAGCUCUUAUUUCACAUACUACUCAUACUGAUCAAAGUCACUCAGUUGGGAUGGGUGGGAGUAGGAGGUUUGUGGGGUGGCUUGUGCGGAGGAGUUGGCAGCUUCUUUCCAGGACCUGGUGGCUUCUCUCCCUUAGGUGGUUUGCCAACUGGGGUUGGUGGCUUGUAUGAGUCUUCAGCAUUCUCUGCAGGAGGGUGACCAGGGUUGUGACCAUAAUGUGGUGGCUUCUCUCCCUUAGGUGGUUUGCCAACUGGGGUUGGUGGCUUGUGUUCUGGGAGUGGCUUCUCCCCCUUGGGAGGUUUUUCCAAUGGGGUUGGUUUGUGUUCAGGAGGUGGCUUCUCCACUGGAGGCUUGUGUUCAGGAGGUGGCUUCUCCACCGGAGGCUUGUGUUCAGGAGGUGGCUUCUCCACCGGAGGCUUAUGCUCUGGUGGUGGCUUCUCCACCGGAGGCUUAUGCUCUGGUGGUGGCUUCUCGAAUGGGGGAUGCUUAGGGUAAUCAGCAAGUGAGGGGGCGGUGAGAACCACCAGGCCAAGCAAGACCACUAGCAAGUAUGUAGGAGACAUCUUUGGGUUUAGACUCAGAUGGUGCAAAACUAGGAGAAUUGUCUUUUAUAGCGGAUCGCACCCAAUAAUGAAAUGACACGUGUCUUUAUGACCCAUGUGUAAUGGGGUCGAUUUGGGUCCUACAGUGUUGAAAACUUCGACAUCCACUUUUGGCCUUUUGCUUUCUCUACAGCCGCCUUGCUUUUUCCCUCUUUCCUUUUGUUUUCCUCCUGCCCCAUUCUAUCAACUAAACACAAUUAUGUAGUUGUUUAAUUCUUAAAUGAGAUAUUAUCCGUCAAUCGUAUCAUAUUUUAUCAACAGAGAACGGAGUGCAAUGUGGCAAUCCAAAGAAAGAAGAUCCAUAAUGCAGCUGUAAUUUUAUCGUUUACUUUUAUCUCUUGGACCACUGCAUUUUUGUUAAGAGGUGCAAUAAUACACGUCUUUAUCUGCCAUUCAAUGUUUACAGUAAAGAGAGGGCACAAAACUCUUCACUGCUCUGCAUGUGUCCCAAAAAUGCAAUUGGACAAAUUAUGAUUUGCAUGCUAAAAAGAGGCAAAUGAGGUUAAUUCGCACCAUAAUUAUUUUGUUUUCUGGACCCCGGGGCCCUUUGGUUGGUUUGGGGGUCAGAAAAUGAACAUCAUAGGGGGUUUUUCCCUUAUGUGCAUUUGUAUCUGAUGGCUUUAACUCGCCUUGUUACUACAAAGAAAUUGUCACAUAUAGGAACUUAUUCCAGGCUGAGUAUCUCCGCAUAGACCCUAUAAAAGAAGACAAGUCAUAAUGAACAUCUAACCUUUGUUCAAUUUGAUUCAAUGCCCCAUUGUGUCCACCUCACAAAUCUGAAUUAUUAUAUCCAUUGAAUACAUAAAUUAAUGAAGAAAAUAUGAAACCCAAGAUACAUCUCUGCACAACCUCAACCCUGGUUGCUAUGUUUCCCUUCUAUUCACAUGAGGAUAUUGAUUACGGAAUAGGGAAACCUAGCAAGGGUUUACUCGGCUCUGGUUUGAUGCUAAUUGCCAAACUUGCAACAAGCCCUGAGUUUGAAGCUCACAGAAGAUGUUAUACAGGCAGGGAAAAACCUUCAGAGUUCGCUGCCAAAGAUAAUUAUUAAGGAGAUAUCACCAAGAGAAUUCCAAGGAGUCUGAAUCAAAGACAAAUUGGUCGUUCGUGGAGGUUCUUACUUUCUUUUGGGUAUAACUCACUGAGGGCACUGUCUUUUUUAUUUUCAUUUCACAUUUAGAGUUCUGUUCUGGAAACAUAUAAAAGGAGCAUCAGUUUGUUCUUGGGUAACCCAUAGUCGUGAGUGGGUCCAUUUGCAUGCUACUUAGUUGAAAAGUUGGACCAUUUGCUCCGACGCCUACCUCCUGGAUUCCAUGCUCGGAUAAAACAAGAAUAAAAAAAUAUUUAUAAUUUACAAAUGGGGGAAAGAAAAAAAUGUCAACAACAAACUAGGAAAAAAGAGUAGUAAAAUUCAUGUCACAUGCUAGUGAGAGAAGGGGUUGUUACACUCACUCGAAGUUCUUUUCAAAAUAUCGCAUGGUAUUUUAUUUUAUGUGUGAGCGCAGUUGUGAAUGGAACGUGCAAAAGUCCAAAUUGGUGACCUUUAAUAAAUAUUUAAAACAAAAAACGAAAAAAAGGAGGGAAAAGGGAUCAGAAAAGAUAAAACAAUGUGUACAAAAGCUCAAUUAGUUUGCAAAUUACUGUUUGGAUUUUGAUAGUAUUUUAUUUGAUGUAAAAGAGAAUUUAAGAUAUUUCCGAAACAAAAGCAUUAGUUUGCUCCAUGUCAAUUUCGGCAUUUCUCAUAUGUUUCACACAUACACAGAAGAGCAUCGUUUUUUAAAGCAUGCAUUUAUGUUGGAUUAAUUUGGAUUUUGUGGGAACUGGGGCAAGGAUCACAUGGAAGAGAGGUUGACUUUUUUCAGUACUUCAAUGGUUGAGACAGGUGAAGGCCUGAUUGAUACUGAAGCCUGAAAUUGCGACUCCGUCAUUUGUCAAAACAUAUGACAGCUUCCAUGCUCUCGUUUGGUUGCAUUGUUCUGUGGUCAUGCAUACAUGCCACUUAGUGAUCAGUCUGUAACUGUCAAUCAUUGGGCUUUGACUGAACAACAUCAGCCAUGUAUAAAUACUUGCAAAUCAAACGGUCUUCUUCCUCCCAUAAGGAAUUUCGGUUUAAUUAUGAAGCAUGCAUUUGGCUGACCAUCAUAAACCACUUCUUUAAAUUGAUGAAUGAUAGUUUUUCAUUCAUUCUUUCAUUCGUUCAUAUACAGAGUAUAUAUAGAGGGUAAUCAUCAUUCUAAGAAUGGGAAAGAAUGAUACAAGGAAAUAAUGAUAUAAAGAAAUAACAACUAAUAUUCUAAUAUCUCAACUUUCCUAAUAUCUAAACAUUCCUAAUAUCUCAACACUAAAUGAUAUAAAGAAAGAAUGAUAUAAGGAAAGCAUUCCUAAUAUCUCAACACUCCUCCUCAAGUUGGUGCAUAGAUGUCAAACAUGUCCAACUUGUCUAAAAAUUUUGAGAACAGUUGACUUGAGACAUCUUUGGUGAGGAUAUCGGUCAAUUGAUCUUCUGAUCGAAUCUUAGGCAAUUCCACAAUCUUAUCAUCCAACUUUUCCUUAAUGAAAAAUCUAUCCAUCUCGACAUGCUUUGUACGAUCAUGUUGUACUAGAUUAUGAGCAAUGUCACAUGCUGCUUUAUUGUCACAAAACAAUCGGAUUGGUUGCCUAGAUAGGUAACCUAAAUCCUAUAAGAGGAGUCUUAGCCAUAAUGCCUCACAAAGUCCUAAAGUCAUACCUCUAAAUUCCGCUUCUGCACUUGAACGAGCGACGACAUUUUGCUUCUUACUUUUCCAUGUCACAAGAUUACCACCUACAAAGGUAAAGUAACCAGAUGUAGAUCGCCUAUCAUCCACUGCACCGACCCAAACAGCAUUAUACUUCUAUACUCUGAUGAUCAACAUUUUUAGCGAACAAAAUUCCCUUCCUAGGAGCAUUCUUCAAAUACCUCAAAAUACGCAUGACUACAUUCAUAUGUUGCUCUCCAGGAUUAUGCAUGUAUUGACUCACUACACUCAAUGUAUAAGCAAGAUCUAGUCUUGUAUGAGCUAAGUACAUUAAUCUCCCCACAAGUCUCUGGUAUCUUCCCUUAUCGAUUGAUACUUGAUUAGGCUCAACACACAAUUUCAGACCUUCUUCUAUUGGUGUAUUAAUAGGUUGACAUCCCGACAUUCCAGUUUCCUGUAGAAGAUCUAAGGCAUACUUUCUUUGAGACAGAAAAAUUCCUUCACUUGAUCGAGAAACUUCAAUCCCAAGAAAGUAUUUCAGACGACCAAGAUCUUUCAUUUCAAAUUCUCUAGAUAGAUACUUUUGCAAAGCUUUUCUUUCUUCAGGAUCAUUUCCUGUAACUACAUGUCAUCCACAUAUAUCAUAAGUGUCGUAAUCUUACCAUGUUGCUUUUUCAAGAACAAAGUGUGAUUUGAAUUACUUUGAUGAUAGCCAAAAGCUCUCAUUGAUUUUGUGAACCUUCCAAACCAUGCUCUCGGGGAUUGCUUCAACCCAUACAAUGACUUCUUCAAUUCGCACACCUUCUGACAUUGCUUUUCUGACACCAUGCAUCCUGGUGGAAGAUCCAUAUAUACUUCUUCAGAUAAAUCGCCAUGCAGAAAGACAUUUUUUACAUCGAACUAUUGUAAUGGCCAAUCUAGGUUUGCAGCUAAAGACAAUAAUACUCGAACUGUGUUGAUCUUAGCUACAGGUGCAAAUGUCUCUGUGUAGUCAAUUCCAUAAGUUUGAAUGUACCCACUAGUCUUGCUUUAAAUCGUUCAAUACUACCAUCUGCCUUGUACUUCACAGUAUAGAUCCAACGACACCCAACUAGCUUCUUUCCUGGUGGACAUUCUACGAGUUCCCAUGUUUCAUUUUUCUGCAAUGAUUUCAUCUCUUCAUUCAUGGUUGCUUUCCACUUUGGAUCAGCUAAAGCUUCCUGCACACUAUUAGGAAUAGCUACAGUAGAUAAUUGAUUUACAAAUGACUUAUUUGAUUCAGACAAACCAUGGUGUGGACCCGCAUUUUUCACGUGCGCCUCUACUCGAUCGGCGAGACUCGCUUUCUAUUUGUGAAAAAUUAAUUUUAGAAAAGUUGGAGUCGCCACCUAUUUUAUUUUUAUUUUGAAGGGAAAAUAAAACAAGAAAGAAAAACCCUAAAAAGUGACUCCAUAGUUUUGGAAAAAGCAUGUCUUUGGGAAACCUGAGUCUAGGUCCGGGGAUCAUGUUACUUAUUGGGAAGGUACCUCUAGGAGGUAGCACCCCUCUAAGCCUUAUGAAGGUCUCUACUAACUAAAUUAAGGGAAGUGUGGCAAUAAAUCGAUUGAUCAUAGAUACCUAAGUAGACUAGGUGAUUUUAAAGUGUGGCAUGUCAAACACAAUCAAAUUGCAAUAAAGGAGAGUUAGGGCGCGUACCUGAACCGCUUCUCAAGCGCUAUCAUAAAACAUCAAUGGUUAAUUUAAAUAAUAUAUCAUCCAGCAUGUAUUUUAUUAGAAAUAAUCAAACAAUGAAACAUGUAUAUCAGAACACUCAAGCAUUAUUAGACAUAAGCAUUAUUUCACUAUUCACAGAAUUCAGAAAGUAGGUGAUAGAGGACAUACCUGGAUAGCAUAGAUAAUUUGUAAUGUGCUUCCUCAAGUUGUAAGGGGUUAGAUAACAAAUAAUAAAAUAUAGAAAUCCUAGCAUGCUCGUUAUCUAAUUAGCAUAGCAAAAGUGAUCACAGUAUACAGAAUCAUCAAUUAUCACAUACAUCUUGUAUAUAAUUCCUAAAAAAAAUAGAUAGACAUGAUUUCAACAAGUGUCAAAUGUGGCAACAAAAAUAAAUUUUGAAAAGAUUUUCUUAUGUAGGGGUUUCACCAAUUCCCCAAAUUAAUAUACACGAAUUUAGCUUAGAAUUAUCCCAUUUAUUUGGGACUACAAGCUUUGAUUCGUGUUUUUGUUCAAAACCAAAAAUUUUUGUUGAAAAUCAAGAAGGAUGCGAACCGAACAAGAUAUGGUUGCAUAUUAUUUUUAAAUAAAUAAAUAAAUAAAUAAAGGAGAUUUUGAUCCUGAGGACUUUAAUGAGUUUUUUUUUUUAAAAUAGAUUUUUAAAAUGAUUUUUUUGAGAAAAGUAUUUUAUUUUAAAAUAAAAGGGAUUAAUUUGGGAAAAAAAUAAAAUAUAAGAAAUAAAAUACCAAACAAAACAAAAAUGAAACCUCAAAGUAAAAUUUUUUUAGUAAUUAACAAAAAUGAUAAUGGUGAUGGUAGAGGGCAAUCUUCAUGAUUUUCCAAUGGCCUCAGAAAGAAAAUCAAAUUAAAUGAAGGAUCACUAACAGGCAAGACAUUCUAAAUUAGACAAACUAACAAAGUAUCAAUUCAUGAACUAACCGCUAGGAUUUUGAAAGCAUAUAAGCUAAGAUAAGGGUGAUCAGGAACUAAUAUUAAUGAUUUUGAAAUAAAAACUAAAAAAAAGGAUCAAUUCGGGUAAGGAACUAAAAUUAUAAAAGUACCUAAACUAAUUAUGACGAGUUUGACUAAAUUAAACUAAAAACAUGAACUUUCAAACAUAGAAUUAAUUUUACUAAUGAACCAAAGCAAACUAAAAAUAUGUACUUUCAAGCAUAGAAUUAAUUUUAUUGAUGAACUAAACUAUAACAAAUAUCUAAACUAAAUAUAAUGAAUCAAAUUAAAUUAAAGCAACUUAAAAACGCAAACUUUCAAACAUAGAAUCAAUUUUAUCAAUGAAUUAAAACUAUAAAUGUAUUUGAACUAAAUAGAUGAAUCAAACUAAAUCAGAGCAAAAUUAAAAAAAAAAAAGAACUUUCUAACAUGAAAUCAAUUUUAUCAACAAAUAAAUGAAUGAAUAACAAGUAAUUAAAAGAAUAGCUACUACAUGAAUAACUGAAUGAAUAAAAUUCAAAUGUUUUCAAUCUGAAGCAAUCAAUCAAAAUUAAAUAGGGAUCAAAUCAAAAUAAUCGAAAUCGGAAAAACAAUAUGCAAUCUUUCUAAAGGUUUAACCAGACAAUUGAAUUAAAAUUAUGAAUAGAAUAAAUUAAUAAACCAAAUCGAAACCUAAAUUGUACCUAAAAAGAUUAAUUAAUUAAACUAAGAAAUCAAAAUCAAUAACAAAACUAAACUAAGGAGUAAAUUAAGACAAGACUAAUUAAAUUAAACUCACAAACACGUUUUAACUAUCAUAUGGAUUAAAACAAAAUUAGCAUGGACUUAUGAAUUACGAACAAAAAUAAUCAAAACUAUUUUAAAAAACUCACCUCUAUUAUAAGAAAAAAUCUGCCUUUGAUGCGUUGAGGUGGCUCCCCUCUCUGUGUGGAUCUCUCUGCUCCCCAGAAAAAAAAUGUCUCUUCCUCCGUUCUCUUUUGUUUCAGCAAAAUAAUAUAUCCCCUGCUGUGGAUCUCUCUACUCCCAGAAAAUAAUAUAUUCUCUCCGUGUCCUAAAGUGGACCUAGGGUGCCUAAGUGGACCUAGGGUGCCUAAAUGGGCCUAGGGUGCCUAAAUGGGCCAAGUGUAUCUAAAUAGGCUUAGGGUGCCUAAGUGGGCCUAAGUCUAAGUGAGCCUAAGUCUAAAUCAAGACUACCAAGGAUCAUAAUAAGGGGUUAGGCAAUCCCUUAACCAAAGUCUCCAAGGUGGCUAAAAAAAAGUAAGUAGUAUGAGUAGCUAUGGGUCACCAAGGAACUACUGUGGAGCAUUGAAAACGAAUUUAAAGACAUGUGCCAAAGGGACAAAAUUGAGGGUCUACAGAUGGUUAGACACAUAGUUGCUCAUGGGAUAUUUGACUUUGGUAAACAAUUCAGAUUCAUAUGUGGGUUUAGGAAUACCUUUAUUAUGACGGUGUGGUAAUCGUUUCAUGAAUGGAUCAGGUUGCAAAUUAAGAACACCCUCAGCAAACAACGAUUGGUUUGGUAUUUCAGUGAAGACAUCUUCGAACCCAAAUUGUUGACCACUCAUAUCCAACUCACCCGCUUCCUGGUUCACUAGUUCAGAUUGUCCAAAUUCAUCAUUCUCAUAGAUAUGAUAAUCAUAAUCGAGAGUCUGAAUUUCCUUAUGGUACUCCCCCUGAAGUUCAGACUUAGAUGAAAAAUACAUCGAAUAUUCAUGAAACAGCNNNNNNNNNNNNNNNNNNNNNNNNNNNNNNNNNNNNNNNNNNNNNNNNNNNNNNNNNNNNNNNNNNNNNNNNNNNNNNNNNNNNNNNNNNNNNNNNNNNNNNNNNNNNNNNNNNNNNNNNNNNNNNNNNNNNNNNNNNNNNNNNNNNNNNNNNNNNNNNNNNNNNNNNNNNNNNNNNNNNNNNNNNNNNNNNNNNNNNNNNNNNNNNNNNNNNNNNNNNNNNNNNNNNNNNNNNNNNNNNNNNNNNNNNNNNNNNNNNNNNNNNNNNNNNNNNNNNNNNNNNNNNNNNNNNNNNNNNNNNNNNNNNNNNNNNNNNNNNNNNNNNNNNNNNNNNNNNNNNNNNNNNNNNNNNNNNNNNNNNNNNNNNNNNNNNNNNNNNNNNNNNNNNNNNNNNNNNNNNNNNNNNNNNNNNNNNNNNNNNNNNNNNNNNNNNNNNNNNNNNNNNNNNNNNNNNNNNNNNNNNNNNNNNNNNNNNNNNNNNNNNNNNNNNNNNNNNNNNNNNNNNNNNNNNNNNNNNNNNNNNNNNNNNNNNNNNNNNNNNNNNNNNNNNNNNNNNNNNNNNNNNNNNNNNNNNNNNNNNNNNNNNNNNNNNNNNNNNNNNNNNNNNNNNNNNNNNNNNNNNNNNNNNNNNNNNNNNNNNNNNNNNNNNNNNNNNNNNNNNNNNNNNNNNNNNNNNNNNNNNNNNNNNNNNNNNNNNNNNNNNNNNNNNNNNNNNNNNNNNNNNNNNNNNNNNNNNNNNNNNNNNNNNNNNNNNNNNNNNNNNNNNNNNNNNNNNNNNNNNNNNNNNNNNNNNNNNNNNNNNNNNNNNNNNNNNNNNNNNNNNNNNNNNNNNNNNNNNNNNNNNNNNNNNNNNNNNNNNNNNNNNNNNNNNNNNNNNNNNNNNNNNNNNNNNNNNNNNNNNNNNNNNNNNNNNNNNNNNNNNNNNNNNNNNNNNNNNNNNNNNNNNNNNNNNNNNNNNNNNNNNNNNNNNNNNNNNNNNNNNNNNNNNNNNNNNNNNNNNNNNNNNNNNNNNNNNNNNNNNNNNNNNNNNNNNNNNNNNNNNNNNNNNNNNNNNNNNNNNNNNNNNNNNNNNNNNNNNNNNNNNNNNNNNNNNNNNNNNNNNNNNNNNNNNNNNNNNNNNNNNNNNNNNNNNNNNNNNNNNNNNNNNNNNNNNNNNNNNNNNNNNNNNNNNNNNNNNNNNNNNNNNNNNNNNNNNNNNNNNNNNNNNNNNNNNNNNNNNNNNNNNNNNNNNNNNNNNNNNNNNNNNNNNNNNNNNNNNNNNNNNNNNNNNNNNNNNNNNNNNNNNNNNNNNNNNNNNNNNNNNNNNNNNNNNNNNNNNNNNNNNNNNNNNNNNNNNNNNNNNNNNNNNNNNNNNNNNNNNNNNNNNNNNNNNNNNNNNNNNNNNNNNNNNNNNNNNNNNNNNNNNNNNNNNNNNNNNNNNNNNNNNNNNNNNNNNNNNNNNNNNNNNNNNNNNNNNNNNNNNNNNNNNNNNNNNNNNNNNNNNNNNNNNNNNNNNNNNNNNNNNNNNNNNNNNNNNNNAACCAAAGGAAGCAUGUUCCAGACGUCGAUGCCACAACCAAAUUUCAGACUUUUUCUUCUCCUCCUUAGAUCCAUCUGCCAUCAAGGCUUGUUGCAACUUAUUUGAAUCCUUUGAUUGCAAGUCCAAGUAUAGAGUUUCCCCCGCUUAAUACGACAACCAAUCGUCUGUCUUGUUUGAAUGUCCUUAAUCACACAAAAUUCAGGCCAAAAAAUGACAAUACAAGAUAAGGCUGCAGUGAUUUGAGAAACUAACAAAAGAUUGUAAUCUAAAGAUGGAACAACUAAAACAGAAUCCAAAUUCAAAGUAUCAGUAAGAGUUAAGGAUCCUUCCCCAAUGACUGGGGUUGUGUUACCAUUGGCUGUGGAAACAAUUUUUUGUGAGGAAGGUCUAAGGGGUGAAACCUGUCUAGAAUCAAAAGUCAUAUGAUCUGUAGCACCAGAAUCAAUUAUCCAUGCACUAUUAAUAACAGGUGUAAAAGUAUUUAAAAACUUACCACAAUGAUCUGUAGCGGCUACUAAUGCAGAGACUUUCUCAACAACAUUAGUCUUUGUUUUUAUUUCGGUAACAGUUGCAAUCAAGGUUUUCUUGGAAUUCUUCUUCCGUUGAUCACGAUUAUUAUCAUUAAUAACAAAGUGUUGAUAGCCUAAACAUGAUCUAAAGGUCCAUGGUGCAAACCCUCGGUUCCUCAUUGUUUUCCUGGUCAUACCAAGAGUUGUUGCUUUGAAAUUGUGGGAUAUCCAGACUGGUGGGAUCAGUUUUAUUGCAGUGAGUGCAUUUGAAUGUUGACUUAUCAAUAUUAGGGCUUGUCUUCGGAUGGUUGAUUGCUGUUGGACUACCAUAGCGACAAAAUAUCCAGGAUUUCAAUUCCAGGGCUCUGAUACCAUCUUCAAAUUGAUGAAUGAUAGUUUUUCAUUCAUUCUUUCAUGUACAGAGUAUAUAUAGAGGGUAAUCACCAUUCUAAGAAUGGGAAAGAAUGAUACGAGGAAAUAAUGAUAUAAGGAAAUAAUAACUAAUAUCCUAAUAUCUCAACUUUCCUAAUAUCUCAAUAUUCCUAAUAUCUCAACUUUCCUAAUAUCUAAACAUUCAUAAUAUCUCAACACUAAAUGAUACAAGGAAAGAAUGAUAUAAGGAAAACAUUCCUAAUAUCUCAACACCACUUCAUGAUAUAUAUAGUUUCUUACCCUUAAUCAAUGGUUUCUAAGUGAAUUUAUAUAGAAAGAAAUCCAAACUGUAGACAGCAGUAUUGGUAACACUCAAUAUUCUGUAUAUAAUAGAAUAAAUAGCGUCACAGUGAUCGUCGCCUACAAGCAAGGUACAAAUACCACAAAGAGUGACCCACAUAGACAUUCCCCAACAAGAUGUAGUAGUGACUGACACAUAGCCACAAUUAACACGUAGAAAAGGAUAAGACCGGUGCACAGUAGCUCUUAUUUUACAUACUACUUAUGCCAACCAAAGUCACUCAGUUGGGAUGGGAGGGAGAUGGAGGUUUGUGCGGUGGCUUGUGGGGCGGAGUUGAUGGCUUCUUUCCAGGAGCUUCUGGCUUUUUCAUCGGAGCUGAAGGAGGCUCAAUCUUAUGAGGCGGCUUGUACGAGUCUUCUUUGCUCUCGAAAGGAGGGUGGCCAGGGUUGUGACCAUAAUGUGGUGGUUUCUCUCCCUUGGGAGGUUUACCAAUUGGGGUUGGUGGCUUGUGUUCUGGGAGUGGUUUCUCUCCCUUGGGAGGUUUAGUGGGUGACUUGUGUUCUGGAGGUGGCUUCUCCACCGAAGGCUUGUGCUCCGGUGGUGGCUUUUUGGUUGGAGGGGGCUUGGGGUAAUCAGCAAGAGAUGGGGUGGUGAGAACCACCAGUCCAAGGAACAACACUAGCAAGUAUGUGGGAGACAUUUUUGAGUUUGGGCUGAUCAGAUGAUGCAAAACUAAAGCAUUACGUGACCUUUUAUAGCAAGUAGCUCCCAAUACCUACUUGACACGUGUUACUGUGACCCAUAAAUAUUAUGGGGUCUAUUUGUGCCCUACCGGGUUGAAAACUUGGACAAUUGGGCAAGGACCCGCCUGACUAUGGAGGACUACUGAGGUGUGAUCACAGCUUUAGGAUUUUUCUUCCUCUGCAGCCGUCUUGCCGUUGGCAUGAUUUUCUUAAUCUCAAAUAAAGGCAUAGUUAUAGAGUUGUUUAAUCUCUAAAUGGGAUUUUAUAUAUCUUCAGAUAGCCAUUAAUACAUUUGAUGAAGAAAGAAAGACAAGUGCAUACAACAUGUAUACGACUAGCUUUCAUGGAGUUCAUUUAUGAUCAGUUUUCCUGUACAUGUAAACCAAGAUCAUAUAUGUUUUUGUUCCACAACAAUUUUGGAAUCUUGUUUAUCCGUUUUUAUCAUUAUAAUGUCACAUAGGCUGCCAACUUGGGCGCUAAAUUAAAGAUCCAGUUGGGCAAGUUCGUUUCAGAAUUUCAAUGGUGGAUUCAGGAAUUGUUUUAUAAGAUAUGCAAAAUAGUAGAGGGAUGAAUAGUGUUUCAUUAAGAAAAGAGCCCUGUAAAAAUAUUGUUUAAAGGUGCCAUAGAAACUAUAAUCAAUAAAUAACUUUUUUUCCCCAUGGGUGGUGUUUCUUGUGGGGAUCAGUGACUGGUUUGAGUCAACGCCGUGUCUCUUUAGUCCAGAAAUCAACUAUUUUAUGCAUUGAAUACAUCAACAAAGAAAAUAUGAAAGCCAAAUGACACCUCCCCCGCAAAAACUAAACCCUGGUUGCUAACUUUCUAUGUUUCAGUUCCAUUCACACAAGAAUAUUAGUUCAAGUUUGAGAAAAAUGGCGACUUACCUAGUGAUAACUCGGUCUUGGUUUGCGAUUUGACUUUAACGUCAUGGGUUGAAGCCUCCUACAAUCAUCGUGUAUGCUAGUUCAAAGCUCGUGGAAGAAGUUAUACAGGGAGGGAGAAACCUCCACAGCAAGCUCCAAAAGAGAAUUAUCACAUUGAAAGCUCCAGUUGAACACUGGGUGAAAGCCAUAACAAGAUUGGUUUUCUAUCGCUCUUUUAAGUAAUGGAAGAUUAUUAUCUCUGCUUGUCACUACAACCGUGCAUGCUGCUAGAUCUUUCUAGACACUUCAAACAGUGAAACCAAGUAUGAUUCUUUUUCUCUUGAGUGGGUCCACUUGCAUGCCAAUGAACGAGUUGAAAAGUUGGACAAUUGGCCACAGCGCGCACUUACCUUCUGGAACCGAAGGUCAGUGAAGUGGGGUUCCUUUUGGCCCCUUGUGUUUCUGUUCCAACCUACUCCAGGAACCGAAGUUCAGUGAAGUGGGGCUACUUUUGGCCUCUUGUGUUUCUGUUCCAACCAAACAAAAAUGGGAGGGAAAAAUAGCAUUAUGCUUGUGCUAAAGAUCAACGCAUGAUAGCUGAAUAAGGGAGAAAAAGGCAUUGCUAUCUCAAUUUCAUAAACUUGAUAAGUAGUGACAUUAAUAGUCUUCCUCAUAGAUGGAUACAUGGUUUUAUUUUAUUUAUUUAUUUUUAUUUUUUUGUUUUAUGUCAAUGCUAAUGAAUGAAGUGCAUUAGCUUGUUUUGUGACUAGAACUACAAAUGUCCAAAUUGGAGCUUCUCCAAUAUAUUUCUCAGUGAGUUAUUGAUUAGAACUCUUGGAUUGAGUUCCAAGAUUUGAAUCAGACCCCUCUAGCAGCUUCAGGGGUACGUAGCAACCUAUAGCAUAUUAAUGAAGACUUAGGAUUUAGACUUAGGAAUACAAAUUAAUAUGUACCUCAUGCUCUGACUAGCUUCCCUGCGUAUGCACAAAAUGGAGAUGACUCCCAAAAAAAUAGCAGAAUCGCCUUAGUAUGUUUUUGUGGUUAAGAUGAUUCUCCACUUUAUAUAUCCACAUUGGUUCAUUAUGCAAAUUAAUCAACUAAGCUAUUUUUAUUUUUUCUUAAAUGUGAAAUAGGAGCUCCAAAUUAACCUAACCAUUGGCCUGAUUGAAUUGAUUUCACUUGCAUAAUGUUAUAGUAGAAGUCCGUAAUUUGAAUUUUAUUUUUGCAAAAGGUAACGUAAAUGAAGCAUUGUAAUUAAAUUUAUUUGUAAUUACAAACUAAUUUUAUUUUAUUAAGAAUUAAUUUAAUUACUCAUUUAAAAUAAAAAUCAGUUAUACUUUUACCAAGAUGAUAAUAUUCAUAUUUUUCUAGUUAACAUAUAUAAAAUAGUACACUUUUUCAUAUAAAAAAAUAAUUUAUGAUUUAUUAUAAUGUUACUAUUCACAUUUUACUAAAUUGAUGGUACAUGAUAGUGAGAGAAGGGGGUGUCACACUCAGCUAAAGUUCUUUUCAAAAUAUUGCAUGGUGUUUAAUUUUAUGUGUCGGCGCGCGUGUGAAUGGAACCUGCAAAAGUCCAAAUUGGCGUUUCUCCAUUUUCCACAUAGGAUGGUGACGUUAAUAGACAAAGAUACAAUAUCUGUAGACAUUGCUUAAAAAUCGAUGUGAAGUAUUAGAAAUUACAGGGCACUGUACUGGGGGAGCGGCUGCCCCGCCAAAGGAGGAAGAAUGUAGCAAUUUCUUCUGUUAGCCAGGCCUUAGGAUUUAUGCAUGGGAUGCCUAAUAACAAACAGAGAAAAUAUACUUUUGGGGAAGGUAUCCAACAACAGACACCAUCAUUCAGAUGGUGGGAAGGUAUCCAACAGAUGCCAUCAUUCAGAUGGUAACAUAUAUAUACAUUUAUUAGUGAGUUUUUUUAAUACCUAUAAAAAAAAAUAUACACUUUGAUAUUGUGGCUGAAUCCAUUACAUACUCAACUAACCUUGCUCAUUAGGGAUUUGACUUAACAAGGGCAACGUUGCAGUACAAGCUCAAAACUUUAUGCAGGUGACAUUACAUUUGGUAAAGAAGAGGAAAAUAACGAAAGCCAUCCAUAAAAGCAAAAUUCCACAUGGGAUGAAAUUCACAAGCUUCAUUUACGAUAGAGUCGCAUCCAGGCAAUUAAUUCCACAUUAGACCGCCUGUUGACAUGUGUACCAAUCUUUUUUCAAAAAAUAUUUAUAAAUAAUUGAUACUCACAAAAAUAAUUUAAUAUUUAUAAAGGAUAAAAAAAUAUUUUCAAAUCUAUAACAAUUUAUAAAAUAUUAAUAAAAAAUUAUCUCUUAAACUUAGUAUAGUUUUAUCAGAUUAAACUUUUAUUUUGAACAAAUAAUUUUAAUCUAAGUUUUAAAUUCUAAAAUUAUUUCCUUAAAAUAAAAUUUUAAAAUUCAACACUUCAAUUGAAAUUGUCUUUUUAAAAAAUAUCUUCUUAUUUUAAUCCUUAUAAACUAUAGUUGAUUGAAAAUACUAUUGAAGUUCUCUCUUAAAAAAAAGUCUUAUUUUAAUCUUCAUAAAUUGCCCUUGAUUUGAAAAUAAAUUUUCAGUUAUCAUAUUUUAAAUAAUAUCUAUAUUUAAAAUACUCUAUUUAAAAAAAAAUGAACUAAUUUUAAUUAUAUUAUAUUUUAUUUUUUUAUAUAUUUUUAAUGAUAAACCAAACAUAGAAAAUCAUUUUUCUAAAUAUUUUAAAAUUUCUAAGCAACCAAACAUAAUCUUCAAAAUAAAAGGAAAAUAAGGAGGGACAUUUGAGAAAUGGCGAUUAAAAAAAAGUGUACAAAAGCUCAAUUAAUUUUCUUCUAGUCUUUUAUAUAAAAAAGUAAAGGAAUUGAAAAGUAUUGAUAUGUAAAUUAAUAUUUGGAUUUUAAUAGUAUUUUAUUUGUCUUUCUCUAUCUCAUGUAAAAGAGAAUUUAAGAUAUUUCCUAAAGCAAAGCAUUAGUUAUCUGCAAUCAGUGGUGAUCAUGCCCCAUGUCAAUUUCGGACCCAUAUCUUAAAACUGUAUAAUUUGCAUUCAAACAUUACUGAUUUCUCAGAUGUUUCAUACUCCACAGAAGAGCAUUGUUUGUGAAAGCAUGCAUUUAUGUUGGAUUUUGGAUGAUGUGGGAACUGGGGCAAGGAUCAUAUGGAAGAGUGGUCGAUUUUGUUCUGUACUUUAACAUUUGAAAUAGGAGAAGCUCGGGCAUUUGUGGGGCUUAAUUGAUUUUGAAGCCUGAAAUUGCGUUUCUGUCAUUUUGUAAAAAAUAUGGCAGAUUCCAUGCUCUCAUAUGUUUGGUCUGUGGCCAUGUAUAGAUGCCCCUUAGUGACCAGUUUGUAACUGUCAAUCAUAGUGUUUUGACUCUGGCUCAACAACAUCAGCCAUUGACGGAUUUUCAUACUUGCAAAUCAAAUAGUCUUCUUCCUCCCUUAGGAAUUUCGGUUUAAAUGUUAUUAAGCAUACAUUUGGCUGACAAUUAUUAACCACUUCAUGAUAUGGUUUCUUACCCUUAAUCAAUGGUUUCUAAGUGAAUAUAUGCAGAAGGAAAUCUGAACUGUAGACAGCAGUAUUGAUAACUCUCAAUAUUCUUUAUAUAAGAGAAUAAACAACGUCAUAGUGAUCGUCGCCUACAAGAAAGGUACAUUUCCCAACAAGAUGUAGUUGUGACUGGUACAUGGACGCAAUUAACUCGUACAAAAGAAUAAGACCAGUGCACGGCAGCUCUUAUUUUACAUGCUAAUUAUGCUAACCAAAGUCACUCAGUUGGGAUGGGAGGGAGAUGGAGGUUUGUGCGGUGGCUUGUGGGGCGGAGUUGGUGGCUUCUUUUCAGGAGCUUGUGGCUUUUUCGGAGCUGAAGGAGGCUCAAUCUUAUGAGGCGGCUUGUACGAGUCUUCUUUACUCUCGACAGGAGGGUGGCCAGGGUUGUGACCAUAAUGUGGUGGCUUCUCUCCCUUAGGUGGCUUGCCAACUGGGGUUGGUGGCUUGUGUUCAGGAAGUGGUUUCUCUCCCUUGGGAGGUUUACCAAUUGGGGUUGGUGGCUUGUGUUCUGGGAGUGGUUUCUCUCCCUUGGGAGGUUUAGUGGGUGACUUGUGUUCUGGAGGUGGCUUCUCCACCGGAGGCUUGUGCUCCGGUGGUGGCUUCUCCACCGGAGGCUUGUGCUCCGGUGGUGGCUUCUUGAUUGGAGGGGGCUUGGGGUAAUCAGCAAGAGAUGGGAUGGUGAGAACCACCACUCCAAGGAACAACACUAGCAAGUAUGUGGGAGACAUUUCUGAGUUUGAGCUGAUCAGAUGAUGCAAAACUAGAAGAAUUACGGGACCUUUUAUAGCAAGUAUCUCCCAAUACCCACAUGACACGUGUUACUAUGACCAUAAAUAUUAUAGGGUCCAUUUGUGCCCUACCGGGUUGAAAACUUGGACGCUUGGCCGAGGACACACCUGACUAUGGAGGACUAUUGACGUGUGAUCACAGCUUUUGGAUUUUUCUUCCUGUGCAGCUGUCUAGCGGUUGGCAUUAUUUUCUUAAUCUUAAAUAAAGGCAUAGUUAUAGAGUUGUUUAAUCUCUAAAUGGGAUUUUAUAUAUCUUCAGAUAGCCAUUAAUAUAUUUGAUGAAGAAAGACAAGUGCAUACAACAUGUAUACGGCUUGCUUCAAUCGAGUACAUUUAUGAUCAGUUUUCCUGUGCAAGUAAACCAGUUUUUUGUUCCACAACUAUUUUGGAAUCUUGUUUAUCAGUUUCUAUCAUUAUAAUGUCACAUAGGCUGCAAACUUGGGCACCCAAAGAUCUAGGUGGGCAAAUUUGUUUCAGACUUUCAAUGGUGGAUUCAGUAAUUGUUAAAAGGUGUUUCUUCAUUAAGGAAAGAGUCCGGUAAAAAUAUUGUUAAAAGGUGUCAUAGAAACUAUAAUAAAUAAAUAACUUCUUUUCCCCAUGGGUGGUGUUUCUUCUGGGGAUCAGUGACUGGUUAGGGUCACCCAAAAUGAGUCCAGAUUAAAAUUGGUUCGAGUCAAAGCAGUCUCUUUUGUCCAGAAAUCAACUAUUUUGCGCAUUGAAUGAAUCGAUAAAGAAAAAAUGAAAGCCAAAUCACACCUCCCCUGCAAAACCUAAACCCCGGUUGCUAACUUUCUAUGUUUCAGUCCUAUUCAUAUAGGAAUAUUGGUUCAAGUUUGAGAAAAAUGGCAACUUACCUAGGGUUUACUUGGUUUUGGUUUGCGACUAUUUACGCAACCAACCAUGAGUUUGACUUUAACGUCAUGGGUUGAAGCCUCCUACAAUCAUGUAUGAUAGUUCAAAGCUCGUGGAAGAAAUUAUACAGGAAGGAAGAAACCUCCAAAGCUAGCUCCAAAAGAGAAUUAUCACAUCGAUAGCUCCAGAGAUUCCCAAGGGAACUGAAUCAAAGACAAGUUCCUCACUUUUUCUUCUUUUGAGGCCAAAUAUGAACCAAGGAUCACACGACCUCAUUCAACUUCAUAAGUUUGAUUUCAUGCAGUUGAACACUGGGUGAAGGCCAUGACAAGAAUUGAUUAAAAAAUUCUACCACUCUUUUAAGUAAUGGAAGAUUAUUAUCUCUGAUUGGCACCACAACAGCACAUGCUGCUAGAUCUUUCUAGACACUCCAUGCAAUGAAAGCACAAUGGAUCUUGUAAUGAUAGAAACUAAGCCAUGCUACAGUACUAGAUGAGGGGGUAAAACUAGUAGACAUCUUUCUAGACACUCCAUGCAAUGAAAGCACAAUGGAUCUUGUAAUGAUAGAAACUAAGCCAUGCUACAGUACUAGAUGAGGUGGUAAAACUAGUAGACAUGGCUGGCAGUUGAUUACUACUCAAAAAGUACUCUUUUAUAGCUUGAAACUAACUGUUUUAAACACUUUUGAGUAGUAGUUAAUACCUUUUAACUUAAUUGGCACAUUAAGGAACCUAGCAAGGGUUACUAAUCAACAUUUGGCAAGUUUUGAUGUUUUUGGUAGCUAUUUGAUCAUUGAAACAAGCCAAGAAUGAGGGGGAAUUUUGUGAAGUCCAUGGCAAUGCAAGUUAAAGCUCAAAUACAUGAAGAAUCCAAGCUUUGGAGCACUUCAUAGCCCUUUGCCAAGCCAAUCAAAGAUGCAAGGAAGAAAACCAAAGGAAGAAAUCCAACAAUCAGCAUUUUGGCAUGGCUAUGUGAAAUUUCGCACACCAUGCGAAACCACAAGAGGCAGCCAAAGAAUUUCGCAUGGUAUGCGAAAUCUUCUUGUGCACUGACUCUGUUAGAUUUUUAUCUUCAGAUAUUUUGUGUAAUUUCCUAGUUUCUCCUUGUAACCAACUUAGAUAUUUUCUUUUAUAUCUUUUUUUAUAUUUUUUAGGUAACAUCAUAUAUAAGAGGAGAGACAUAAGGAGGAUAUGGAUGUUUUUCAUAGAACACUUGUAAAUUUUUGGUAGUAAGAAAUAUACAAAGCUUUUUGCUCUGCCUUACCUUCUCAAGGGAUGAGUGGCUAGGUUUUCUUGGAGUGAGGGAAGCUAGGUGAAGGACCUGAAUGCAAAGGUGGGAGUUUUCCUUACUUUAAAUGAAAGUAGUUGUUAAACAUUAAUGGUUUUUAUUUUAAGGUUUAGCUUUAAAUCCCUGAAAAACACCUUGAAUGGCCAAUACUUGGUAAGCUUUUUAGAUUCUAUGGAUGCUUAUUGCUAGAUCCAUGGAUGUCUAUUAGUUAUCAUUUACGAGCCAUUGGAAGGUGAUUCAAGGUGAGGGUCUUUAGUGUUUGAAGCCAUUAAUGGGAAGCAAUUACCAUUUUUUCAUGAAUCCUUUGGAUCAAAUCUUAAUUGCUAAAUAUAAAACCGGUUUCGAGAGAUAACCACCAUCCUUUAUGUUAUUAUCCCCAACGCGAGGAGAAGAUCCGAAAUCUUCCUUUUUAUCUAAGGAACCCGAUCCUAGUGACCUAAAGCUCCAAGAUACCUUUUCUUUGUAGUUAACUUCAUUUAUUGUUUUUGCUUAACUUAAAAUCAAUCUUUGCAACCACAAUUCCAUUUUCUUUAAAAGCUAAUUUUUAUAAGGAAAAACACCAUUUUAUUUCCUUCACUAAGUCAACUGUACGAUGAAAACCCAUCCCUGUGGACGAUCCUAGAGCCACUAUACUAUGUUAGCUAUGCUACCCUAGUGUGAGGUGAUUUAGGUUUUAUAAAUUUUUUUGAUAACACCCAUCUGAGCCAGAAUCAAAUGGCACGACUGAACCAGGGACGAAUCAAAUGACGCCGCUACCAAGGAUGGUGCCAAAGUACAUUGACAUGACUUUUGGUGAACACUUGUGAUCUUCACCACAAGUUUGGUGAUUUUUCUUUUACUAAUUUUUUUUAUUUUAGCUUAUCUUUUAUUUAGUUUUUAGUUAACCUUAAAUUUUUCCUAGAAUUGUAUUUCUUUUGUUUUCUUUGUUUUUGUUUCAGUGAUCUUUAGUUGUGCAUGCCCUAUUGGAUAAGAGAUAUUGAGGGAAUACUUGUGAAGAUUGAAACUCCUCGAGAAACUGAGUUAGAAGUGUGCUUGAACAUCAUGGAUGUUCCACCUGAAGACCAGAAUAGCCAACAUGGUUAAGAGGAUAAUUUCAACACAUACCGAUCCAUGAGGAACCGCAUACAUCCACCUUGUAUGAGUGCACCGUCAGGCAUAAUGCCUCCCACUGAGCAGCUAGUAAUCUGACCUCACAUUGUGCCACUCCUACCUACUUUCCAUGGGAUGGAGAGUGAGAAUCCCUACUCGCAUAUUAAGGAAUUCGAGGAGGUUUGUAAUACAUUCCAAGAAGGAGGAGCUUCAAUUGACUUGAUGAGGCUCAAGCUAUUUCCUUUCACUUUGAAGGAUAAGGCCAAGAUUUGGCUUAAUUCUUUAAGGCCAAGAAGUAUCCAAACUUGGAUUGAUUUGUAAGCCGAGUUUCUUAAGAAGUUCUUCCCUACCCAUAGGACCAAUGGUUUGAAAAGGCAAAAUUUGAACUUCUCAGUUAAAGAGAAUGAGAAAUUCUAUGAGUGUUGGGAGAGCUACAUGGAAGCUAUUAACGUUUGUCCUCACCAUGGCUUUGACACAUGGCUCUUAGUGAGCUAUUUUUACAAUGGUAUGUCUUCUUCAAUGAAGCAACUCCUAGAAACUAUGUGUGGAGGAGACUUCAUGAGUAAGAAUCCGGAGGAAGCCAUGGACUUUUUGAGUUAUGUGGCUGAAGUUUCAAGAGGAUGGGAUGAACCAAAUGCUAGAGAGGUGGGAAGAAUGAAGUCUCAACCUAAUGCUAAGGGUGAGAUGUAUGUUUUGAAUGAAGACAUUGACAUGAAAGCAAAGGUUGCAGCUAUGGCAAGGAGAUUGGAAGAGCUAGAAAUGAAGAACAUACAAAAAGUGCAAGCCAUUUCUGAGACAUCAAUGAAAGCUAUGCCUUGUUCCAUUUGUCAAUCUUAUAAGCACCUAGUGGAGGAGUGUCCUACAAUUCCAGCAGUGAGAGAGAUGUUUGGUGAUCAAGCAAAUGUUAUUGAUCAAUUCAAGCCUAAUAACAAUGCUUCAUAUGGCAACACCUACAAUUCAAAUUGGAGGAACCAUUCAAAUUUCUCUUGGAAACGAAAGCCACCUCAAUACACACAACCUACUCAAGCACCUUAGCAAUCCUCGAAUCUUGAACAAGCUAUUGUGAACCUUAGCAAGGUUGUGGGAGACUUUGUGGGAGAUCAGAAGUCCAUCAAUGCUCAACUGAAUCGGAGAAUUGACAGUGUGGAGAGUACAUUGAACAAAAGGAUGGAUGAGAUGUAAAAUGAUCUGUCUCAAAAGAUAGACAAUGUCCAAUACGUAAUCUCAAGGCUUACCAACCUCAACACAGUGUAAGAGAAAGGAAAGUUUCCUUCUCAACCUCAUCAAAAUCCUAAGGGUAUCCAUGAAGUAGAGGCUCAAGAGGGAGAAUCUUCAAAGGUGAGGGAAGUCAAAGUAGUUAUCACCUUGAAGAGUGGUAAAGAGGUUGAUCAACCCACAUCCAAGCCAAAGCAUAAUGAAGAGAGUGUAGCAGAAAAAGAAAAGAGAGGAAAAUAAAGGAAUUAGAAUAGAGAAAAAUACAAAGAAAGAUGACCAUGAGUCUAGUGUGGAUGAAGAGCCCGAGAGGAUGGUGAUCAAGGAAGAUAUGAUGAAGAAACACAUGCCUCCACCUUUCCCCUAAGCUUUGCAUGACAAAAAAAGAACCAAUAAUACAUCAGAAAAUUUUGAAGUAUUGAGGCAAGUGAAGGUCAAUAUCCCUUUGCUAGACAUGAUCAAACAAGUGUCGACAUAUGAAAAAUUCUUGAAGGACUUGUGCACUGUAAAGAGAGGGUUGAAUGUGAACAAGAAAGCUUUAUUGACCGAGCAAGUGAGUUCCAUCAUACAGUGCAAGUCCUAGUGAAGUACAAAGAUCCGGGUUGCCGUACCAUCUCAGUGAGUAUUGGAAGGACUUGUGUGGAGAAAGCUUUGUUGGACUUGGGAGCAAGUGUGAAUUUGCUAUCCUACUCUGUCUAUAAGCAGUUGGGAUUUGGAGAGUUGAAGCCAAUAUCCAUCACUCUAUCUCUAGCGGAUAGAUCAAUGAAGAUUCCAAGAGGGAUGAUCGAAGAUGUCCUGGUUCAAGUUAACAAAUUCUACUAUCCAGUAGAUUUUGUUGUUCUUGAUAUGGAUCCGGUUGUCAAAUGAACUAAUUAUGUUCCUAUCAUACUUGGAAGACCCUUCCUAGCUACAUCAAAUGCAAUCAUCAAUUGUAGGAAUGGAGUCAUGCAACUCACAUUUGUCAACAUGACAUUAGAGCUCAACAUCUUCCAUUUGUACAAGAAGCAUAUCCAUCAGGAGGAAAAAGAAGGUCUAGAGGAAGUGUGAAUGAUUGACACUUUAGUGGAAGAGCAUUGUGAUCGAGAAUGCAAAAAGAUUUAGUUGAGAAUUUUGGGGAUCUUGAUGAAAGGUUACUUGAACCCUCAGAUUUGCUUGCUACCCUACUCCAUUGGAAGAGAAGAGAAGAAAUUCUACCCUUAUUCAAUGAGGAGGAGACGCAAAGAGCUGCAAAGGAGAAACCCCCAAAACUUAUUCUUAAGCCACUACCCACAGAGUUGAAGUAUGUAUACUUGGAAGAAGACAAGAAGUGCCCUAUUGUUAUAUCUUCAACUCUUACCAUUCAUCAGGAGGAUUGUCUACUUGAAGUCCUUAGAAGAUGUAAGAAGACAAUAAGGUGGCUAAUUUCUUAUUUGAAAGGGAUCAGCCCUUUAGUCUGCACCCAUCAUAUUUACAUGGAGGAUGAAGCUAAGCUAAUUCAUCAACCUCAGAGAAGGUUGAACCCUCACAUGCAAGAGGUGGUUCGAGCUGAAGUUCUGAAGCUACUUCAGACCAGUAUUAUUUACCCCAUAUCAAAUAGCCCAUGGGUGAGUCCUACUCAAGUUGCGCCAAAGAAGUCUGGGAUCAUGGUGGUGCAAAAUGAUAAGGGAGAAGAUGUCUCUACACGCCUCACUACAGGUUGGAGGGUGUGUAUCAAUUACAGGAGGUUGAAUGCAGUGAUAAGAAAGGACCAUUUCUCAUUGCCCUUUAUUGAUCAGGUGCUUGAGAGGGUCUCUGGGCUUUUUUUUUUAUUGUUUCUUGGAUGGCUACUCCGGGUACUUUCAGAUAGAAAUUGAUGUUGAAAACCAAGAUAAGACCAUUUUCACAUGCCCAUUUGGAACCUAUGCAUAAAGGAGAAUGCCUUUCGGCUUAUGCAAUGCACCCGCAACUUUCCAAAGAUGCAUGUUAAGCAUUUUCAGUGAUAUGGUGGAGCGUAUUAUGGAAGUCUUUAUGGAUGAUAUCACCAUUUAUGGAAGUGCAUUUGAUGAAUGCUUGGUCAACUUAGAAGCUGUUCUGAACCGAUACAUUGAGAAAGACUUAGUGCUUAACUGGGAGAAGUGCCAUUUCAUGGUACACCAAGGGAUUGUCCUUGGGCACAUUAUCUCCAAGCAAGGCAUUGAAGUUGACAAAGCAAAGGUUGAACUCAUUGUUAAGUUGCCAUCCUCAACAAAUGUCAAAGGAGUAAGGCAAUUCUUUGGCCAUGUCGGGUUCUAUAGGAGGUUUAUCAAGGAUUUCUCUAAGCUUGCAAGGCCUCUUUGUGAAAUAUUGGUGAAUGAUGUUAAAUUCAUAUGGGAUGAUGGAUUUGAAAGGAGUUUUGAAGAAUUGAAGCUAUUUUUGACAACCGUACCAAUAGUGAGGGCUCCCAACUGGCAACUGCCCUUUGAAGUAAUGUGUGAUGUCAAUGAUUUUGCUAUAGGAUUUUUUCUUGGGCAAAGAGAAAAUGGAAAACCUUAUGUGAUCUACUAUGCGAGGAAGGCAUUGAAUGAGGCACAAAGAAACUACACAACCACCGAGAAAGAAUUGUUAGCUGUAGUUUUUGCCUUGGAUAAGUUUCGCGCUUACUUGGUGGGGUCCUUCAUCAUGGUUUUUACUGAUCACUUUGCUUUGAAGUAUCUGUUGACUAAGCAAGAUGCUAAAGCAAGGCUGAUUAGAUGGAUUCUCUUACUUCAAGAGUUCAAUCUCCAUAUCAAAGAUAAGAAAGGAGUGGAGAAUGUGGUAGCAGACCACAUUUCAAGGCUAGCUAUCGCACAUAAUUCCCAUGCUUUGCCCAUUAAUGACGAUUUUCUAGAGGGGUCUCUCAUGUUGGUGGAAGUUGUCCCUUGGUACGCUCACAUUGCUAACUACCUGGUCACGGGAAAAGUUCCAAGUGAGUGGAAAGCACAAGAUAAGAAGCACUUCUUUGCAAAAAUUCAUGCCUACUAUUGGGAAGAGCCAUUUCUAUUCAAGUAUUGUAUGGAUCAGAUAAUAAGGAAGUGCGUUCCUGAAGAAGAGCAACAGGGGAUCCUUAGUCAUUACCAUGAAAAUGCAUGUGGAGGCCACUUUGCUUAUCAAAAGACAGCCAUGAGGGUGUUGCAAUCGGGUUUCUGUUGGCCAUCACUUUUCAAAGAUGCCCACACCAUGUGCAAGAGUUGUGAUCGAUGCCAGAGGCUUGGGAAGUUGACACGCAGGAACAUGAUGCCUUUGAACCCCACUUUAAUAGUUGAUAUUUUUUAUGUUUGGGGCACUAACUUCAUGGGACCUUUCCCUAUGUCUUUUGGCUACUCUUACAUCUUGGUAGGAGUAGAUUAUGUUUCUAAGUGGGUUGAGGCAGUCCCAUGCAAACACAAUGACCAUAGAGUGGUUCUCAAGUUUCUUAAAGAGAAUAUCUUCUCAAGAUUUGGGGUGCCCAAAGCCAUAAUUAGUGAUGGGGGUACUCAUUUUUGCAACAAGCCUUUUGAAACUCUCCUAGCCAAGUAUGGGGUGAAGCAUAAGGUAGCUACACCUUACCACCCUCAAACUCAUGGACAAGUUGAGUUAGCAAACAGGGAGAUUAAAAACAUAUUGAUGAAGGUGGUGAACACAAACAGAAAAGAUUGGUCAGUCAAGCUUCUUAAUUCACUAUGGGCAUAUAGAACAACUUACAAGACCAUUCUCGGGAUGUCUCCUUAUCGCCUAGUUUAUGGCAAAGCAUGCCAUCUCCCUGUGGAAUUGGAAUACAAAGCUUGGUGGGCAAUCAAGAAGCUCAACAUGGAUUUGAGCAGAGCUGGGUUGAAGAGGUUCUUAGACCUUAAUGAGAUGGAGAAAUUGAGAAAUGAUGCCUACAUCAAUUCAAAAAUUGCAAAAGAAAAAUUGAAGAGGUGGCAUGAUCAGUUGAUUUCCCGCAAGGAUUUUCAAAAUGGACAAAGAGUCUUACUUUAUGACUCUAAACUCCACAUCUUUCCGGGCAAGCUGAAAUCAAGGUGGAUAGGUCAUUUUACCAUUCACCAAGUGCAUUCAAAUGGAGUAGUGGAACUACUCAACUCCAACAAUAUCGAGAACUUCAAAGUGAAUGGCCACCGUCUCAAGCCCUUUGUGGAGUCUUUUUCUCACAACAAGGAGAAAUUCAUCCUCCUUGAUCCACAUCAAGCUUAACAAGACCAAUUUUCUUGAUGGACUUAGUCUUUCUAAAGACUAUCGAGUCCAUAACUUUUUGUUUUAUUUUUUAUUUGAGAUUUUUUCGGUAUUGUUACUUGUUUUGUUUUUUAUUUUUCGUUUUAAUUUUAUUUGGUUUGAUUUAACUUAGGUUUUUGAUGAUCAAUUACAGGGGGGAUUUCAAAUAGAGGAAAAACCAAGAUAAUUCGCACACCCUACGAAAAUUUCGCAAGGCAUGCGAAAUUUAUGGCUUAUUUUGCAUGGGGUGAAAAUUUUCGUACAUCUUACGAACCAAUUUCGAACACUUUGCGAAAAUAAACCAACCCUGCGAAAUCAUUUCGAUUACUCUACGAAAUUUUCGUAGAGCAUGCGAAAAAUUUAGCACACCAAACACCAUUUCGCAUACUAUGCAAAAACCUAAGGGGUCUGCGAAACCAUUUCGCACCUCCAAAUCCAUUUCGCACAUUGUGCGAAAACCAAGAGGCGCUGUGCGAAAAUGAAAAGUCGCCCUGUCAUCCCUUUUUAAACCCCUCGAGCCCUAAAAUCUCCAUUUCGCAAGCACCCCUGUCCUUGCGAAUCCCUCAUUUUCCUCUACUACCUUGCAACCUCGUCCCUUUCCAUUUGAUAUUGUGCCCCGCGCACAUCUCAUUUCAGAGACUCGCACUCCGCGCCCCCUCAAAGCAUGGACUCGAGACCCACCUUCCAUUUCCGACGUGGCACGGACCCAAGGAGCCCUUUCUGCCCCUUCACUAAGACACACACCAAGGCAGAAAGCCUCCUUUGCUCAAGUGCCUAGUGAUUCUCCAUCUUAGGCCUCAGAGGCCUCGGAGGCCCCGUGGAUUCCACCUUCCGAGGGUAGAGCAGCCAUUGGUCCUUCCUCUUCUACUCCUUAGCGUAGAUACGAGACGAGGAGACCACCUACUACACAAGGGGCGACUACUUCGAGCCUUGAGAAUUCAGUACGAUGCCUUCCUGCCAAGAGGGUCAAGACUUCAGGUCCAAGUGAGUCAUCCAGAGCUUCAUAGCCUAAGCCUCCUGUAGAUUCCAAGGUUCCUACUGACAUAUCACCGGAGUCUAUUAUCAGAAGCCCGAUGCUCAUAGCACCGCCCAUUGAGGGCAACUCAGAUUAUAGAGCGAGAUCUUUCCACUUGGAGCUAUAUUUUGAUCAGGAGGCCAUACGACAGCAGCCUGAGCUCCGAGACUCUUAUGGCUUACUGCAGAGGUACCAUCUUGAGGAACUUAUGACUCCUCGUGAGUUUUUUUAUCCCAGAGUAGCACUAAACUUUUACCAGUCCAUGACUACUCGUGGCGUCCCGAGUCCUACCACGAUUCACUUCACCAUUGAUAGACGUCAUGGUAUCCUCAAGGCCAGACAUAUUACAGAGGCUCUACAAAUUCCUUUCGAGCUAGAGGAUCCAUCUGUUUUUCGCUAAUGGUCCCCAGUAUCUCAGAGGGACAUGGUCCGUAUUUUAUCUAGGGGAACAUCUACAGAUUCGAUCUUUCUACGGAAGGAGCUUCGACCUGGGAUGCUCCUCUUAGAUGUGGUGCUAUGCUCCAACCUCUUUCCCUUACAACAUUCGGUACAUAGGUGAUGAGCUAUUUUGGACGCUUUAUUCCGUAUAUCAGAGGGCUUCUACUUUGGCCCGCACCACUUGAUCAUGGUCUCCCUCAUCCACUUUGAGGAGAAGGUUCAUAGGAAGAAGCUUCAGAGGGUGGACACCAUUCCAUUACUAUUCCUGAGGUUACUUUGCCAGGUCUUGGAGUACAUGGGCUUUCCUACUGAGCCUCGGCUCGAGCUUUGCCGCCUUUGUCGAGAGUGAUCCACUCUCGACAAAUGGAAUUAGUUGGCGGGCUAUUCUGCACCUCCAGGAGCCCCUCCCAUGGUAGCACCUCCAAUGUCCCCACAGGCAAAGUAGGGCGAGCUCCCGGCAAAGACUGUACCACCAAUGCCCACACUUGAGGCUAUUUCUGCUGCUCUGCCUAUGACUCCUACUGUUCCACCAGUUGGUCCUUUUACAUCCGAGCCUUCCAUCACCAUCUCGGCUUCGGAGUUUCGCGCCCUUGUGCAUACCUUUCAGACACUCACCACCACACAUACUCCUCUCUUCUAGCAAAUGGUUGAGAUGUGUGCCCAUCAGGACCGGAAGACUACUAUACUCUGCCAAAUUCAGCAGCACCUAAGACUUUUGCCUCAACCUCAACCUAACCAUCCCAUAUCAUCAGAGCCUCUAGCUCCAACUGAGGAUACUAUUCCACCUGAGAACACUACCACAGUAGAGGUCCGGUUUCCACCACCUUAAGAGGCCACCACAGCUACAUCAGAGGAUGUGUCAUCUCCACUUGAGGCUCCCACUACUUGAUCAUAGGACAUAUCUUUAUCUUAUUGUAUUUACAUAUUAUAUUACUAGAGAUUUGUCCUUGUUUUGAUACUUUAUAUUCUGGGAUUGGAUGUAUUGCCUGAUGAUAUCUCAAUUGUACUUUCUCAUAUUAAUAUAUAGACAUCAAUUUUUUUUAGUAUACUUAGCAUUUUUCUAUUUCCUCUACUCAUUACUCUUUUGUUUUUUUUUACUCAUGUGGUUUCUCUUAUACAACUCAGACUCCAUUUCACUCAGGAGGUACCACUUCCUCCCUUUAUUUUCAAUUGCUCUUGAAAUAUUGAGUGCAAUGUUGAUCUUGGUUGGGGGGAGAGUUGAGGAAGGAAGUUUUGUUAAUAAUGCUAGGUUAAUUUGUUAAUUUAGUUACUUUCUGCUUAAUUUUAAAAGUUUUCACUCUACUUUCCAUGGUUAUUAAGGAAAAAUUCUCAAAAUGAAAUGGGAGAAAUCGAAUUCUUGCAUUUUUACUUGAAUCUUAGAAUUUGUAUCAUGCUUAUUAAAGUUGAUGAAUUAUUGAAACUCCUAUUGAAUUCAACCUUAUUUUUUCCACUUUAAUCUUACCACACACGGUGCACAUUAGGUUCCAGUUAUAAGAUAAAAAACUAUCUCACCCCCUAAACUUAGAAAAAUUUACACUUGGUACCUUUGACAUCGUUUUAAUAGUGUUGGGACACCUUAUAAAAGGCCAAUGAGCCUUUAAAAAAAAAAAAAAAAAAAAAAAGAGAAAGAACAAAGUAUUGCACUUGCCUUGAAACCUGAGCAAGAUCCGAGGGGUAUACAGUGAAAGUCUUUAAAACCUGGUGCCCUAAGCCUUGAUUGGUUGGGAGUCACCGACCUCAAUGCUCGUUAUAAGGGUGAAUAGGUGGAGUUUAACAUAUUGUAGGUGCUUGGGUAUUGAAUUUCAAUCUCAAAAGUCCGGGAAAAAAUCUAAGGAGUUAGUGGUCAAAAGAUCCUUAAAGCUUGAUGCCCUAAACCUUGAUUGGUUGAGAGUCAUUGAUGGAUCCCCGCUACAUGGACAUUUUAGAAAACAAUACCUUUAGCAUUGCACGCCUACAAUGAAAAAAAAAUGUGAAAUAAAAGAGGUGCGUUCUUAGCCUAUUGGAGGUUGGUCAGUUUGCUAAAGUUUGAGAAAUCUAGGUUGGGGGGAGAGAAUAGUCCGACAUACUAUAAUAAAAAACUAAUAACCUUAACACUUAGAUUUUUGUGGAAGAGUAAGGAUUGGACCUUUAGGGGUGGAAAUUCUUUUGAUGCUUAAAUUUGCAUAAUGCCUACUCUUUAUAAAUUAUGAUUAGGCAAGAGAUUUGAUGACUCUUGUUCAAAGUUGGGUUUUUCCUCUUUGAUGUUCCAUGAGAGAGUAUAAUCCUCAUCAUGCCACUUGAAAUCUUUUUGGAGUGAUUAACAUGAUUUUGUAAAUUAUUUUACUGUCUAUUUUUCUUUAUCUCUCUUUUAUUGCUAAUGGACUAGCAAUAUGUCAGUUGGGGGGAGUGAUUACUACUCAAAAAGUACUCUUUUAUAGCUUGAAACUAACUGUUUUAAACACUUUUGAGUAGGUGUUAAUACAUUUUAACUCAAUUGGCACAUUAAGGAACCUAACAAGGGUUACUAAUAAGUUUUUGGCAAGUUUUGGUGUUUUUGGUAGCUAUUUGAUCAUUGAAACAAGCCAAGAAUGAGGGAGAAUUUUGUGAAGUCCAUAGCAAUGCAAGUUAAAGCUCAAAUACAUGAAGAAUCCAAGCUUUGAAGCACUUCAUAGCCCUUUGCGAAGCCAAUCAGAGAUGCAAGGAAGAAAACCAGAGGAAAAAAUCCAACAACCAGCAUUUUCGCAUGGCUGUGCGAAAUUUUGCACACCAUGCGAAACCACAAGAAGUAGCCAAAGAAUUUUGCACACCAUGCGAAAUUUCGCAUGGUAUACGAAAUCUUCCUAUGCACCAACUCCGUUAUAUUUUUAUCUUCAGAUAUUUUGUGUAAUUUCCUAGUUUCUCCUUGUAACCAACCUAGAUAUUUUCUUUUAUAUCUUUUUUUUAUAUUUUUUAGGUAACAUCAUAUAUAGGGGGAGAGACAUAAGGAGGAUAUGGAUGUUUUUCAUAAAACACUUUUAAUUUUCUGGUAGUAAGAAAUAUACAAAGUUUUUUGCUCUGCCUUACCUUCUCAUUUUGUUUUCACCUAUCUUUCUAGCCAAACAACCUCUGAGAAUGAUUUCUCAGGGGAUGAGUAGUUAGGUUUUACGUUUCUUGGAGUGAGAGAAGCUAGGUGAAAGACCCAAAUGCUAAGGUGGGAGUUGUCCUUGCUUUAAAUGAAAGUAGUUGUUAAAUAUUAAUGGUUUUUAUUUUAAGGUUUAGCUUUAAAUCCCUUAAAAACACCUUGAAUGGCCAAUACUUGGUAAGCUUUUCGGAUUCUAUGGAUGCUUAUUGCUAGAUCCAUGGAUGUCAUUAGUUAUCAUUUAUGAGCCAUUGGAAGGUGGUUCAAGAUGAGAGUCUUUAGUGUUUGAAGCCAUUAAUGGGAAACAAUUACCAUUUUUUCAUGAAUCCUUUGGAUAAAAUCUUAAUUGCUAAAUAUAAAACUGGUUCGGGAGAUAACCAUCCUUUAUGUUAUUAUGCCCAAUGCAAGGAGAAGAUUUCGAAUCUUCUCAUUUGUCUAAGGAACCCGAUCCUAGUGACCUAAAGCUCCUAGAGACCUUUUCUUUGUAGUUAACUUCAUUUAUUGUUUUUGCUUAACUUAAAAUCAAUCUUUGCAACCACAAUUCCAUUUUCUUUAAAAGCUAAUUUUUAUAAGGAAAAGCACCAUUUUAUUUCCUUCACUAAGUCAACUGUAUGAUGAAAACCCAUCCCUGUGGACGAUCUUAGAGCCACUAUACUAUGUUAUCUAUGCUAUCCUAGUGUGAGGUGAUUUAGGUUUUAUAAAUUUUGUUGAUAACACCCGUCUGAGCCAGAAUCAAAUGGAACCACUGAACCAGGGACAAAUCAACAGCCUAUAUGGGAGGGACACAAGUUUAAUUGAUUUGCAUUUCAGCGUUAUAGAUAAGUAUGUUUUGGAAGAUUUGUUCUGGAAAUACUGCACCAAGUACGAUUCUUUUUCUCUUGAGUGAGUCCAUUUGCAUGCCAAUUAACGAGUUGAAAAGUAGGAGCACCUACCUCGUGCUCAUGGAACCGAAUGUCAGUGAAGUGGGGCUCCUUUUAGCCUCUUGUGUUUCUGUUCCAACCAAGGCGGCGUAGGGAAAAACAACAAUAUGUCUGUGCUAAAUAUCAACGCAUGAUAGAUGUUUUUUUUUUUUUUUUUGGUAUGUCAAGGCUAACGAAUGAAAUGCAUUAGCUUGUUUUGUGACUAUAACUGCAAAUGUCCAAAUUGGAGUAUCUCCAUUUCUCACUUCGGAUGGUUAACUUUAUAAACAAGAUAUAGGAAACAUGUGAACAUCUUGAGGAACAAUUCAAAUUAUUCAUUAGAAGUCCUGGGUUAAGUUCCAAGAUUUAAAUCAGACCCUUCUAGCAGCUUCAAGGGUACUUAGCAACCUAUAACAUAUUAAUGAAGAUUUAGGAUUUAGACUCCGGAAUACAAAUAAAUAUGUAUCUCAUGCUUUGACUAGCUUCCCUACAUAUGCAUAAAAUGGAGAUGACCCAAAAAAAAUAGCAGAAUCUAGCUUCCCUACAUAUGCACAAAAUGGAGAUGACCCAAAAAAUAGCAUAAUCGCCUUAGUUUCUGUGGUUAAGGUGAUUCUCCGCUUAAUAUCCACAUUGACUCAUUAUGCAAAAUCAACUGAGCUAAUUUUAUUUAUUUAUUUAAUGUCAAAUAGGAACUCCUAAUUAACUGAUUACUGUCGAAAAGUGCUAUUUUGUAGACCUAAUUAUAAGGGUUUUAAGCACCUUUGAGUAGUAAUCAUAUUCAUUUAACCUAAUUAAUUCAUUAAGCUCCUUAGUAAUUAGUUCUAACCAUUUUUAGUGGCAAGUUUACAUGUUUUUCAUCAGCUUAUGAACCAAUUCAAGCAUGCCAAUUGAUGGAGGAGCUACUUGGGCGAGUUAAGCAAGGAUUUUGGACGUUUACAGGCUUGAAUUUCAAGUGGAAACACGAGCACAAGCAAUGGGAACACCAUUUCGCAAGGGGAGGCAAUUCACCUUGCCAAAUGACCAAUUUCGCAAGGGGAUUUUCCUCAUGGUGCAAAAUUUGGUCAUUUCGCACCAUGAAGAAACCACCUUGCAAAAUUUCGCAAGGUGGAUUUAGGCACCUUGCGAAAUGCCAAAUUUCACAAGGUGGCUUUUCACCUUGCGAAAUUUGGACCUUUCAUCUUCCCCCCUUGCGAAAUGCCUUUGAAAUCCCCUGUUUUGAGACGCUGUUGAUGAUAUUCCACUGCCGGUUCUCCAAGAUAUUUUGCUUGACUUUUAGCUUUAUAAAUACCUAUUUUACCCUUGUAAUCAACCAAUGAAAAGGUUGCUUUUGUAAUAGCUCUUGUAAUUUAGCUUUUUAUUGUCUUUAAAUAGAGGUGAAGAGCCUCAGACACGAUCAUCUUGUAACCUGUAACUUUAUAAGUUAUAAGAGCACUUUUGUUCAUACGCUUCUUUUCUCUUUUCUUUCUCAUUUUCUUAGUAGCCAAACAUCCUUGGAGGAUGAAAUCCCCAAGGAUGAGAGGCUAAAACCUUUUAGUUUCUUGAAGUAAUGGAUGCCAUGUGAAGCUCCCGUGUCAGGAUGGAGAUUUCCAAGCCAUAAAUGUAAGUAGCUGAGCGUCAUAAAUGUUUUCAUUCAAAGUAAAGCUUUUAAUCCCUCUGACUUGCUUUGAAUGGCCAAUACUUGAUAACCUUUUGGUCUCAAUGGAUUCUUAUUGUUAGAUCCACUGACGUUCAUUAGUUAUCUCCUACGAGCCAUUGUAUUGCAAGUCGAGGAGAUGACCUAUACCAAUAAAAGAGCAUUUAUGAGGUUCAACUACCCUUUUUGUAAGUUUUCAAGGACUAAAACUCAGUUGUUAAACUCAUACCGGUUCGAGAAGUAAGCAUCACCUUAGUUGCUUCCCCAACUCGAGGUGAAAAGUCCCAAAAUCUCCAUUUUUACACAGUGAGUUAAGCAUGGCUAUCCAAAGCUUUAAGAAACUUCUUUUUCCAUCUUUUAACCUAUUUUCAUGUUAGUUUAGUUUACAACACCUUCAUCUUUUUAUGUUUUCAUCUUAACCUAAUUUUUAUUAAGAAAAGUUCACUCCAUCCUCCGAACUUCACCAGUUAAAGUAAAAACCCUUCCCAGUGUUCGAUCCUAGAGCCACUAUGCUAUAGUAGCUUUGCUACUUUAGUGUAAGGACCUUAGGUAUAAAUUUUGUUGAUACCCUUACAUGCCAAGCUACCAAGAGUCGGGUUAUCAUUAACCUAACCAUUGGCCUGUGUAAAUUGAUUUCACAUGCACAAUGUUGUAGUAGAAGUCCAUAUUUUGAAUUUUAUUUUUGUAAAGGUAAGGAAAAUGAAGCAUUGUGUAAUUAUAAAAAUAACUUCAUUGGAAUUCACAAGGUUCACCCAAAAUGGAGCUACAUCUGUAUUCUAUCCUACAGUAGACUAUAUAGAUUGUACAAUAGUAAAUUGCAAAUACAAUUAAUAAGUCUUGUGCUUCCUUACUAAUAAUCCUUUGACAUGAACAUUGCAGCACUAAGGUCCUCUUGGGAAGACACCUUGCACCCAUGAGAGCACUAAGAGGAAGCAAGGCAGAGUCAUGGGUGCAAUGUCAUGACUUGUUGUUGCACCAAGAGAGGCUUGGUGAUGCCAUGGUGUUGCAGUAGCAAGAAUGUUGCCUUGGCAGGGACACGAUCUAGGGAUAGAUGCCAAGAAAGGCUUAGCACUCACAUGAGUUGCACAAAGAUGAAUGUAAUAGAGCAUCAGAGAGACGUCUUGGCAAGUAAAUGAAUGGAUCCAAGAGACAACAACAUGAGGAGUUUCAAAUGGAUAAGGAAUGACUCAAAGACAUUUGAAAGCUACAAGUUGGAUUCUAAUUACGAUUGCAAUUUGAGUUUGAGUAGGAGUUUAGAUUUUGAUUGUAAUUGUAGUAUGAGUUGGACUAGGAUUGCUUAUCCUUAGUCAAUAUAGGAGCGGUUCGUGUCACCCUAUGAAAAGAGUUUGAGUAGGGACUAGGAUUGCUUACUCCUAGUCAAAUAUGGAGUAGGUGGUGCCACACCUAUAAAAAAAAGGGACAACAUGAGAGAGAGAGAGAGAGAGAAAGAGAGAGUGAAUUCACUAAAGAUAUUGUGGGAGUUUUGCUUUGUUACGUCUUGUAUUAUUACUUAGAAUAGGAAUAAAAUACAAGUUGGGGCUAGAGCCCCAUAAUUAAUCUCGUGUGCCUUUGUGGUUAUUCUUUAUUUGUCAUCUCGUGUGGAUUGGAUUAGGUUGACUUAGAGGGCUUCUAAGCACCACCUUUGUGGGUUAUUAUUUAUUUUCCAUCUCUUGUGGAUUAGAUUAGGUUGACUUAGAGGGCUUCUGAGCACCACCUUUGUGGGUUAUUAUUUAUUUUCCAUCUAUUGUGGAUUAGAUUAGGUUGACUUAGAGGGCUUUUAAGCACCACAUUUGUGGGUUAUUCUUUAUUUUCCAUAUCGUGUGGGUUGGAUUAGGUUGACAAGGAGAAAAAUUAUGUGGGAAAUUUGUGUUGGGACACUUACCAUAACCAAGUAAAAUCUACCAAGUCCUUUGUAAUAUCUUCAACAAAUAUUUUAGACUAGUUCUUUCAGUUAGUGUAAAGGAGGAAGAAGUGGUAUUGAUUCUAGAAAUAGGGUGUGUGUAUUUGAACUACAAUCCUUAUGAUCCUUAGGUCUCUAAACCUUCGUGAUGGGCUCCCUGACAUUUCAUAGGUUGUGCUACACAUGCGUUUGAAAUUUAGAGUGCGUUUGACAGUGAUUCCGGGAAGUGUUUUUGGCCUUUCUUACACUUGAAAAUUUUUAUUUUUCAAGUAUUAGAAAUGCUACAAACACUUUUGAAAAUUACUGUCAAACACACUCUUAGGAGCGCACAUAUAUAGUAGAAAACUAGAAAUUGUGGUUUUUUUAGGAUUUACUGUAAUGUCAUUAGGAGGGUAGUAAGUUGAAAUUGAGUAUGAACAAAUAUUUCUUUCUUUGGGAUGUUCUUCUAGUAGGUGCUGAUGAAACUGUUCUUUCUACUGCCAAUGUCACAUAUCAGCCAGAAAUUGAAAAUUUCAGUCAAGGUGUCCUCUGUUUUAGUGGUGAGGAAAGCUAGAAAUUUUAAGGUGAAGUUUUGUUAAAAACCUUAAGUAGCUGGGAUAUCAGGCCUGUUUUGCUUGAAAAAAAAAGUUGCAAGAUAACUCAUAUGCCAAACAGGUUCUGAUAUUGUGAAUCUAUCGGCAGACAUCAGUAAUCUCAUCUUCUGAGAUGGAUGUUGGGGGUGCAUGUGGUGGUGGAGGGGCAAGGUUUCAUUUGGUUUAUUUUGUUGAUGGAUAUUGUCUAGCCACCUGCGCCAAGUUUGAGGGGUGGUGGGUUGUGAUGACCCUACAAUUACUAUUAAUUUCUUCAUCUUUUACCGAUUAAAGUGUCCGAACAGUCGAAGUUACCCUUAUGCAUGUCAACUUGAUCACUUACCUCUUCAAUGGAGUUUAUGCUGGUUCAUUUAGGAACUGAUUUUUAUUGUUAUGUAUUAUAUGCUGAUGUUUAGGUCUCUCCAUCAUCACUAUAUACAAAAAUUCUAGGUUGAUACUAUAGGUUGAGAUUUAUUUUUUAAAUAAAAAAUAAUAAAAAUAAAAAUUAUGGUGAUGUUUAGUUGUUUUAUGGAAAAUUUUAACAAGUAAAAGUUAUUUUUGGGCAAGUUUUCAAACAAAAAGAAAAGUAAAAGUUGUUUUGACAAAAACAUAUAGAAAAAAAAAUCAUAGAAAAUAAAUAAUUUCCCCAUAUUCUAACUUUUUUGAAUUUUUCUCAAUGGGCAAAGGAAUAUCAAAUCAAGUUUGAGUAGGAUUUCUUAAUUUUUAAAAUAACUUACAAUUAAAAAAUUUUGGUGUUUUCAUUUUUGGACAAUUUUUUAUUAAGCAAAUGGACUCUGAGUCAUGCAAGAGAUAUGGUUCAUUAACCGGUCGAACAAUUUUUUUAAAUUAAUUUAAAAGUCAAAUACAUAAUCAAUUUCACAAAAUUUAUAAACAAAAAUAGGUUUAGAGAAGAUCUACACAUAAUUUUACUUUUCUAAUUUUAUUUUAUUUUAUUUUUUGUUGGAAAAUAGUCUUCAAAUCAUGUAAGAUUUAAUAGGUUAAAUUUGUUAACAAUAAAUUUUAAAUUAUAAAAUAUAAUCUGGAACUCAAAAAUCAAUUCAAGUAAUGCUAAAAAAAAAUCAAAUUUGGUAUAGAAUGACUUUGUAAAUUUUUUUACAAAACAAAUGAAUUUUAAAUCAAGUGAGAUUUAAUGCAUUAGAUUUUUAUCAAAUAUAGUAAUUUUAAAAAUAAAUUUGGAACUCAACAAUAGACACAAUAAAUACCAAAAAAUAAUGAACCAAAAUUGGUUUGGAAUAACUCCACAACCUUUUUUUUUUUUUUUUGGUGCACACGAAUUUUCUUACUAGGUAUAUUGCUUUCAAAUUGAGAAAGAUUUACCAUUUAGAUUUUUUUUUAAUGAGUUUAAUGGUAUUUUAAAAUAAUUCAAAAUUUAAAAAAUUGACUAAUUAAUAUUAUAAAUUGAUAAACCAAGACUAUUUCAAAAUGCAUUGGGGGCUAAGGGGGUUGAAAAUAGGGACAAUGGGAUGGGUUUGGGACAUGACACUCAUAUCUCAUUUCCAUUCCAAUUACACAGUUAUCUCCCAUCCUUAUCCCAAACUUGUGUUGGAGCAAGUUGAUUUGUUCCCAUCUUUGUUGACGAAAUGACUAAUAACCUCAUCCCCUCCUUAUCUUAGAUGUACAUUUUGUCAAAUUUGAUCAGGUAUGAUUGAUCCAAGCCCUAACCCUAAUUGGUAAUGAGUGAAUACUACACCUAAUUGCAUUCUUCUUUCAUUGCAAAAUAAUGAGAUUAUAAUAAUCUAGCAAAUAAGAAAAAAUAGUAUGGAAGUUCAAAUUAACACCAUAACUAUCAAUAAUUUUAAGCUUAUAGAUGACUUAAAUGAUUAAAAACUAAUGCAAAAUCCUAAAAAAAAUAAAAAUCAUAUAAAGAAUUCACAAGAGAACAGAAUGAACAAAAACCAAAUAUGAACAUGGGUCAACAUUAGUUAUGGAUUUGGAUUCCUUUCAAGGCCAAUCUUUGAACCAAGACUUCAUCAAAUCAACUACUUCAAAGGCUUUUGUGUUCUUCUUGGGUUGUGCUCUCAAACAAAGACUUCGAGGUGAUGUUCUAGAUGAUUGAAUUACACAUAUUUAGGGUGGAGAGAUUGGAGAAGCUUGAAGAUGCCAACGAUGGGUACAAUUGAGUGGUCAAUAAGAACAAUGUAGCCUAUGACUAGUUUGAUGUCAUGGUACAAGAGUUUUAGGCAUUGAGGUUAAAGCAAGAGCAACAUGGAAUUGAUUUCGGAGUCUUUCAGUUAGUGUAAAGGAGGAAGAAGUGGUGUUGAUUCUAGAAAUAGGGUUUUAAGUGGUGCGUGAUUACUACUCAAAAAGUGCUAUUUGAUAGCCUUUAAUUAAUCCUUUUUAACACUUUUGAGUAGUAGUUUAGGCCUUUUAACUCAAUUGGCAUGUUAAGGAUCCUUUAAAGCAAUUUUGAUCACUUUGUGCAAGUUUUGGUGUUUUUGUUAGUAUUUUGAUCACCAAAGCAAGUCAAGAAUGAGGAGAACUAUGAGGAAUCAUGGGCAAAGCUUAGAAUUCAAUUGCCAAGAGUGAAUCCGGAUUGCAAGGAGAAAAAGCAAAGAGAAUCUGUCAUGAAGCCUAUUCUUGAUGACAGUCGUAGCAGCCACUUUUGGAGCACUUUCUGAAGUCCAAAUGAUGCAAGCUAUAUACCAUUUCAAAGAUCAGGAAGUCAACAAUCCAAUGCUUCAAACGGUGCGCGAUUCGGAGUUGAAACGAAGAAGUUGCAGCCAUUACAAGCCAGUCACUCUAAAGUGUUGCGGAAUCAGCCUUUUGUUGCGAGAAUUUCGCAGCACUUUUGUACAGUAAGGUGUUUCUCCUUCUGACGAUGCACGAACCAUGCCGCGAGAGGGAAGCUAGGAACUUCAAGAUGGAAGCCAACUUUGCAGCCUGGUGAAGAUAGCUUGGUCUUGCGAAAUAAUUUCGCAGCCCUCUUGGGUGUCUGCGAAAUUUCGCAGGCACCACUUUUUUCCUGCGAAAUGGCUCCGGAAGCCUCCCGAAGCUUGCUACCGACAUUGGGAGAUAUUUUCCAUUAGAUUUUUGUUGUCUAAAUUCCAAAAUACUCCUUGUAAACCACCAAUUACAUGAUUCCUUAGUUUUUAAGUUAGUAAAAAGACCAAAUAUCUAUGUAAUAAUUAGUUUUAUAUUAGUUUGCUAUAAAUACCUCUCGGGAGCAUGUUCUCAGAGAGGAGUUCCUUCUGUAACCAUUUUGGUAAGCAAGUAAAGUCUUUUCUUUCUACUGCCUUACCUUCUCACUUUGUAUUUUCAUUUUAUUUCUAAGUUAUGAAUUCUCUGAGGAGCUUUCCCCAGAGAAUGAGUAACUAAACCUCCAAUUCCUUGGAGCUAAGGUUGCCGGGGAAGGUUCCAAGUGCAAGAAUGCAAAGCUCUGUGGUUUUAGCUAGUAAUGAAGAGGAAGUGAAAUCCUUUAGUGAUUUCAAUGUUUUUAGUUAACUUAAAACACCUUGGAGUCACCUGGGCCAACACUUGGUAAGGCAAGUGAUUUCCAACCGUGGAAAUGCACUAGUUUACCCCUUGCGAGCCUCUGGUAGGUGACUUCAAGGUAGGAUUUUCUGGAAUUACCAACACUUGGUAAGCUUUUGGACUCCUAGGAGACAUCCAUUAGUUAUCUCUUGCGAGUUUGUGAAGGGGAAUCCAAGGUUAAAGAUCACCUUGAAUGGUAAGUGCUCGUGAGAGGCAUGAACCAUUGCAAGUUGUAUCAGUGAGAGAAUUAAAGUGAAAUCUAAUUGAAGGAGUCUCUGUACAUCACCGGUUAGAGAAUUGACUAUAAGUUGAAUCUCUAAUGCGAGGAAAUGAACCAUCUGACCGGAGCUAUGUCUUUUGCAUGAGGAACCACCCCAGUGAACCUAAAUCUCCAAGGAAUGCUUUUCUUCCUAAAUUAUUCCAAACUUCUGUUAAGUUAGUUAGUUUAAGUCUAAACCUUUACCAAUCAAACUUUGUGUUUUAUUUCUUAAGCUAACCGUGAAAUGAAACAAAACCAAUUCACUUGGAAUUGGUAUCCUUGAUUGCUUGCAAAUCAUUCCCAGUGAACGAUCCUUAGAGCCACUAUACUAUAGUAGCUUUGUAUUUGCUACCCUAGUGUAUGGUGUUAUAGGUAUAAAUUUUGUUGAUCACUUCCUCAAUCAAGGAACACCAGCUGAACACAAAUCAGCUGAGACACCAAUUGGGCAUGAGUCAAAUGGCGCCGUUGCCGGGGAAUGAGUGUCAAGAUCAUUGUGAUACCAUUUUUGAGCACUUGUGAUUUUCAUCACAAGUUGGUAAAGUUUCUUUCACUUUACUAAUUUUCAUUCUCUCUUUGUUUAUUUACAAUCUAAGUUUAUCUUUUUAAAAUUUAGUCUAGUUUAAUUUUGCUAUUGUAGCCUUGUUUCUCUUGUUGUCCUCUGUUCUUGUUGUCCUCUGUUUUCAUUUUAGUUGCAGCUGAAUACUAGUUGUGUAUGCCAAAGUGGAUACGAGACAUUGGAGGUAGGCUUAUUAAGUGUGAUACACCUCAGAGAGGAGAAUUGGAAGUAAUCUUGAAUAUCAUGGAGGCUGCACCUGAAGAUCAGCAUAGUCACCAAGGUCGUCAAGACAAUCUCAAUGAAUUCAGAUCAAUGAGGGACCGUAUGCAUCCACCUCGUAUGAGUGCACCAUCAUGUAUAGUGCCCCCUACAGAGCAACUAGUGAUCAGACCAUAUCUUGUUCCACUUCUACCAACUUUCCAUGGGAUGGAAAGUGAGAAUCCGUAUGCACACAUCAAGGAAUUUGAAGAUGUUUGUAAUACAUUCCAAGAGGGAGGAGCUUCAAUUGAUUUGAUGAGGCUUAAGUUAUUUCCUUUUAAUUUAAAGGAUAAGGCCAAAAUUUGGCUUAAUUCUUUAAGGCCAAGGAGUAUCCGCUCUUGGACUGAUUUACAAGCUGAAUUCCUCAAGAAAUUUUUUCCUACUCAUAGAACAAAUGGCUUGAAAAGGCAAAUUUCAAACUUCUCAGCUAAAGAGAAUGAGAAAUUCUAUGAGUGUUGGGAAAGAUACAUGGAAGCUAUAAAUGCUUGUCCUCACCAUGGCUUUGAUACUUGGCUACUGGUGAGUUAUUUUUAUGAUGGUAUGUCCUCCUCAAUGAAGCAACUCCUCGAGAAAAUGUGUGGAGAAGAUUUCAUGAGCAAAAAUCCAGAGGAAGCUAUGGAUUUCUUGAGCUAUGUAGCUGAUGUUUCAAGGGGAUGGGAUGAACCAACUAAAGGAGAAGUGGGAAAGAUGAAGUCUCAGUUGAAUGCUUACAAUGCAAAGGCUGGGAUGUAUACUUUAAAAGAGGAUGAUGACAUGAAAGCAAAGUUGGCAGCUAUGACAAGAAGAUUGGAGGAGCUGGAGCUGAAAAGAAUGCAUGAAGUGCAAGCUGUUGCUGAAGCACCAGUGCAAGUGAAGUUGUGUCCCAAUUGUCAAUCGUUUGAACAUUUGGUAGAGGAAUGCCCUGCAAUUUCAGCUGAAAGGGAAAUGUAUAGAGAUCAAGCAAAUGUUGUUGGACAAUUCAGGCCCAAUAACAAUGCUCCUUAUGGAAAUACCUACAAUUCAAGUUGGAGGAAUCAUCCAAAUUUUUCAUGGAAGGCCAGAGCAACUCAAUACCAACAGCCGGAUCCACCAUCUCAACAAUCUUCAAGUAUUGAACAAAUAAUAGCUAAUCUCAGCAAGGUAGUGGGAGAUUUUGUGGGAAAGCAAGAAGCCACCAAUGCUCGAGUGGAUCAAAGAAUGGACAGAGUGGAUCAAAGAAUGGACAGAAUGGAGAGUAUGUUGAACAAAAGAAUGGAUGGAAUGCAAAAUGAUAUGAAUCAAAAAUUUGAUAACAUCCAAUAUUCAAUUUCAAGGCUUACAAAUUUGAAUACACUGCAAGAAAAGGGAAGAUUUCCUUCUCAACCUAACCAAAAUCCCAAAGGUGUCCAUGAAGUGGAAAGCCAUGAGGGAGAAUCAUCACAGGUGAAAGAUGUGAAAGCUUUGAUCACUCUAAGGAGUGGUAAGAAAAUUGAGCAGCCAACACCCAAGCCACAUGUUGAGAAAGAAGAAGAGAUGAAGAAAGGGAAGGAAAUGGAAGAUAAAGGCAGUGAGAUCAGUGAAGAAAAGAAGGACUCUGAUGCAACAAUGAAAGUAAUUCCAGAGAAGGAGCUUCUGAAGGAAGAAAUGCUGAAGAAAUCAACUUUUCCACCUUUUCCUCAAGCAUUACAGGGGAAAAAGGGGGUUAGAAAUGCAGCUGAAAUCCUAGAAGUAUUGAGGCAAGUGAAAGUUAAUAUUCCACUGCUGGAUAUGAUCAAACAAGUUCCAACGUAUGCAAAAUUCCUAAAGGACUUGUGUACUAUCAAAAGAGGGUUGACUGUAAACAAGAAAGCCUUCUUGACUGAGCAAGUAAGUGCAAUCUUACAGUGUAAGUCUCCUUUGAAGUACAAAGACCCUGGAAGUCCUACCAUUUCAGUCAUGAUUGGAGGAAAGGUAGUGGAGAAAGCCUUGCUAGACUUGGGAGCAAGUGUGAAUUUGCUUCCAUAUUCUGUCUACAAGCAACUGGGACUUGGAGAGUUGAAGCCAACAGCAAUCACUUUGUCUCUGGCAGAUAGAUCAGUGAAAAUUCCAAGAGGGGUAAUUGAGGAUGUAUUGGUUCAAGUAGAUAAUUUCUACUAUCCUGUAGAUUUUGUUGUUCUUGAUACAGAUCCUACUGUAAAGGAAGCUAAUUUAGUUCCUAUCAUCCUUGGAAGGCCAUUUCUUGCAACUUCAAAUGCAAUCAUCAACUGUAGAAAUGGGCUUAUGCAACUCACUUUUGGUAACAUGACACUGGAUCUAAAUAUUUUCUAUAUGUCUAAAAAGCAAAUCACUCCAGAAGAAGAAGAGGGUCCAGAAGAGCUAUGUAUUAUUGAUACUUUGGUGGAGGAGCACUGCAAUCAACAUAUGCAAGAUAAGUUGAAUGAAAGUUUUGUGGAUAUUGAGGAAGGUUUUUCUGAAUCUCCUAAUGGGCUUGCUACUCUACAAAGUUGGAGAAAGAUAGAAGGAAUUCUACCUUUGUUCAAUGAAGAAGAGGAGGCAGCUGUUGAAAAAGAAAUUCCAAAACUCAAUCUGAAGCCUUUACCUAUGGAGCUGAAAUAUACAUAUCUUGAAGAAAAUAAUCAAUGUCCUGUCGUAAUAUCUUCAUCUCAAACCAAGUCUCAAGUGAAGGAUGCAAGCUUCAAAUGGGAUCCGGGCAAACUGAAUCAGGAAGGGCAAAAAGUUUUGAUGUAUGACACAAGACUCCAUAUCUUUCCUGGGAAGCUCAAGUCAAGGUGGAUUGGUCCAUUUGUUAUUCACCGAGUAUAUUCCAAUGGAGUGGUGGACUUAUUGAAUUCCAAUGGCAAGGACAGCUUUAGAGUCAAUGGAUAUCGUCUUAAGCCGUUCAUGGAGUCAUUCAAAUCAGAAAAGGAGGCAAUCAACCUCCUUGAACCUCAAAAAGCCUAAGUGAAAUGGGUUUGCUGGACGUGGUUUUACCACAGUCCAAAAAUUUUUGUAAAUUUUGUAAAUUUUCAAGUUGUUUCCAUGCUUUUAAUCUUAGUUUUUGAUUUUAAAUCAUGUUUUUAGGUGUGUUUUAAUCGUUUUAUAUGAUCCCAGGCGGAAGAAAUUUCAAGGGGAUUGAAAAGAAAAAAAUCGGGUCGAAAUUGGAGCCGAAACAGAGCAAAAACAGGGGAAAAACAGAGCUCUGCGAAAUUUCGCAGGGUGAAGGAAACUUCUGCGAAAUUGGCAUUUUGCUGCCAAACCAUUCCGCAGCACUGUAGAAGCCUCUGCGAGUGUAUUUCGCAAUUGCGAAAGUGGAUUUGGCACACGAGUGCCACUUCGCAGCACAGUGACAUCAAUUUCGCAGCUGCGAAACUCACUGCGAAGUUGCUGCGAAAAUGGCAAGUUGCUGCGAAAUUGGCGUUUUGUUGCGAAACGUAAUCUGACCCCUGGGCUUCCGUUUUUCCUAUUUAUACCUGUCAAAAGUGCUGCGAAAAAGGUUUCAAAAAUUAGAGCACCAUUCUCGCAGCCCUUUCAUCUUCUUCGCCAAGCCACGCCGUCCGUUUCUCCGGUCGUCUUCUCCGUUUAGCAGCGCCGGCCAAAGAUCGAUAGCCCAAAAAUGGCACGAACGCGAGGGGCAAAGUCUUCAUCCCCUUCGAACCGCAAAAGGAGUCUGCGAAAGGAGCCAAGUUCAGGCUCUGUUCCAGAACCUGCUCCAAAGCCUUCGCCGUCGAGACCACAACCUUCUCCAGUGAAGCCGGCGCCACCAAAGCCGCCGGCAAGGCGAUAUUUAACCAGGUCAGGUGGUCAGCCAUUGAAGAAGAAAGCCAGAGUUGAGAGCUCUGAACCAAUCGAUUUGACUGAGCAAUCCCCUGAGAAAUCACCAAAUCCUUCACCGGUACAAAUUCCAGUGCCAUCACCGGUUCCCUCGCCAAUUCCCUCACCAGAAGCAACUCCAAUUCCAUCGCCGGUACCAUCUCCGGCACCCCAAGAAAAAGCUCAGGAGCCUCAAGCGCCAAUUCCAGAGCCCCAAAUUGCAGCUGAAGCACCUCUGGAAGAAGUGAUCCGAAGGCCAAUGCUGCCUCAGCCCCCAAUCGAAGGAAACCUGGAUUGCCGAACUCGGGCAUUCCAUUCUGAGCUUUGCUUCGAUUUAACAGCAUUCAGAGUGAGGCCAGAGCUUGCCCAAUCCUUCCAACUGCUGAGGAGAUAUCAUAUGGAGCAUCUGCUAGCUCCAAGGGAUUUUUUCUAUCCCCGGGUAGUCACGGAUUUCUACCAAACCAUGACAACCAAAGAAGUAAGAAAUCCAACUCUGAUUCAUUUCAUAAUUGAUGGAAGGCAUGGUAUUUUGGGAGCAAGACAUAUUGCUGAAGCCCUGCAAAUUCCUUUUGAGCCAACUCAAUUCGACAAUUUUAAAGCUUGGACAAAUCCUACUGAGUUAGAGAUGGUUAGCACACUAACCAGAGGAGCUGCAAAUCGAUCGCAUUUGUUGAGGGGGGAGCUACCUCCAGUUAUGUUUUUGAUUGAUGCCUUUUUGAGGCAUAAUAUCUAUCCCCUGCAGCAUUGGACCCAAAGAAGGGGAAUUCUCCUAGAAGCCUUGUACAAAAUGUCUGAAGGAUUCUUCUUUGGGCCUCAUCAUCUGAUCAUGGCAGCCCUUCUAUACUUUGAGGAGAAGGUUCACAAGAAGAAGCUUCAAAGAGCAGAUUGCAUUCCACUCCUCUUCCCAAGGCUGCUAUGCCAAGUUUUGGAGCAUCUCGGAUACCCCUCUGAGCCUCAGCAGGAAAGAAAGAGAAUAUGCCGUGAGCCUUUUACCCUUGAUAAAUGGAAUAAUAUGACGGCCUACAAAAUUGAUCAGCCUGGGCAGCCUCAGCCAGCAGCAAGGAGAGUCUCCCCAAGACAUAUACCUGAAGGUAUAACACUUGCUACUCCUGCCAUCCCUCGAGCUCCACCAGCUGCACCUGCUCCAUCACAGCCAUCCACAUCAGCUGAGCCGAGGAUGGCCAUCCCUAUAUCCGAAUAUCGAGAGCUGUGCCGUGCAUUGGAGACUCUUACAGCUUCUCAGAGCAAUCUUGCUCAGGAGUUGGCAGCCAUUAAAGCAUGCCAGGAGCAGAUGUUAGCCUCUCAGACUCAACAAGCUGCCAUCCUAAGGCAGCUUCAAGUCCAUUUCGAUCUGCCACAAGCUGUAGAGCCCUCUAUUCCUACUCCACCAGAGCCACACUCUCAGCCUUCAGAGUCUCAUCCUCCAGAACCCGAAGCACCAGCUGAUCCACCUACUGAGGAGGCAGAUCCUUCUGCCUAGCACCAUCACCCCCCUCAUCAGACAUUAUAUAUAUAUUUGCUGUUUAUGUUUUUAUGCAUGUUUGUUUUGUUUUAGUUGAAAAGAAAUCCCAGUAUUUUGGUACUAUAUAUGGGAUUCCUUGUGUUACUUGUCUUUAGUAUUGUAAUCACAUGAACUCAAAGUAAUACAAGUUGACUAUUUCUUGUUAAAAGUUAGCAUUAAAGUUUCCUUAUUUCCUUUUCUCACAUAUUCUAUUCUUUUUGAAACAUGUGGUUUUCCCCAAUCAAUAUUCGAAUUUGAUAUCAGCAUGGAGGUACCACUUCCUCCCUUUUAUUACAGUCACUCAAAUCACAUUGAGGACAAUGCUCAGUUCGGUUGGGGGGUAUGAGGAAGGAAGUAUUCUAAACCUUUUUGGUAUUGCAAUUAUAUUGGUUAAUUAGUUGUAGAUUUUACUUUUUACUAGUGUUACUCUAUUCUCCAUGAAUUUUGAGGAAAAAUUUUCAAAUUAAACCAAGAGAAAUUGAACUGUUGUUUUUCACUUGACUUAGAGUAUGGAUUAUGCUUACUAAAGUGGUUCAAUUGUUGAAACUUCUACUGAAAUUGAAUUGAGUUCUUCCACUUUAAGCUAUCCACACACUGUGCACAUUAGUUUCCGAUUAUAAGAUGAAAAGCUAUUUCCCUCUUGACUUAGUAUAUUUUUGGGACUUGGUAUAUUUGACCUCAUUUGAUAAAAAUUGAAACACCCUGCAAAAGGCCAAUGAGCCUUUGAAAUAAAGAAAGUUGUUUGCUUGCCUUGAAACCCGAGCAAGGUCUGAGGGGUAUAUGGUGAAAAUCUUUAAAGCCUGGUGCCCUAAGCCUUAAUUGGUUGGGAGUCACCGACCUCAAUGCUCGUUACAAGGGUGAAUAGGUAGAGUUAGCAUAUGGUAGAUGCUUGGGUAUUAGAAAUUCAUUCUUAAAAGUCCGGGGAAAAAUCCGAGGAGUUAGUGGUUGAAAGAUCCUUAAAACUUGGUGCCCUAAACCUUAAUUGGUUGGGAGUCAUCGAUGGACCCCCAUUACAUGGACAAGUCAGAAAGAGUACCCCAUAAAGCUACCUUAAAAAAAAAAAAAAAAAAAAAAAAAAAAAAAAAGAUGAAAGUGUGUUCUUUUCUUAUUGAUUUUGGUCAGUUUGCUAAAGUGUUGAAAAGAGAUAGGUUGGGGGGUGAGAUUAGUAGCAUAUUAUUCUCGGAACCUAAGGAACCAAUACACAUAGAUUUUUGUGGAAGAUUGAAGUUUAGUUCUUAGAAAAUGAAAUGAUUUUAAAACUUCAGUUUGCAUAAUGCACUCCCUUGAUUGACAGUGUUUAGCAUAGGUGUUAUGACUCUUGUUGAGAUUUGGGUUUGUAUUUCUUUAAUGAUUCAUGUGAGAAAUAGAUCAUCAUGCCACUUGAGAAUUAUUUUCCUUUUAGCAUGAUGUUGUAAAUUUUAGAUUAGUUUGCUAUUUAUUUUUUAUUUUCUCUCCUAUAUUGCUAAGGGACUAGCAAUAUGUCGGUUGGGGGGAGUGAUUACUACUCAAAAAGUGCUAUUUGAUAGCCUUUAAUUAAUCCUUUUUAACACUUUUGAGUAGUAGUUUAGGCCUUUUAACUCAAUUGGCAUGUUAAGGAUCCUUUAAAGCAAUUUUGAUCACUUUGUGCAAGUUUUGGUGUUUUUGUUAGUAUUUUGAUCACCAAAGCAAGUCAAGAAUGAGGAGAACUAUGAGGAAUCAUGGGCAAAGCUUAGAAUUCAAUUGCCAAGAGUGAAUCCGGAUUGCAAGGAGAAAAAGCAAAGAGAAUCUGUCAUGAAGCCUAUUCUUGAUGACAGUCGUAGCAGCCACUUUUGGAGCACUUUCUGAAGUCCAAAUGAUGCAAGCUAUAUACCAUUUCAAAGCUCAGGAAGUCAACAAUCCAAUGCUUCAAACGGUGCGCGAUUCGGAGUUGAAACGAAGAAGUUGCAGCCAUUACAAGCCAGUCACUCUAAAGUGUUGCGGAAUCAGCCUUUUGUUGCGAGAAUUUCGCAGCACUUUUGUACAGUAAGGUGUUUCUCCUUCUGACGAUGCACGAACCAUGCCGCGAGAGGGAAGCUAGGAACUUCAAGAUGGAAGCCAACUUUGCAGCCUGGUGAAGAUAGCUUGGUCUUGCGAAAUAAUUUCGCAGCCCUCUUGGGUGUCUGCGAAAUUUCGCAGGCACCACUUUUUUCCUGCGAAAUGGCUCCGGAAGCCUCCCGAAGCUUGCUACCGACAUUGGGAGAUAUUUUCCAUUAGAUUUUUGUUGUCUAAAUUCCAAAAUACUCCUUGUAAACCACCAAUUACAUGAUUCCUUAGUUUUUAAGUUAGUAAAAAGACCAAAUAUCUAUGUAAUAAUUAGUUUUAUAUUAGUUUGCUAUAAAUACCUCUCGGGAGCAUGUUCUCAGAGAGGAGUUCCUUCUGUAACCAUUUUGGUAAGCAAGUAAAGUCUUUUCUUUCUACUGCCUUACCUUCUCACUUUGUAUUUUCAUUUUAUUUCUAAGUUAUGAAUUCUCUGAGGAGCUUUCCCCAGAGAAUGAGUAACUAAACCUCCAAUUCCUUGGAGCUAAGGUUGCCGGGGAAGGUUCCAAGUGCAAGAAUGCAAAGCUCUGUGGUUUUAGCUAGUAAUGAAGAGGAAGUGAAAUCCUUUAGUGAUUUCAAUGUUUUUAGUUAACUUAAAACACCUUGGAGUCACCUGGGCCAACACUUGGUAAGGCAAGUGAUUUCCAACCGUGGAAAUGCACUAGUUUACCCCUUGCGAGCCUCUGGUAGGUGACUUCAAGGUAGGAUUUUCUGGAAUUACCAACACUUGGUAAGCUUUUGGACUCCUAGGAGACAUCCAUUAGUUAUCUCUUGCGAGUUUGUGAAGGGGAAUCCAAGGUUAAAGAUCACCUUGAAUGGUAAGUGCUCGUGAGAGGCAUGAACCAUUGCAAGUUGUAUCAGUGAGAGAAUUAAAGUGAAAUCUAAUUGAAGGAGUCUCUGUACAUCACCGGUUAGAGAAUUGACUAUAAGUUGAAUCUCUAAUGCGAGGAAAUGAACCAUCUGACCGGAGCUAUGUCUUUUGCAUGAGGAACCACCCCAGUGAACCUAAAUCUCCAAGGAAUGCUUUUCUUCCUAAAUUAUUCCAAACUUCUGUUAAGUUAGUUAGUUUAAGUCUAAACCUUUACCAAUCAAACUUUGUGUUUUAUUCCUUAAGCUAACCGUGAAAUGAAACAAAACCAAUUCACUUGGAAUUGGUAUCCUUGAUUGCUUGCAAAUCAUUCCCAGUGAACGAUCCUUAGAGCCACUAUACUAUAGUAGCUUUGUAUUUGCUACCCUAGUGUAUGGUGUUAUAGGUAUAAAUUUUGUUGAUCACUUCCUCAAUCAAGGAACACCAGCUGAACACAAAUCAGCUGAGACACCAAUUGGGCAUGAGUCAGUGCGUUAGAGGAUCAAGAAGAAGAAAAAGAAGGAACUGUUGGAAUUAGUAUGAGUGUGAAGAGAAAAGUAUAUAAAUAAGGGGAAGUAAAAGCAAAGUUCAAAAAGCUAUAUUUUUUUAUUGUUGGUGUAUGGUUGCAUGAUUAUCCCUAUAAAUAAUAGGAGUUUUUUGGUAUUCUACUAGUAGUUGAAGCAUAAUUUCAUAAAUUAAUAUUUAGAGCGGGGUGGGGUGAGUUGUGACAAAAUUCAUACCCGUCCCAAACCUUGGUUCAGAUUUUUAAAAUAUUCUCAAACUUAUCAUAUACCCAACUUUUAUAUUUCAUACUUGUCCUAAUAGAGGCACGUUAGGCCGGGUUACUUGAGUAACCUACAUAAUUGUCAUCCCUAGUUGAAAUACACUUUUUGGCAGUGGCCACCAACUGAGCUAGAAGCUUGAUUGAUUGACCUACAAGAUUAGUUCUCAUCAUUUUAAAAAAAGUUCUGGCUUUGGUUGUGAGUGCAAUUGAAUCUAAACUGGCAUUUGCUUAAUGCAUCUACUUCAAUCCUAAACUUCUUACUUCUUAAGCCUCAAUUGUUGUUAGGAUUUUGGAAAACCCAUUUCCUUAAAUUGUAAAUUUAAGAUAAAAUAAAAUAAAAGUGAGACAUUUCUUGAUUGAAUAUUGUUAAAGGUCCCUUGGCAUUAAGACUUGGUUGAAGCCUUGGAAGAUUAGUGGAACUCUCAACAUGUGUUUGAAUCUUGAGGAGAGUGGAUGUAAGCCAAAAUUUUGUCAAACCAUUAUACAAAUUGAGUUUGAAUCCUCAUUUCUUGAUUUCUUAUUUAUUUGCUUUUUCUUAUUAUUACUUGAAUUGUCAUUUGCAUUCAUUAAUGUUAAAAUUGGUUAUAAUUAACCAACACUAAUUCUCUUUCCCCUUCCCUUUCUUGGGUGUAAACCUAGGUUGGAUUAACUAGAUAAAUCUAUUAAGAUGGUAAAAGAAUAAUUAUUCUUAACAUACAUAAGAUCAUCUUCAAUCAAAUGACUCAUUGGCUAAUAUGUUGAAUUUGCUUAUUACUUGCAACUCAAAAUUGUGUUCUAGUUGUGUCAAGUCCCCAGUGUAUGGACAUUAAAUUUGUAGUACGUGAUGAGUAAUUAGAUGGUCCAACUCCAAGAAAGUGAUUGAAAAGUAGUUCAAGAAAGGUGCAAAAGGGAAUUGUUUUGGUAUUUUCGUUUUUAUUCUUGAAGGUGGCAGAGCUAAAAUUUGAGAAAUCAAGCAAAACAUACUGAAAUUACAUUGAAAGAAAGAAGAUGGGAGUUAAUGUCUUGCAGUACAUGAUAAGGACUUCAUGCAUGUAGUGUGACCCAUGUCUUGGACUGAUGCCAACUCACGGUUACACUUAUACCCUUGGUUCUCUCUUUACUACCUUGGCUAACCUAGAUCAGGCUAUGAGAUAGGCUCCUCACCACACCAUUACUUGCCCAUUAAUUAGAGACAUUUUCAAGCAAUGAGGUAACAUGGUGACACCAAGAGGGUCUAUUCCUCGCCCGGAACAAGUCUAGACUUGGUCUCAAAAAAAUGGAGAAAAAUGAGGUGUCGUUAUGUAGAAAUACAACAACCAUGCCUUCCUCAUUACUUAGAUUCAGAAUGUGAAGGUGAAAUUGAGAAACAGAAACUCUUGAAACCAAAAUGAAAAUUGAUACUUUUACGAAGAAUUACAACAACAUUAGAGGAAGACUACAUUCUUCCUCUUUAUUCCUACAUUUCUACACUACUUCUACUCCACUCCAUAUUUCUACAUACAUCUUUAAUCAGUCUUCCCUCCUUUAUAUAGAGCCAUCUUCACACAAAUUUCGCAAGGUAGAAAAGAGGAAUGAAACUUGGAGCAAGGUUCGACUACUGGUUGUAGCUUGUCAAGGCUGGAAGUGAACUUUUCUUGGCUUUCUGGGCAUGGGUAGUAACUUGUGGGUUCCUGUUUGGCAUAAAAAUGGCUAGAACAUGUGGCACUAUCUUGUUGGAUGAUGUGUCAAGCAUGUGGCAGCCAUCUAGUGGCGAUUAUGUCAAUUUUGGGAUGGAGAGUUGGCAUCCAAUUGCAAAGAAAUAUGACGUCUACCAACAUGCAAUGUAAACCUAUGUAGAUCAUAUGAAGAUAGAGAGGAAAAAUAUAGAAAUGGAUAUAUACCUAGAACUAGCUUUUUAUUAAAUGAAACGGAGAGACAACAAUGAAGGAAAAUAAAAUUUUUUGGCUUAUAUCAAAGAGUUCACAUUGUGUUACCCUAGGUUUUCUUAAAACUUACUUUUAUGAUAACAAAAAAGAAAAAACCAUUAUUGUUUAAUCCUUUGUUUUAAACGCAUGUAAGGUGUAAUUAAGUUAGUUCAAUGCAUUAAUUUAAGAAACUUGACCUAUCAAAAGUACAAAAUUAGAUGAAAUCCAUUUCAAUGGUUAAAAUGAUCAAAAUCAAACUUUUUCUAAGUAUUUUUUAAAAGCAUCAAUAGUGAAAGACAAUUUUAUAUUUAGUCGGAGUUUGGACAAAACUGAAAAACACACAAAAUCCAAGCGACCAUCUCUAGCUUGGAUGGUCGCUUGAUCCCACCUAGAGAUGUGCAUGAGUAAAAGGAUUUGAAAAUGGAAAUUGACUAUGUAGUCGAUCAAUUAACUUUGCAACAUCAUAUGCAAUCCUAAUUGCUAGUCAUCUAAUCAAUUAGGUAGUCAAUCAACAGGCCAAAAAUAUGUUUAUAAUGACUAUUUUGUACAAAAACCACCUGUAUAGUUAAAUAUAAUGCAUUUCAUUUAUAAAUCUUCUAAUUCUUGAAUAACGAUCCUAUCAUCCUUUGAAAGUUUUUAUUACACUUUUUUUACUUUUGUUCUAAAACUUACACAUCACCCUUAAUUGUACCAUGAGAACCUAGCUAUUUUUUAUUUUUUUUUUUGUAAUUCAUCAAAGUUAGCUUUUGUAUUCAUUGUUGUAUUAUUUUUAGUAUAACUUAGAAAGCUAGUGUUUUCAAGUGAGUAAAAUUAACUUGUAAAUAUUGUAAAGAUUCAUCGACAUGUAUCUUAAACUAAGUGUACAAGUUAAAACAUUUGCUAGUAGAUUUUCUCAAAAUUUAGAAUAGAGCUUGAGACUAUUGAAAUAGGUGGGGUUGCACCAAACCACAUCACAUCGUUGUUUGCACCUUUUUUCACUCUCUUUUACUUAGUUGCUCUAUAUUUGUUGUCUAGUAAUAUCCUAUAGGCUUGAUGGGUUAGGGAGCAUCCCUUUGUGAAAAAAUUUUAUUCAAUCCUUAGUUGUAUCACGCAUAUAUAAAAUGCCUCAUUGUUUUAAUGGUAUUCAGUCGUGGCAUCACAGAUAUGGGCAUCUAAAUUUUAAAAGUUUGAAACUUUUAUCUAAAGAAAAUAUGGUGCUUUGCCUUUUUGUAAAGCAUGUUGAUGAAAUCCAUGAGAAUUGUGUACUUGGGAAGCAACACCGAGAUGACUUUUUUUUUUUUUUUAUAAUAUUGUUUGUCCAAAUUCCCUACAAAUUAGGCCACCAGAUGUUCAUAAUUCUCCCUUCUUGAAUUUGAAAACUCGGACAAUUGGACAAUGCGACACCUAAGUCCGGUUUCUAAAUGCUAAAGUGAAAGGGUAGGUAUGGACCAUUGAAAUGUGAUCACAACUUUUCUCUGUAGCCAUGUUGUCUCUUUUUUCUUUUGCAUGAUUUUCUUACCUUAACAGAAUCAUAGACUUGUUUAGUCUCUAAAUGGGAUUAAUUUCAUCCAGCUUUAAGCUACUAUAUUAUAUCUAGGUGGAGGACUUUUAAGAGUGCAACCGACAUAGAGCACAUGGAAGUGGGUAUAUGGGACAUGAAAUUUCUUCUUAUAAAGAUUGCAUGAUUUUUAUAUUAGAGUUGUUGAGGCGCUAUGUAUUUAGCUUGUUUUGCAGUUAAAUUAAUUGGAUAAGUAGACAUUGGCGUUUCUAAAUCUACUGUGAAGUGCUUCAUGUACGUGUGAAGUAUUAGAAAUUUCUUUCUUGGCAACUUGUUUUUCUUUGCGGUCUACUGAUAGGUUUGACUAAAAUUAUAUUCCCUGUCAUGCUAAUUAAUUUUCACGUGCAUGCUCAAAAGAAAAGUAUGACCUUAGUGCACCAAAAUCACUUUGAUUAAUUUGUGAUAGGUUUUUGUGCAUCAUGACAUUAGCCUUAUUCAUUUAGAUAAUGUUUAGUUUUUAGAAAGUAUUAAGAAAAGGAAAAUAAAUAUUAAGAAAAAUAUUCUUAUAUUUGAUUGUAUUAUGAAAAAUAUCAUAAAAAAAUCAAAUAUAAUUUAAAUUAAUUAAUAAUUUAUACAUUUUCAAAUUAUUUAAUCUUUAUAUUGAAGAUAUAAUAUAAAUGAAAUGAGUUUUAAGUAUUAUAUAAAAGUGAUUUAUUGAUCUUACAUAUAUAUAUUUCUUUUUUUUUUCCUUCUAUUUUUUCUCUUUAUUUUAUUUUCCUUAUGUUUUCCUCAACAUUUUCCGGAACCAAACAUAGCCUUAGGAAAUCCACAAUUACCUUCAACUGAGUAGAUUCUGUUGUUUUAGCAAUGUUAGGCUGCUAACUUGUGUUGGUACGAACCUAUUAAGCCUAAAGAUGUAAUUAGUUAGGAUAUUCUUUUCCCUCUAGUCUUGUAGCUCCACGUGUACAGUUGGUUAGGACCUCAUUGUAUAUAAUGCUUGCCCUGUUAUUGUAGAAGACAACAAAGAUAAAUAAUAUUAACAUUUUUCCUCUCAUCUCUCUCUGUUUCCCUCUGUUUUCAUCUCCUCUCUCAUCUUGGUAUCAGAGCCUCCAUGGCUUCUUUCAAAGAAACCUCCGAAUCACCUUCUGCUAGCAUUGUUAAUGUGCAAAACCCAUUAUCUCAAUCAAACAACCUUCCUUCACCAGUAGCCACACCCUCUUUUUCUUUCUCGUCUAUGAAUCAACCUCUCACAGUGAAGCUGGAUAAUGGGAACUACCUCAUAUGGAAGAAUUAGCUUCUAAAUGUCAUCAUUGCUAACGGACUCGAUGAUUUCAUUGACGGAUCUCGACCCUGCCCUCCUCGAUUUCUCGAUCUGCAACAACAAACCCUCAAUCCAGAGUACUCAGCUUGGCAGAGAUACAAUCGACUUCUGAUGAGUUGGCUGUACGCAUCCUUGUCCAAAGAUAUAAUGGCUCAGAUUGUUGGGUAUUCAACAGCUAUGGAGAUUUGGAAUGCCCUUAAUCAGAUUUACUCUGCCUCUUCUAUGGCGCGGUUUACUGAGCUUCGCACCAAGCUUCAAACGCUCAAGAAAGAUGGACUCUCAGUUGGUGAAUAUAUUCAAAGGCUCAAAUCCAUUUGCAAUAGUCUUGCAGCAAUAGGAGAACCAGUUUCUGAGAAAGACCAUCUUAUCUAUUUGUUCAAUGGAUUAGAUUGUGAGUAUUAUUCUUUUGUUACCUCCAUUCAAAAUCGAUCUGACCAACCAACUAUUGACAAAAUCCAUAGCCUAUUGCUUAGCUAUGACUUCCGGCUUGAACAACAAAACUCUGUUUCUCUCCAUUCUGCCCAAGUCCAUAUGGCUCAUCUGAACAAGAAACCUUAUAAAUCAACUCCUCAACCUACAUUCAAUCAUAUUCACAUUCAACCUAGAUACUCUUCUCCACCUUUUAAGCCAACCACUAGUCAAUAUCAACCCAACAUUUUGGGCAAACCACAACCACAACCAUGACAGCCUCAACCUCAAUGGAAACCACAUUUUUCAAUCUAAAAUCAAAAGCCUCAGCGCCAAAUUUGUGGUAAAUUUGGACACACUGCUCUUAUUUGCUUCCAUCACACAAAUUUGAACUAUUCACCCCAACCUUCUCCUAAAUCUUUCAAUACUGUUCUCACCACAAAUUCCCAGCUCCCUAAUCCUCCAAAAUUUUCUUACCCUACAAUGGCUCAUCCUGCUGCUACGCAUAACACGGUUCCCGAUACAAAUUGGUACAUGGACUCAGGUGCUACACAUCACUUUACUCUGGACAUCAACGUGCUUGACACUGUGACACCAUUUAGUGGUUCAGAACAGGUGACAGUUGGGAAUGGUAAGCAACUCUGUAUCUCACAUCUUGGUACUGCAAAACUACCAUCUUCGUAUUCUCCUCCUGUUCUACAUCAGGUAUAUCACACUCCAAAAAUUUCAAAUAAUCUUAUUAGUGUUAAAAAAUUGUGUUCUGAUAAUAAAGUUUUUGUUGAAUUUUAUGCCACUCAUUUUCUUGUCAAGGAUCAGGUUUCGAAGAGAGUUCUCCUUUAGGGUCAACUUGAUAAUGGCUUAUACAAAGUUCAGUCGUCAUGCUCUCCUUCUGCUGUUUCCUUUCCUCCUCAAGUUUUCAUAGCCAACAUCAAGUAUCCAAAUCUGUGGCACAAGAGACUAGGCCACCCAGCUUUAUCUGUUGUUAAUCAAAUCUUGGAUUCUUGUAACAUUGCUCGAACACAGAAAAUUUGUUUUAAUUUUUUAAAUUCUUGUCAAUUAGCAAAGAGCCACAGGCUUCCUUUUUCUCUGUCUCCAUCCAUUGCAGAAAAACCUUUUGAGUUAAUUCAUACAGACCUAUGGGGUCUUUCGCUCGUUCGCUCUAUUUCUGGUGCUCUUUAUUUUUUACUUUUCAUUGAUGAUCAUACUCGUUUUACUUGGUUUUAUUUGCUCAAAACAAAAGAUGAAGCAUAUCCUACUUUUCUCAAGUUUCAAGCUCUCAUUGAAAAUCAAUUUAAUACCAAGAUUAAGGCUGUCCAAUCUGAUUGGGGAGGUGAGUUUCGAUCUCUCUCCAUACCGUUUUCAAAUAUGGGCAUUGUCUAUUGUUUAUCGUGUCCAUACACCUCACAACAGAAUGGGCGAGUUGAGCGAAAAAAUCGCCAUGCGAUUGUCCUUUCUUGCUUGCUCUAUGCCCUUAUCUUAUUGGCCUUAUGCCUUUCAAACUGCCACUUACCUUAUUAAUCGUCUCUCUACCCCUGUGCUGCAUCAUCAAUCCUCUUACUUCGCACUCUAUCACAAACUCCCAACUUAUACUCAUCUUAAGGUCUUUGGUUCCUCUUGUUUUCCGUAUUUGCACCCUUAUAAUACCCAUAAACUCCAAUACAGGUCACUAGAGUGUGCUUUUCUUGGUUACAGUUCACACCACAAAGGUUAUCUAUGUCUUGACAUUCAUUCUAGCAGGGUGUAUAUUUCUCGCCAUGUGAUUUUUAAUGAAGAUUCUUUUCCAUUCAAGAAUUUGAAAUCUUCUCUCUCUCAGUCUAUUUCUUCUUCCUCUUCUUUAUAAGUUCCUCUGUUCAUUCUCUUGCCUCCCCUUUCCCCAUCUCCUCUUAUUUCUUCAUCUAUACCUCAUUCUUUUCCCUCUUCUUCUUCUACCUCUAGUACUUGUUCCCCUCUCGUUGCUCCUACCUCUCUUCCUUCCUCUUCACACUCUGUGUCUCCAUCUAUUCCACCUCCUUCUCCACCUUCUCCGAGUGUGGACCUGCUUGCACCUUGUGUGAAUACAAAUUUACAUACUUCUUCUCGCACUCACAAUAUUCAUCCUAUGGUGACUAGAUCUAAGGUUUGUAUCUAUAAACCUAAGUUGUUGUUGAGUGUCUCCAUAGGUUCUCUCACUAAGCCUACUUCCUUUCUUCAAGCUAUUAAAGAUCCUUCAUGGAAGCAAUCCAUGGAAUUCGAGUUUGCUACCCUUCAACACAACAAGACCUGGCAUUUGGUUCCUUCACCUUCCUCAGGCGAAGUAAUCGGUUGUAAAUGGGUCUAUAAGCUAAAGCUUCAGCCUGAUGGCUAAAUUGAGAGAUACAGCCUGCUUAGUAGCUAAGGGUAUCAUCAAAUUGAAGUAUGGACUACUUCGAAACAUUCAGCCUGAUNNNNNNNNNNNNNNNNNNNNNNNNNNNNNNNNNNNNNNNNNNNNNNNNNNNNNNNNNNNNNNNNNNNNNNNNNNNNNNNNNNNNNNNNNNNNNNNNNNNNAGCUUCAGCCUGAUGGCUAAAUUGAGAGAUACAAGGCCUGCUUAGUAGCUAAGGGUUAUCAUCAAAUUGAAGGUAUUGACUACUUCGAAACAUUCAGCCUGAUUGUCAAGCUUUCUACUAUCUGUAUUGUGCUCAGUCUUACUUUUUCCCAGAAUUGGUGUAUUAGACAGCUGGAUGUUCAUAAUGCCUUCUUACAUGGUGACUUAGCUAAAGACGUUUUCAUGGAACAACUGCCUGGAUUUGUUGAUCCUCUCUAUCCUACUCAUGUCUGCAAGUUGGAUAAGUCUCUCUACUGUCUUAAAUAGUCACCUCGGGCUUGGUAUACUAAGCUGAGUACUUCUCGCUACACUUGGGAUUUGUUACUUCUAAGAAUGACUCUUCCUUAUUUAUUUGUCAUUCGUCUCAUGGGUUACUUCUUGUUCUUGUCUAUGUGGAUGAUAUAAUCGUCAUUGGGAGCCACUCUCCUCAGGUUACUCACCUUAUCCAACAGUUGCAUCAUUAGCUUUCUUUAAAGGAUCUUGGUCCUUUACAUUAUUUUCUGGGCUUGGAGGUUCAUCACACCCCUACUGGUAUUCACCUCAGCCAAGCAAAGUAUAUCACUGAUCUCCUUACCCGGGCGGCUAUGUUGGAUGCCAAGCCAUGUCCCACUCCUAUGUCCUCCAACACAUAUCUCUCUUUUCAUGAUGGAGUGGCUCUUGAAAAUGGUUCAGAUUAUCGAAGUUUUGUUGGUGCCCUUUAGUAUUGUACCAUGACACGCCCAGAUAUAGCUUUUGCAAUAAAUAAAGUGUGUCAAUUCAUGCACCAUCCCUCUAAUGUUCACUGGCAGGCUAUAAAACGUAUUCUCCGGUACUUAAAGGGCACAUCUCAUUUUGGUCUCUUCCUACAGCCUUCCUAUGACUUCAACAUCACUUGCUAUACAAAUGCCGACUGGGCUUCCUGUCCUGAUGACAAGUGUAGCACCAGUGGCUACUGCCUCUUUCUUGCCUCUAAUCUGGUUUCUUGGUCAUCUUCCAAACAAAAAGUGGUCUCCCGCUCCAGCGCCGAAUCAGAGUACCGAGGGGUAGCAAAUGGGGCUGCUGAAAUUGCUUGGACUGAAUCUCUUCUUUGUGAACUUUCCAUUACUCCCCCUCCCCUCAUUCUCUGUGACAAUAUCAGUGCCACGUACUUAGCUGCCAAUCCUAUUUUGCAUGCCCGCACCAAACAUGUGGAAAUCGACUAUCACUUUGUCACGGAACGUGUUCUUCAAUGCUCUCUUUUUGUCCAGUUUACACCUUCUGAUGAUCAACUUGCUGAUUGCAUGACCAAGCCUCUCUCCACCCAACGUUUCAUCACUCUACGCUCCAAGCUCACUGUUCUCACUAGACCAAUGAGCUUGAGGGGGGAUGUUAAGCCUAAAGAUGUAAUUAGUUAGGAUAUUCUUUUCCCUCUAGUCUUGUAGCUCCACGUGUACAGUUGGUUAGGACCUCAUUGUAUAUAAUGCCUGCCCUGUUAUUGUAGAAGACAACAGAGAUAAAUAAUAUUAACAUUUUUCCUCUCAUCUCUCUCUCUGUUUCCCUCUGUUUUCAUCUCCUCUCUCAUCUGAACCAAAUGAUCCAUGUUAACCUUGGCUUGGUUUGAUUUGGCUCUAUCUUAGAGAGCUCAAGGAUCACGUCAACUCUGGUUUCUACUAUUCAGGUCCAUUCCCAUAUGAACUGGUUCAAAUUUGAGAAAAUGGUAACAGACCUUUAGUGAUGUUGGUUUGGAGCCAGUUGCCAAACCCGCCCUGAGCUUUACCACUAAUGUCAAGGGAGAAAGCCAUUUGAACAAAAACAAUAGCUUCAAGGGACUGAAUCGUGGAUGAAAUCUGAUCCACAUUUCUUCUCAUUUUGGAAACAAAUGAGAACUUAACUAAGAAGAUUCUACGGCCUCAUAGUGCUUUUCCUGAUCUAAGGUUGGUUCGUUUCCCAAACUGUGAGAUGCACGUGCCAGACUUCAGAACUCUCACGCUCAGGAGUGUAUCCACGUGGUGGACAUAAGAUGGUGGCUUAAGAUCUGGUGUCGGUGGCUUUACUUUACUAGGAGAGUAGUGUGUCUUCAUCUCAUUCACUGCCGGAGGGUGGCGUAAGCAGUGACGCUAAGGUGGGGCACAGUCAAUAUCAUUUGCAUUUGACCAUUAUAGUUUUCUCCCGGCUUUAAAGUAACCUUAUCGUGAUAAAGGAUUACUAGCACUAGUUCAGAUGAUAGUCAUGUUAAAUUCGGACCAUGUUUGUGUCACAUUAUCAGCAACCAUGUGUUUAUGGUUCAUGCUUUCUGCAACUAAAAUUGAUAUAUAACCAGGUGAACUUCAAUCUAAAUUCUGAAAGUACUCAUGUGAUAGAUGGUGCCCGUCUGCAGAGUCCAUCAAUUGAAAAAUGGAGUGAGUGUAUCUAUAAGAGGGAAGGCUUGGAAAAUGUUCAGUUUUCUGGGAAUUCAACAAGGAUCUAAAAUAGAUUGUUUUCUUUGCUGAUUUCAAUGGUUGAAAUUUGAGAAGAUUGUGUCCACAUAACACAACUAUUACUGGUCCUUCUGUUGCAAUUUAUCCUCUAAAGCUCUAGCAUGUCUUCCAAUUCCCACUUCCCUGUUACUCCAGGAAAGCUAUUUCUGUCAUUGUGAAGAAGAAAAGAGAAUGUACAUAUCGAUGCUUUUAAGUGACUGGAGCAUUUAUAUCAGGUGGUCUGCAGCCAUAUAUGCCACUUUGUGAAGAUUGGAACAGUCAAUCACUAGGCUAUAUAUUAGUGUGGCCCAGCCACUUUAAUCAAGGACAAGUCUUCAUACUUAAAGUCAAAUUCUGCCUUUAGUCUCAUUAUAAAUUUCUGUUUAAAUAUUAAGCAAACAUUUGUUUAAUGCGAUUAAGACAGUACUAACUCAAUACCUGUUCUAUUUUUGGAUGCAAAUGCUUGAUGGUUUCAUCAUUGGAUGGGAUAAAGGUGCAUUCAUGAUUAGGAAUACUAGUAGUUAUAUUUUAAUUCUCUUUUUUCUCAAUGAGACUUGUUGGCACAAUUUUGCUGUUGAGAAACCUACCUCUCCAUGGAAAAUAAGUUGUGAUUGAUAGUACUGGAUAUAUUCAAGAAAUCUAAAUAUAGAUAGCACAAAAUAUUAUCGACAUAAAUAGCAUUAACAGCGUACGUAUGUCUCAGUGCUCAUCAGCUAUAAGCAUGGGGCAAACACUUACUAUGAGCAACUUACGUCAAAAUUCCAGAAUAGGACAUAGAAGUGACAGAUAUAGAACAUUGCAUAUGAGUCACAAGAAAGGAAAUUACGGGUGCAUAGCAGCUCUUAUUUUACAUACUACUACUCAUACUGAUCAAAGUCACUCAGUUGGGAUGGGUGGGAGUAGGAGGUUUGUGGGGUGGCUUGUGCGGAGGAGUUGGCAGCUUCUUUCCAGGACCUGGUUGCUUCUCUGCUGGAGUUGAAGGAGGCUUAAUCUUCCGAGGUGGCUUGUAUGAGUCUUCAGCAUUCUCAGCUGGAGGGUGACCAGGGUUGUGACCAUAAUGUGGUGGCUUCUCUCCCUUAGGUGGUUUGCCAACUGGGGUUGGUGGCUUGUAUGAGUCUUCAGCAUUCUCAGCAGGAGGGUGACCAGGGUUGUGACCAUAAUGUGGUGGCUUCUCUCCCUUAGGUGGUUUGCCAACUGGGGUUGGUGGCUUGUGUUCUGGGAGUGGCUUCUCCCCCUUGGGAGGUUUUUCCAAUGGGGUUGGUUUGUGUUCAGGAGGUGGCUUCUCCACUGGAGGCUUGUGUUCAGGAGGUGGCUUCUCCACCGGAGGCUUGUGUUCAGGUGGUGGCUUCUCCACCGGAGGCUUAUGCUCUGGUGGUGGCUUCUCGAAUGGGGGAUGCUUAGGAUAAUCAGCAAGUGAGGGGGCGGUGAGAACCACCAGGCCAAGCAACACCACUAGCAAAUAUGUAGGAGACAUCUUUGGGUUUGGGCUCAGAUGGUGCAAAACUAGGAGAAUUGGCUAGCCUUUUAUAGCGGAUCGUACCCAAUAAUGAAAUGACACGUGUCAUUAUGACCCAUGUGUAAUGGGGUCGAUUUGGGUCCUACAGUGUUGAAAACUUCGACAUCCACUUUUGGCCUUUUGCUUUCUCUACAGCCGCCUUGCUUUUUCCCUCUUUCCUUUUGUUUUCCUCCUGCCCCAUUCUAUCAACUAAACACAAUUAUGUAGUUGUUUAAUUCUUAAAUGAGAUAUUAUCCGUCAAUCGUAUUAUAUUUUAUCAAGAGAGAACGGAGUGCAAUGUGGCUGUAAUUUUAUCGUUUAGUUUUAUCUCUUGGACCACUGCAUUUUUGUUAAGAGGUGCAAUAAUACACGUCUUUAUCUGCCAUUCAAUAUUUACAGUAAAGAGAGGGCACAAAACUCUUCACUUCGCACCAUAAUUAUUUUGUUUUCUGGACACCCCGGGGCCCUUUGGUUGGUUUGGGGGUCAGAAAGUGAACAUCAUAGGGGGUUUUUCCCUUAUGUGCAUUUGUAUCUGAUGGCUUUAACUCGCCUUGUUACUACAAAGAAACUGUCACAGAUAGGAACUUAUUCCAGGCUGAGUAUCUCCUCAUAGACCCUAUAAAAGAAGACAAGUCAUAAUGAACAUCUAACCUUUGUUCAAUUUGAUUCAAUGCCCCCAUUGUGUCCAUCUCACAAAUCUGAAUUAUUAUAUCCAUUGAAUACAUAAAUUAAUGAAGAAAAUAUGAAACCCAAGAUACAUCUCUGCACAACCUCAACCCUGGUUGCUAUGUUUCCCUUCUAUUCACAUGAUUUGAUGCUAAUUGCCAAACUUGCAACAAGCCCUGAGUUUGACACCUAGUAUCGAUGGGCGAAUUUAAAGUCUCCUCCAAACAUAUAUUCCACAGCUUGAAGCUCACAGAAGAUGUUACAGGCAGGGAAAAACCUUCAGAGUUCGCUACCAAAGAUAAUUAUUAAGGAGAUAUCACAAAGAGAAUUCCAAGGGGUCUGAAUCAAAGACAAAUUGGUCGUUCGUGGGGGUUCUUACUUUCUUUUGGGUAUAACUCACUGAGGGCACUGUCUUUGUUAUUUGCAUUUCACAUUUAGAGUUCUGUUCUGGAAACAUAUAAAAGGAGCAUCAUUUUGUUCUUGGGUAACCCAUAGUCGUGAGUGGGUCCAUUUGCAUGCUACUUAGUUGAAAAGUUGGACCAUUUGCUCCGACGCCUACCUCCCGGAUUCCAUGCUCGGAUAAAACAAGAAUAAAAAAAAUAUUUAUAAUUUACAAAUGGGGGAAAGAAAAAAAUGUCAACAACAAACCAGGAAAAAAGAGUAGUAAAAUUCAUGUCACAUGCUAGUGAGAGAAGGGGUUGUUACACUCACUCGAAGUUCUUUCCAAAAUAUCGCAUGGUAUUUUAUUUUAUGUGUCAGCGCAGUUGUGAAUGGAACGUGCAAAAGUCCAAAUUGGCGUUUUUCCUUUUCCCGUGUAGGAUGGCGACCUUUAAUAAAUAUUUAAAACAAAAAACGAAAAAAAGGAGGGAAAAGGGAUCAGAAAAGAUAAAACAAUGUGUACAAGAGCUCAAUUAGUUUGCAAAUUACUGUUUGGAUUUUGAUAGUAUUUUAUUUGUCCAUCUAUAUUUGAUGGAAAAGAGAAUUUAAGAUAUUUCUGAAACAAAAGCAUUAGUGUAAAACUAAAUUAAGGUAUAAUUAAGUUAGUUCAAUGCAUUAAUUUAAGAAACUUGAUCUAUCCAAAGUACAAAAUUAGAUGAAAUCCAUUUCAAUGGUUAAAAUGAUCAAAAUCAAACUUUUUCUAAGUAUUUUUUAAAAGCAUCAAUAUUAAAAGACAAUUUUAUAUUUAGUCGGAGUUUGGACAAAACCAAAAAGCACACAAAAUCCAAGCGACCAUCUCUAGCUUGGAUAGUCACUUGAUCCCACCUAGAGAUGUGCAUGAGUAAAAGGAUUUGAAAAUGGAAAUUGACUAAAUAUUUAGUUGAUCAAUUAAAUUUGCAAUGUCAUAUGCAAUCCUAAUAGCUAGUCAUCUAAUCAAUUAGGUAGUCAAUCAAGUGUUUGUAAUGACUAUUUUGUACAAAAAACCACAUGUAUAGUUAAAUAUAAUGCAUUUCAUUUAUAAAUCUUCUAAUUCUUGAAUAACGAUCCUAUCAUCCUUUGAAAAUUUUUAUUACACCUUUUUUACUUUUGUUCUAAAACUUACAUAUCACCCUUAAUUGUACCAUGAGAACCUAGCUAUUUUUUUUUUUUUUGUAAUUCAUCAAAGUUAGCUUUUGUAUUCAUUGUUGUAUUAUUUUUAGUAUAACUUAGAAAGCUAGUGUUUUCAAGUGAGUAAAAUUAACUUGUAAAUAUUGUAAAGAUUCAUUGAUAUGUAUCUUAAACUAAGUGUACAAAUUAAAACAUUUGCUAGUAGAUUUUCUCAAAAUUUAGAAUAGAGCUUGAGGCUAUUGAAAUAGGUGGGGUUACACCAAACCACAUCACAUCGUUGUUUGCACCUUUUUUCACUCUCUUUUACUUAGUUUCUCUAUAUUUGUUGUCUAGUAAUAUCCUAUAGGCUUGAUGGGUUAGGGAGCAUCCCUUUGUGAAAAAAUUUCAUUCAAUUCUUAGUUGUAUUACGCAUAUAUAAAAUGCCUCAUUGUUUUAAUGGUAUUCAGUCGUGGCAUCACAGAUAUGGGCAUCUAAAUUUUAAAAGUUUGAAACUUUUGUAAAGCAUGUUGAUAAAAUCCAUGAGAGUUGUGUACUUGGGAAGCAACAUCGAGGUGACUUUAUUUUUUUUUCCUUUUAUAAUGCCACACCUAAGUCCGGUUUCUAAAUGCUAAAGUGAAAGGGUAGGUAUGGACCAUUGAAAUGUGAUCACAACUUUUGGCCUUUUCCUUUCUCUGCAGCCAUGUUGUCUCUUUUUUCUUUUGCAUGAUUUUCUUACCAAAACAGAAUCAUAGACUUGUUUAGUCUCUAAGCUACUAUAUUAUAUCUCGGUGGACUUUUAAGAGUGCAACCGACAUAGAGCACAUGCAAGUGGGCAUAUGGGACAUGAAAUUUCUUCUUACAAAGAUUGCAUGAUUUUUAUAUUAGAGUUGUUCACGUGCAAUGUAUUUAGCUUGUUUUGCAGUUAAAUUAAUUGGAUAAGUAAACAUUGGCAUUUCUAAAUCGACUGUGAAGUGCUUCAUGUACGUGUAAAGUAUUAGAAAUUUCUUUCUUGGCAACUUGUUUUUUCCUUGCCAUCUACUGGUAGGUUUGACUAAAAUUAUAUUCCCUGUCAUGCUAAUUAAUUUUCAUGUGCAUGCUCAAAAGAAGAGUAUGACCUUAGUGCACCAAAAUCACUUUGAUUAAUUUGUGAUAGGUUUUUUUGCAUCAUUUAGAUAAUGUUUAGUUCUAAGAAAAAUUUAUAUAAAAAUGGUUUAUUUAUCUUACAUAUAUAUAUAUAUAUAUAUAUUUUUUUUUUUUUCAUUUUUUUUUCUUCUAUUUUAUUUAUUUAUUUUAUUUUCCUUAUGUUUUCCUCACAUUUUCCGGAACUAAACAUAGUCUUACGAAAUCAACAAUUGCCUUCAACUGAGUAGAUUCUGUUGUUUUAGCAAUGUUAGGCUGCUAACUUGUGGUGGUACGAACCAAAUGACCCAUGUUAAUCUUGGCUUGGUUUGAUUUGGCUCUAUCUCAGAGAGCUAAAGGAUCACGUCAACUCUGGUUUCUACUAUUCAGGUCCAUUCCCAGAUGAACUGGUUCAAAUUUGAGAAAAUGGUAACAGACCUUUAGUGAUGUUGGUUUGGAGCCAGUUGCCAAACCCGCCCUGAGCUUUACCACUAAUGUCAAGGGAGAAAGCCAUUUGAACAAAAACAAUAGCUUCAAGAGACUGAAUCGUGGAUGAAAUCUGAUCCACAUUUCUUCUCAUUUUGGGAAAAAAUGAGAACUUAACUACAAAGAUUCUACUGCCUCAUUCAUAGUGCUUUUCCUGAUCCAAGGUUGGUUCGUUUCCCAAAUUGUGAGGUGCACGUGCCACUCUCACGCUCAGGAGUGUAUCCACGUGGUGGACAUCAGAUGGUGGCUUAAUAUCUGGUGUCGGUGGCUUUACUUUACUAGGAGAGUAGUGUGUCUUCAUCUCAUUCACUGCCGGAGGGUGGCGUAAGCAGUGACGCUAAGGUGGGGCACAGUCAAUAUCAUUUGCAUUUGACCAUUAUAGUUUUCUCCCGGCUUGAAAGUAACCUUAUCGUGAUAAAGGAUUACUAGCACUAGUUCAGAUGACCGUCAUGUUAAUUCGGACCAUGUUUGUGUCACAUUAUCAGCAACCAUGUGUUUAUGGUUCAUGCUAUCUGCAACUAAACUUGAUAUAUAACCAGGUGAACUUCAAUCAAAAUUCUGGAAGUACUCUUGUGAUAGAUGGUGCCUGUCUGCAGAGUCCAUCAAUUGAAAAAUGGAGUGAGUGUAUCUAUAAGAGGGAAGGCUUGGCAAAUGUUCAGUUUUCUGGGAAUUCAACAAGGAUCUAAAAUAGAUUGUUUUCUUUGCCGACUUCAAUGGUUGAAAUUUGAGAAGAUUGUGUCCACAUAUCACAACUAUUACUGGUCCUUCUGUUGCAAUUUAUCCUGUAAGGCUCUAACAUGUCUUCCAAUUCCCACUUCCCUGUUACUCCAGGAAAGCUAUUUCUGUCAUUGUGAAGAAGAAAAGAGAAUGUACAUAUCGAUGCUUUUAAGUGACUGGAGCAUUCAUAUCAGGUGGUCUGCAGCCAUAUAUGCCACUUUGUGAAGGUUGGAACAGUCAAUCACUAGGCUAUAUAUUGGUGUGGCCCAGCCACUUCAAUCAAGGACAAGUCUUCAUACUUAAAGUCAAAUUCUGCCUUUAGUCUCAUUAUAAAUUGCUGUUUAAAUAUUAAGCAAACUUUUGUUUAAUGCGAUUAAGACAGUACUAACUCAAUACUUGUUCUAUUUUUGGAUGCAAAUGCUUGAUGGUUUCAUCAUUGGAUGGGAUAAAGGUGCAUUCAUGAUUAUGAAUACUUGUAGUUAUAUUUUCAUUCUCUUUUUUCUCAAUGAGACUUGUUGGCACAAUGUUGCUGUUCAGAAACCUACCUCUCCAUGGAAAAUAAGUUGCGAUUGAUAGUACUGGAUAUGUUCAAGAAAGCUAAAUAUAGAUAGCACAAAAUAUUAUCGAUAUAAAUAGCAUUAACAGCGUACGUAUGUCUCAAUGCUCAUCAGCUAUAAGCAUGGGACAAACACUUACUAUGAGCAACUUACGUCAAAAUUCCAGAAUAGGACAUAGAAGUGACAGAUCUAUAUAUAUAGAACACUGCAUAUGAGUCACAAGAAAGGAAAUUACGGGUGCAUAGCAGCUCUUAUUUUACAUACUACUACUCAUACUGAUCAAAGUCACUCAGUUGGGAUGGGUGGGAGUAGGAGGUUUGUGGGGUGGCUUGUGCGGAGGAGUUGGCAGCUUCUUUCCAGGACCUGGUUGCUUCUCUGCUGGAGUUGAAGGAGGCUUAAUCUUCCGAGGUGGCUUGUAUGAGUCUUCAGCAUUCUCAGCUGGAGGGUGACCAGGGUUGUGACCAUAAUGUGGUGGCUUCUCUCCCUUAGGUGGUUUGCCAACUGGGGUUGGUGGCUUGUAUGAGUCUUCAGCAUUCUCAGCAGGAGGGUGACCAGGGUUGUGACCAUAAUGUGGUGGCUUCUCUCCCUUAGGUGGUUUGCCAACUGGGGUUGGUGGCUUGUGUUCUGGGAGUGGCUUCUCCCCCUUGGGAGGUUUUUCCAAUGGGGUUGGUUUGUGUUCAGGAGGUGGCUUCUCCACUGGAGGCUUGUGUUCAGGAGGUGGCUUCUCCACCGGUGGCUUGUGUUCAGGAGGUGGCUUCUCCACCGGAGGCUUAUGCUCUGGUGGUGGCUUCUCCACCGGAGGCUUAUGCUCUGGUGGUGGCUUCUUGAAUGGGGGAUGCUGAGGGUAAUCAGCAAGUGAGGGGGCGGUGAGAACCACCAGGCCAAGCAACACCACUAGCAAAUAUGUAGGAGACAUCUUUGGGUUUGGGCUCAGAUGGUGCAAAACUAGGAGAAUUGGCUAGCCUUUUAUAGCGGAUCGUACUCAAUAAUGAAAUGACACGUGUCAUUAUGACCCAUGUGUAAUGGGGUCGAUUUGGGUCCUACAGUGUUGAAAACUUCGACAUCCAGUUUUGGCCUUUUGCUUUCUCUACAGCCGCCUUGCUUUUUCCCUCUUUCCUUUUGUUUUCCUCCUGCCCCAUUCUAUCAACUAAACACAAUUAUGUAGUUGUUUAAUUCUUAAAUGAGAUAUUAUCGGUCAAUCGUAUUAUAUUUUAUCAAGAGAGAACGGAGUGCAAUGCAGCUGUAAUUUUAUCGUUUACUUUUAUCUCUUGGACCACUGCAUUUUUGUUAAGAGGUGCAAUAAUACACGUCUUUAUCUGCCAUUCAAUGUUUACAGUAAAGAGAGGGCACAAAACUCUUCACUGCUCUGCAUGUGUCCCAAAAAUGCGAUUGGACAAAUUAUGAUUUGCAUGCUAAAAAGAGGCAAAUGAGGUUAAUUCGCACCAUAAUUAUUUGGUUUUCUGGACACCAUAAAAAGAUGUUAUACAGGCAGGGAAAAACCUUCAGAGUUAGCUACCAAAGAUAAUUAUCAAGCAGAUAUCACCAAGAGAAUUCCAUAGAGUCUGAAUCAAAGACAGAUUGCUCGCUCGUGGGGGUUCUUACUUUCUUUUGGGUAUAACUCACUGAGGUCACUGUCUUUUUUAUUUGCAUUUCACAGUUAGAGUUCUGCUCUGGAAGGUUUGUUCUGGAAACAUAUAAAAGGAGCAUCAUUUUGUUCUUGGGUAACCCAUAGUCGUGAGUGGGUCCAUUUGCAUGCUACUUAGUUGAAAAGUUGGACAAUUUGCUCCGACGCCUACCUCCUGGAUUCCAUGCUCGGUAAAACAAGAAUAAAAAAAAAUAUAUAAUUUACAAAUGGGGGAAAGAAAAAAUGUCGGAAAAAAUAGUAAAAUUCAUGUCACAUGCUAGUGAGAGAAGGGGUUGUUACACUCACUCGAAGUUCUUUUCAAAAUAUCGAAUGGUAUUUUACUUUAUGUGUCAGCGCAGUUGUGAAUGGAACGUGCAAAAGUCCAAAUUGGCGUUUUUAUUUUUCCCAUGUAGGAUGGUGACCUUUAAUAAAUAUUUAAAACAAAAGACGAAAAAAAAAAGGAGGGAAAAGGGAUCACAAAAGAUAAAAUAAUGUUUACAAAAGCUCAAUUAGUUUGCAAAUUACUGUUUGGAUUUUGAUAGUAUUUUAUUUGUCGUUCUAUAUUUGAUGUAAAAGAGAAUUUAAGAUAUUUCCGAAGCAAAAGCAUUAGUUUGCUCUGUGAUGUCCCACAUCGAAUAGGGGAGAAAGUUUCUGGCGCUAUAUAUGUAGAGGCUCCUCUUAACCAAGUAGAUGCGUUUUAAAACCAUGAGGGCCCCCUUAGGUCCAAAGCGGACAAUAUCUACAUGAUUGGGUGUAAGUCAUUACAAAUGGUAUCAGAGCCGAUCCCCGACCCCGGUGUGGGGGUUUGUUUGGCCCUGUAAGGGGUGUUUGUCUGUUUGACCCCACAAUCCCAUGGGACACAACGAGGACGUUGUGUCUGCAUGGGGGGGCGUUUGUGAUGUCCCACAUCGGAUAGGGGAGAAAGUUCCUAGUGCUAUAUAUGUAGAUGUUUCUCUUAACCAAGUAGAUGCAUUUUAAAAUUGUGAGGGCCUCUUUGGGCCCAAAGCGGACAAUAUCUACAUGGUUGAGUGUAAGUCAUUACAUGCUCCAUGUCAAUUUCAGCAUUUCUCAUAUGUUUCACACAUACACAGAAGAGCAUCGUUUUUUAAAGCAUGCAUUUAUGUUGGAUUAAUUUGGAUUUUGUGGGAACUGGGGCAAGGAUCACAUGGAAGAGAGGUUGACUUUUUUCAGUACUUCAAUGGUUGAAAUAUGUGAAGGCUUGAUUGAUACUAAAGCUUGAAAUUGCGACUCUGUCAUUUGUAAAAAAAUAUGACAGCUUCCAUGCUCUCGUUUGGUUGCAUUGUCCGGUCGAGAGGUGCAAAAAGCAUUCUCUCUCUUCUAAUAGUCUUUUCGUUUAAAUCAAGGGAUUUGCCUUCCCGGUCGAGGUCCAAUAGAGGGUAACGGUCACCUACUAAACAUUAAAUGCUCCAACAACUAGUGAACUGAUCGACCCCAGCUCGACUAGUUGAGGUUACUUUUUGGUUUUCUUGUCUCCCGAGGUUAGAAACCUAUAAAUAGAGAGCUUCACUUCAUUUAUGAGUAAGAGAACACCUAAAUUUAUUUGUUUACCUACUUGUUUUUGCCAUAAAAGCUCUCAUUUCUUUUCUUGGUGUAUUAAAUCUCCAUUUGCAUAUCCUUUAGUGCACCUUUGUGAUUCAUUCUAGCCUUGAGUUGUAUUUAAGCCUUUGUUGAGCUAGGUUGAGAGUUUCAUACUUGUUUAUUGAGUGUUAAAGCCUUCAAGUGAGUUAAAACUUGAAGAGAUUGUGUAAGAGCCCAUUGGAGUCGGAAUCCAAGUGUAAAGGUGAUUAAAAGCUUGGUUGAAGCUUCAAGUUAGUGGAACUCUCACUCGGUUAUGAGCUUGAGAAGAGUGGACAUAGACAAGGCAGUGUCGAACCACUAUAAAAUCUGAGUUUGAUUUCUCUAACCUUAUCUCUUUAUAUUUGCUUCUCUUGUGCUUAAAUUUUUUGUGUUUAAAAAGAAUUUUUAAAAACUCAAUUCACCCCCUUCUUGGGAGUUUUUCUCUUUUAAGAUCAGCUUUUAUUUUCUCAAUUGGUAUCAGAACUAUGCCUCUUGUUUAAGACUUAAUCGUCUAAGAGGAAAUGGCUAAUCCAUCAAGUUCAUCUCACAUUGAAAGUUUUGCAACCAAUAGACUUCUUUUUUUUUUUUUGCGGGAACUGAUUAUCCCUAUUGGAAAACUAAAAUGACUUGGUUUUUACAAUCAAUUGAUUUAGAUGUAUGAGAUGCCAUUGAAGAUGACCUAACUUUUCCUUCAAAACUAGUUGAUGGAGUCAUGGUUCCAAAACCUAAGCAAGAAUGGGAUGAGCGUGAUUGAAGAAAUUUUCAAUUAAAUGCUAAAGUCGUUUAUACUUUGCAAUGCUCUAUGGACAGAAAUGAAUAUAAUAGAAUAUGUCAAUGCAAAUCGGUUAAAGAAAUUUGGAGAUUGCUUGAAAUAACUCAUAAAGGAACAAAUCAAGUUAAAGAGUCAAAAAUCAAUUUACUUGUUCAUAGAUAUGAAUUGUUUUUUAUGAAAGAUAAUGAAACUAUUGUUAAGAUGAUCACUAGGUUCACCAACAUUGUUAAUGGUCUUAAAGCCUUGGGAAAGACCUACAAGGAAUCCGAAAACGUGAUGAAGAUCUUGAGGUCACUUCCAUCAAAGUGGCAUACCAAGGUCACCGCAAUUUAAGAAGCAAAAGACUUGAUCAAGCUACCUUUGGAGGAGUUCAUAGGGUCAUUGAUGACAUAUGAAAUCAAUUUGGCAAAGAAGUAACAAAAAGGUGAAGACAAAAAGAAGAAGAACAUAACUCUCAAAGCUACAACUAAGGAAGAAGAAGUUGAAGAAGAAAAACAAAUUGAAGAAGAUGAAGAUUUAGCCCUCAUCACAAGAAAGUUCAACAAAUUCAUGAGGGGUGAAAGGUUUAGAAGAAGAAGGUUCACUUCUAGAAGAGACUUUUCUAAAAAGGAAUCUUCAUCUAAUGGUGACAAAAAGAGAUGGGAAGAGAAAAGAGACUUGGUGUGUUUCAAGUGCAAGAAACCGGGACACAUUAAAUAUGAUUGUCCUCUCUACAAAAGUGAAGUCAAGAGGAAAAAGAAUAAGGCAAUGAUGGCCACUUAGAGUGAAAGUGAAGAUGAAUCAUCCGAAGAAGAAAAUGAGAAAGAAGUGGCAAACAUGUGUUUCAUGGCAAUAGAUGAACUUGAUGAGGUAAAAUCUAACCUUAGUGAUUAAGAUAUACAUGAUGCAUUUGAAGAAUUGUAUGAGGAUUUUUAAAAACUUAGUUUGAAAAAUAUUUCUCUUAAAAAGAAAGUUCAACAACUUGACAAAGAACUUAGAGAAGUAAAAGAAAAAUUUUCAAAUGUUAAAGUUUCUAAAACUCAUCUUGAAAAAGAAAAUGAGAUUCUAAGAAAGAAAAAUGAAUAGUUGAACUCCUCUCUUUCAAUCUUUUCUUCUAGACAAAAAUCUUUUGAAAUGAUUCUAACUAGCUAAAAAUGUGUUUUUGACAAACAAGGGUUAAGAUUUAAAUCUUCAAAAAAUCAAAAGUAUUUUAAAAACUAUUUUGUAAAGGAAUCCACAAGUGCAAGUCCUUCCACUACUUGCAACUUUUGUGGAAGAGAAUGGCACAUUAGUAGUACGCCCUUUAAGAAAUGGUUCUCAAAAGAAUUUAAAUGCAAAAACUAAAAAAGAUUUGGAUUGAGAAAUCCAAGGUCACUAACCCUCAAGGACCCAAAAAGAUAUAGGUACCUAAAUCAACUUGAGUUUUAUGUUGUAAGGUUCAAAGAAUGAUAAGUGGUUCUUAGAUAAUGGUUGCUCAAGACACAUGACCGGAGAUGAAUCCAAGUUUGCUUUUCUUAAAAAGAAAAAUGGAGGAUAUGUUACCUUUGGAGACAAUGCAAAAGAAAGGAUGAUUGGUCAAGGCAACAUUGGUAAUGGCACAUCCUCUCUCAUUGAAAGUGUUUUAUUAGUAGAUGGUUUCAAACAUAACCUUUUAAGCAUUAGUCAAUUUUGCGACAAAGGUUUUUAAGUGAUUUUUUAAGCAUCUCAUUGCAUCAUCAAGGAUAUUCAAAAUGAUAAAACCAUUUUCAUGGGCCAUAGAUGUGAUAAUGUUUAUGCUAUAAAUAUUUCAAAAUAUGAUGGCCAUGAUAGAUGUUUUUCAAGCAUGCAUGAUCAAAGUUGGUUGUGCCAUAGGAGAUUGAGACAUGCUAACAUAGACCUCAUUUCCCAACUCAACAAAGAUGAACUUGUUAGAGGCCUUCCCAAAAUAAUUUUUUAAAAAGAUAAAGUUUGUGAAGCUUGUCAAGUGGGAAAGUAAAUCAAAAACUCUUUUAAAAACAAAAACUUCAUUUCCACAUCUAGGCCACUUGAGUUGUUGCAUAUGGAUUUAUUUGGUCCCUCUAGGACACCAAGUCUUAGAGGAAAUUCUUAUGCAUAUGCUAUUGUGGACGACUUCUCUAGAUACACAUGAGUCUUGUUUUUUAGUCAAAAGAAUAAAGUUUUUUAUGAGUUUUCAAAGUUUUGCAAUAAGAUUCAAAAUGAAAAAGGUUUUUCAAUUACUUAUAUAAGAAGUGAUCAUGGGAGAGAAUUCGAAAAUAUUGAUUUUGAAGAGUAUUGCAAUGAGCAUGGAAUUGACCACAAUUUUUUGGCUCUUAGAACUCCUCAACAAAAUGGGGUAGUUGAAAGGAAAAAUAGAACUCUUCAAAAAAUGACAAGAACCAUACUAAAUGAAAACAACUUACCAAAAUAUUUUUAGGCCAAAACGGUUAACACUUCUUGUUAUGUUUUAAAUAGAGUAUUAUUGAGGCUCAUACUUAAGAAAACUCCCUAUGAGCUUUGGAAAAACAAAAAACCCAACAUUAGUUAUUCCAAAGUCUUUGGAUGCAAUAUUUUAUAAUAAACACCAAAGACAAUCUUGGAAAAUUUGAUGCAAAAUUGGAUGUUGGAAUUUUCCUUGGUUACUCAACUUCAAGUAAAGCUUUUCGAGUUUUAACAAAAGAACCAUGGUUGUAGAGGAGUCCAUCCAUGUUAUUUUUUAUGAAUCUCCAAGAAAGAGAGAGGAUUGAUGAUGAUUUAGGUUUGAAGACCUCUAUAGGAAGAUUGCAAAUCGAAGAUAGAAGACAACAAGAAGAAAAUGGAGAGAAUCCAAAGAAAGAAGGAUCACCAUUGGCACUACCCCCUCAUCAACAAGCGCAAGGUGAAUCAAGUCAAGAGCUUCCUAAAGAAUGGAAGUUUGUCAUCAAUCACCCACAAGAUCAAAUUAUAGGCAAUCCAUCUAGUGGGGUAAGAACUAGAUCCUCUCUUAGAAAUAUUUGCAAUAAUCUAGCUUUUAUCUCUCAAAUUGAGCCUAAAAAUAUAAAUGAUGUUUUAGAUGAUGAAAAUUGGAUAAUUGCAAUGCAAGAAGAGUUAAAUCCAUUUGAAAGAAGUGGAGUAUGGGAAUUAGUACCAAGACCUUCAAAUCAAAGUGUUAUUGGAACUAGAUGGAUCUUUAGAAAUAAAAUGGAUGAAAAUAGCAUAAUUGUUAGAAAUAAAGCAAGAUUGGUAGCCCAAGGUUUUAAUCAAGAAGAAAUGAUAGAUUAUGAAGAAACCUUUGCCCCCGUAGCUAGGUUGGAAGCCAUUAGGAUGCUACUUGCCUUUGCAUGUUUUAAAGACUUUGUUUUAUAUCAAAUGGAUGUGAAAAGUGCUUUUUUAAAUGGUUUUAUAAAUGAAGAAGUAUAUGUUGAACAACCACCCGGUUUUCAAAGUUUCAACUUUCCUAACCAUGUUUUUAAACUUAAAAAGACACUUUAUGGUUUGAAACAAGCACCUAGAUCAUGGUAUGAAAAAUUGAGUAAAUUUCUUUUGAAAAAAAUGUUUUAAAAUGGGAAAAAUUGACACAACUCUUUUUAUAAAAACCAAAGAAAAUGAUAUGCUCUUAGUUCAAAUAUAUAUUGAUGAUAUCAUUUUUGGUGCUACUAAUGUCUCUCUUUAUGAAGAAUUUUCUAAGUGCAUGCAUAGUGAGUUUGAAAUGAGCAUGAUAGGAGAACUCAACUUCUUCCUUGGACUUCAAAUCAAGCAACUAAAGGAAUGAACCUUCAUCAAUCAAGCAAAGUAUAUAAGAGAUCUUCUCAAAAGGUUCAACAUGGAAGAAGCCAAAACAAUGAAGACUCUAAUGAGCUCAUCCAUUAAGCUUGAUAAGGAUGAGAAAGGUAAAUCCAUUGACUCUAUUAUGUAUAGAGGCAUGAUAGGUUCUUUGCUCUAUUUGACCACUAGUAGACCUUACAUUAUGUAUAGUGUGUGUUUGUGUACUAGAUUUCAAUCUUGUCUUAAAAAAUCUCACUUAAGUGUCGUGAAAAGAAUCCUCAAAUAUUUGAAAGGGACAAUGGACAUAGGCUUAUGGUAUCCUAAGAGUGAUAACUUUGAAUUAAUUGGUUUUUUGGAUGCUGAUUUUGUCAGUUGUAGGGUUGAAAAAUAAAACACUAGUGGCACUUUUCAUUUCUUAAGACACUUACUUGUCUCAUGGCAUAAUAAGAAGCAAAAUUUGGUAGCUUUGUCAACAGCAGAAGCUAAAUACAUAGCAACUGGUUUAUGUUGUGCACAAAUCCUUUGGAUGAAAUAAACACUUAGUGAUUUUGAUUUAUCUUUUGAGCAUAUUCCUAUUAAAUGUGAUAAUAGUAGUGCCAUAAGUAUAUCAAAAAAUCUCGUGCAACACUCUAGGACUAAGCAUAUAGAGAUUAGACAUAAUUUUCUUAGAUAUCAUACACAAAAGGAUGAUAUAACACUUGAAUUUGUAAGCAUAAAAGACCAACUUGCCGAUAUCUUUACAAAACCUCUAAGAACAUUUUGUUGAUAUUAGAGGACAAUUAGGAGUGAUUUCUUUAUGAUCUAAUGUGAUGAAUUCUUGAUGAAUAUACUUUUUGAUUGCAUGAAUUUCAUGUCAUAUAUGCAUCAUAUAGAAAUAUACUUAGAUAAUGGUCAAAUUUCGACCAAAAAUCAAAAUUCCCAUGGCAUUAGGCAUAAAAAUUUUGGAAUUUCAACUGAAAAUGGUAGGAGGAGGAUCACAAAAUGAGAAAGUAUGCAAAAAUUGAAAAAUCAAAACGUUGACCAAGCGGUCAAUCGGACUAGACCGAUCGACUAGUUUGUCGAGAUUUAGGAUUUUUAAGAGACUCCAACGCUUCAAUUUUUGCACCGUUCUCCUCUAUUUCUUCACGGUUUCUCUGAUUUUGUCUUUUAGAGACUAAUUUGAGUGCGUUUUGGAUCAAUUGAAGCAUUUUGGAUUGGAUUUUAGGAAGAUUGAAAGUUAAGGUUUCGGAUUUGGGUCGCCUUCUCUUCCUCUCGCGUGUCACAAUCAGCUUUAGCAUUGUUCUCUUUCCAUUUUCACACACCUAGGGUUUCAGUUGUGAGCAUCUCUCUCUCUUUACCAACCACUACUCCCUUGCUUCUUCCAUAUGGCUCCUAGGCGAGAGUCCGCUACUUCUAGGGCACAAGGCAAGCACCCAACUGAGUCGUCUCAGUCAAAGGCACGUCGAAAAGUGAGAUUUGACAUUGCCUUGUUCAGUUCCAUGGAGGACUACCAACUAUACAAGCAACACUUUGCUUAGAGACGAGUAGUUCCCAAGAGAAAUAUUAAUUUUCCUCAACUUCAGCAUUUCGAAUUUAAGGGUCUAUUUACUAGGAUGGUUGGUUGUCUAUUGUCACAAUUUCGGAGCCGGUUUUCCUGACCUUAGUGCGAGUUUUUUACUCGAGGGCGACUUAUGGCAUGGGUGGCAUGAUCAUUUCUACUGUUGGAGGAGUUGAGAUCUGUCUGGACCCAGAGAGCAUCUGCCAUAUUUUCGAUAUUGCUCUGGUUGGACUCAAAGUAUACAAGUCCAAAAUGUGGCCCAUUGUGCCAGGAUUUGAGCUUAGAGAGGUCAUUCAGAGGAUUUGUGAACUUCCAGACGCCCAGGAGAUGGGCAAACCAUUGCCACACAGUUUGACGGUCAUCAACAGGGUGCUACACCAUAUAUUGUGCUCUAUCUUUCUACCACGAAGUGGACAUUGAGAUGAGGUCUCUUAUUAUGAGGCAUUCCUUAUUGACUCCAUUCUAACGGAGAGACGAAUUCAUCUACUAUGUCAUCAUUCACUAAGCCUCCUCACAGUGACAUACCACCUCAUCAGGCACCUCUUGCUCCUGACCAUGCUCCAUUGAUGGAUUUAUUUACUCAUAUUAGCUCUCUAGGCACUCGCAUGAAGGAGUUUGUUGUAGUUAGUGAUACAUGGUUCUACUCCAUAGAGGAUCGCAUGGAUCAGUAUCAGACUGGCUUCACGUCACAGUUUGAGUAUCUCCAAUAGAGGAUUGAGCAUAUUGAGGAUCACUUGAGCAUGAGAAGAUGAUGGCUUUUCUAUGCUCUGUGUUUCCACCUCCACCUCGUCAACCUUGAUUUCUUAGAGACCCAUUGUUUUCAUUUUGUAAUGUUGCCAAAAGGGGGAGAUAUUUAGGAUCUAGGACUCUAUAGGAGACUUACAUGCAUAUCAUUUUCAUAUCAUUGUUUGGAUCGUACAUAUUGGAUAGUGAUACUUUUUACUUAUAUAUGAUAUGCCUAUAUGUUUCAUGUCUUACAUUGUUUCUUAUUGCAAAUUAUCUCUAACAUGUCUUGAUUAUCUUUUUUUUAACUUCAUAAAUUUUGAUUGUUAACCCAUGAUUGGUUUGAGGGGAAGAUUCUUCUUCUCCUAGAUAACCAAGGUUUGUCAUCAUAAAAAAAUUGGAGAUUGUUAGCCCAAGGGUUCUCCUAAUCAUGUUUUGAUGAUAACAAACCAUGCUUAAGUUACUAAUUGGUUUGAAUUAUAAAGAAUUUCAAGUGUUAAUUUGAAAAUUCAUCAAAGAACCUAAUGGAUGCAAGAUCAAGAUUUUUGGAAGACCUUUAAUCAUAAGAAACAUAUGUAAGAUGAAUGCAUGGGUGCACUUAAGAUUUGCAUAUCAUUUCAUGCAUAUUUGGAAAACACGGUUUAUGCUUUAAAGUUACAUUUCCAUCAAAAUUUGAGAUCCAUCAAAUGAACCUUAGGAAAAAUGUUUUAAAAUUGGCAUAUAAUUUUACCUAAAGACCUUGCCUAAGUGUUAGAAGCAAAAGGACAAAAAAAAUAUAGGUUUUCUGGUCAAAAAUGGUGAACCAGUCAAGGCAUUGUCUAAAUCAGCUCAAUCGGCCAAGGUACCGGUCGAUCGGUUUCCCUUUCCCUGUCGAGAUCUAGUCAAGAGGUACAAAAAUCACAAUCUCUGUCUCUUUCUCUCUUUGUCUAUCUUCCAGUAGUCUUUCCUUCCCGGUCGAGGGAUUUGCCUUCCCGAUUGAGGUCCGAUUGAGAGUAAUAGUCACUUGCCAAAUAUUAAAUGCUCCAACAGUUAGUGAACUGGUCGACCCCCACCUUGCCCAGUUGAGGUUACUUUUUGGUUUUCUUGGCUCCCGAUGUUAGAAACCUAUAAAUAGAGAGUUCCACUUCAUUUAUGAGCAAGAGAACACUUGCAUUUAUUUGUUUACCUACUUGUUCUUGCCUUAAAAGCUCUCAUUUCUUUUCUUGGUGCAUUAAAUCUCCAUUUUGAUAUCCUUUAGUGCACCUUUGUGAUUCAUCUUAGCCUUGAGUUGUAUUUGAGCCCUUUUUUUAGCUAGGUUGAGAGUUUCAUACUUGUUAAUUGAGUGUUAAAGCCUUCAAGUGAGUUGAAACUUGUAGAGAUUAUGUGAGAGUCGAUUGGAGCCGAAAUCCAAGUGUAAAGGUGAUUAGAAGCUUGGUUGAAGCUUCAAGUUAGUGGAAUCCUCACUCAAUUAGGAGCUUGAGGAGAGUGGACGUAGCCAAGGAAGUGUCGAACCACUAUAAAAUUUGAGUUUGAUUUCUCUAACAUUGUCUCUUUAUAUUUGUUUAUCUUGUGCUUAAAUUUAUUGUGUUUAAAAAGAAUUUUUAAAUACCCAAUUCACCCCCCUCUUGGGUGUUUUUCUCUUUUAAAAUUAGCCUUUAUUUUCUCACAAACUAUUGUAGUAUAGUGGUUUUUAGGUGUCAUCCAUUAGGAUGAAUUGUUCUCGGUAAUUAAGGCGUGAAUGAGAGGAGAAUUAAUGAUUGUGAUUAAGUAAAAUUGAUUUGAAAAUUCAUGGUGAAAAAUCAAUUUAACAAUGGUUUCUAAUUGAGAAAAACAAUGAAAUGUGAAAUAAAAUAAAAUUAAUAGGAAAUGAAAUUCUCGAAGUUAGAAUUUUCUAAAAAACAAAUUCCAUGGUGAAUGGAUGUUGAGAUCUAAUUUUCAUCAAGUUAGAUUGAAAACCGAAAUUUUCAUAUAAACUGAUUUUUUAUUUAGUUUUAGGUCUAGAUUUAAUUUCCCUUAAAAUUAGGUUAUUUAAUCCAAGAAAUCAAUUCAAAUCAUAUAUUCAAUUCAUCUUAAAUUAUCUUCCAAUUAUUCACACAAUGCAACUAUUCAAUCUCAUCAAAUCUAGCUUUUAAGAAUUUAAUGAAUCUACCUAGUUUGCAUUGUAAUAGUCAUCCAUGACAAUUUGAAGAGAAAAAUAAUUCAAUUAAUCAAUCACUUGGAUCAAAUUACCUUUGCAAUUAAAGUUCAUUUCUCUAAUUCACCACAGAUUUUGUCUCUAGAUCCUCCUUUCUCAAAGAAAAAUGAGAUUUAGCCACACAUGAUUGGAGAUUUGGUCUCAUAAGGCAUGUUUAGCUAGUGAUAAAAUGAGAGAAAAUAAAGAAAAAUAGAGAAUUCGAUUAAGAAAGAAAAUCUAAAAAAUUCUACAAUUAGAAAUGUCCAAAAAGCUUUUUCAUGAGAAAAUCAAGUUUCUAUUUAUAGGCCAAGGUCAAGUGGACACUUGACAUCAUCUAAGAGGUCUUCCGGAAGCUUCUUCAUCAAGAAAUCUGGAGUUUAAUAAUAAAAUGGUCAUUUCACAAGAGCUCAAACAAUUUCGCAUGAUUAUGUGAAAUAAAAAAUGCAACAACAGCAAUUUACAUCUUCUUGGAGCAUUUCGCAUGACUGUGUGAAAUUUUCACAUGAUCAUGUGGAAUCGACUUGACAACUCUCAUUUAGCCUACAACAUAAUUCCACCUUUUGGUCCAUUUUUCAUAGUCAUGCGAAAUGGAAAUAUUUGAUUUUUAAGUUUUCUUUUGUCAUUUCUUUCAUUUCCUUCUCUUGAUUCCACUUCAACUACCUCCGAAUCCUGGUCCAAACCAAUUGCAUUACUUCUUUCAUUAUGCAUUUGGAUCAUCAUCAACAUUAUUUGUUCUCUUCAAUUUGAUUCAUCUCUUUUGUCACCAAUUUAUCAAAAUCAUACCUUGAAAUGACUCCAAAACUUCAUAAAACUUGUUAGUAACUCUUGCAAGGGCAACAACAUAUUAAUUAAGUGUUUUAGGCAUAGUUACUACUCAAAAGAUGCGAAACUCAUGAUAAUUAUUAUAUAAAAUAUGCUCUUUUUGAGUAGUAAUCAACUUUCUUGCAUAAGCAGACCUUUUAGGGUGGAGUACUAAAGACCAAUAUGCUUGUCCUUGUUGUAAUAAAGAAACUUGCUCUUAUUGAUUGCACCAUGGGAGAAAAUUUUGCUACAUGAGUUAUCAUCAAUUUCUUCCCACCAAUCAUAGAUUUAGACGUGACAAGAGGCCUCUUAAUGGCAAGGAGGAACUGACACUCACACUUAUACAAUUAUCGGGCAUUGAUGUGUUGCAACAAUUAGAAUAACUUACACCAAUUAUGUUGGGGAAGUCACAAAAGGCAAACAUGAAAACUAAAAGGAAAAAAGAAAAAUGUUACAUAUCACCACAACUGGAAAGAAAAAAGUAUUUACUUUCAUUUGCCAUAUUGGAAAGCACUUAUUUUACAUCAUAAUAAUUUAGACAUAAUGCAUAUUGAGAAAAAUGUGUGACAAUAUAAUUGAGACAUUGUUCAGUAUUGACGAAGAAACAAGGACAACCUAAAUAGUCAUCUCGAUUUACAAGCUCUAACUAUUAGAAAUGAGAUUCACCCAAUAGAAAGCAGGACCAAAUUUAUUUUGCUUGCAACAUGCUACUCACUCACCCCAAAUGAGAUUAAGGAAUUUUGCAAGUUUUUGAAAUCAAUAAAGGUCCCCAAUGGCUAUUCUUUCAAUAUCUCUCGUUAUGUGCAACUCAAUGAAAGGAAGAUAUAUGAGCUCAAAUUGUAUGAUUGUCAUGUCCUAAUGCAACAACUUCUCUCACUUGUAGUUCGUGGAGUUCUACAUAAGAAUGUUUGUGGAGUUAUCAUAGAAUUGCGUAAUUUUUUCAAGCAAUUGUGCUCAAAGGUGUUAGAAACAAAUCACUUACACCAACUUGAGAACAAUAUUAUUGUCAUACUAUGUAAAAUGGAGCAAAUAUUUCUUCCAUCAUUCUUUGAUAUUAUGGUGCAUUUACUUGUGCAUCUAGUAAGGCAAAGGUUGCAAGACUUGUGCAAUAUUGUUGGAUGUACCUAAUUGAACGAUAUUGUUAUAAUUUCAUAUGAAUCAUUUAAUUUUAUUUUAUAUUAUGUUCAGUUCAUUAACAUGUACAUUGGUCUACAUAUGGAUGAUGAUAGGUACCUAAGCACUUUAAAGUCAUAUGUGCGUAAUAGAACUUUUCUAGAAGGUUCUAUUGUAGAAAGGUACCUUGCAAAAGAAUGUACAACAUUUUAUUCUAGGUACUUGAAUGAUGUGGAAAUAAAGUAUAAUCACAAUGAUAGAAACUUUGUUGGUUUCAACACUAGAGGAGAUGAAAGGGGUUAUCUUUAAACAUAUUGGACAUGCAUUGGGAAAGCCCAUAUUUCAUUAACUUAGUUCAAAAGAGUGGUCACAAGCACAUUUAUAUGUGUUGACAAAUUGCGAAGAUGUCAUACCAUUCAUUGAGUAAAAAAUUUAUUUGAAUUUUAAUUAAAGCUCUAGUUUAUAUCCUUAAUCAAUGUUUUUUAAAUUCACAAGGAGCACAAGCAAACCAUCAAGGCUAGACCACAUAUACGUGUUUGAGACGUAGAUUUAAUUCAUAACAAGGAAUUUAUCAAGUGGUUUGAAAGACAUGUAAGUAUAUUCCUUAUUAUAAGGGAUUUAUUUCACAUUAUGUUUAUAUUGAAUCCAAACCUAUUAUUGAAUUGUAGGUUGAACAAUUACAUAAUGAAGGUCAUAUAUCUGAACACCUUCUCACAUUAUCAUGUGUUCCAAAUUCAUUAGUUACAUGCUUCAAAUGAUAUAUUGUCAAUGGAUUUAGAUCCCACAUUAAAGAACGUGAUAAAAAAGUUUUUAAAAAAAGACUCAGAAUAAUGGAAUUGUUGUAGUUGCAAAAACGUCAAGCUUUACAAGUGCAUGUGAUAUGAGUCCAAUUAUUAGUGAUGCUCUCUACUAUGGUGUUCUAACUAAAGUUGUUGAGUUACAUUAUCUUGGUGAAAAUAAGGUUGUUUUAUUCGAGUUUGAUUGGUGGGAUGUUACAAAUAUUGGAAAAUUGAUAAAAGAUGAUGAGUACAAUUACACAUUUGUUAACUUUGCAUGAAUUCUAACCACGAACGAACGAUUUGUACUUGCAUCUCCAGCAAAGUAAGUGUUCUAUGUGAAGAAUGCGAAUGAAUCAGAUUGGCAUACUAUCAUGGAGAUGCAACCUCAAGACCUCUAUAAGAUGAACGGGAUAGGAUCCAAUGGUGAUUUUGAACCAUUUCAACAAAGUGAACUACAUGAUCACUAAUAUAUCUCAGAUUUAGUUGAUGAAGAUAUAAUCAAGUGGAACAAAAGUGAUGUUUUAGGACUAAUCAUCCUAAAAAAUAUUGUAGUUUCUUAAAAAAAAAAUGAAAAUGAAGAAGAUAAUUGAACCUUUGUCAUACUUUAAAAAGCAACUAUGCAUUGUUCAUUUUGUAUGUUUUGGUUUUCUUCAUUUAAUUUCCUGAUUUUUGUGAUUCAAUGUCAUAUUAUUGAUCUUGAAAUAUUUUUCUAAUUUUUCAUUCUACGAUGGUUUCAACAAGGAUGACAUCAAGUCAAAAAAGGAAAUGUGGUCCCACACACAAUAUUGCAUUACAGGGAUUAAGGUCAGGGAAGAAGGUAAAAGUUGCAUUUAAUGAGUACAAUCAAUUGGUUAAACAGAAAAAUGGAAAACACUUAUCGAGCUACAUAGGGACACUUGUAUCUAACCAACACAAUGUACCUCUCCAAGCUAGUGAUUGGAAAAAUGUUCCAAAUGAUGCAAAAGAGAAAGUAUGGCCUUUGUUUUGGUAUGUUGUAUUUCUCACUAUAUGAUGUCAUUUCACUGUUAUUCUAUUUUGUGACUAACGUUUGAAUCAUAUGUAAGAAAAAUUUGAAGUAGAUAAAGACUGAAAAGAUUACAUGUUGGGUAUAGCCUCAAAUAAAUAUAGAAGCUAUAAAAAUAUGAUGAAUGCAAAAUACUAUGACCCUUGGCAUAAGGAUGCAUGAGGAGAGGUUAAUACAUAAAUCACCAUUUGUCUCUGAUGUUGAUUGGAAGUGGCUUGUCUCUGAUGCAUAAACCAAAUCCCCCACUGAAUGUUUGAUAUUUGAUAGCAGGAAAAACACACCCGCAGCUAUACACCUCCAUCAUUCAGAUAAUUAUAGUGGGGGAGAUGAUUCAUGGUUGCCCUUAUACCCUUUAUUUGCACCAUCUAUUGAGAUUCUUUAUCAUGGCCAGGUUUUACUGCAGCAAUAAGAUAUGGUGGCAACAAUUUUAUCUAUAGGUGCGGUUCCAGACCGCCUCCAUAGGUGCGGUUCCUGACUGCCUCCAUAGGUGCCUCUUCUUGUAAUGUUUGUUCUGGGAAUUACACUUGAAAGCCUUAUCGUGAUAAGGGAUUACAAACACUAGUUCAGAGGACAGCCAUGUUAAACUUCCACUAUGUUUGUGUCACAUUAUCAGCAGCCUAGUGUUUAUUGGUCAUGCUAUCUGCAACUAAUAUAACCCGGUGAACUUCAAUCUAAAUUCUGAAAGUACUCAUGUGACAGAUGGUGCCUUUCAGCAGAUAUCAUCAAUUUAAAAGUAGUGUGUGUGCCUAUAGGUGGGAAGGCCUUGGCAAAUGUUCAGUAUUCCGGUAAUUCAAGAAGGAUAUAUCUAAAAUAGAUUUUCUUCUUGCCCAUUUCAAUAGUUAAAAUUUGAGAAGAUUGUGUCCACAUCACACAAAUAUUAUUGGUCCUUCUGUUGCAAUUUACCUCUGAACAUGUCUUCCAAUUCCCACGGUCCUGUUACUCCAGGAAAACUAUUUCGGUCAUAUUGAAAAAAAAAAUAUUAAAGAAGGUACACAUGCUUUUAAGUGGACUGGGGCAUUCAUAUCAGGUGGUCUGUAUCCACAUAUGCCACUUCGUGAAAGGUGGAACAGCCUAAUCACUAGGCUAUUUAGUGUGGCCCAGCCACGUUAAUCAAGCACAAGUCUUCAUACUUAAAGUCAAAUGGUGUCUUUAGUCUCAUUACACAUCGCUAUUUGAAGAUUAACUCAUCACUAGUGUAAUGCGAUUAAGACAGUCCUAACUCAAUAUUUGUUCUAGUUUUGGAUGCAAAUGCUUGCUGGUUUCAUCAUUGGAUGGGAUAAAGGUGCAAUCAGGACUAUGAAUACGUGCAGUAAUACUUCAUUCUCUUUUUUCUCAAUGAGACUUCUUGGCACAAUUUUGCUGCUCAGCAACCUACCUUUCCAUGGAAAAUCAGUUGUGACUGAUAGUAAUGGAUAUAUUCUAGAAAGCUAAACAUAGAUAGCAUUCAAUAUUAUCGAUAUAACAUUAACAGCGUAUGUCUCAAUGCUCAUCAGCUACAAGCAAUGGACAAACACUUUGAGUAACUCACAGCAGUCAAAAUUCCUAAACAGGACAGACGUGACAGAUCUAUAUAUAGAACACUGCAUAUGAGUCACAGGAAAAGAUAAUACGGGUACAUAGAAGCUCUUAUUUUACAUAUUACUCAUACUGAUCAAAGUCGCUCAGUUGGGAUGGAUGGGAGAAGGAGGUUUGAGGGGUGGCUUGUGCGGGGAAGUUGGCAGCUUCUUUCCGGGAGCUGGUUGCUUCUUUGCUGGAGUUGAAGGAGGCUUAAUCUUCCGAGGUGGCUUGUAUGAGUCUUCAGCAUUCUCAGCAGGAGGGUGACCAGGGUUGUGACCAUAAUGUGGUGGCUUCUCUCCCUUAGGUGGUUUGCCAACUGGGGUUGGUGGCUUGUUUUCUGGGAGUGGCUUCUCUCCCUUGGGUGGUUUGCCAACUGGGGUUGGUGGCUUGUGUUCUGGGAGUGGCUUCUCCCCCUUGGGAGGUUUUUCGAAUGGGGUGGGUUUGUGUCCUGGUGGUGGCUUCUCUCCCUUGGGAGGUUUACCAAUUGGGGUCGGUGGCUUGUGUUCUGGGAGGGGCUUCUCUCCCUGGGGAGGUUUAGUGGGUGGCUUGUGUUCUGGAGGUGGCUUCUCCACCGGAGGCUUAUGCUCUGGUGGUGGCUUCUCGAAGGGGGGAUGCUCAGGGUAAUCACCAAGUGAGGGGGUGGUGAGAACCACCAUGCCAAGCAACAACACUAGCAAGUAUGUAGUAGACAUCUUUGGGUUUGGACUCAGACAGUGCAAAACUACGAGAAAUCGCUAGCCCUUUAUAGCGGCUCGGACCUAAUACUGACAUAAUAUAAAAUAAAUAUUAUAUUUUAUCAAGAGAGAACAGAGUGUAAUUUUAUCAUUAAUACCGAUCGAGGCCAAAGAAAGAAGACCCAUAAUCCAUUUCCCACAAGCAUACACAAUGCAGCUGUAAUUUUAUCAUUUACUUUUAUCCCUUGGACCACUGCAUUUUUGUUGAGAGACACAAUAACACAUUUUUAUCUGUCAUUCAACAUUUACAGUAAAGAGAGGGCACAAAACGCAAUUAGAUAAAUUAUGUUUUGCCUGCUAAAAAGAGGCAAAUAACUUUAUUUGCAACAUAAUUAUUUUGGUUUCUAGUGACCCCGGGGCCUUUCGGUUGGUUUGGGAUCGGAAAAUGAACAUCAUAGGGGGGGUUGUGCCCUUAUGGGCAUAUAUAUCUGAUAGCUUCAACUGGCCUUGUUCCUAGAAAGAAAUUGCCAAAGAUAUAAACUUAUUCCAGGCUGAAAGUAGAUGAGAGUCAUAAUGAACAUCAACCUUUGUUCAGUUUGAUUCAAUGCCCCCAUAGUGUUCAUUUCACAGAUCUGAAUGAUUAUAUCCGUUGAAUACAUAAAUUAAUGAAGACAAAUAUGAAACCCAAGAUACAUCUCUGCAUAACAACCCCAACCCUGGUUGCUAUGUUUCCCUUCUUCUAUUCACAUGAGGAUACUGGUUAUAAUUGUCAAACUUGCAACAAGCCCUUUGACACCUAACGUCAAUGGACGAAUUAAAAGUCUCCUUCAAACGUCUAUUUCACAGCAUGAAGCUUAUAAAGGAUGCUGACAACCUUCAGAGUUAGCGACAAAAGAUAAUUAUCAAGGAGAGAUAGUUCCAUGAGAAUUCCAAGGAGUCUGAAUCAAAGACAAAUUGCUCACUCAAGGGUUCUUAUUUUCUUUUAGGUACAAAUCUCUUGAGUGUUGUUAAAGAAACACGUCACUGUCAUUUUGAUUUGCAUUUAACAUUUCACUUUUGUUCUGGAAGGUUUGUUCCGGAAACAUAUCAAAUGAGCAUCAUUUUCUUCUUCGGUGACACAUGGUCGCGAGUACGUGGGUCCAUUUUCAUGCCACUUAGUUGAAAAGUUGGAAAGAAAAAACAUGCCAACAAGAAGAUAGUGAGAGAAGGGGCACUUCAAGCCUUUAACAUGAACAAACAGUAAAUAAAAGAUGUUUCUCCACUCAUAAAAGUGUGUUAGAUAGCAAUAUAACGAAUCACAUCCAAAAUCUUUACUAGGCUCAAACAUAAAGAAGACUCAUUUUUAAGAAAAGAUAAAAAUGGCAUUGUCUGAUAGUAUCCAAUACACGAGAUGGCACUUAAUUUGUACAAGAUCUGUCAAUGCUGACGCACAUUUUCUGAUUAAAAAAAAACUGAUCAGUCAAAAGCAAUGAAGAGAAGUGAUGACAAUGAAUGAUGCUUCCAAUAUUUUCACCCCUUAUAGUGUUCUUCAUGAUUCAGAUAUAUAAUUGGAAAUAGAACAACCCUAUGCCAUACAUUCGUCUAAGUAUGGUGUCUAAUUUUUUGUGUCAGCGGUUGCGAAUGGAGCGUGCAAAAGUCCAAAUUGGCGUCUCUCCAUUUCCACAUAGGAAGGUGACCUUUAUUGACAAAUACCCAAUAUUUGUAGACAUUCCUUAAAUAUCAUAACUUCUUGUUGAUUUGAAAAUCAUUUUUCAACUACCAUGUUUUAAUAAAUAUUUUUUAAAAUGUAUUUUUAUCAAAGUCCACCAUGAUGGAUAAUAUUCACCAUGCAAUAAUUAAUAAAGUACAAACUAAGCGAAAUGAAAAGCAUUUUCUUUGCUUUGAGUUGAUUUUGGUUGCAUUGAGUUGAUUUUGGUUUCAUGGUUUUUUCAACUCUUAUUUUGAUUGGAAGAUGUCAAGAAAAGAAAACAUAAAGAAAAAUUAAAAGGGAAAAAAGAAGAAAAAUAAAAAAAAAUAGAUUUAAAAGUUAAUAAAUUAUUUUUUAUAUUUAUUUUAAUUCAUUUCACUUAUUUUUCUUUUACUAUAUAAAAUUUAAAUAAUUUAAAUUUUAUAAUUAAUUUAAUUACAUUUCAUUUUCUUCUAUAUUUAAAUAUUGGAAAAAUAUUUUACUUAAUAUUUUUUUCUUUAAUUUCUUUGGCAUUUUGGGAACCAAACUUAGCCUUUAAAAUAAAAAACAAAAAAAAAAUGAAAAUAAGGAGGGAAAAGUGAGAAAAGAUAAAAACAAUAUGUAAAGGAUUUGAAAAGUAUUAGUUUGUAAUUACUAUUUGGAUUUCAAUAGUAUUUUAUUUGUCUUUCUAUAUUUCAUGUAAGAGAGAAUUUAAGAUAUUCCCCAAGGCAAAGCAUUAGUUACCUGCAAUCAGUGGUGAUAAGGCUCCAAGCCAAUUUUGGGCCCCAUAUCUUAAGACAGUACAAUUUCCAUUUCAACAUUUCUGAUUUCUCAGAUGUUUCACAUACCACAGAAGAACAUUGUUUGUGAAAAUAUGCAUUUAUGUUGGAUUUUGUAUGCUGUGGGGACUGGGGCAAGGAUCAUAUGGAAGAGUGGUUGACUUUUUCUGUACUUUAACGGUUGAAAUAGGAUAAGCACGGGCAUUUGUGAGGCUUAAUUGAUUUUGAAGCCUGAAAUUGCGUUUCUGUCAUUUUGUCAAAAAAAUGGCAGAUUCCAUACUCAUAUGUUUGGCCUGUGGCCAUGUACAGAUGCCAUUUAGUGACCAGUUUGUAACUGUCAAUCGUUGCGUUUUGACUCUGCCUCAACAACAUCUGCCAUUGACGGGUUUUCAUACUUGCAAAUCAAAUAGUCUUUCGUCCCAUCAGGAAUUUCGGUUUAAAUAUUAUUAAGCAUACGUUUGGCUGACAAUCAUUAUCCAGUUCAUGAUUUGGUUUCUUACCCUUAAUCAAUGGUUUCUAAGUGAAUAUAUGUAGAAGGAAAUCCGAAGUGUAGACAGUAGUAUCGAUAACUCUCAAUAUUCUCUAUAUAAUAGAAUAAACAGCGUCAUAGUGAUCGUCGCCUACAAGCAAGGUACAAAUACCAAAACGAGUGACUCACAUAGACAUCUCCCAACAAGAUGUAGUAGUGACUGACACAUGGACACAAUUAACUCGUAGAAAAGGAUAAGACCAUUGCACAGCAGCUCUUAUUUUACAUACUACUUAUGCUAACCAAAGUCAAUUAGUUGGGAUGGGUGGGAGAUGGAGGUUUGUGCGGUGGCUUGUGGGGCGGAGUUGAUGGCUUCUUUCCAGGAGCUUCUGGCUUUUUCAUCGGAGCUGAAGGAGGCUCAAUCUUAUGAGGCGGCUUGUAUGAGUCUUCUUUACUCUCGACAGGAGGGUGGCCAGGGUUGUGAUCAUAAUGUGGUGGCUUCUCUCCCUUAGGUGGCUUGCCAACUGGGGUUGGUGGCUUGUGUUCAGGAAGUGGUUUCUCUCCCAUGGGAGGUUUAGCAAUUGGGGUUGGUGGCUUGUGUUCUGGGAGUGGCUUCUCUCCCUUGGGAGGUUUAGUAGGUGACUUGUGUUCUGGAGGUGGCUUCUCCACCGGAGGCUUGUGCUCCGGUGGUGGCUUCUUGGUUGGAGGGGGCUUGGGGUAAUCAGCAAGAGAUGGGGUGGUGAGAACCACCAGUCCAAGGAACAACACUAGCAAGUAUGUGGGAGACAUUUUUGAGUUUGGGCUGAUCAGAUGAUGCAAAACUAAAGCAUUACGUGACCUUUUAUAGCAUGUAGCUCCCAAUACCCACUAAGUAUUGUGGGGUCCAUUUGUGCCCUACGGGGUUGAAAACUUAGACAAUUGGGCAAGGACCCACCUGACUAUGGAGGACUAGUGAGGUGUGAUCAUAGCUUUAGGAUUUUUCUUCCUCUGCAGCCGUCGUGCCGUUGGCAUGAUUUUCUUAAUCUUAAAUAAAGGCAUAGUUAUAGAGUUGUUUAAUCUCUAAAUGGGAUUUUAUAUAUAUCUUCAGAUAGCCAUUAAUAUAUUUGAUGAAGAAAGAAAGACAAGUGCAUACAACAUGUAUACGACUAGCUUUCAUGGAGUUCAUUUAUGAUCAGUUUUCCUGUACAUGUAAACCAGGAUCAUAUAUAUGUUUCUGUUCCACAACUAUUUUGGAAUCUUGUUUAUCAGUUUUUAUCAUUAUAAUGUCACAUAGGCUGCCAACUUGGGCGCUAAAAGAACCAGUUGGGCUAGUUCGUUUCAGAAUUUCAAUGUGGAUUCAGGAAUUGUUUUGUAAGAUAUGCGAAAUAGUAGAGGGAUGAAUAGUGUUUCAUUAAUAAAAGUGUCCUGUAAAUUAGAAGGUGUCAUAGAAACUAUAAUCAAUAAAUAACUUUUUUUCCCCACGGGUGGUGUUUCUUGUGGGGAUCAGUGACUGGUUUAGGUUCACCCAAAAUGAGUUCAGACUAAAAUUGGUUUGAGUCAAUGCCGUGUCUCUUUUUUCCAGAAAUCAACUAUUUUAUGCAUUGAAUAAAUCAUACAAAGAAAAUAUGAACGCCCGCAAAACCUAAACCCUGGUUGCUAACUUUCUAUGUUUCAGUUCUAUUCACGCAAGAAUAUUAGUUUAAGUUUGGGAAAAAUGGCAACUUACCUAGUGAUUACUUGGUUUUGGUUUGCGACUAUUUACGCAACCAACCAUGAGUUUGACUUUAACGUCAUGGGUUGAAGCCUCCUACAGGAAGGGAGAAAGCUCCACAGCUAGCUCCAAAAGAGAAUUAUCACAUUGAUAGCUCCAGAGAUUCCCAAGGGGACUGAAUCAAAGACAAGUUCCUCACUUUUUCUUCUUUUGAGGCCAAAUAUGAACCAAGGAUCACACAACCUCAUUCAACUUCAUAAGUUUGAUUUCAUGCAGUUGAACACUGGGUGAAGGCCAUGACAAGAAUUGAUUCAAAAAUUCUAUCACUCUUUUAAGUAAUGGAAGAUUAUUAUCUCUGAUUGGCAUCACAACAGCACAUGCUCCUAGAUCUUUCUAGACACUCCAUGCAAUGAAAGCACAAUGGAUCUUGUAACGAUAGAAACUAAGCCAUGCUACAGUACUAGAUGAUGAGGUAAAACUAGUAGACACGGGUGGCAGCCUAUAUGGGAGGGACACAAGUCUAAUUGAUUUGCAUUUCAGCAUUAUAGAUAGGUAUGUUUUGGAAGAUUUGUUCUGGAAAUACCGCACCAAGUAGGAUUCUUUUUCUCUUUAGUGGGUCCACUUGCAUGCCAAUUAACGAGUUGAAAAGUAUGAGCACCUACCUCGUGCUCGUGGAACCGAAGGUCAGUGAAGUGGGGCUCCUUUUGGCCUCGUGUAAACUUGAUUCAGAAGUGAAGUUAAUAGUCUUCCAUUCAGAUGGAUACAUGGGAAUUUUUCUCUUUUAUUUAUUUAUUUAUUUUUUUUUUGUGUGUGUAUGUCAAAGGAUAAUGAAUGAAGCGCGUUAGCUUGUUUUCUGACUGGAACCGCAGAUGUCCAAAUUGGAGUUCCUUCAUUUCUUACUUAGGAUUGUUACAUGUAUAAACAAGGUAUAAGAAAUAUGCCAACGUGUCUUGAGGAGUUAUUGAUUAGAAAUAACAAGUCACCCGACUGUAGAGUUCCAAGAUUUGAAUCUUCAGACCCUAUAGCAGCCUCUGGGGUACGUGGCAUCCUAUAGCAUAUUAAUGAAGGCUUUUUCGAUUUAGACUUCACAAUACCAAUUAAUAUGUAUGCACAAAAUGGAGAUGACCCCAAAAAAAACAGAAUCGCCAUAGUUUAUGAGGUUAAGGUGAUUCUCCACUUAAUAUCUACAUUAGCUAAUUAUGUAAAUCAAAUGAACUUCUAUUUUUCCUUUUUUUUUUUGGUUUAUGUCAAAUAGUAGCCCAUAAUUAACCCAACCAUUAGCCUGUUUGAAUUGAUUUCACAUGCACAAUGUUGUAGUAGUUCAUAUUUUGAAUUUUAUUUUUACAAAGGUAGUUAAGGAAAAUGAAGUAUAAUAAUUAUAAAAGCAGACUAUAUACACUACAAUAAUUGUUAGAAUGGUAUCUCAAAUUCUAAUUUAAAAUAUUAUUUUUUGUAAAAGAAAUAUUAUAUAGAAUAUUUCCUAAUUUUAUAAAUGAUUAUAAUUAGAUCUUUAUAAAAUAAGGAAAGUUGGUAAGAAUAUCUUUAUAAAUAUUUUAGGUCAUGAGAGAAAGAAAUGGGAUAAAAAUGUGAUGAAGAGGUGAAAUAAGAGAGUUGAUUAGGAUAUAGAUGUGAAGAAGAAAGGGAUUCAAUAUAUAUAUAUCUUUCAAUUACCACAUUAAAACCCUGUGAACCUUUUAUAUGGUUUACUUUAUUUUUAUAUUCCUCCUUUAAUAUAUUUACAUUAAUGCUUCCAUUGGCACAACAAUAACGAAUUACAAAUACAAGCAACAAGUCCCAUGUUUUAUUACCAAAAGCAGGUAAAAUCCACCUAAUAUAUUACAAUAUAUUCAUCCAAUAUUUUAGACCAAUUCUUCACCAUAAAUAUCAUAAUGUGGCUUUUGUUCUUUCUUAAAUUUAAAUUGAAUUGUCUUAUAUCAAUUUGUUUGUGAUUUUUUCAUUAACUUCACUUUCAUUUGGUUAUCUUUGGUUUUUGAAAAGUAUUAAGGAAUUAAUUAACAAAAUAAUGUUAAGAAAAAUAAUUUUCUCUCUUUUGAUUUUGAUUUUGUAGUAGAAAAAUAUAAUUAAAAUUAUUUAAAAAGUAUGUAAUUUUAAAUUAUUUAAUAUUUAGAUAAAAAAAAUAAGUCUAAUGAGUUUAAAAUAACAUAUAAAAAUAAUUUAUUUAUUUUAAAUUUAUUUUUUAUUUUCCAUUAUGUUCUCUUUCUCUUUUACUUUUUCAUAUUUUUUCUUACGAAGAAUCAAACACAACCUCAUAUUAUAUGUCAAGUGUUUGUCUAUAUUUGAGCAAUGUUAGAUACGGCCAUGGAUUCAUCAAACUAAACUGAUUUUAAUAGAUACUUCACAAAUUGAUUUAUACACUAAAUCAUUGGAUAGCAAUGAUGCAUUGGAAUUAAACGUAGGAUGAAGCUCGAAGAACACUGUUUGUGUAACAACAUAUUUAUGAAAUUAUGCAAAGGAUGAGCUUCGGGGUAGUAGUACAAGGUCAUUAAUGGAGAGCCGUGUUAAACCUUGAUUGUGAUUGGAUUCCGUUAUCAGCAACAGCAACCUUGUUUGUAACCUUGAAAGUCAUUCUGUCCACAUCGAAACUCCAAUUUGACGUUUGUAAUUACCAUUCCUGGAGUGUUCCUUGAUUGAAAUUUAAAUAAUAAUUGCGGCCCACAAGGAAUAUUUUCGAUUCUGUGGGAAUUUGACAAGGUUUGUUAGAGAAGACUGGUGACAUGUUGACUUCAAUGGUUCAAAUAGGAGACGUAUGUGGAUUUGGGGGGUUUAAUUGAAACUGAGUCCCUAUGGCUUUUUAAUAUUUGCAUUGAGCAGUCUCCAUGUGACUUCCUAAUUCCCACCAACCCUCCUGUCCAUGCUGUGAAACUAAAUUGUAAUUUAUCAGCCUUUGUCAAUGGUUUCUAAAUUAAAGAUAUAGACCAUGCAUGUACUUUAAUAAAAGCAAAUCUAAAGUGUAGAUAGCAGCAAUGGUGACACCCAAUAUUCUCCAUAAAAUAGAAUUAGAAUAAGCAGUGUUACAUUGUUCAUGAUCACCUACAAGCAUACAAGAACUUCCAUGAAUAACUCAUAGCAAUUGCCAACAGGGCGUCGUAGAGACUCAUACAUAGAACACUAUCCACCCAGAGGAAAGGACAAGACCAGUGCGCUGCAGCUCUUAUUUUUCACAUGUAUACCACCACUCGUAAUAACCAAAUUCACUCAGUUGGGAUAGGUGGGAGAUGGUGGUUUGUGGGGUGGCUUGUGGGGAGGAGUUGGAGGAGGCUUUAUUUUCUGAGGCGGCUUGUAUGAGUGUGCAGGAGGAUGCCCGGGAGUGUGACCAUAAUGUGGUGGCUUCUCUCCCGUAGGUGGUUUGCCAAAUGGGCUUGGUGGCUUCUCUCCCUUAGGAGGUUUACCAAUUGGGGUUGGUGGCUUGUGUUCUGGGAGUGGUUUCUCUCCCUUGGUAGGUUUGCCAAUUGGGGUUGGCGGCUUAUGUUCUGGGAGUGGCUUCUCUCCCUUGGGAGGUUUGCUAAUUGGGGUUGGCGGCUUAUGUUCUGGGGGCGGCUUCUCUCCCUUGGGAGGUUUGCCAAUUGGAGUUGGCGGCUUAUGUUCUGGGAGUGGCUUUUCUCCCUUGGGAGGCUUGCCAAUUGGGGUUGGCGGCUUAUGUUCUGGGGGUGGCUUCUCUCCUUUAGGAGGUUUGCCAAUUGGAGUCGGCGGCUUAUGUUCUGGAAGUGGCUUUUUUCCCUUGGGAGGUUUGCCAAUUGGGGUUGGCGGCUUAUGUUCUGGGGGUGGCUUCUCUCCCUUGGGAGGUUUGCCAAUUGGAGUCGGCGGCUUAUGUUCUGGGAGUGGCUUCUCUCCCUUGGGAGGUUUUGUUGGUGGCUUGUGUUCUGGAGAUGGCUUCUCCCCUGGAGGCUUGUGCUCCGGAGGUGGCUUCUGAAAUGGCGGGGGCUUGGGGUAAUGAGCAAGAGAUGGAGUACUGGUGAGAACCACCAUUCCAAGCAACAAUACUAGCAA